rnacentral:lncRNA from 1 species
GCGGUGGGCGGGCACGCUGCUGGCCGCCGCCGUCUACGCGCUGCGGGUCUACUACGUCCAGGGCUUCUACGUCGUCUCCUACGGCCUCGGCAUCUACCUCCUCAACCUCCUCAUCGGCUUCCUCUCCCCCAUGGUCGACCCGGAGCUCGAGGCGCUCGACCAGGCCGGACCCGCGCUCCCCACCCGCGGCAACGACGAGUUCAAGCCCUUCAUCCGCCGCCUCCCCGAGUUCAAGUUCUGGUAUAUCCACCUCCGCUGCCGCUCCCUUCUCGUCUCCAGACCCCUUUAAUUUAAUUGAUUAUUGUGUGUGAAAUUGACGUUGAAUUCGAGAUCAGAUGCAAUACCCUUCUCCGGUCUCAGAUUUGAUCGGACAGCACGCUUUUUUUUUUCCCGACAGUUUCGCAAGAUUCGCCUGGCAGCAAGUGGGCUCGCCCACAACCCAUUUAGAAAUGGGUGGAUGGCUGGAACCUGUAUGCAGCCUUGCUAAUUCAUGUGACUUGCCAGCUCCUGCGUUACAAAUGCGAUGCACUCAUUUUGUUGACCUGCUUGAGGCGUUUCGUUUCAUGGUCAGAGCCACUCGCUGACAAAGCUUUGCGGCGCAGUGGCUUAGGACUCCAUUAGUCCGGGAUCCUCUCUUGCACUUUUGUGCAAUAGAAGUUUUUUAGUGCAGUGGCUUAAGGUUGCAUAUUAUGGGAAAGGAUAUGUUGCGUUUUCUAGGUGAGUUCUUGCACUUUUCUGCAAGUUCCAUCUUGUUAGCUGCUGUUACUUCCCUGUGAAGAGCUGUCAACCGUCAAUUUUGUUGGAAAGAACUCGUUGUUAAGUCACUGUGGUGUUCUUUCGGUGCUAGUCUCAGUGUUGUAUGCAUGCUUCAGAAGUUCAGAUGGGAUUCUACAGUCAUCUCUUUCCAUUUUGCAAGUAGUAUGCGAUGACUGCUUCUGCCGCAUUGCUUUUUAAGUCAUUGUGAUGUUCUUUCAGUGGUGUUUACUCUGCUGUUGUAUGGUUCAGAAGCUCAGUUGGGAUUGUACAGACAAUCUCUUUCCAACUACUUUGCACAGGUAGUGCAGAUUAAGUUCGUCAACUGCUUCUGUAGCAUCAUUGCUUUUCCCCAGCAAGCUCAGUGAAAAGAUAAAUUAGCUGCUUUUGGUGCGUGGAGUAACAUUUUUCGAUGGAAUAAUUUUGUGUAGUUAGUUGUGUACUAGUACUGUAGAUCAGAUGGCAUGGGCUAGGCACUAGUUUGAAAAGAUUUUUGUUUUCCGGUGCCUAUGGGUUUGUGGCCUUUGUUUGUCUGUUAUGUUGUGUGCAGUGCGAAUGUAUAAAAACCGCACUAACCUACUGCUGCUAUUUGCAGGUAUGCCAUCACAAAAGCCUUCUGUGUUGCUUUUGUCAUGACAUUCUUCUCGGUAUUUGAUGUUCCCGUCUUCUGGCCAAUACUACUCUGCUAUUGGAUUGUGCUCUUUGUCCUGACAAUGAAGCGGCAGAUUUUACAUAUGGUCAAAUACAAGUAUGUCCCAUUCAGCAUGGGGAAGCAGGUAUGGGUCUGCUCUGCUGGUUGGAAGUUAAUUAGUUUUUUCAGCUGCUUUAAACCUAAGUGGAUCGUGCUUUCUGCAAGAUCUCUGCAAAAUUAGUGCAAAAUUGUUUCCAUGUCCAGUCAGUCACUACAGGUUUCAUGCCGAUUGAUCAUUGAUGCACAGUUGCCGGUGUCACUUGUACUACCUGGUGCCUUGAGGCAGUCAGAACUCAGAAUAGAACCUUGUGAAUUCAUCCAGAUUGAAUUUCCAUUUAAUUUGAUCUAGAGUAAACUGCUUAAGAGCUACUGCAUGUGAUUCUUGGGUGCCCAUAUUAUACCGUAUAUUAGUCUACCGUGGAUUAUCAAGCUUUUAAUUAUGAGGUGAAUUGUUAACAUCAUGCCAGCCAGGAUAUCUUAUCCUCCCCAGGACCGGCACUCAAAGCCAUUGAUUCAUAAUUUAGUCAAUUUAUGAUAUUUCGGCUUACUGAUCCUCGUUUGCAAUUUCCAAUGCAGAAGUACGGAGGAAAGAAAGGCCCAUCAUCCAGUGGAUCCAAAGACUGAGUCGCGAUAUGCCAAAUCCCUGUGUCACUCUUCUGCAAGGCGACAGAUAAUCAGAUGAUCGUGCUGGCAUGGUGGUUUUAUGAGUACAACCUACUGACAGUGAAUGUACAAACUAGUAACUUUUUCAUUGGUUGGUGAUACCUUGUUCUGCGUAGUAGAUCAGUAGUAGCUUCCGUACGCUGAUCAUUUGGCACGUGUUCUGUUGUAGUAUUGUGAGAGUGUGCAAUGCAAAUCAAAACCAUUGGGACUCACGCAACUCUUGCUGCUACCACCAACUACAUUUCCCGGAGGAUCUCUGCUAUUUGCUAAUGCAACACUUCUCUUAUAUGUUCAUUUCUUGCUGUUCAAAUAUAUGCAAAGUUCAGAUUUGGUCCAUCAACUCCAGUGGUAGGCAACAUUUUUUUCCUUGAGGUCGAGUACUAGACAACACCAUCGAUUGUUAAAAAACUGGGCAAUGUUGGUCGUGCUGGUGCAAAGUGAUUUCAUGGAUGAAAUUUGGCAUGGCUCCUUUGAUUCAAAGGCAUUUAGCAGAAUUUGUGGAGGAUUUGGAUCCUUAGAAUUUUCCUUAUGUUGGUCGUUAUUUGAUUCGCUGGAUUGAAAUCCAAGGAACUUUGACUUAGGAUUCUUUUGUGUUCUAUCUUGGAGGAAUAUUUCCAUCCACUCAAACCGCUUUGGUGGAAUUUCCUUUGCCUUUCCUUUGCGUACAAACUGGCAUAUCCAAGCUGAUUUGUCCUACUAGAUCGUGUGCAAUGCAUAUAUCAAAACCGUUGUGGUCUGUGCAACAAUUGUUGCCACUUCUCCAUUUCACAGAGGUUGAUACUCCACCAUUUUCACAACGUUUCUCUACUACUGUUCACAUUUGUUAUGCUUUCCCACGCCGCUGAUCACUCCGGUCAUCAAUAACACUCCGGCCCCAAGGGCCAACGCACAAGAUUUGUUGCACACUUCUCCGUUUCAGAGAGGUUGAUACUCCAUUUUCAUAACAUUUCUCUACUACUGUUCACAUUUGUUACGCUUUCCCACGCCGCUGAUCACUCCGGUCAUCAAUAACACUCUGGCCCCAAGGACCAACGCACAAGAUGGCGUCCCUGCGGGUCUGGACCCCCUUUUUCCAGUUGCAGCACCCAUGUCAUCGCCCCCUCUUCGUCCAACUGAGCGCCGCAAAACCUUGGCAUGGAUGACGAUAUCCAGCUAUGGGGGGCUCUCUCUCAGGCGCACCAGCGCUCGUUAGAGGGCAACUGGCAUGCGCAAGGCGGUACCGGUAACCAGGGCAGCCGAGCUCUUGGUAUGCCGCAACCUGCGAAUUGUGAAAGAUGGUGAAGAUGUCACUCCACACGCACUCGAAGCUUUUGCUGCAAAAUUCAUGGACCAGUUGUCCCAGGAUGUGCUUGCAUCGAUGCAAGCAUUGUUCAAGAUUGACAACGAGCUGGAGACGGAGGUGGAAGAAGCCCUGCUUGCUCAUGGCGGCAAUGAUGUGUUGGACCACGACGAUGUGCAAGAUGGAGCUACCGCUGUUGCGGUCUUGGUCACCUGAUGAAUGUCUCUGUAUCUGCAUCCCCUAGUGUCAUCAUAGUUGUUAUGUUAGUCCAUCUAGAUCCACCAGUUUGCUCUCUGCUGGAAGCUCCCUUCAUGGCUGGAGCAGCCCCGAGCCGUGCUACCCUGUAACUCAUGCUUGAAAGUCCCAGGUCUAUGUGUUACCAAUGUGUUUUUAAUGUUAGAGCAUAAUGCAAAUGUGCUAAGUUGGAACGUAAGAGGAUUAAAUGAUCAGAACCGCUGUGCCACUGUUUGAGAAACAAUUGUUGCAUCUUCUUGCCACACUGUGUGUCUCCAGGAGACCAAAUUGGCCCAGGUUGACCAAUUUUGUGUUGCUUCUCUCGGAGGCAACAAACAUUGGGGUUAUGCAUAGCGGUCUGCUAAUGGAACCAGGGGAGGGAUGCUGAUGUUGUGGGAUGACUCUCUUAUGGAAGUUAAAGACAUCUCCAUCACUGCCUACUGCCUAUCUGCUAUGGUCUGCUUUCGUGCUUCUGGAGUGACUUUCAAACUCACAACUGUGUACGGACCGACCUCCUCUCAACACAAAGAUGCUUUCUUCGCUGAAAUUCUUGGAUUGAAGCCCAAUGAUGGUGUGAUGUGGUUAGUGACCGGAGAUUUGAACCAAAUAUACCGCACGAGGGACAAGAACAAGAGAAGUGUCAACCGAAGUCGUAUUGCUCGCUUUCGCUAAAGGAAAUCCACCUUCAAAACCAACGCUUCACCUGGAGCAAUGAGAGGACCAAUCCCACGAUGAGCAAAUUAGAUUCUUUCUUCUGCAACGCAGAAUGGGACAUUCAUUUCAACACACAUAUCCUUCAUGCCCUCUCUUCAUCCUUGUCGGACCAUAGCCCCCUCCUACUUCUGGAGGAGCGCGAACCUCGACGGCCUCGCAAUUUCAAAUUUGAAAACUUCAGGAUCUCGAUGCGGGGAUUUGCCAAAGUGGUUCAGAAGGCUUGGGCAGAGCCAACCACACACGUUGAACCGUACCAAGUGCUGCACCACAAGCUAAAAAACGUGUACCAGACUAUCUGAGUGGAUCAAGAAGCUUUUCUCCAAAGCAAAAAUCCAUCUUCAUGCCACCCUGUUGACCAUCCUUCAUCUGGACAUCGCCCAGGAAAGCCACACUUUAUCAUUGGAGGAGAUGGACCUCCGUAAGUGUCUUAAGCGGAGGGUGAUCUCCUUAUCGGUCAUUCAGAGAGCCAGAAAAGCGUUAGUGUGCAAAAAAUGACAAAUCUUAAGGAGGGUGACGCGAACACCAGGUUCUUUCAUCGGAAGAUCAUUGCAAGACGCCGAAAAAAUCAUAUUCAUCGGCUCAAAUUCAACCAAGGGUAGAUCAUUGAGCAUGAGAAAAAGGAGGAGCUCAUUUUUUAUCACUUUAGUGCGGUGCUGACAAAAGGGGAGCCGAGGUCCCUCGAUCUAAAUUGGGACGAACUCAACCCUGACAACUAUGAGGCUUGUGACCUCUCAGAGCUUGAUGACCCAAUCACCGAAGAGGAGGUGAAAGCAGCGAUCAAUGAUUUGCCUUCGGACAAGGCUCCGGGUCCUGACGGCUUCAUCGGUAUGUUCUUUAGAAAAUGUUGGUAGAUAAUAAUGGGGGAUAUGAUGCGGGUGAUCCGACUCUUUGACGACCUUCAAGGUGCCAGUCUGCAUUGGUUAAACUCGGCCAACGUAGUUCUUCUGCCAAAGAAGGACGGUGCGGAGGGGAUUUCUGACUACAGGCCAAUCAGCCUCAUCCACGACAACGCAAAGAUCAUUACAGAAAUCCUUGCAAACAAAUUGCGCCAUCACAUGAAUGACCUUGUAGCCAAUGCACAAAGCGCCUUCAUCAAGAGAAUGAGCAUCCAUGACAACUUCAUGUAUGUCAGAAACCUCGCUCGUGGACUGCACAAGAGCAAAACUACAUCACUCCUAUUCAAAUUAGACAUUUGUAAAGCCUUUGACUCGGUCAAAUGGGAAUACAUCAUAGACCUUCUUCAGAAGUGUGGCUUCCCCGUGAGGUUCAAAAACUAGAUCAUGGCCCUACUUUGCACCUCUUCUUCCAGGUUCCUCCUUAAUGGGGUGCCAGGGCCUCCGAUAAAGCAUGGUUGUGGUCUUCGCCAAGGAGACCCUGUUUCUCCGCUGCUGUUUGUCCUAGCCAUUGAUCUGCUCUAGUAGCUUCUGAACAACGCCACCUCAAAGGGCCUCCUUGAUAACCCACAAGUAUAGGGGAUCGCAACAAUUUCCGAGGGUAGAGUAUUCAACCCAAAUUUAUUGAUUCGAAUCAAGGGGAAGCGAAAGAAUAUCUCAAGUAUUAGCAGUUGAGUUGUCAAUUCAACCACACCUGAAAGAUUUAGUGUCUGCAACAAAGUAUCAGUAGCAAGGUAGUAUGAUAGCAGCAGUAGCAACAGUAACCAGUAGCAGCAAAGUGACAGCAGUAGCAACAGAUUAACAGUAGCAGCAGUGACAGCAGUAGCGGCAAAGUAACAUAGCAAGGACCAGUAGGAAAAACUCGUAGGCAUUGGAUAGGUGAUGGAUGAUUAUGCCGGAUGCUAUUCAUCAUGUAACAGUUAUAACACGGAGGGAUAUGUAACUAGCUCCCGUUCGUCAAUCUAAUGUAGGCAUGUAUUCCGUAUGGUGCUUAGGGAAAAGAACUUGCAUGACAUCUAUUGUCCAUCCCUCCCGUGGCAGCGGGGUCCUAAUGGAAACUACGGGAUAUUAAGGUUCUCCUUUUAAUAAAGAACCGGACCAACGCAUUAACACUUGGUGAAUGCAUGAACUCCUCAUACUAUGGUCAUCUCCGGGAGUGGUUCCGGCUAUUGUCACUCCGGGGUUGCCGGGUCAUAACACAUAGUAGGUGACUACAACUUGCAAGAUAGGAUCUAAAACACACAUAUAUUGGCGACAACAUAAUAGGUUCAGAUCUGAAAUCAUGGCACUCGGGCCCUAGUGACAAGCAUUAAGCAUGGCAAAGUAGUAGCAACAUCAAUCUCAGAACAUAGUGGAUACCAGGGAUCAAUCCCCGUCAAAACUAACUCGAUUACAUGAUAGAUCUCAUCCAACCCAUGACCGUCCAGCAAACCUACGAUGAGAUUAUUCACGAACGGUGAAGAGCAUCAUGGGAUUGGCGAUGAAGGAAGGUUGGUGAUGACGAUGGCGACGAUUUCCCCUCUCCGGAGCCCAGAACGGACUCCAGAUGAAGAACUGGAGGUGGCGGCGCCUUCGUAUCGUAAAACGCGAUGAACUCUUCUCCUUGAUUUUUUUCCGGACAAAACGGACUAUAUAGAGCUGGAUUGAGGGGCGGUGGAGCUUUGUGGGCCCCACAAGCCUGCCAGGCGCGGCCAGGGGGGCCGCGCCUGGUAGGCUUGUGGGCUCACGGCUCCACUCCCUCCGCUGAUUCUUGCGCCACUAUUUUUCAUAAAUCCCAGAAAAAUUCUCGUAAAUUUUCACGUCAUUCCGAGAACUUUUAUUUCUGCGCAAAAACAACACCAUGGCAAUUCUGCUGAAAACAACGUUAGUCCGGGUUAGUUCCAUUCAAAUCAUGCAAAUUAGAGUCCAAAACAAGGGCAAAAGAGUUCGGAAAAGUAGAUACGACGGAGACGUAUCAACUCCCCCAAGCUUAAAGCCUUGCUUAUCCUCAAGCAAAUCAGUUGACAAAUUGAAAGAGACAAAAGAAAAACUUUGACGAACUCUGUUUGAUCUUGUUGUUGAAACUAUGUCUAACUCAUAACCAGAAUUUCAGCAAGAUCAGAAGCUAACCACAUAAGCAAAUGACAUCAAGGUCUCACGGUAAACUCAUAUCAAUGGCAUAAUCAACUAGCGAGCAAAUACUAAUAAGUAUCAAACGUCAACACUUCAAUCAAGACAAUCAUGAAGCAGUACAAACAGAUGGUAUCUCGCUAGCUCUUUGUGAGACCGCAAAACAUAAAUGCAGAGCACCUUCAAAGACCAAGGGUUGACUAAACAUUGUAAUUCAUGGCAAUGAAGAUCCAGUCAUAGUCAUACUCAACACAGUUAAAAGCAAAGCAUAAAAAUGACAGAGGUGCUCUCUAAUUGGUGUUUUGUAAGAAGAGGAUGACUCAACAGGAACAAAAAUAGACAUGCCCUUCGCAGAGGGAAGCAUUGAUUUGCAGAGGUGCCAGAGCUCAAGCUUUGAAAACAGAGAUAAUAAUUUUGGGUGGCAUGCUUUCAUUGUCAACGCAAUGACUAAGAGUUUUCACCAUCUUCCACACUACACAUGCUAUAGGCGGUUCCCCAACAGAAAAGUAAAGUUUUGACUCCCCCACCACCAAUCAAUCACACUCCAUGACCAGCCGAAAACUCGGGUGCCGUCCAUACCAACAUCAAUCCUGGGGGAGUUUUGUUUGCAAUUAUCUUUUCGAUUUGAGCAUGGAACUGGGAAUUCCAAUUACCGGCCCCUUUCUCGGGAAUGAUAGUGAAUAAACACAUAUCGAGGAUAACACACCUAGCAUGGAAGAUACUGAUAGCCCCUUGUCACCACAUGAGCGGUUCGGGCAUGCAAAACAGAUUAUUUCUUGAAGGUUUAAAGAGUGGCACAUGCAAAUUUACUUGGAACGGCAGGUAGAUACCACAUAUAGGUAGGUAUGAUGGACUCAUAUGGAACAACUUUGGGUUUAUGGAAGUGGAUGCACAAGCAGUAUUCCCGCUUAGUACAAGUGAAGGCUAGCAAAAGACUGGGAAGUGACCAAGUAGAGAGCGACAACAGUCAUCAAAAUCCAUUGAGAUUAACUAACAUUGAAUGCAAGCAUGAGUAGGACAUAAAUCACCAUGAACAUGAAUAUCAUAGAGGCUAUGUUGAUUUUGUUUCAACUACAUGCGUGAACAUGUGCCAAGUCAAGCCACUUGAAUCAUUCAAAGGAGGAUACCACCCUAUCAUACUACAACACAGUCAUCUCAAAAUUCAUGUGGGCAUCGAAGACAAACCAUUAUAAGCUCCAAGCUAAGUAAGCAUGGCAUAAGCAACUAUGAUCUCUAAGUUGUCAUUGCAAACAUGUUUCUGUCACAACAAAGCUCAAUCAGGCACGAUGAGCUAGUCAUAUUUACAAAAACAAAAUAGAUCGAGUUCAUACCAGCUUUUCCAGGCUCAGUCACUUCAUCAUAUAUCGUCAUUAUUGCCUUUCACUUGCACGACCGAACGAUGUGAACAAUACUAAGAGUGCUCGUGCAUUGGACUACGCUGGAAUCUGUAGGCAAACACAAAGGAGAAGACAAAGUAAUAUGGCUCUUUAACAGAUAAACAGAUAUGCAUGCGAGAGCCACUAAACAUUGUAACCAUGGUCUUCUACCUUGACCCAAAGAAAAAGAAAACUAUUUACACGGGAAAGCUCCCAACAAGCAAAAGAAGAACAAGAAAAUCUUUUUGGGUUUUCUCAAACUAGACAGACACACGAAAAGAAAACGAGAAAAAAGAAAUAAACUAGCAUGGAUGAUACAGUGGCAAAGUGUGAACACCGACAAGCAAAGUGAAAGCAUAAGCAAGAAUGUAAAGUCGGUGAGAAACACGUACUCCCCCAAGCUUAGGCUUUUGGCCUAAGUUGGUCUACUCCCAUGGAGGGAAAUAAACCAGCUCCGGGGUACUCCGGAGUGGAUUGGGGAUGCCACUGUUGUGUGAGCUCCUCUGGCUCCCACUGAUAAACUAGCGUCUGGUACUCGACUGGUGGCUCGGGCACGGGCACCUGUGGUUGGGCUAAGCCCCAAUAUGCGUGUUAGGGCAUAUUUAUGCCUAAGUAAUUUUGGUGAUUGAUGACAGUACCGCAAAGGACUAAUCGUGUGUGUUAAGAUUUCAGAUAACACAUGUCAACGACACAAGACGACUCGCCCCCUCUUUCCAUGGAACAGAAGCAUGGUGUACUCUACGAUUAUCCUUCUUUGAGUCAUAGGAACGUUGUACUAUUAAGAGGGGACCCGUAGUGGAAAGGUUUGGGUGGAAUCAAUUUUGCACGCACACACUUUAUCUCCUUUCCCCUUACCUGCAACUUUGGAGUAGCUCCCACCUCUGUUUUUAUCUCAUCUAAGCAAAAGGUCUCUCAGCGGUAGUACCGCUGUGCCUAGCGGUAGUACCGCUGGGCCUAACGGUAGUACCGCUAGCCCUAGUGGUAGUACUGCUAACUCUAGUAGUAGUACCGCUAGUGCUGGCGGUAGUACCGCUGUGCUGGCGAUAGUACCGCCCCUGGUCAGCGGCAGUACCGCUCCAGGAGCUUAGUACCGCCUUCCUAGCGGCUGUACUUCGUCGGACCUUUUUGCGAAGAAUUUCUUGGCGGUGGUUGGCCCGGUAGUGCUUAUGCACUACCAUGGGCCCAGCGGUAGUACCGCUGCUGCCAGCGGUAGUACCGCUGGAGUGCUAGCGGUAGUACCGCUAGGCUCGGGCUGUGAGUGGGAAAACGGUUGGAUCCCCCCCCCACUAUAUAAGGGGUUCUUCUUGCUUUGGAACCCUACCUUUGACCCUCCCAAGCUCCAUUGUUGCUCCCUAAGCUCAAAAGUGACUGAUCUCUCUCCGUAGCCAAUCAAACUUGUNNNNNNNNNNNNNNNNNNNNNNNNNNNNNNNNNNNNNNNNNNNNNNNNNNNNNNNNNNNNNNNNNNNNNNNNNNNNNNNNNNNNNNNNNNNNNNNNNNNNGUUAUCUCUAACCUUUACUUCAUGUAUGCUUAUGUUGUUGUCUAUCUCUUACUUGUCUUAGUUGUUCUUGUUGGUAGCUUCAUAUAGGUUCACCUUGUUGUUGCUAUUUUAGUGAACCCGUAUGUUGCUUACCCUAACUUGCUAAGAUUAAUUAAAAAGUGGUCGUUGCCUAUCCACCCCCCCCCUCUAGUCAACCAUAUCGAUCCUUUCAAUGCAUAGAUGUCCAAGGGCAUAAUAAUGUACCUGCUUGCAUGAAGAUUGAACAAAGAAGGAGCAGGAAAAGUAAUAGUCUCACGAGUACCCUGACUAAAUACCAGGUUAUAAAUCAUCCUUCUAUUUAUAUCUCUAUCAAGAAAGUCAUGGCGAACCAUGCUAUCGUAAUCUAGAUAUCUCUCGGGAAGAAGAAUCUCUUCUUCCUCGUCCAGUCUAAUAGGUAUCUCAAAGUGUCUAGCAAGACGAGUAGCAUAGAUACCUCCAUAGACAAUGCCUUUAGAACGGUUCGUGUUCAACCAUUGAGCUACUAUAGUGCCCAAGCUAUAAGUUUUAUCAUUAUAAAGGGCUUCGCGCAAGACCGCAAGAUCUGGGGAGCUAAGGGACCCAACUUUCCCACGGCCAAUCAAACAUUUUCCCACAAAUAGUGAGAAGUACCGAAGUACGGGAAAAUGUAUGCUAGCAGCUCUAGGGCAAGACACUCCUCUCUCCUCUCCUACAGCAAUAGUAUCGAUGAAAGCUUCCAAGUCCCGUGGACGAGGUUCAUGAAUAUCCCCAACGUAAGGUAAUUUGCAGACAUUGCAAAAAUCCUAGAGUGACAUGCGCUGGGGGAUAUCAUAAAGUUUGAACUCAACCAUAGGAAGAUUCUUCCUCGGAUAGAAGUUAAAGCUUUAUACGAAGAUAUUAGUGAGGAGGAGGUAUUGCGGACACUUAUCUUCAACGAAGGCGGUAAGGCCUGCGUUUUCCACCAAUUGAUAAAAGUCCUCAUAAAGUCUGGCGGCGCGUAAGAACACAUCGCUUGGCCACUCGCACGCUCGAACUUCUGUGACUCGAGGGACCAGAUACUUGGGCUUCUUCUCACUUCCAUCAUCCUUGGGGUCACGGCUUGAAGAACCUCUUAAGAACCUCCUCAUCUUUUCCCUUUUCUAUCUCUGAAAAUUUCUGAAAUUUUAGUGAUUCUAAGGAAAAGUGAACAAGGCUCAACGAAACUCGUAGCAACUACUCCCACAAGUGCCUAGAGGCCAUAUUACGCAUCAAAACCACUUGGGACCAGCUAAAUUAGCAUGCAAAGCUCAAGAACAUGGUCACCAAGGCAGCAAAAAUACGUGAAGUAUAAGGCACUAGAGCAAAAACUAAUUGGACCAAUGGAGGAGUCACUUACCAAGGAGUAAUUUCCCCAAAACAGUUCGGAGAAUGGUGCUUUGAGCAAAGAGAUCGAAAAUCCCAGCAAGAGGAGCAAGAACAUGGGUUUUAGCUGUGAAACGAUUUUUUCUGGAGGUAGGAGAAUUAGAUGGGAGCUAGAAUGAGUGGAGGGGGUGCACGUGGCCCCCAAAAGCCAGGUAGGCGCGGCCAGGGGGGUGCCCGCGCCUCCAGGGCUUGUGGCCCACUGGUGCAACCCCCAGACUAGCUCUUCGUCUUAGUAUUUUUCAAAAAUUCCAGAAAAAAAAUCAUACUUGAUUUUCAGGACGUUCGGAGAACUUCUAUUUUCGGGGUACUUUUCUACGGGACGCUAAAACAGAAAACAGGGAAAAUAAACUAAACCUAUCAUUUUUCUUCUAAGCAACCGAAGGUGAAAGCUUGGAACAUAGGUUUGUGACUCCUCGAUUCAUCCAUCUCAUGGUCAUCGAAAGAAAUCCGUCAGUGAGGUUGAUCAAGUCUCCUCGACAAACCUUUUCGAAUCGCAAAAGAGAACGGAGAAUUUUCAAACAGUCACUAAGUCACCUCAAUGGGGAUGUGUAUCUCCCCAACAAGCAAAUCAUACUUCAUCUUAAUGGGAGGAAUAGGGCAUUGAAAGCUCCCAAUAAUAAUCGAUGAAGUUUUUUCGAUAGCAUUGAUGUAAUGUACCCGAUAUUGUUUCUUCGGAAAGUGCACCGUAUGCUCAUUACCGUUGUCAUGGAAAGUGACAUUGCCUUUGUUGCAAUCCAUAACAGCCCCUACAGUGUUUAUAAAGGGUCUUCCGAGGAUGACCGCCAUGGCAUCGUCCUCGGGAAUAUCCAGAAUAACAAAGGCUGUUAGGAUAGUGACGUUGGCAACCACAACAGGCACAUCCUCGCAAAUGCUGAUAGGGAAAGCAGUUGAUUUGUCAGCCAUUUGCAGAGAGAUUUCAGUUGGUGUCAACUUAUCAAGUUCAAGUCUACGAUAAAGAGAGAGAGGCAUAACACUAACACCGGCUCCAAGAUCGCAUAAAGCAGUUCUAACAUAGUUUCCUUUAAUGGAGCAAGGUAUAGUGGGCACAUCGGGAUCACCUAGUUUCUUAGGAGUUCCACCCUUGAAGGUAUAGUUAGCAAGCAUGGUGGAUAUCUCAACCUCAGGUAUGAUCCUCUUAUUAGUCACAAUAUCCUUCAUGUACUUAGCAUACGGAGACAUUUUGAGCAUAUCUGUCAAACGCAUCUGCAGAAAGGCAGGUCUAAUCAUUUCAACAAAGCGCUCAAAAUCCUCAUCAUCCUUUUUCUUGGAUGGUUUGGGAGGAAAGGGCAUGGGUUUCUGAACUCAUGGUUCCCUUUCUUUACCGUGCUUCCUAGCAGCGAAGUCAUUCUUAUCGUAUCUUUUAUUCUUAGGCUGUGGGUCAUCAAGAUCAACAGGUUUAGUCUCCACAUCCUUUUCAUUGCUAGGUUGAGCAUCUUCAUGAACAUCACUAUUGAUAUUAUCAUUAGGAUCAUGUUCAUCACUAGAUUGUGUCUCAGCAUCAGAGGCAGAGACAUCAUUUGGACUCUCAGGUGUAGCAGCAACAUGGUUGCUAGCGGGCAGGUUCCUAUCAUCUUUCUUCUUCUUUCUAGGAUGACUAGGUGCAUCAGUGCUAACUCCUUGAGAAUCUUGUUCAAUUCUCUUAGGAUGACCCUCAAGAUACAAAGGUUCGUGGGUCAUUCUACCGCCUCUAGUGACGACUCUGACAGAAUUGUCAUUCAACUCAUUGAGCAAGUCAUUUUGAGCUUUAAGUACUUGUUCUACCUGAGUAGUAACCAUAGAGGCAUGUUUACUCAAGAGCUUAAUAUCAUUGACAAUUCUGUCCACACAAGCACUCAAAUGACUAAGCAUACGAGCAUUCUGUUCCAAUUGUCUGCUAACAUAAUCAUUGAAACUCUGUUGUUUGGCAACAAAGUUAUCAAAUUCAUCCAGGCAUAAACUAGCAGGUUUAUCAAAAGGAAUAUCACUCUCAUCAAACCUACACAGAGGAUUUACUUCUACUACCUGUAUCGGGUUAUCAAGACCAUGGAUCUCUUCGAUAGGUGGUAGAUUUUUGACAUCUUCAGAUUUAAUGCCUUUCUCUUGCAUAGAUUUCUUAGCUUCUUGCAUAUCUUCAGGACCGAGGAAUAGAAUACCUCUUUUCUUUGGAGUUGGCUUAGGAGGUGGUUCGGGAAUAGUCCAAGCAUUCUCAUUGCACAAGAUGUUAUUCAAUAGAAUCUCAACUUGUUCUACGGUUUGUUCCCUAAAAACACAACCAGCACAACUAUCUAGGUGGUCUCUAGAAGCAUCGGUAAGUCCAUUAUAGAAGAUAUCAAGUAUUUCAUUCUUCUCAAGAGGGUGAUCACGCAAAGCAUUCAGUAGUUGGACGAGCCUCCGCCAAGCUUGUGGGAGACUCUCUUCUCCAGCUUGAGCAAAGUUGUAUAUUUCCUGCAAGGCAGCUUGCUUCUUAUGGGCAUGGAAAUAUUUCUCAGAGAAGUAGUAGACCAUAUCCUGGGAGUGAUGACCCACAAUUAUAGGGGAUCAAUCGUAGUCCUUUCGAUAAGUAAGAGUGUCGAACCCAAGGAGGAGCAGAAGGCUCUGAUAAACGGAUUUCAGCAAGGUAAUAACUGCAAGCACUAAAAGUAGCGGUAACAGGUGAUUGUGUAGCGAGGUGAAACGUAGCAAGCAAAGAGUAACAAGUAACAAGUAGUAGCAACAGUGCAGCAAGGGACAAGCCUGAACAAAGUCUUAUAGGAGGAAAAACGCUCCCGAGGACACAUGGGAAUUUCUGUCAUGCUAGUUUCAUCAUGUUCAUAUGAUUCGCGUUUGUUACUUUGAUAGUUUGAUAUGUGGGUGGACCGGCACUUGGGUACUGCCCUUACUUGGACAAGCAUCCCACUUAUGAUUAACCUCUCUGCAAGCAUCCGCAACUACAAAAAAAGAAUUAAGACAAAGUCUAACCAUAUCAUUAAACUAGUGGAUCCAAAUCAGCCCCUCACGAAGCAACGCAUAGACUGGGGUUUAAGCUUCUGUCACUCCAGCAACCCAUCAUCUACUUACUACUUCCCAAUGCCUUCCUCUAGGCCCAAAUAUGGUGAAGUGUUAUGUAGUCGAUGUUCACAUAACACCACUAGAGGAAAAGACAACAUACAACAUAUCAAAAUACCGAACGAAUAUCAAAUUCACGUGACUAUUAUUAACAUGACUUAUCCCAUGUCCUCAGGAACAAAAGUAACUACUCACAAAACAUAAUCGUAAUCAUGAUCAGAGGUGUAAUAAAUAGCAUCAAGGAUCUGAACAUAAACUACAAAGAGUAAUCAACACUACUAGCAACCUUACAAGUACCAAUCGGAGUUGCGAGACGAAGAUUGGUUACAAGAGAUGAACUAGGGAUUGGAGAGCAGAUGGUGCUGAUGAAGAUGUUGAUGAAGAUGCCUCCCCUCCGACGAGAGGAGUGUUGGUGAUGACGAUGGCGACGAUUUCCCCCUCCGGGAGGGAAAUUUCCCUGGCAGGAUCGUCCUGCCGGAGCUCUAGAUUGGAUCUGCUCAAGUUCCGCCUCAUGGCGGCGGCGAAACCACGAAAAAGCUCCCGAUUGAUUUUUCCAGACUAGGAUGCUUCAUAUAUCAAAAGAGGGGGGCUAGUGGGCCUUCAGGCAGCCCACAAGCCUGCCCUGCGCCACCAGGGGGUGUGGUGGCGGUGGGCAAGCUUGUGGGGCCCUCGUGGCCCCCCUCCGGUAGUUCUUUCGCCCAGUAUUUUUAAUAUAUUCCAGAAAAAAUCCACGUAAAUUUUCAGGGCAUUUGGAGAUGUGCAGAAUAUUGAACUAGGAUUUGCUCCUUUUCCAGUUCAAAAUUCGAGCUGCCUGAAUUCUCCCUCUUCAAAUAAACCUUGCAAAAUACGAGAGAAAAGGCAUAAAUAUGGUACCACAAGUAAUAUAACAGCCAAAGAAGCAAUAAAUAUUAACAUGAAAGCAUGAUGCAAAAUGAACGUAUCAACUCCCCCAAGCUUAGACCUCGCUUGUCCUCAAGCGAAAACCAAGUUCCAUAAACAUGUCCACAUGUUGAGGGACGAAGGUGUCGAUAAAACAUAAUACGGACAUGAGGGCAUCAUGAUCACACAUAGAACAGCAAUAUAUCAUAAAGAUUCUUAUGGGAAAGUAACAAUUCCUUCACAAAGCAAAGCAUGAAGCAAAAACCUUACCGAGAAGUAAUCAACAAUAAUCCAUAGUCAUUGAAGCAAUUGCAAUUUAUCACAACAUCAGAAAGAGUCAAAUAAGAGCUUGUAAGGCAAACCCACAUACUCAAUCAUUUGUUUCGUUUUCCACAAUUGUUACAACUCACGUGGUACUCAUGGUGUCAAAGUUGUAGCUGGACACAAAGGAAGAUAGGGGCUUAUAGUUUUGCCUCCCAACGGUUUACCUCAAGGGUAAAGUCAACAACAAUAAAGCAUGAGUACUCAACUCCAAGUUGAUAUAUGAAUAUAGUUCUUUCCCAAGCAUGUGACAGUAACCAAGACAAAGGCAAAAAGGGAAUUGGUGAUGAUCACCAUGACUCUUACAAGGGUAAAAAGUAAAGGUACAAGAUAGGCCCUUCGCAGAGGGAAGCGGAGGUUGGCAUGCGCUUUUGAGGUUUGAAUGCUUGUCCUCUUAGUGCGGAGGAACGUCACUUUAUAUUGCCCCCUGUGACAAAGAACUUUUUUAUGCAGUCUGUCGCUUUUAUGUCUUCCUCAUCACAGGUUCGUACAAAGCUUAUUUUCCACACACUAAUAGAUCAUACAUAUUAGAGAGCAAUUUUUAUUGCUUGCACCGAUGACAACUUACUUGAAGGAUCUUAUUCAAUCCAUAGGUAGGUAUGGUGGACUCUCAUGGCAAAACUGGUUGGAGGUUUAUGGAUGCACAAGUAGUAUCUCUACUUGGUGUGGGAGUUUUGGCUAAUAUGAGGUGGAAGCAAUCGUCACAUGCUAAGGGAUCUCUAAUCAUAUAACAUUGUUUGGAACCAAGCAAACACAAUUCAUUAUGUUGUCUUCCUUGUCCAACAUCUACUCGUAGGCAUGUAAUAGUUUGGUGAGUGCUCACAAUUGUAAAAAGUAUCUAAGAUGAUAUAUUUAUAUGUGAACCUCUCUUUCCUUAUUACUUCUUAUUAAUUGCAACAAUGACUGAGGUCUAUGUUGAUUUAUUCUCAACAAGUUUCAAUCAUCAUACUUGUCCUAAGUGAAGUUAUCACUUUCCAUAAGAUCGUCUGAUGAUCUUUCAUGCUAUCGUUCUUUUCAUACUUUUGAUCAUGGCACAAAGCAAAGCCCUUGACUAAGACACUCUUUAUUAUAUAGCUCGUAAGAUCGAAUACAUCGGGGGAGAGACAAAAGCAAAAGACUCAAACUAAAAACUAAAGACUUAUUCCUCUAAAAGAAGAAAUAAAAACUAAAAAGGAAAGAACUAAAACAAAGGUAAAAGCAAAAGAUAUAAAGGUGAUACGAUACCAGGGCAACUCCCCCAAGCUUGUCAGAAGCCAAGGGGAUUGCCCAUACCAAUGCUUAGUUGUCUUCCUUUGGCGGUGAUGGUGGUGUUGUUGUCGCCUUUGAUUCCAAGAGAGCUAUCAACCUUUGAUUUAUACUGAGAUCCGUGACAUGGUUUUCCAGCAAAACAACUUCACGAGAAAGAGAAAUAUUGCGAGCACGAGUAGUUUCGUGAAACCUCAAGACUUCAAUCAAUGAUGGAGACAACAUGUGGAGGAAGGGUUGGAGAAAGUCUACUCCUUCAAUGUCUUCAAUGUUGAACAUAGGUGGAACUUCCUCCCUAGCUUGGGUUUUCUCCUUAGCUUGGUCCCUGGCUUCUGUAACUUCUACUCUUUUCAGAUCAGCAUCUACUUUCUCAUGAACUUGGUGAAGAUCAUUCUCCCCAACAGAUUCCUGAGACAUCUUUGCUCUAAAUCUGCGGCAGACAACAAGCUCGAAACGAAAACAGAGGAAAACUACGCGAUACGGAGAUCAAAACCUUUGGGCAACUAUAUAUUAUUUUUUCUGGGCCAGAAGGAGUCCUCCGCAAGAAAACGGAGUCCAUGAGGCACACGAGGUGCGCACAAGCUUGCCCACCGCCACCAGGGGUGGUGGCAGAGUGGGCCCUUGUGGCUGCCUCGUUUGCUCUCCGGGCUGCUUCUUAUUUUUCUAAUUUUCCAAAAAAUCCAAAACUGAGGAAAUUUCCUAUUGGAAAAGUAUCGGAGUCCAAUUUCUUGCCAAAACAGAUACAUCUUCGUUUUCAAGGUCUGAAACAGGCUGAUAAACAUCCCUUAUGUACUCCUCUGGAGUUAUGACAUUGAUGAUAUUGGUCUCAACAUUUAUGGGAGUACCAGAGAUGUAAUGCUUGAUUCUUUGCCCAUUUACCACUCUAGGAAAAUUUCCUUCCGUGUUAUUGAUUUUGAUGGCACCGGGAUGAUAUACUUCCUCGACAACAUAGGGGCCUUCCCAUUUAGAGAGAAGCUUGCCUACAAAGAAUCUCAAACGAGAAUUGUAUAGCAAGACAUAAUCACCUACGUUGAACUCUCGUUUCUGUAUUCGUUUGACAUGCCAUCUCUUAACCUUUUCCUUGAACAACCUGGCAUUCUCAUAUGCCUCGGCUCUCCAUUCAUCGAACGAGCUGAUAUCAAACAACCGCUUCUCACCGGCAAGUUUGAAAUCAAAGUUGAGCUCUUUGAUUGCCCAAUAAGCUUUGUAUCCCAGCUUAGAGGUAAAUGACAGGCCUUACCGUAAACCAUUUUAUACGGCGACAUGCCCAUGGGAUUCUUAUAAGCAGUCCUAUAAGCCCAUAGUGCAUCGUCAAGUUUGCUUGACCAGUUCUUUCGAGAUCUAUUGACGGUCUUUUGUAGGAUCAACUUGAUCUCCCUAUUACUCAACUCAAUUUGACCACUGGACUGAGGAUGAUAAGGAGAUGCAACUCUAUGGUUGACAUCAUACUUACCUAGCAUCUUGCGGAAAAUACCAUGAAUGAAGUGUGAACUGCCAUCAGUCAUCAAGUAUCUAGGGACUCCAAAUCUUGGUAAUAUGACUUCUUUAAGCAUCUUAAUAGAGGUGUGGUGAUCAGCAUUUUUAGUGGGGAUAGCUUCUACCCACUUAUUAACGUAAUCCACAACAACUAAGAUGUGAAUGUACCCAUUGGAACUCGGGAAGGGUCCCAUAUAAUCAAAGCCCUAGACAUCAAAUGGUUCAAUGACAAGUGAAUAGUUCAUAGGCAUCUCUUGACGCUUAUUGAUGUUCCCUAUCCUUUGGCAUUCGUCACAAGACAAGACAAACUUACGAGCAUCCUUGAAGAGAGUGGGCCAAUAGAAACCUGAUUGCAAUACCUUGUGGGCAGUUCUAUCUCCAGCGUGGUGUCCUCCAUAGGCUUCGAAAUGACACUUCUGCAGGAUCUGUCCCUAUUCAUGUUCAGGCACACAACGUCUAAUAACACCAUCUACUCCUUCCUUAUAAAGGUGAGGAUCAUCCCAAAAGUAGUGUCUCAAAUCAAAGAAGAAUUUCUUCUUUUGUUGAUAGGUGAAACAGGGUGGUAUGUAUUUGGCUACGAUAUAGUUUGCAUAAUCGGCAUACCACGGUGCAAUAAGUGAAGUGUGGAUGAAAUUUAAUUGCUCAUCAGGAAAGCUGUCAUCAAUAGGUAGUGGGUCAUCAAGGACAUUCUCUAGCCUAGACAAGUUAUCUGUUACAGGGUUAUCAGCACCUUUUCGGUCAACGACGUGCAAAUCAAAUUCCUGUAGCAGGAGAACCCAUCUGAUCAGCCUAGGCUUAGCGUCCUUCUUCUCCAUGAGGUACUUAAUGGCAGCAUGAUCAGAGUGAAUAAUGACUUUGGAGUCAACUAUGUAAGAUCUGAACUUUUCACAUGCAAACACGACUGCUAAAAAUUCCUUCUCCGUAGUGGCAUAGUUUCUUUGAGCACUGUCUAGAGUUUUACUAGCGUAGUGAAUGACAUUCAACUUCUUGUCAACUCUUUGUCCUAGAACAGCACCAACAGCAUAAUCACUAGCGUCACACAUGAUUUCAAAGGGCAAGUUCCAGUCAGGUGGUUGAACAAUAGGUGCGGUUAUCAAAGCCUUCUUAAGUAUUUCGAAAGCUUCCUCACAAUCCUCAUCAAAAACAAAAGGAACAUCCUUCUGCAAGAGGUUGGUAAGAGGCCUAGAAAUCUUAGAGAAGUCUUUAAUAAAUCUUCUAUAUAAACCAGCAUGACCUAGGAAACUUCGUAUACCUAUGAUAUCUGUGGGGCACGGCAUUUUCUCAAUUGCAUCAACCUUAGCCUUAUCAACUUCAAUGCCCCUUUCAGAGAUUUUGUGUCCUAAGACGAUACCUUGAUUAACCAUAAAGUGGCACUUCUCCCAAUUCAAGACGAGGUUGGUUUCUUCAUAUCUCUGUAAGACUCGAUCAAGGUUGCUGAGGCAAUCAUCAAAGGAAGACCCGUAAACGGAGAAGUCAUCCAUGAAAACCUCGACAAUCUUUUCAGAAAAGCCAGAGAAUAUAACCAUCAUACAUCUUUGGAAGGUGGCAGGUGCAUUACAUAAGCCAAAAGGCAUACGUCUAAAGGCAAAGGUACCGAAGGUGUUGGGGAUAUUACCUNNNNNNNNNNNNNNNNNNNNNNNNNNNNNNNNNNNNNNNNNNNNNNNNNNNNNNNNNNNNNNNNNNNNNNNNNNNNNNNNNNNNNNNNNNNNNNNNNNNNUGAAUAGUGACAUCAAUAGGCUCUAUCUCAAUAGGUGCAAUCUCGUCUUUGAUUUCAUCAUAUAAGGAUUGAGGUAUUGCACUAACACUAGCACCCACGACAUAUAAACCAUGAUAACAAUGAUCUCCUAUCUUAACAGAAACAACAGGCGUGCCAACAAUAGGCCUAUGUUUGUCUCUAGCAUGAGGUUUAGCAAUUCUAGCAGCAUCUUCACAGAAGUGAAUAUUAUGUCCCUCAUCAUCGUCGGACAGAAGAUCUUUGAUAAUAGCAAUGCUAGGUUCAACUCUAAUUUGCUCAGGGGGUGUAGGUGUUCUAAUAUAGCCUCUACGUAUCACAGUUGAAGCUUUAGAAUGAUCCUUUAUCCUAACAGGGAAAGGUGGUUUCUCAAUGUAAGCACUGGGAACAACAGGAUCAUUAUAGGCAAUGACUUUCUCUUCAACUGGAGUGGGUUUAACUACAUUGACUUCUAACAGAGGAUGAUAUUUAAACCACGUCUCUUUGGGGAGAUCAAUAUGAGCAGCAAAAUAUUCACACAGUGAAGCUACUAUCUCAGAGUCAAGUCCAUACUUAGCGCUAAAGUCACAAAAAGUAUUUGUUUCAACAAAGGAUUUAACGCAAUAAAACUUGAAAUUCAUACCUGACUCCUUACCUUCUUCAAGCUCCCAAUCUUCAGAGUUGCGUUUAAUUCUCUCCAAUAAAUUCCAUUUUAAGUCAAUAUCUCUGUUCAUAAAAGAACCGGUACAAGAAGUGUCAAGCAUGGUGCGAUCAUCAUGAGAAAGCCGAGCAUAGAAGUUCUGAAUGAUAAUUUCUCUCGAGAGCUCAUGAUUGGGGCAUGAGUAUAACAUUGAUUUAAGCCUCCCCCAAGCUUGAGCGAUGCUUUCUCUGUCACAAGGCCAAAAAUUAUAAAUAUAAUUCCGAUCACGAUGUACUAAAUGCAUACGAUAAAACUUUUGAUGAAAUUCCAAUUUCAACCGAUUGCAGUCCCAUGAUCCAGUAUCAUCACAUAGCCUAUACCAUGUCAACUCCUUAUCCUUCAAAGAUAAAGGAAAGACCUUCUUCUUGACCUCAUCCUCGGGAAAACCUGCAAGCUUAAAUAAACCACAAACUUCAUCUACAUAGAUUAGAUGCAAGUCUGGAUGUGAUGUUCCAUCUCCUGUAAAAGGAUUAGCCAGUAGUUUCUCAAGCAUACCCGAAGGAAAUUCAAAGAAAAUAUUUUCAGUAGGUGCAGCAGGUUGAGGAUCAACUCUCCGUGCUUCCGUUCGAGGUGAAGAUACCCCGAACAAGCCCCUCAAAGGAUUAGUAUCCAUAGUGACAAGUGACAAUAAAUUUCAGCACACUAUAUGAAUGUUUCCUUACCAAGUUCCACUUACCAAAGGCGCUUCACUCCCCGGCAACGGCGCCAGAAAAGAGUCUUGAUGACCCACAAGUAUAGGGGAUCAAUCGUAGUCCUUUCGAUAAGUAAGAGUGUCGAACCCAACGAGGAACAGAAGGAUCUGACAAGUGGUUUUCAGCAAGGUAAAUUCUGCAAGCACUGAAAUUGUCGGUAACAAGUGAUUGUGUGGUGAGAUGAUUCGUAGCAAGCAACAAGUAACAAAAGUAGCAGUGGUGCAGAAAAGUGGCCGAAUCCCUUUUGUAGCAAGGGACAAGCCUGGACAAAGUCUUAUAGGAGGAAAAACACUCCCGAGGACACACGAGAAUUUCUGUCAUGCUAGUUUUCAUCAUGUUCAUAUGAUUCGCGUUCGUUACUUUGAUAGUUUGAUAUGUGGGUCGACCGGCGCUUGGGUACUGCCCUUACUUGGACAAGCAUCCCACUUAUGAUUAACCCCUCUCGCAAGUGCUACGGCAACAAAAGUCCAUCCCUAGCAACGCCAGGAAUUCUUCUUGCUACUUCUCUUGUUCGCGUCGGUUUUUCCCUUGAAGAGGAAAGGGUGAUGCAGCACAGGAGCAGUAAGUAUUUCCCUCAUUUUGAGAACCAAGGUAUCGAUCCAGAAGGAGGGUCUCGUCAAGUCCAGAGUACCUGCGCAAAAACAAACGAACUUGCACCCAACGCUUCAAAGGGGUUAUCAAUACCUCCAAGAUUGUUUGCAAAGUGAGAUCUGAAGGCGGAAAGUGCAACGAAGUAAAAAGUGUAAGGCUGAAAAUAUGGUGUGGAGUAGACCCGGGGGCCAUAGUGUUCACUGGAGGCUUCUCUCAAAAUAGCAAAUAUCACGGUGGGUGAACAAACUACUGUCGAGCAAUUGACAGAACCGCGCAAAGUCAUGACGAUAUCUAAGGCAAUGAUCAUACAUAAAGGCAUCAUGCCCGAGACAAGUAGACCGAUACUUUCUACAUCUACUACUAUUACUCCACACAUCUACUUCUAUCCAGCAUGCAUCUAGUGUAUUGAGUUCAUGACGAAUAGAGUAACGCCUUAAGCAAGAUGACAUGACGUAGAGGGAUAAUCUCAAACCAAUGAUGAAAACCCCAUCUUUUACCCUUGAUGGCAACAACACGAUGCGUGCCUCGCUACCCCUUCUGUCACUGGGUGAGGUCACCGCAUGGUAUGAACCCAAAACCAAGCACUUCUCCCAUUGCACGAAUCAUAGAUCUAGUUGGCCAGACAAAAUCCACAACUCGAAGAGAAUUACAAGGAUAUGAAAUCAUGCAUAAGAGAGAUCAGAAGAAACUCAAAUAAGAUUCAUAGAUAAUCUGAUCAUAAAUCCACAAUUCAUCGGAUCUCGACAAACACACCGCAAAAGAAGAUUACAUCGGAUAGAUCUCCAUGAAGAUCAUGGAGAACUUUGUAUUGAAGAUCCAAGAGAUAGAAGAAGCCAUCUAGUUACUAGCUAUGGACCCGUAGGUCUAUGGUGAACUACUCACACAUCAUCGGAGAGGUCAUGGUGUUGAUGAAGAAGCUCUCCGUAUCCGAAUCCCCCCUUCGGCAGGGCACCAGAACGUGCCCCAGAUGGGAUCUUGCGGAGACAGAAGCUUGCGGCGUCGGAAAAGUGAUUUCGAUGAUCUUCUGAUUUUUUUGGGAUUUUUAGGGAAUAUAUAGGUGCAACCCCUAGGGCAAUGGGCGCCCAGGGGGCCCACAAGCCUGUGGGCCGCGGCCUCCCCCGUGGCCGCGGGGUGAGGGCUUGUGGGUCCCCUGAGGCUCCCCUGCCUUGGCUCUCAAGCUUCCCGAUCUUCUUCCGUUAUGGAAAAAAUCUUUUCGGGGAUUUUCUUCCGUUUGGACUCUGUUUCAAAAUCUCCUCUGAAAGGGGUCAAAAACAUGAAAAAACAGGAACUGGCACUUGGUACUGAGUCAAUAAGUUAGUCCCAAAAAAAUAUAUAAAAGGCAUGCAAAACAUCCAAAGUUUGACAAGAUAAUAGUAUGAAACCAUCAAAAAUUAUAGAUACGUUGGAGACGUAUCAUGUACCGAAUAAGCGAUAAAUAUCAACAUGAAAACAUGAUGCAAAAUGGAGAUAUCAACUCCCCCAAGCUUAGACCUCGCUUGUCCUCAAGCGAAAGCCUAGCUCAAUAAAUAUGUCCACAUGUUUAGGGAGAAAGGUGUCAGCAACACAAGAUACGAACAUGCAUGCAUCAUGAUCAUGAUGAGAACAACAAUACCAACAUAUAAUCUGUCAUGCUAAAGUGAUAAAUGCUUCACAAAGUAAAGCAUGGAUCAAGAACCUUACCGAGAAGUAACAACCGAUAGCCUUUAGUCAUUGAAGCAAUUGCAAUUUAUCACAACAUCAGAAAGAGUAAAAUAAGAGCUUGUAAAGCAAAUCCACAUACUCAAUCUUUCUUUCCUUCUCUACAAUUGCUACAACUCACGUGGUACUCAUGAGAUCAAAGUUUCAGCUGGACACAGAGAAAGAUAGGGGCUUAUAGUUUUGCCUCCCAACUGCUACCUCAAGGGUAAUGUCAACAAUAAUAAUUCAUGAAUACUUACUUCCAAGUUGACAUAUGAAUAUAGAUCUUUCCCAAGCAUAUGGCAUUAGCCAAGAUAAAGGCGGAAUAAGGAAUUGGUGAAGAUCACCAUGACUCUUUCAAGGGCAAAAAGUAAAGGUACAAGAUAGGCCCUUCGCAGAGGGAAGCAGAGGUUGUCAUGCACUUUUGAGGUUUGGAUGCGUGUCCUCUUAGUGCGGAGGAACGUCACUUUAUAUUGCCUCCUGUGAUAAAGAACUUUAUUAUGCAGUCUGUCGCUUUUAUGUCUUCCUCAUCACAAGUUCGUACAAAGCUUAUUUUCCACACACUAAUAGAUCAUACAUAUUAGAGAGCAAUUUUUAUUGCUUGCACCGAUGAAAACUUACUUGAGGGAUCUUAUUCAAUCCAUAGGUAGGUAUGGUGGACUCUCAUGGCAAAAUUGGGUUGAAGGUUUGUGGAUGCACAAGUAGUAUCUCUACUUGGUGCGGGAGUUUUGGCUAAUAUGAGGUGGAAGCAAUUGUCACAUGCUAAGGGAUCUCUAAUCAUAUAACAUUGUUCAGAACCAAGCAAACACAAUUCAUUAUGUUGUCUUCUUCCUUGUCCAACAUCUACUUCUAGGCAUGCAAUAGUUUAGUGAGUGUUCAAAAUCGUAGAUGGUGUCAAAGAUGAUAUAUUUAUAUGUGAACCUCUCAUUCUUUAUCACUUCCUAUUAUUUGCAACCAUGACCAAGGUUAUGUGAAACCAUCACUUCCCAUAAGAUCAUUACAUGAUCUUUCAUGCUUUUGUUCUUUCUCAAUCUAUUGAUCAUGGCAUGAGGCAAAGCCCUUCCACUAAGACACUCUUUAUUAUAUGGCUCACGAGCUCGAAUACAUCGGGGGUGACACAAAGCAGAACUCAAGACUAAAAACACUAAGACUUUUAAUCUACUAGAGAAGAGAAAACUGAAAAGGAAAACUAAAACAAAGGUAAAGGCAAAAGAUGUGAUGGUGAUACGAUACCGGGGCAACUCCCCCAAGCUUGGCACAAGCCAAGGGGAUUGCCCAUACCCAUGCUCAGUUGUCUUCCUUUGGUGGUGAUGGUGGUGGAGCUGUUGCAACAUGGGCUUGAUCCUCCAUCUUCCAAGGCAUAGGUGCUCCAUCAUGGAAAGAUGAAUUGAUCAAUCCUGUCAUAGAUCCUGGAGAGGUGCUUCCCAAUAUCAUUGGCAUCAAUCAUGUGCUUGUUGGUGAACUCCAUGAUCAUCAUGUGGUUGGCGUUGAGUCCACGCUCCACCAUCCCUUGGCACUUGAAAACUUGUUGCUCCAUUGCUUCGAGCCUCGUCUCCACGCUCCCAGCUUCUUGGGACCCUCAACAUCACGGAUGUGCAACAUCCCCUCACGCAUCUCGAUAGAUUGAGGGUGUUGCAGCACUCCCGUGAGGUAGGGGUUGAUGACCUUCUCGAAGAUAUUGUCAUUCGAAGCUUUUGGGGAUGUCAUAGCGAUCUAGAUCUGCAACAGAAAUAGGCUCGAAAUGAAAAUAGAGGAAAUCUGCGUGAUACGAGGGUUAGACCAAACGGCAGAAUAUAUAAUGAUUUUUUCCAGACCAGAAGGAGUGCUCCGCACAAAAACGGAGUCCGGGAGGCGCACGAGGUGGCCACAAGCCCCCCAAGCGCGACCAGGGGGUGGGCCCGCGCCUGGCAGGCUUGUCGCCUCCUCGCGCACUUUCCGUACUACUUCCAAUUUUUGUAUUUUUUUCAAAAAUUCCAAAACGGAGAAAAAUUCCUACUGGAAAAGUUUUGGACUCUGUUUUCUUACCGAAUCACAUAUCUCUUCGUUUUCGGAGUCUGAAACGGGCUGAUAAAUAUCCCUUAGGUAUUCUUCUGGAGUUAUGGUAUUGAUAAUAUUUCUUUCAACAUUUAUGGGAGUACCUAAGAUAUAAUGCUUGAUUCUCUGCCCAUUUACCACUCUCGGACAAUUACCUUCCAUGUUGUUGAUCUUGAUAGCAACGGAACGAUAUACUUCCUCAACAACAUAGGGACCUUCCCAUUUAGAGAGAAGCUUGCCUGCAAAGAAUCUUAAACGAGAGUUAUAUAGCAAGACAUAAUCACCUACAUUGAACUCACGCUUUUGUAUCCUCUUAUCAUGCCACCUCUUAACCUUUUCUUUGAACAGAUUGGUAUUCUCAUAUGCCCGAGUUCUCCAUUCAUCAAGCGAGCUAAUAUCAAAUAACCUCUUCUCACCGGCAAGUUUGAAAUCAAAGUUGAGCUCUUUGAUUGCCCAAUAAGCUUUAUGCUCUAGCUCAAGAGGUAAAUGGCAUGCUUUACCAUACACCAUUUUGUAUGGAGACAUGCCCAUGGGAUUCUUAUAGGCAGUCCUAUAAGCCCACAGUGCAUCAUCGAGCUUCUUAGACCAAUUCUUUCUAGACCUGUUGACAGUGUUUUGCAGAAUUAGUUUAAUCUCUCUCUUGCUUAGCUCUACUUGACCACUGGACUGAGGGUGAUAGGGAGAUGCAAUUCUAUGGUUGACAUCGUACUUAGCAAGCGUUUUACGGAAAGCACCAUGAAUGAAAUGUGAACCACCACGGUCAUUAGAUAUCUAGGGACUCCAAAUCUAGGGAAAAUAACUUCUUUAAGCAUCCUGAUAGAGGUGUUGUGAUCAGCACUACUAGUGGGGAUAGCUUCUACCCAUUUAGUGACGCAAUCAACAUCAACUAGGAUAUGAGUAUACCCGUUGGAUUUUGGAAAAGGUCCCAUAUAAUCAAAAACCCAAACAUCAAAUGGUUCAAUGACAAGUGAAUAGUUCAUAGGCAUUUCCUGACGUUUGCUAAUAUUACCUAUUAUUUGACAUUCGUCACAAGACAAGACAUACUUACGGGCAUCCUUGAAGAGUGGGCCAAUAGAAACCUGAUUGCAAUACCUUGUGUGUAGUUCUAUCUCCUGCAUGGUGUCCUCCGUAGGCCUCGGAAUGACACUUCUGUAAGAUCUAUCCAUGUUCAUGUUCAGGUACACAAUGUCUAAUAACACCAUCUACCCCUUCCUUAUAAAUGUGAGGAUCAUCCCAAAAGUAGUGUCUCAAGUCAAAGAAGAAUUUCUUCUUUUGCUGGUAUGUGAAACUAGGUGGUAUAUAUUUGGCAACGAUAUAGUUUGCAUAAUCAGCAUACCACGGUGCACUACGUGAAGCAUUGAUGACAUUCAAUUGCUCAUCGGGAAAGCUAUCAUCAAUAGGUUGUGGGUCAUCAAGAAUGUUCUCUAACCUAGACAAGUUAUCUGCUACGGGGUUAUCAGCACCCUUUCUGUCGACAACGUGCAAAUCAAACUCUUGUAGCAAGAGAACCCAUCUGAUAAGUCUAGGUUUAGCGUCCUUCUUCUCCAUGAGGUACUUAAUAGCAGCAUGAUCAGUGUGAAUAGUAACUUUGGAAUCAACUAUGUAAGACCUGAACUUUUCACAUGCAAACACGACUGCUAAAAAUUCCUUCUACGUAGUAGCAUAGUUUCUUUGGGCAGUGUCUAGAGUUUUACUAGCAUAGUGAAUAACAUUCAACUUCUUGUCAACUCUUUGCCCUAGAACAACACCAAUAGCAUAAUCACCAGCGUCACACAUGAUCUCAAAAGGUAAGUUCCAAUCAGGUGGUUGAAUAAUAGGUGUAGUUAUCAAAGCCCUCUUAAGUAUUUCAAAGGCUUCCUCACAAUCAUCGUCAAAAACAAAAGGAAUAUCCUUUUGCAAGAGAUUGAUAAGAGGCCUAGAAAUCUUAGAGAAGUCUUUAAUGAACCUUCUAUAGAAACCAACAUGACCAAGGAAACUUCUUAUACCUUUGAUAUCUAUGGGGUAUGGCAUUUUCUCGAUUGCAUCAACCUUAGCCUUAUAGACUUCAAUACCUCUUUCAGAAAUUUUAUGUCCUAAGACGAUGCCUUCAUUAAGCAUAAAGUGGCACUUCUCCCAAUUCAAGACAAGAUUGGUGUCUUUACAUCUCUGCAAGACUCGAUCAAGGUUGUUGAGGCAAUCAUCAAAAGAAGACCCGUAAACGGAGAAGUCAUCCAUGAAAACCUCAACAAUCUUUUCACAAAAGUCAGAGAAUAUAGCCAUCAUACAUCUUUGAAAGGUGGCAGGUGUAUUACAUAAGCCAAAAGGCAUACAUCUAUAAGCAAAGGUACCGAAAGGGCAGGUGAAAGUGGUUUUCUCCUCAUCAGAUUGAGCAACUGGUAUUUGGGAGAAACCAGAAUAACCGUCUAGAAAGCAAAAGUGUGUGUGUUUAGACAGUCUUUUUAGCAUUUGGUCGAUAAAAGGGAGAGGGUAAUGAUCUUUCCUAGUGGCCUUAUUCAAUUUCCUAAAAUCGAUCACCAUCCUAUAGCCAGUAAUAAUCCUUUGUGGGAUCAAUUCAUCCUUAUCAUUAGGGACAAUGGUAAUGCCUCCCUUCUUAGGGACGCAAUGCACCAGACUCACCCAAUCGCUAGGAUCAACAGGAUAGAUAAUACCUGCUUCCACUAGCUUUAGUAUUUAUUUUCUUACUACUUCUUUCAUCUUAGGAUUCAAUCUCCUUUGAUGAUUAGCUACUGGUUUGAGAUCAGAAUCGGUUUUAAUCUUGUGCUGGCAUAGAGUGGGACUAAUGCCCUUAAGAUCAUCAAGAGUAUAUCCAAUAGCAGCACAGUGCUUCCUCAGAGUUUUUAGUAACUUCUUUUCUUCAUGCUCCGAGAGGCUAGCACUAAUAAUAAUAGGAUAUAUCUCUUUUUCAUCAAGAUAAGCAUACUUAAGAGUAUCAGGCAACUGUUUAAGCUCGAACAUAGGAUCACCCUUUGGUGGGGGUGGAUCCCCAAGCAGUUCAACAGGCAAAUUAUUCUUAAGGAUAGGAUAUUGUUCUAAGACAACUCUAUCUAUCUCAUCCCUUUCAUCAAUAUGCAUAUCAUUUUCAUGCUCAAGCAAGUAUUGCUCUAAGGGAUCAGUAGGAGGCACGGCAAUAGAAGCUAAGGCAAUAGUUUCAUCCUUACUAGGCAACUCUUUUUCAUGAGGUUGUCUACCAAACUUGGAGAAAUUGAACUCAUGUGACACACCUUCAAAGCCAACAGUGACAGUUUGCUUUUCAGAAUCAAUAUGAGCAUUGAUGGUAUUGAGAAAAGGUCUGCCAAAUAUGAUGGGACAAAAGCUAUCUUGUGCGGUAGCAAGAACGAGGAAAUUAGCAGGAUACUUCGUUUUACCACACAAGACUUCAACAUCCCUAACAAUUCCCACAUGGCAGAUAGUAUCUCUAUUGGCAAGCNNNNNNNNNNNNNNNNNNNNNNNNNNNNNNNNNNNNNNNNNNNNNNNNNNNNNNNNNNNNNNNNNNNNNNNNNNNNNNNNNNNNNNNNNNNNNNNNNNNNGCUUGUGUGCCAUGUGCCUUCAAAAUGCUUGCAUCUUCGCUUGCUAAGAAUCUAGUGGCAUGGAUCCUCAUCCACUUGCUAAUAUUUUCAAGAGGUCCAACUAUGUUGAACCAACUGCUAGUGAGUCUUGCUUACUAGAUUAUUUUUAUGGAGUUUGGCUUGAGAUGCGUGAAUCUGAAAAUCGUGAUGAAUAAAUUUAUGAAGUGAUUCACGAGGGCUCCUUGAAUGAAAAGCAUGAUUGCAAUGGCUUCACUAUAAAUUCUAUUAGUGACAAUCAUGCUAAAAAUAUGCAAAACCCUAAGCUUGGGGAUGCNNNNNNNNNNNNNNNNNNNNNNNNNNNNNNNNNNNNNNNNNNNNNNNNNNNNNNNNNNNNNNNNNNNNNNNNNNNNNNNNNNNNNNNNNNNNNNNNNNNNNNNNNNNNNNNNNNNNNNNNNNNNNNNNNNNNNNNNNNNNNNNNNNNNNNNNNNNNNNNNNNNNNNNNNNNNNNNNNNNNNNNNNNNNNNNNNNNNNNUUUUUCUUAUGAUCUUGAAAUUUUUUUAAGCCUCAUGAUGAGUAUGAUAUUUGCAACAAUAUUGAAAGUGGGAUUGGAGAAGUCAUGACUUUAUUUGAUGUUAAUCCCACUAUUUUUGAAGAGCGUCNNNNNNNNNNNNNNNNNNNNNNNNNNNNNNNNNNNNNNNNNNNNNNNNNNNNNNNNNNNNNNNNNNNNNNNNNNNNNNNNNNNNNNNNNNNNNNNNNNNNNNNNNNNNNNNNNNNNNNNNNNNNNNNNNNNNNNNNNNNNNNNNNNNNNNNNNNNNNNNNNNNNNNNNNNNNNNNNNNNNNNNNNNNNNNNNNNNNNNNNNNNNNNNNNNNNNNNNNNNNNNNNNNNNNNNNNNNNNNNNNNNNNNNNNNNNNNNNNNNNNNNNNNNNNNNNNNNNNNNNNNNNNNNNNNNNNNNNNNNNNNNNNNNNNNNNNNNNNNNNNNNNNNNNNNNNNNNNNNNNNNNNNNNNNNNNNNNNNNNNNNNNNNUAUAAAAUGCCUAUGCAUAGGAAGUAUGUUAGACUUAGAUGUGAUUUUCACAUGCUCUAUGAUGCUCUCGUUGUGCUUCAAUUCUUGUCUUUUGUGCGAGCAUCAUUGAAAUCCUUAUGCCUAGCUAAGGGNNNNNNNNNNNNNNNNNNNNNNNNNNNNNNNNNNNNNNNNNNNNNNNNNNNNNNNNNNNNNNNNNNNNNNNNNNNNNNNNNNNNNNNNNNNNNNNNNNNNUAGGUGGGAGGGAGGGGACCUUGCCUUGGGGCUCAAGGAGCCCCAAGGGGGUCGGCCGAGUCCAAGGGGGGAGGACUCCCCCCCCCAAACCGAGUUGGACUUGGUUUGGUGGGAGGGAGUCCCCCUUCCUUCCCACCUCCUCCUUUUUUUUCUCUCUUGAUUUUCUCUUCUUGGCGCAUAGAGCCCUUUUGGGCUGUCCCACCAGCCCACUAAGGGCUGGUGUGCCACCCUCAAGGCCUAUGGGCUUCCCGGGGGUGGGUUGCCCCCCCCGGUGAACUCCCGGAACCCAUUCGUCAUUCCCGGUACAUUCCCGGUAACUCCGAAAACCUUCCGGUAAUCAAAUGAGGUCAUCCUAUAUAUCAAUCUUCGUUUCCGGACCAUUCCGGAAACCCUCGUGACGUCCGUGAUCUCAUCCGGGACUCCGAACAACAUUCGGUAACCAACCAUAUAACUCUAAUACGCAUAAAACAACGUCGAACCUUAAGUUUGCAGACCCUGCGGGUUNNNNNNNNNNNNNNNNNNNNNNNNNNNNNNNNNNNNNNNNNNNNNNNNNNNNNNNNNNNNNNNNNNNNNNNNNNNNNNNNNNNNNNNNNNNNNNNNNNNNAGUUGGCGCCCACCGUGGGGCCUACGCACGGUGGAGUUGAGUUCUCAAAGGGAGCCCUACCAGGGUUUGCGAGUUACGCGACGGGGCUCAUGACUCGGAGCCGCCGCGGGAAGAUCUACAUCGACAACCAGCAAUGGGGGCCCGAAGCGGACUCGAUCGAAUCUGGUUACAGGGUCCCCUUCGGCAAGAUCAACAUCUUCAUCGGCAUGAUCAGAUCAUCCGUGCCUGAGCCGGACAUCACCACCGACAUCGGCGAGCCGGCCAGGUACGUCUGCCCAGUGGUGACGCCGAAUCUGACUCGCCCGGUUUUUGUUGGGUUCACGCAGGGAUCACAGGAGCCAGAACGUUCGGCGACCCAGGAAACUACGCCAGUCAACUCUGAUGACGAAUCAUCCAUGGGCGAUUCAGAUUCAAUCCAGUCUCUACAUGGGGAUUAUCUUGGGGGCUUGUCGCUAGCCAUGGACCCCGAAGUCCUUGACCGAACCCGCUGCCAGAUCGCAUUUAUAUGGCAGGGGCGACUCAGCCUUCGCAAAACCCUACGGGAGGCGAUGGAACCGGCGAGACGUUUAGAAGCCCGGCCGCUGUCCUGGUGGAAUUAGCGGCGGAGGUCACAAGGCUGAUGGCAACUCCCCUCACACCAGAAAACCAGGAAGGGAUAAAUGUGGAGCUGGCAAAACUUAGAGAGGUAGUGGCAAAGGCUCAUCGGUAUGCCGAAGUGGAGUCCGCCAGUAUCGAGACUCGGCACGCUCAAAUGGCGGCCGAAAGGAUGCGCUUAAAUACUGACAACUGGCGGCUCGAAAGACACCAGCGUGCAUCCGACGCCGUCCAUCAACGGAGACACCAAGGUCGCCUGCCCCAUGAUCUCAACCCGACCCGCCUGUUCGACACUCCCNNNNNNNNNNNNNNNNNNNNNNNNNNNNNNNNNNNNNNNNNNNNNNNNNNNNNNNNNNNNNNNNNNNNNNNNNNNNNNNNNNNNNNNNNNNNNNNNNNNNNNNNNNNNNNNNNNNNNNNNNNNNNNNNNNNGUUCGACACUCCACGAACCCCGAGGGCGGGAGCCGCCCCAGGGGGAGGGCCGGGUCAACCGCCUAACCCACCGGUUCAGACGGCUGAGGAUCGCAUCCCCCGAUUCUGGACGCCUCAAGGACACUUUUCCAACCCGGUGGACAACGUCCUUGUUGCAACUCGCCAUUUGGAGUCUCUCCCGAUUCACGACAACACCCCUGCCGAGAUAGAGGCAAGUAACGCCAUUGAGAUGUUGAAGACGGCGGUGGUUCAAAAUGCCCAGUUCUCACAUAGCCUAGAUAGGCUGCAUUCCACCCCCCAGGCAAGUUACACCAGGAGUCGGCCGGAGGACCAGCCCGCCGUGAAUAGCGGGCCGCGACACGUCCCUCAGGACAACCCGCCUGAUCAUCAGAACCCGCCGGGCCGGGAUCUCCUAAAAACCCAAGUCGCCCCGGCCCUUCUCGUCGGGAGCGGUGGGCGAGUGGGGGUGCCAUGCUUGGCCCCCGCCCUUCAUAACGAAAGGAUGCCCAAAGAUUUUAAGGGACCAAGAAAGGUGCCUAACUACACCCCGGACCUUGAGCCGGCAUCGUGGGUCCAGAGUUAUGAAAUCGCCAUGGACAUGCUCGAUGUAAACGAGGCAGUUUGCACCAGGUACUUCACGAUGAUGCUCGAGGGGUCAGCACGUACUUGGUUGAAAAACUUACCCCCCAACUCCAUCCAGACCUAGGCCGAGUUGAAAGAGCGAUUCAUCAAGAACUUCCGUGGAACUUGCAAACAUCCGAUGACGAUCGUCGAUCUGCAGCAUUGCGUUCAGCGCCCUAAUGAGUCGGCCCAGCAUUGGUCACGGCGGGUUGCGGAAAUUAUCCAUUCGUGAGACGGUAUUACGGCGGCUCAGGCUAUGUCGAUCCUCGAGCAGAAUUGCCACUAUGAACCCUUGGUGCAAAAAUUAGGGCGACUCAAGCGAAAGGUCCAAGACAUGGGAGAACUGAUGGACACCCGCACUAGGUACGCUGAAGCGGAUGACACCAAAGAUCCUGGCAAGGGCGGUAAGGCCAAUUCGCCCAAGAAGGGCGAGUCAUCCAAAAAUCAUACCCGGUUCCAGGGACGUAAUCGCCACAAUCAAGGAGCCAAUGGCAAGCGAAGACCGCAAGAGGAGCCCUCGUAUUUAGUCGCCAACACCAACGCCAACACUGGCAACCAACGCCAGAAGAAAAACAGGGGCUUUAGCGGGAAGAGGUCGCGUAACUAUGAAGAGCUACUCAAAGGCCCUUGCCCGCACCAUGCCACGGCGGACGGUCCAACGACUCACUCCUGGGAGAACUGCUUCGUGAUGCGGGAGUUUCGGGCGGAGGCGAUCAAGAAAAGCCAAAGCGAUGACCCGAACCAACGCCAGGAGCAGUUCGCCGCACCCAACCAACGAAAGAACCCCUUCGGCGGUUUUCCUGAACAGGGGCCUCAGGGAGGCCCACAGCCAAGCAGCGGCCAGUAUCCGGUACAUCAUCAGCGGCGGUAUAACCCGCCAGGAGCCUUUCAACAGCCGCCCCCACAGGGGGCUCCGCAAGGCCAGGAUGACAACGGAGGUUUCCGCAGCAAUCCCAAACAGUUAAGCAAUGGGCAGUAUCACGUUUUCACCACCAACGCUUGCAGACGUGAUAAGAAGGUGAGUCACCGGGCGUACAGUGUGUCUGAGCCGGCCCUUCCCAGGUACCUCCACUGGUCUGAACAGACCAUAUCGUGGAGUAAGGAGGAUCACCCGCCAAGAGUUGACAAUCCGGGCGAUUUAGCGUUGGUUGUGGAUCCCCAAGUUGGGGGCUACACCCUGUCCAAAGUGCUAAUGGAUGGUGGCAGCAACAUUAAUAUCUUAUACUUUGACACUUUCCGAAGGAUGAACCUAUUGGAAAAGGACCUGAUGCCUUCAACCACGGUUUUCCACGGAAUUGUCCCGGGCAAGUCGGCCUACCCCAUAGGCCGAGUCAGACUCACAGUAGCGUUUGGAACGGCGCAGAAUUACAGGUCCAAGUCACUGAUAUUCGAGGUGGUCAAAUUGAAAAGCCCCUACCAUGCGUUAUUUGGGCGGCCGGCUUACGCCCGCUUCAUGGCUCGCCCAUGCUAUGUUUACCUUAAGCUCAAGAUGCCCGGUCCCAAGGGACCCAUCACAGUCGAAGGGGAUAGAAGGAUUGCAAAGGAAUGUGAAUAAGGGGAAGCGGCUUAUGCGCAAGUCGUCUGCGCUGCGGAGGAGCUCAAACACCAUCGGGCCAAUUUUGACCCGGCAGACAUGUCACCCCAGAAGAAGCCAACGACAGAUGCUGAGUCGCCCCUCAAGUUCAAACCAACGGAUGACACUAAAACAAUCGAUUUCGUUCCCGGCGACUCAUCCAAGCAGUUCACCAUCGGGACGGGUCUGGACCCCAAAUAGGAAAGCGCGCUCAUCGAAUUCAUCCGUGAGAAUCGGGAUAUCUUCGCAUGGAAACCCUCUGACAUGCCUGGUGUGCCGAGAUAAUUCGCUGAGCACCAUCUUAAUGUUGACCCGAAGGCAAAACCUAUUCAGCAGUAUCUUCGCAGGUUUAACGAGGAACGACACAAGGCGAUCGGGGAAGAAGUCGCCCGUCUCUUAGCGGCCGGAUUCAUCGUGGAAGUUUUUCAUCCCAAAUGGUUGGCUAACCCGGUUUUGGUACUCAAGAAGAAUGGUACCUUCCGUAUGUGUAUUGAUUACACGGACCUCAACAGGGCUUGUCCGAAAGAUCCCUUCGCUCUUCCCCGCAUCGACCAGAUCAUUGACUCGGUGGCGGGAUGCGAUCGAUUGUGCUUUUUGGACGCCUAGUCAGGAUAUCACCAGAUCAAGAUGGCCGUGGAGGAUCAGGAGAAAAUAGCUUUUAUAACCCCCUUUGGGGCCUUUUGCUAUGUGUCCAUGCCUUUUGGGCUCAAGAGUGAGGGGGCGACUUAUCAGCGCUGCAUCCAGAAUUGCCUUCACAACCAAAUCGGUCGCAACGUCCACCCCUAUGUCGACGAUAUUCUGAUCAAAACCCGCCAGGGGGAGACGCUACUGGAGGAUCUCAAAGAAACUGUCGAUAAUUUGCGGGUAUAUCAGAUGAAGUUGAAUCCCACCAAGUGUGUUUUUGGUGUUCCUGCAGGGAAAUUGUUGGGCUUCCUGGUGUCGGAGCGUGGCAUUGAAGCUAACCCGGACAAAAUCGAAGCAGUUACAUCCCUUGGAAAGCAGGCAAACGUUAAUCAAGUUCAACGACUGGCGGGUCGCAUUGCGGCUCUGAGUCGCUUUGUAAGUCGCCUGGGUGAAAAGGUGAUUCCUCUUUAUCAGUUACUAAAGAAAUCUGACCGGUUCGUUUGGACAAACGAGGCAGACGAAGCACUCGAAGCUUUGAAACGGCAAUUGGUUAACCCGCCGGUCCUGGCCGCCCCGGUCGAAAAGGAGCCCAUGCUUCUGUAUAUUGCGGCAAAUUCAAAAGCAGUAAGUGUGGCAGUGGUUUUUGAAAGAAAGGAGGAAGGGAAGGAGUACCCAGUGCAACGCCCGGUAUAUUUUAUCAGCGAGGUGCUAACCCUUUCCAAGCAACGUUACCCACACUGGCAGAAGUUAGUGUAUGGGGUGUUUAUGGCGAGUCGGAAACUUAAGCAUUAUUUCCAAGAACACCCUAUCACAGUGGUUAGCUCUGCUCCCCUUGGGAACAUCAUCCAGAAUCGGGAGGCAACAGGACGGAUAGCCAAGUGGGCGAUUGAACUUGGGCCGCAUCACGUGCAGUACACCCCCCGCACAGCCAUCAAGUCUCAGGCUUUAGUUGAUUUCGUCAAUGACUGGAAGGAGUUGCAGGCUCCGGAAGACAGGCCUGAUCUCACUUACUGGACUAUUUAUUUUGAUGGAUCUAGACAGCGGGAAGGCUCGGGGGCUGGUGUGGUAUUGGUGUCCCCUCAAGGAGAUAAAUUUUGUUAUGUUCUCCGACUCAUGUUUCCAUGCACUAACAAUGCUGCAGAAUACGAAGCUUUGCUUCACGGCUUGCGACUCACCAAAGAGAUGAAUCUAACACGAGUCAGUGUUUUGGCGACUCUGAUUUGGUGGCGCAGCAAGUUUCGGGUACCUGGGAUUCUCGGGACCCCAUGAUGGCGGCUUACAGAAGAGCUGUGUCUGACGUGGCGGGUCAUUUUCAUGGUUAUCAGGUGGACCACAUUGAUCGGCGCCUCAACGAGGCGGCUGACGCCCUUUCACGGCUUGGUUCCCAGCGAAAGCCAAUUCCUCCCAAUGUUUUUCUGGACAUUUUGCAUAAACCAUUUGUGAUUUUACCAUCGGAGGAGGAGUUGGCAAUACCGGAUCCUGAGUCUCAGCUUGUGGCGGCUCUCCACGUUACGCCGGAUUGGGUUCUUCCUUAUCUGGCUUAUCUCGCCCGGGGCGAGUUACCAACAGACGAAGUUUCGGCUCGUCAGAUCGUUCGGCGCAGCAAAUCCAUGGUGAUCAUCAAUGGCGAGUUAUAUAAACGAAGCGCCUCUGGAGUCUUUCAGCGAUGCGUUUCCUCCGAAGAAGGAUGCAUAAUCUUAAAUGACAUUCAUUCCGGAGACUGUGGGCAUCAUGUCGGGUCACGCUCUUUGGUGUCAAAAGCUUUCCGUCAUGGAUUCUUCUGGCUGACGGCUCAUGCAGAUGCAGAGGAUAUAGUUCGUCGGUGCGAGGGAUGCCAGUGUUAUGGACGACAGGCUCAUGUUCCGGCUCAAGAAUUAAGAAUGAUUCCCAUCACUUGGCCUUUUGCAGUCUGGGGGUUAGACAUGGUCGGCCCCUUUAAAAUGUCAUCCAAUAAGAAAACCCAUUUGCUGGUGGCGGUUGAUAAGUUCACCAAGUUGGUUGAGGCGGAGCCUGUUGGAAGUUGCGAUGCGGAGACAGCGGUCAAGUUCUUGAAGAAGCUGAUCUUCCGGUUUGGAUAUCCACAUAGUAUCAUUACUGAUAAUGGUACUAACCUGUCCCAAGGGGCGAUGCAGGAGUUUUGGCGUCGAGAGCAUAUCCGGCUUGAUGUUUCUACGGUCGCUCACCCACAAUCUAAUGGGCAGGCGGAACGGGCGAAUCAGGAGGUCUUACGAGGAAUUAAGCCCCGACUCAUGGUUCCCGUGGAGAAAACCCCAGGAUGUUGGGUCGAAGAAUUGCCUUCGGUACUGCGGAGUAUCCGGACCACCCCGAACCGGUCCACGGGUUUUACCCCUUUCUUUUUGGUCUACGGAGCAGAGGUCGUUCUUCCUACUGACAUAAGGCAUGAUUCGCCUAGAGUCGCCGCAUAUGUGGAGCAAGACAAUGAUCUGGCGCGUCAAGAUUCCUUGGACGCCUUAGAAGAAGCACGUGACCUGGCUGCGGCCCGUUCGGCCAUCUAUCAACAGGAUCUACGGCGUUAUCACAACCGUCGGGUUAAGAGCCGGAUCUUUCAGGAAGGCGACUUAGUUCUUCGGUUGAUACAAGAUCGUGCUGGCAUGCAUAAGUUGUCAUCACCAUGGGAAGGACCGUUCGUCGUCAGCAAGAAUCUUCGCAACGGCUCUUAUUAUCUGGUGGAUCUUCGGCCUAACCGGCCAACCACGGAGGUUGAGUCAACUCGCCCUUGGAAUAUUGCCCACUUGCUGCCUUAUUACACUUGAGCUCUUAAGCUCUGCAUUUUGUAAGUUUUUCAGUUUAUUUAUGAAGUAAUAAAAUUAAAAUGCUUCCCGACUUGGGGGCUUCUUCAUCAAUUUUGUCAUCCUGUUGCGACCUUAUGAGCCGACAGAACUAUCAUCUUAGGGUGGCGCUUGAGCUUUCUGACUNNNNNNNNNNNNNNNNNNNNNNNNNNNNNNNNNNNNNNNNNNNNNNNNNNNNNNNNNNNNNNNNNNNNNNNNNNNNNNNNNNNNNNNNNNNNNNNNNNNNUAGCAUGGAUAAUAAACUAUUAUCUUGAUACAUGAAUUAUAAUAAUAACUUCAUUUAUCAUUGCCUCUAGGGCAUAAUUCCAAUAGAGUGUACUUGGCUUGUUUGAUGAAGGUCCCUUCUAGGCCUUGUUUAAUCUCGAAUCCGAGGAAGAACUUCAACUCUCCCAUCAUGGACAUCUCAAAUUUCUCGGUCGUUAGUGCAGCAAAUUCUUCAUGGAAGGAAAUGUUAGGAGAACCAAAAAUGAUAUCAUCAACAUAUACUUGGCAUAUGAAUAAAUCCCCUUUAACCCGCUUAGUAAAAAGAGUGGGAUCUAUCUUCCCAAUUUCAAACCCACGAUCUUGUAACAACUCAGUAAGAUACUCAUACCACGCACGUGGGGCUUGUUUAAGGCCAUAGAGUGCCUUAUUAAGUUUGUACACAUGAUUGGGGAGCUUGGGAUGUUCGAAUCCCGGGGGUUGUUUGACAUAGACCAACUCAUUUAAAGGACCAUUAAGAAAAGCACUUUUCACAUCCAUUUGCUGUAAUUUGAAAUUAUGAUGAGAAGCAAAUGCAAGCAACAUGCGAAUAGAUUCUAGAUGAGCAACAGGGGCAAAGGUUUCACCGUAGUCGAUACCCUCGACUUGGGAGUAGCCUUGAUCCACCAAUCUUGCCUUGUUUCAAAUCACAAUCCCAUUGGCAUCUUGCUUGUUUUUUAAAAUCCAUUUGGUCCCGAUGACAUUAUGUUCCUCCUUUGGUCUUGGCACUAAAUCCCAGACUUGGUUACGCUUGAAUUUGUUAAGUUCUUCAUGCAUGGCCAUAAGCCAAUCCUCAUCAUCGAGCGCUUCAUGUACCUAUUGAGGUUCACAAUACGAAACAAACGCGUGAUGCUCACAAUAAUUCCAAAUCUGUUGACGGGUGGAUACUCCCUUUUUUAAACUGCCAAGUACAUUCUUCAUAAGAUGUGACUUGACUCUCAGCUUGUUCGCAAUCUUGGCUGCUCGACGCUCCAAGAGUUCUUCAUUGGAUAACUGGGGAGCAUCGACUUGUUUACUUUGCUUGCCCUUGCGUCUUGAACCUCCCUUGGCACCGGCUGUUGGUGCUGCAGAAGGGAAUUGCGAGAUAGUAUCCUGAUCAUCUUGACUUUCGACUUGAGCAGGUUCACUUGUUUGUCCUUGUACUUGUGGUUGCUCUUCUUGAUCUUGUGCUUCUACUUGGUCUGGAUCUUGUGGUUGCACUUGAUCUUGAUCAUGAGCAGGUUCGGAACCUUUGGUAAGUGCUUGAAUAUCAUGGGACACAUCACCAUUGUUGGGCAAUUGAUCUUGACCUUGAGCUUGUUCAUCUUGUUGAGAGUCUUCUCUUUGUUCAUCGGAAGCGUGUGGGGCUUGUGGGGGUGAUGGCUCCACUUGAGUAGAGCAUUGUCCUUCUCCUUCAGCCACAAGGGGUUCCUCAAUGGGGAGUAUUUGACCAAUCCCCAUUCUUCUUAUGGCUUGGGAGGAAUUUCAUCACCUACAUCACAAAGAGCACUUUGCUCCACUUGGGAGCCAUUAUUUUCAUCAAACUCCACAUUACACGUCUCCUCAAUGAGUCCGGUGGACUUGUUGAGGAUGCGGUAAGCAUGAGAGUUUGUAGCAUAACCAACAAAUAUGCCCUCAUGUGCUCUAGAAUCAAAUUUAGCUAAACGUGCACCUUUCUUGAGAAUGAAACACUUACAACCGAAUACCCGGAAGUACUUGAGAUUGGGUUUGUUUCCAGUGAGAAUCUCAUAUGGAGUCUUGUUCAAGCCUUUGCGGAUAUAAAGCCAAUUGGACGCAUGACAUGCUGUGUUGAUGGCCUCAGCCCAAAAGUUAUAUGGAGAUUUGAAUUCCGCCAUCAUUGUUCUUGCAGCAUCCAUCAAGGUCCGGUUCUUCCUUUCUGCCAUGCCAUUUUGUUGAGGGGUAUAUGGUGCUGAAUAUUGAUGUUUUAUUCCCUCAUCACCUAGAAACUCAUCCAAGGUGUAGUUAUUGAACUCAGUGCCGUUGUCACUUCUAAUCAUCAAGAUCUUUGCUUCAUGUUGACGUUGAGCUUCAUUAGCAAAGUUGAUGACAGUUUGUUGAGUCUCACUCUUCCUUUUGAAGAAAUAUACCCAGGUGUAUCUUGAGUAGUCAUCAACAAUCACCAAGCAGUACUUUCUGCCUCCAAGACUAUCAAAUGAUGGAGGACCGAAGAGAUCCAUAUGGAGGAGCUCCAAUGGCCUCUUAGUGUAAAUGAGAGUCGUUGGACGAUGAGCAGUUUCAUGAAUCUUUCCUUCAAUGCAGGCACUGCAAGCACGAUCUCUAGCAAAACUCACAUUUGUUAGUCCACGAAUAUGGUCCCCUUUUAGAAGACUUUGCAAAGAUCUCAUAUUGAAAUGAGCUAGUCGGCGAUGCCAAAGCCAUCCCACAUCAACUUUAGCCAUUAAACACGUCGCAGUCUUAGUGGGUCGCUUUGAGAAGUUCACCACAUAAAGACCAUUUUCGACAUAUCCAACAUAGGCUACUUUAAGAGUCUUGCUCCACAGGAGGACCACAGUAUCAAGAUUAAAUGAAGUGGAAAAACCCAUAAUUGCAAGUUGACGAACCGAGAGUAAAUUGUCGGCAAGAGACUCAACAAGCAUGACCUUCUCAAUAGAUAACUCUUGAGAGAUGACCACCUUACCAAAUCCCAAUACCUUUGACGAGGAUGCAUCGGCGAAUUGGACAUGGGUGGGCAUAGAUGGAGAAGGAUGCACAUCCACCACUAAGUCCUUGCUUCCGGUCAUAUGAUUUGUUGCUCCACUAUCGAGCAACCAUGACACCCCACCAGAAGCAAACUCAUGCAAUAGAUCAAGGCUUGGUUUUAGGUACCCAUUUUUAAUGGGUCCUUUAAUGUUAGAGACAAGGGUCUUAGGAACCCAGAUAGCCCAUUCAAUGGACUCAUAGUAAGAACCAACAAAUCUGGCAUAAACAUGCCCAUCACUAGCACGACAUAAGACAUAGGAAGGAUUGAGUUUGCCGGCUGUGUUAGUAGGAAUGGUUUUGCCCUUCUUGACGUUACCAUCGUCCACCUUGUUCCUGUUCACCUCCUGAAUCCCUUCGCCCUCUUUGACAAAGAUGUCCAUGAGGGUAGGGGAUCGUUUGUUCCUGUUCCUCCUCUUUCCUUUUGACUUGGAGGUAAGUCCAAGUCCCUCCUUUCCUACAACACCCUUUUGAUUGAUCAAGAGGUCGUUCAGGCUCUUCUCACCUAGUAUGCAUGCCACAAGGCCCUUCUCAAGUUUCUCCUUUAACUUGGCAUUUUCCUCCACAAGAUGUACAUGCUCACAACAAGGAUUAGUUGUACAAGCAUUAUCAAUUAACACAAAGGGAGGACAAGUAGAGAUCUCCUUGGUAAGCUUUGCUUGGAGUUGAUCAUGAGACUCUUUCAGAGAGAAAUGAACACCUUUCAAGACCUUGUGAGCCUUGUCAAGUGUGUCAAACUCCACUUUGAGUCUGUCAUGGCCAACCCCAAGAGCAUACUUCUCAGACUUAAGCAUACGAGUAAGAACAGUAUCAUGAUCUAGUUUCUUUUGCAUUUUAGCGCAGUCAUCGUUGUAUGACUCCUCAAGAGCCAAACGAAGAGUGCGCUCCUUUUCUAGAGCAAUAGAUAAUUCAACAAUCUCAUCGGCAUAUUCACGACUGUGUCCCUGAAGCUCGGAGAUGGUCUCCUCAUGAGACUCGAUGAGGUCAUUGGCCUCACCCAGUUGUUCCAAGAGAGCAACAAAGUGCUUCUUGGAUUCUCCCUUAAUAGUGCACAGAAACUUGUCAAGAUCAUGCUCAUUAAGUUCCCCAACAUCACUAUCAUCAACACAAUUUAACAAUGAAGGAGCAGUAGCGAUGUUGGUCUUAAUGAUGGGGGUUACCUGAUUGAUACCUUUUGCCAUGAGGCACUUGGCGAUGUGGUUCUCGUUGGUGGCGUUGAAGAGAGACACCUUCUUGGGAGAGGGGGUGGCAAUAGCAACAGUUGCCGUUGCCACUGUAUCAUCAUCAUCAUCAUCAUCAUCAUCGGAAGGUACUCUUCAAGGGCCACCAUGCCCUUUGGGUGAGGUUUCUUCACAAAGUUUUUCUUGAUUGGGAAUGACUUGGUUUUGUCUUUGCGAAUGAGCUUGCCCCCGUUGUCUUCCCUUUUCUCAUAGGGACAUUCGGCCAUGAAGUGACUCACGUUACCACAGUUAUAGCAUGUCCUCACUCGUUGCUUGGGUUUGAACCCACUCGAGUUGUUCUUGGUGAAGGUGGGUCUUGAGUUCCUCUUGUUGCCCCAGAAUUGCCUUGACGCAAGAGCCAUGUGCUCAUGAUAAGCAUACUUCGUCUCUUCAGGGCAGCUCUCCUCUUCCCCAUCCUCUUCUUCUUCUUCUUCAAAAGUUGCUUUUGCCUUUAACGCAAGGUGGGUGAAGCUGUCUUUGAGCGAACACGAGCAAGUGCAUUGUCAGCUGUCUCGUUCAUGAUUGACAUUGCAAUGAAUUCAUCCAACACCUCACUGGAAGACAAGGAGUGGAAGUCUGGUCGCUGACGAAUGACAGAUGACAUGGCUUUAUUGAAAGGCAUGAUGGCUUUGAGAAACUUGCGCUUGACCCAUGUAUCAUCCACAUCCUUGCUCCCAUGGUCCUUGAGUGCCACAGCAAUAGCAGCCACCCUUCGAUAGAUAUCACGAGGGUCCUCGUCUUCCUUCAUCACAAACUCAUCGGCCUUAUCGAGUACCACUUCAUAGUUGGACCGUUGAAUGCUUGAGCUUCCCUUUUACAACACCAUAAUGUGCUCCCAACAGUCCUUAGCCAAAGUGAAGGGACGCAAGUGAGAAAGAUCUUCAGGUGGCACUGCGGACUGGAGAAUAAACAAAGCAGAGUGAUUAUAUUGAUUGUCCGCAUCUUCUCUUGGAGUGAGGUUGCUUGGAUCAUGGGGAUAAAAUCCUUGCUCGAUCAUUCUCCACAAAUUUGUUGAGCUGUGAUUCAAAUAAGACUUAAUAGAAAAUACCCAGUUAGCAAAAUCACCUUUUACAAGCUUAGGAGGAGUACCAACAGGAUUAAGACGCAGUGUGGGAACCGGUCCUCCAUAGACUAAGGGUGGUGGAACAGAUGCAUACGUCCCAUUCCCAUCAUUUUCGAGAGGACGGGAAGGUUGCAUACCUUUAGCCGUUUCCCUGACGGAAUUGGCCUCCGAAUCUGUGGUGGUGGGUUUAACCACCAAUGCCGGUUCGGGAGAGUUGUUAAUUCCCUCAAUUAACUCUUUAAGCAUGGUCUUGACCUCGUUCGUCAUGGACGUCUUGAGUGCGGCCAUAGCCGUAUUCAAGUCGUCCCUUGUGAUCGAAGUCAAGUCCAUGCCCUCGGUUUGUGCACGGGGAACUCCCUCAUCAUCUUCCAUACUCUUCGGGUGGUUAAACCCUUAAUAAAGAGACGUGGCUCUGAUACCAAUUGAAAGGAUCGAUAUGGUUGACUAGAGGGGGGCGGUCAAUAGGCAACGACCAAUUUUUAAUUAAUCUUAGCAAGUUAGGGUAAGCAACAUACAGGUUCACUAAAAUAGCAACAACGAGGUGAACCUAUAUGAAGCUACCAACAAGAACAACUAAGACAAGUAAGAGAUAGACAACAACAUAAGCAUACACGAAGUAAAGGUUAGAGAUAACUACAAGUGGAACCAAUGAAGAUGAGGAUGUGUUACCGAAGUUCCUCCCCUUUGACAGGAAGUACGUCUCCGUUGGAGCGGUGUGGAGGCACAAUGCUCCCCAAUAAGCCACUAGGGCCACCGUAUUCUCCUCACGCCCUCACACGAUGCAAGGUACCGUGAUUCCACUAUAGGUGCCCUUGAAGGCGGCGACCGAACCUUUACAAACAAGGUUGGGGCAAACUCCACACAAAGCUUGGAGGCUCCCAACAAGACCACGAAGCUUCACCACAAUGGAAUGUGGCUCCGAGGUGACCUCAACCGUCUAGGAUGCUCAAACACCCAAGAGUAACAAGAUCCGCAAGGGAUUGGUGGGGGAAUCAACUUUUCUCUUGGUGGAAGUGUAGAUCUAGGCCUUCUCAACCAAUCCCUAAAGAAUCAACAAGUUUGAUUGGCUANNNNNNNNNNNNNNNNNNNNNNNNNNNNNNNNNNNNNNNNNNNNNNNNNNNNNNNNNNNNNNNNNNNNNNNNNNNNNNNNNNNNNNNNNNNNNNNNNNNNCGCAGAAAACAGUAGCAACACAAUGACACGAUCAACAUGCUCCGUCUAUUAGUUUGGGUCUAGUCCAUCACAUGAUUCUCCUAAUGAUGUGAUCCCGUUAUCAAGUGACAACACCUGCCUAUGGUCAGGAAACCUUGACCAUCUCUGAUCAACGAGCUAGUCAACUAGAGGCUUACUAGGGACAGUGUUUUGUCUAUGUAUCCACACAUGCACUGUGUUUCCAAUCAAUACAAUUAUAGCAUGGAUAAUAAACGAUUAUCAUGAACAAAGAAAUAUAAUAAUAACUAAUUUAUUAUUGCCUCUAGGGAAUAUUUCCAACAGUCUCCCACUUGCACUAGAGUCAAUAAUCUAGUUCACAUCACCAUGUGAUUUCAAUGAAUCCAACACCCAUAUAGUUCUGGGGUCUGAUCACGUCUUGCUCGUGAGAGAGGUUUUAGUCAACGGUUCUGAAACUUUCAGAUCUGUGUGUUCUUUACAAAUCUUUAUGUCAUCUUAUAGAUGCUGCUACUACGUGCUAUUCGGAAAUACUCCAAAUAUCUACUCUACUAUACGAAUCUGUUUCACUACUCAUAGUUAUUCGGAUUAGUGUCAAAGCUUGCAUCGACGUAACCCUUUACGACGAACUCUUUAACCACCUCCAUAAUCGAGAAAAAUUCCUUAGUCCAUCAGUUACUAAGGAUAAAUUUUGACCUCUGCUAGUGAUUCAAUCAUGGAUCACUCUCUGUACCUCUCAACAGACUUUGAGUCAAGGCACUCAUCAGGUGCGGUACCCAGCAUGGCAUACUUCAGAUUCUACGGCCAAGGCAUAGAAGACGACCUUCGUCUAUUCUCUUUAUUCUGCCGGGGUCGGGUUUUGAGUCUUACUCAAAUUCACACCUCACAACGCAACCAAGAACUCCUUCUUUUCUGAUCUAUUUUGAACUCCUUCAAAAACUUGUCAAGGCAUGUAUCUUGUUGAAACUUCUAUUAAGCGCUUUCGAUCUAUCUUCAUAGAUCUUUGAUGCUCAACGUUCAAGUACAAUCCAAGUAUUCCUUUGAAAACUCCUUUCAAACAACCUUGUAUGCUUUACAGAAAUUCUACAUUACUUCUGAUCCACAAUAUGUCAACCACAUAUACUUAUCAGAAAUUCUAUAGUGCUCCCACUCACUUCUUUGGAAAUACAAGUUUCUCAUAAACCUUGUACAAACCCAAAAUCUUUGAUCAUCUCAUCAAAGUGUAUAUUCCAACUCCGAGAUGCUUGCACCAGUCCAUUGAAGGAUCGCUGGAGCUUGCAUACUUGCUAGUAUCUUUAGGAUCGACAAAACCUCCUGGUUGUAUCACAUACAAUGUUUGCUCAAGGAAACCGUCGAGGAAACAAUGUUUGACAUCCUACAUGCAAUAUUUCAUAAAUAAUGCAGCAACUACUAACAUAAUUCUAACAGACUUCUAGCAUCGCUACGAGUGAGAAAGUCUCAUCAUAGUGAACUGUUUGAUCAUGUCGGAAACAUUUUUGCGACAAGUCGAGCUUUUCUUAAUAGUGACUUAUCACUAUCAUCGUCUGUCUUCCUUUUAAAGAUCCAUCUUUACUCAAUAGUCCUAUGACCAUCAAGUAGUUCUUCCAAAGUCUACACUUUGUUUUCAUACAUGAAUCCUCUCUCGGAUUUCAUGGCUUCCAGCCAUUUGUCGGAAUCUGGGCCCACCAUUGCUUUCUCCAUAAUUCAUAGGUUCACUGUCGCUCAACAACAUGACCUCCAAGACAGGGUUACCGUACCACUCUGUAGUAGUACGCGACCUUGUCAACCUACGAGGCUUGUAGUAACUUGAUCCGAUGCUCGAUGAUCACCAUCAUCAGCUUCCACUUCAAUUGGUGCAGACACCACAGGAACAACUUCCUGCGCCCUGCUACACACUGGUUGAAGUGAUGGUUCAAUAACCUCAUCAAGUUCUACCACCCUCCCACUCAAUUCUUUCGAGAGAAACCAUUCCUCGAGAAAGGAUCCGUUUCUAGAAACAAACACUUUGCUUUCGGAUCUGAGAUAGGAGAUGUACCCAACUGUUUUGGAUAUCCUAUGAAGAUGCAUUUAUCCGCUUUGGGUUCGAGUUUAUCAGACUGAAACUUUUUCACAUAAGUGUCGAAGCCCCAAACUUUCAAGAAACGACAGUUUAGAUUUCUCUAAACCUCAGUCUAUACUGUGUCAUCUCAACGGAAAUACGCGGUGCCCUAUUUAAAGUGAAUGCGGUUGUCUCUAAUGCAUAACCCAUAAACGAUAGUGGUAAUUCGAUAAGAGACAUCAUAGCAUGCACCAUACCAAAUAGUGCGUGGCUAUGACGUUCAGACACAUCAUCACACUAUGAUGUUCCAGGUGGCAUGAACUGCGAAACAAUUUCCACAUUGUCUUAACUGCGUACCAAAACUCGUAACUCAGAUAUUCAUUUCUAUGAUCAUAUCGUAGACAGUUUAUCCUCUUGUUACGACGAACUUCACUCCGAAACAGAAUUGAACUUUUCAAUAUUUCAGACUUGUGAUUCAUUAAGUAAAUACUCUUGUAUCUACUCAAAUCGUCAUUGAAGUAAGAACAUAAUGACAUCCACUGCGUGCCUUAGCACCCAUUGGACUGCAUACAUCAAAAUGUAUCACUUCCAACAAGUUACUAUCUUGUUUCAUCUCAAUGAAAACAAGGCUUUGCUCAUGUGGUAUGAUUUGCAUGUCACUAGUGAUUCAAAAUCAAGUGAGUAUAAAGAUCCAUCUGCAUGGAGCCUCUUCAUGCAAUUUAUACCAACAUGACUCAAGCGGCAGUGCCACAAGUAAGUGGUACUAUCAUCAUUACCUCGUAUCUUUUGGCACCAAUAUCAUGAACAUGUGUAACACUACAAUCGAGAUUCAAUAAACCAUUGAAGGUGAUUAUUCAAGCAAAUAGAGUAACCAUUAUUCUCUUUAAAUGAAUAAUCGUAUUGCAAUAAACACGAUCCAAUCAUGUUCAUGCUUAACGCAAGCACCAAAUAACAAUUAUUUAGGUUUAACACCAAUCCCGAUGGUAGAGGGAGCGUGCGACGUUUGAUCAUAUCAACCUUGGAAACACUUCCAACACGUAUCGGCACCUCGCCUUUAGCUAGUCUCCGUUUAUGCCGUAGCUUUCAAUUCGUGUUACUAAUCACUUAGCAACUGAACCGGUAUCCAAUACCCUCGUGCUACUAGGAGUACUAGUAAAGUACACAUCAACAUCAUGUAUAUCAAAUAUACUUCUUUCGACUUUUGCCAGCCUUCUUAUCUACCAAGUAUCUAGAGUUGCUCCGCCUCAGUGACUGUUCCCCUCAUUAUAGAAGCACUUAGUCUCGGGUUUGGGUUUAAUCUUGGGUCUCUUCAUUAGUGCAGCAACGGUUUUGCCGUUUCACGAAGUAUCCCUUCUAGCCCUUGCCUUUCUUGAAACUUAAUGGUUUUACUAACCAUCAACUAUUGAUGCUUCUUCUUGAUUUCUACUUUCGAGGUGUCAAACAUCACGAAUCGCUCAAGGAUCAUUGUAUCUAUCCUUGAUAUGUUAUAGUUCAUCACGAAGCUCUCACAGCUUGGUGGCAGUGAUUUUGGAGAACCAUCACUAUCUCAUCUGGAAGAUUAACUCCCACUUGAUUCAAGCGAUUGUCGUACUCAGACAAUCUGAGCACACACUCAACGAUUGAGCUUUUCUCCUUUACUUUGUGGACAAAGAAUCUUGUCGGAGGUCUCGUACCUCUUAACAAGGGCACAAGCAUGAAAUCACAAUUUCAUCUCUUUAGAACAUCACUUAUGUUCCGUGACGUCUCAAAACGUCUUGGACGCCUUGCUUCUAAGCCAUUAAGUAUUUUGCACUGAACUAUCAUGUAGUCAUCAGAAACGUGUAUGUUGGAUGUUCACAGCAUCCAUAGACGACGCUCGAGGUGCAGCACACCGAGUGGCGCAUUAAGGACAUAAGCCUCUGCGCAGCAACGAGGACAAUCCUCUGCAAAGUUUGCCACUAUCAACUUUCAACUAAAUUUUCUCUAGGAACAUAUAAAAACAGUAGAGCUAUAGCGCAAGCUACAUCGUAAUUCGCAAAGACCAUUAGACUAUGUUCAUGACAAUUAGUUCAAUUAAUCAUAUUACUUAAGAACUCCCACUCAAAAAGUACAUCUCGCUAGUCAUUUGAGUGGUACAUGAUCCAAAUCCACUAUCUCAAGUCCGAUCAUCACGUGAGUUGAGAAUAGUUUUAGUGGUAAGCAUCUCUAUGCUAAUCAUAUCAACUAUACGAUUCAUGCUCGACCUUUCGGUCUCAUGUGUUCCGAGGACAUGUCUGCACAUGCUAGGCUCGUCAAGCUUAACCCGAGUGUUCUGCGUGUGCAACUGUUUUGCACCCGUUGUAUGUGAACGUUGAGUCUAUCACACCCGAUCAUCACGUGGUGUCUCGAAACGAAGAACUGUCGCUACGGUGCACAGUCGGGGAGAACACAAUUUCGUCUUGAAAUUUUAGUGAGAGAUCACCUCAUAAUGCUACCGUCGUUGUAAGCAAGAUAAGGUGCAAAAAGGAUUAACAUGACAUGCAAUUCAUAAGUGACAUGAUAUGGCCAUCAUCACGUGCUUCUUGAUCACCAUCACCAAAGCACCGGCACGAUCUUCUUGUCACCGGCGUCACACCAUGAUCUCCAUCAACGUGUCGCCAUCGGGGUUGUCGUGCUACUCAUGCUAUUACUACUAAAGCUACAUCCUAGCAAAAUAGUAAACGCAUCUGCAAGCACAAACGUUAGUUUAAAGACAACCCUAUGGCUCAUGCUGGUUGCCGUACCAUCGACGUGAAGUCGAUAUUAUCUAUUACAACAUGAUCAUCUCAUACAUCCAAUAUAUCACAUCACAUCGUUGGCCAUAUCACAUCACAAGCAUACCCUGCAAAAACAAGUUAGACGUCUUCUAAUUUUUUUGUUGCAUGUUUUACGUGGUGACCAUGGGUAUCUAGUAGGAUCGCAUCUUACUUACGCAAACACCACAACGGAGAUAUAUGAAUUGCUAUUUAACCUUAUACAAGAACCUCCUCGGUCAAAUCCGAUUCAACUAAAGUUGGAGAAACUGACACUUGCCAGUCAUCUUUGAGCAACGGGGUUACUCGUAGCGAUGAAACCAGUCUCUCGUAAGCGUACGAGUAAUGUCGGUCCAAGCCGCUUCAAUCCAACAAUAUCGCGGAAUCAAGAAAAGACUAAGGAGGGCAGCAAAAUGCACAUCACCGCCCACAAAAACUUUUGUGUUCUACUCAAGAAGACAUCUACGCAUGAACCUAGCUCAUGAUGCCACUGUUGGGGAACGUCGCAUGGGAAACAAAAUUUUUCCUACGCGCACGAAGACCUAUCAUGGUGAUGUCCAUCUACGAGAGGGGAUAUUCGAUCUACGUACCCUUGUAGAUCGCACAGCAGAAGCUUUAGUGAAUGCGGUUGAUGUAGUGGAACGUCCUCACGUCCCUCGAUCCGCCCCGCGAACCGUCCCGCGAUCAGUCCCACGAUCUAGUGCCGAACGGACGGCACCUCCGCGUUCAGCACACGUACAGCUCGACAAUGAUCUCGGCCUUCUUGAUCCAGCAAGAGAGAUGGACAGGUAGAUGAGUUCUCCGGCAGCGUGACGGUGCUCCGGAGGUUGGUGGUGAUCUUAUCUUAGCAGGGCUCCGCCCGAGCUCCGCAGAAACGCGAUCUAGAGGUAAAACCGUGGAGAUAUGUGGUCGGGCUGCCGUGGCAAAGUUGUCUCAAAUCAGCCCUAAAACCUCCAUAUAUAUAGGGGGAAGAGGGGGAGCCUUUCCUUGGGGCUCAAGAGGUCCCAAGGGGGUCGGCCGAGCCAAGGGGGGAAGGUCUCCCCUUCCAAACCGAAUCCAACUUGGUUUGGAAGGUGGAGUCCUUCUUCCCUUUCCCACCUCCUCCUUUUUUUCUGUUUUCUUUGAUUUUCUUCCUNNNNNNNNNNNNNNNNNNNNNNNNNNNNNNNNNNNNNNNNNNNNNNNNNNNNNNNNNNNNNNNNNNNNNNNNNNNNNNNNNNNNNNNNNNNNNNNNNNNNAGGUAAUAUCCCCAACAUUAGGCCCCAGAUUGACUUGAACUCUUUUCAUGCCAAUAUUUCUGCUCACUUAAAGGCGAUUCAUUCUUCAUUCUGCUCUAUACGUCAGAAACUUUAACCCGCCAUCUGGCGCUGAAAAUCUUUAAAUCACCAAACCAUUUCUCGUCGGCAUCUUCUUAUCCCUUGAAUUCCGAGAAGACUGACAUAAUCCCAACGGAUCCUUUGGUGUCGUUAUCCCAAAAUUUUCGGAGCGCCAUUAUAGCGAAUCUUUUUAUCCUCCGGCGGUUCCCGCUCACGGGGCCUCGAUUCCAGCGCUCGCCCUGUUAAAUAGGUGGGGGGGGGACAGGACUGGCGCUUCCCACCUACCAGUAUCAUCAAUCUCCUCCCCAUUAUCACAGCGAGGAAACCUUACCGCCUUCCGAGGGCUCCGCCGCCGACCGCAGUUCCUGUCGUCGCCCGAAAGCUUCGGCGCCGCCCAUAGAUCUUCGCCGCCGUCAAGCAUCGUACCGCGGCCGAUCUGCUCGCUGCCAUCGACCACUGCGUCGCCGUUGACCACCUCGCUAUUUGCCAAGCACUCCGUCGCCGCCGAAGAUCUCUGCGCUCGACAAGACUUUCGUGCUCCUCCAACAGCCUCCGUCGCCGUCGACCACUUCCGACCGAAAUCGUCAGGUUAGGUCAACGCUCACUUAAGAACAGAUCCCAUCCCUGUUUGAAGUUUCAACAUCGCCAUGUUCUUGAUGCCCUUUGUGAAUAUCUGUUACCUGUUCUUGACUGAUUAAUGCAAAUGUCGAUGAGAUAGCCAAUGUUUUUAAUACCUUCAUUUAUCUGCCCUCGACUUGCGUGUUUAGAACAAUAUUUCAUCAAACGAAUGAUAUCAUCUUAUCUUGGUAGUAAAAUUGCUGCAUCCAGUCAUUUUUCUCAUGUUUUUCGACUUUCCAGUAGAUCCAUAGUUUACCUGCUCAUUGCGUAAAGCUAUUUGUAGUCUUCACACUUCACCGUUUUGAACAAAUGUCUUCGACAUCUUUAGAACAUAACUCUUGUGAAUAGCCAAACUUCGUAAAUCACCAAAGCAACCCAACCUGGAUCUUUAUAUGGCGGGUCAAGCUUUUCCCUUAGUCCGUGAACAAAUUACUUGGCGAGUCAAAUGAACUUAUUUCACCCCUUACGGUAGAUGUUCAAGGCGUGUAAAUUCACCCGUACUUUACUCCUUUGUAGCAUGGGCACCGUCUUCAAAAGUGACUGGCUCCCUACCAAAGUCGACGACACCAUACUAGCAGACUAUGUGAAAACGGGCAACUUGGACCCUCAGAAUGUUAUCGGUUGGCGUACCGGGUUCGGAGAAGAUCUCCCCAACCCCAAAGAAGGGGAGAUAGUUGUUUUCGUUGAACACCUUGAGCGAGGUUUUAAGCCACCCGGAUCAAAGUUUCUUAGAGACGCCAUGACUUUCAUGAACGUCCGCCUCCAGGAUCUGGGACCUAACUCGAUAAGUAACCUAUGCCAGUUCCAAGUGUUUUGUGAGGCUUAUCUGCGGAUGGAACCCUCAGUUCCCUUAUUCUGGUACUUUUUCCACUUAAAUCGCCAGACGGAAUUUCACAAUGGCCCUAGCCUGGAACUUGGCGGCGUAAAUGUUCAGCGCCACAGGGAUAGAUCGUUUCCCUCACUCGCCCUGCCAAGCCAUCCCAAAGGCUGGGGCGAGUCUUGGUUCUACUGUCAAGAGACCUCACCCGCAGGAGAAAACAAGCUUCCGGGUUAUAGGAAAGACCGCCUUCCAACAAACUUCAAACUUCCGGACAAGCUCACCAAAGAGGAUGAAUCAGAUUUUAUCCCAGUAUUUUCCGAGUUAAGAUCUUUGACAAACAACGGCCUUACUGGGGUCGACUUGAUUCGCUGAUGGGUCGAAUGGCGGAUCCUUCCUUUGAGUCGCCGGGACGGGCUAAUGUGCGAGUUUGAUGGCACCUUAGAUCAUCCUCAAUGUUAUUUCCAUACGGCUUUAACGAAAAAGGAUAUUGUCACCAUCAACAAGAAGCUGACCGGCGAGCCUGCGAGAAAAUGUGGCCAAAUCGGCCUCAAACCCUUCUGCAAAAUUAAUCCGGCGCCCAAGGUAAGCGAUUUUAACCCACCCUUUGUCUCUAUUUCUUAUGUUUCAUUCAAGUUGUGGCAUUUUAUAACAUAUACCAUUCCAGAAAGGUGAGAAAUUUUGGUCCAAGAAACCCAAAAGGCCAACCAUGAAGCAAGCUAAGCCGCCCCCAAAGAAAACCAAGGGCAAGGGCAAAGCUGCUGUGGCUGAGCCAUGCGAAGCCGAUGAAUCCCAAGUCGGCGACGCACCUUCAGAGGUAAAAACCUAUCCUCUUUUCACUCUCCAUCCGCUAUUGUUAAUUUUGUAUUUAUGCCUCUGCCUCUCUUGAAUAGAAUGAACACAACGAAAGCCAGGAGGAUUCUGUAGAGGUAAUUUCUGUUUCUUCCGAUUCAUCUCCUUCUCCACCUAAGCCGGCCAGGCAAAUUUAUGGGAAAGUUCCCUUCUCACAUCCAAAUGCUUGUUUGGACCCCAAUUUUCUAUUGAAGAAAGCACAACAUACCUCAAAUCGGAAGACCCGAAGUUACUCCGGUGAUCUGGUGUCCGGCUUACCAGCAAAGAACAAGAGGAAACCAAACGAGGUACCCAUGAACAAUACUUCCUCAUGUUUCUUUGGAUUGCAUCCAUAAUCCGCCUAUAUCUUUGACGUAUAGUUCUUGCAGAAUUCUCCUCCUACAUCUGGCGACUCAGUAAUGUCGACACUUCCGCCAAUGAUUCGAGUCCCUGGGUAAGUCCUUUGACAAUUUUACUUUUGAAUCUGAGGAUAAUGAAUUACCAGUUUUUUAAUGCACCGUUCCCCUUUUUUAGGGCACAGGCGAAGAAGAGGAAGACCAGCGGGUCAACUCCUGUUAUAAUUUCAGAGCCCAUCAAAGAGUCAGUGCCAAUCCAAGAUGACCCGAAUCAAGGCGAGCCUGAGGAUCGAAUGGAUCUUCCUAGCUCGCCCAAGGACACAACGGAUGCCCCUAAGCCGCCAAGUCCAUUGACAACAGCAGAAGACCCGGAUGUUGUGGUUAUCACUGGCACCAGCUUCUCUAAACCGGCCACAACGGUUUUAUCAAAGCAUGCACCAUCAUCCUCUCAAAACAUUCCUGAAUUUGGACUCUCCAAGGCUAAGCUUUCUGAGUAUGAACAACUGGAAUUCCAAGAACUCUGCUCUGGUUUUGUGAGUCGCCUGGAGGCGAGUUAUGAGAUGGAGAAAAGCCUGCUCUGGAUGCUAAAAAAUAAACAUGAGGUAAGCUUUGUUAUAUAUUAUAUUACUCCCAUUAACCCCCAAGGGCCGGGUCAUCAGUAAAAAGAUGAGCCGGGUCUUGAAAAUUAGAAAAAACUUUCGACCAGUAACCCCCAAGGGCCGGGUCAUCAUUAAAAAAGAUGAACCGGGUCUUGAUAACUUAGAAAAACUUUCGACCAGUAACCCCCAAGGGCCGGGUCAUCAGUAAAAAGAUGAGCCGGGUUUUGAUGAAUUAGAAAAAACUUUCGACCAGUAACCCCCAAGGGCCGGGUCAUCAGUAAAAAGAUGAGCCGGGUCUUUGAUAAAUUAGAAAAACUUUCGACCAGUAACCCCCAAGGGCCGGGUCAUCAGUAAAAAGAUGAGCCGAGUCUUGAUAUUGUAUAAUUUUAUCUGAAAAAAUUAUACAUUAGCCCCCAAGUGUCAGGGAUAUUGCUUGCAAUAGUUCUGAGACUUGCCCCUUAUCAUGUACUUUCAACAGGAAACUCUUACUCAGACUGAAUCGGCGCUUGCGAUUUAAAGAAAAACUUAUCUCAUCAGCAAGAUGCCCGAACUAAGUCGGAGGAGAAGUAUCAAUUGGUCCUGGCUGAAAUGGAAAAACUCAAAGCUGAUUUAAAAAGGGCUCAAGCUGACCAAGAUGCUGCAACAAAAAGAACAGAGAAGGCUGAAGUCAGGCUGGCUACUGUGCAACAAGAAUUGUCCGGCUUGAAGCGUCAUAUCUCAAACAUGGCGCAAGCCAUCUUUGGUAAAAUACUCAAACUUUUGAUCUCUUUUUUUACCAAUAAUUCUUAUUGUGAGUCGCUGAUUAUCAUGACCCCUUACACAGGUCCGAGAGCCGCCAACCUUCAGGAUGAUUGCGUGCUGAUGUUGAAGGCGAUUUAUACACUGACAGAGCAACUGUAUACCGGCAGUGUAUUAACUGUUAAAGCUGUGAUGGGUGCCAAUGAGCCUAUAACUUCCAUAAAGAAGAUGCUUGGCUGCCUAUCAACGCUUCCCCCUCAGAUUGGCGAGUUGACUCGGUCAGCCGCCCGGAAGGGGGUACUGACUACCUUAAGUCGCUGCUUGGCGUAUGCUCUAGAGAUCAACCCGGAAGAGGUAGCGGCAGGCUUUCCUCAACUCAAAGAUGACGGGUCAGAAUUCGUCGAAGAGGACUAUCAACGUGUCGUCAAGGACUCCCAGCUGGCGGUGACUCAACUUGCUGCAAGUCUGGACUUAUCAAAGUAUCAGGCUGCUUAUGACAACAAGAACAAGAAGGUCAACCCGCCAACCUUUGUGACGACCAGCUUAACUCCACGGAGACCCAAGAACCCUUUUGACUUGGACGCAGAUCUUGCAUCAAUCCUGACCGAUGAAGAUGACUUCGCGGCUCUGGCCAAGUGUAACUGGGUACUGGGCGACUUGCAAACUGAGGUCGGCCAAAGCUCGCAACAAAAUGAUCCAAGGGCGCCAGCACAAUAAACUUCAUUGAUUUGGCCUGAGAGCCAUGUAAUAGGUCUUUUUCAUGAGUCGGUACUGCUUUUGUGAUACUUUCGAAAGAAUCUUUAUAUCGCCCUUAAGGCGAUUUGAAAUAUUGGAUCCGCCGUUUGAAAAUCCUUUAUAAUGCUUAACCCACCAUGGAUGAAGUGAUUUUGAUCAUCAACCUGUUUUAAACUUGAAAAAACAUAUGUUAACCAAAGUCGCGACAGGAUGGGGNNNNNNNNNNNNNNNNNNNNNNNNNNNNNNNNNNNNNNNNNNNNNNNNNNNNNNNNNNNNNNNNNNNNNNNNNNNNNNNNNNNNNNNNNNNNNNNNNNNNUUUUCCACGGCAGCCCGACCACAUACCUCCACGGUUUUUCCUCUAGAUCGCGUUUCUGCGGAGCUCGGGCGGAGCCCUGCUGAGACAAGGUCAUCACCAACCUCCGGAGCGCCGUCACGCUGCCGGAGAACUCUUCUACCUCUCCGUCUCUCUUGCUGGAUCAAGAAGGCCGAGAUCAUCGUCGAGCUGUACGUGUGCUGAACGCGGAGGUGCCGUCCGUUCGGUACUAGAUCGUGGGACUGAUCGCGGGAUUGUUCGCGGGGCGGAUCGAGGGACGUGAGGACGUUCCACUACAUCAACCGCGUUCUCUAACGCUUCUGCUGUACGGUCUACGAGGGUACGUAGAUCACUCAUCCCCUCUCGUAGAUGGACAUCACCAUGAUAGGUCUUCGUGCGCGUAGGAAAUUUUUUGUUUCCCAUGCGACGUUCCCCAACAGUGGCAUCAUGAGCUAGGUUCAUGCGUAGAUGUCUUCUCGAGUAGAACACAAAAGUUUUUGUGGGCGGAGAUGUGCGUUUUGCUGCCCUCCUUAGUCUUUUCUUGAUUCCGCGGUAUUGUUGGAUUGAAGCGGCUUGGACCGACAUUACUCGUACGCUUACGAGAGACUGGUUUCAUCGUUACGAGUAACCCCCUUUGCUCAAAGAUGACUGGCAAGUGACGGUUUCUCCAACUUUAGUUGAAUCGGAUUUGACCGAGGAGGUCCUUGGAUGAGUUUAAAUAGCAACUCAUAUAUCUCCGUUGUGGUGUUUGCGUAAGUAAGAUGCGAUCCUACUAGAUACCCUUGGUCACCACGUAAAACAUGCAACAACAAAAUUAGAGGACGUCUAACUUGUUUUUGCAGGGUAUGAUUGUGAUGUGAUAUGGCCAACGAUGUGAUGUGAUAUAUUGGAUGUAUGAGAUGAUCAUGUUGUAAUAGAAAUAUCGACUUGCACGUCGAUGGUACGGCAACCGGCAGGAGCCAUAGGGUUGUCUUUAUACUAACGUUUGUGCUUGCAGAUGCGUUUACUAUUUUGCUAGGAUGUAGCUUUAGUAGUAAUAGCAUAAGUAGCACGACAACCCCGAUGGCAACACGUUGAUGGAUGAUCAUGGUGUGGCGCCGGUGACAAGAAGAUCGUGCCGGUGCUUUGGUGAUGGAGAUCAAGAAGCACGUGAUGAUGGCCAUAUCAUGUCACUUAUGAAUUGCAUGUGAUGUUAAUCCUUUUAUGCACCUUAUUUUGCUUAGAACGACGGUAGCAUUAUGAGGUGAUCUCUCACUAAAAUUUCAAGACGAAAUUGUGUUCUCCCCGACUGUGCACCGUUGCUACAGUUCGUCGUUUCGAGACACCACGUGAUGAUCGGGUGUGAUAGACUCAACGUUCACAUACAACGGGUGCAAAACAGUUGCGCACGCGGAACACUCGGGUUAAGCUUGACGAGCCUAGCAUGUGCAGACAUGGCCUCGGAACACAUGAGACCAAAAGGUCGAUCGUGAAUCAUAUAGUUGAUAUGAUUAGCAUAGGGAUGCUUACCACUGAAACUAUACCCAACUCACGUGAUGAUCGGACUUGGGAUAGUGUGAGUGGAUCAUGAACCACUCAAAUGACUAGAGAGAUGUACUUUUUGAGUGGGAGUAUAGCAUAAAAUUUGAUUAAGUUGAACUCUAAUUAUCUUGAACAUAGUCUAAGUCCACUUUGAAUAUAUUUGUGUUGUAGAUCAUGGCUCACGCGACUGUCAUCCUGAAUUUUAAUACGUUCCUAGAGAAAGCUAAGUUGAAAGAUGAUGGAAGCAACUUUGUAGACUGGGCUCGUAAUCUUAAGCUAAUCUUACAAGCUGGGAAGAAGGAUUAUGUCCUUAAUGCUGUGCUAGGAGAUGAACCACCCGCUACGGCUGAUCAGGAUGUUAAGAACGCUUGGUUAGCACGUAAGGAGGACUACUCAAUAGUUCAAUGUGCAGUCUUGUAUGGCUUAGAACCGGGACUUCAACGCCGCUUUGAGCGUCAUGGAGCAUUUGAGAUGUUCCAGGAGUUGGAGUUUAUCUUUCAGAAGAACGCCCGGAUCGAGAGGUAUGAGACCUCCGAUAAAUUCUAUGCUUGCAAGAUGGAGGAAAACUCGUCUGUCAGUGAACAUGUGCUCAAAAUGUCUGGGUACUCAAACCGUCUAGCUGAGCUGGGGAUUGAACUCCCGCAAGAAGCUAUCACUGACAGAAUCCUUCAAUCACUGCCGCCAAGCUAUAAAGGCUUUGUGUUGAACUACAACAUGCAAGGGAUGAACAAGUCUCCCGGCGAGUUGUUUGCGAUGCUGAAAGUCGCAGAGUCUGAACUCCGUAAAGAGCAUCAAGUGUUGAUGGUGAGCAAGACCACUAGUUUCAAGAGAAACGGCAAAGGCAAGAAGGGAAAUUCGAAGAAGAGCGGCAAGCCUGUUGCCAAUCCGCCGAAGAAACCCAAGGCUGGACCUAAGCCUGAAACAGAGUGCUUCUAUUGCAAGGGUAUGGGUCACUAGAAGCGCAAUUGCCCCAAGUAUCUGGCAGAUAAGAAGGCGGGCAAAGAAAAAUCAGGUAUAUUUGAUAUACAUGUUAUUGAUGUGUACUUAACCAGCUCUCGUAGUAGUGCCUGGGUAUUCGAUACCGGUUCUGUUGCUCAUAUUUGCAACUCGAAACAGGAACUGCGGAAUAUACGAAGGCUGGCGAAAGACGAAGUGACGAUGCGCGUAGGAAACGGUUCCAAGGUUGAUGCAAUCGCCGUCGGCACAGUGUCACUUCAGCUACCAUCGGGAUUAGUGAUGAACUUAAAUCAUUGUUAUUUAGUGCCUGCGUUGAGCAUGAACAUUAUAUCUGGAUCUUGUUUAUUGCGAGACGGUUACUCUUUUAAGUCUGAGAAUAAUGGUUGUUCAAUUUCUAUGAGUAACAUCUUUUAUGGUCAUGCACCGACUGUGAGAGGAUUGUUCAUAUUGAAUCUUGAUAGCGAUACACAUAUACAUAACAUUGAGACCAAAAGAGUUAGAGUAAACAAUGAUAGCGCCAUAUUUUUGUGGCACUGCCGCUUGGGUCAUAUUGGUGUAAAGCGCAUGAAGAAACUCCAUGCUGAUGGACUUUUGGAGUCACUUGACUUUGAUUCACUUGACACGUGCGAACCAUGCCUCAUGGGCAAGAUGACUAAGACUCCGUUCUCAGGAACAAUGGAGCGUGCAAGUGACUUGUUGGAAAUCAUACAUACCGAUGUGUGUGGUCCGAUGAGCGUGGAGGCACGCGGCGGAUAUCGUUAUUUUCUCACCUUCACUGACGAUUUAAGUAGAUAUGGUUAUGUCUACUUGAUGAAGCACAAGUCUGAAACAUUUGAAAAGUUCAAGCAAUUUCAGAGUGAAGUGGAAAAUCAUCGUAACAAGAAGAUCAAGUUCCUACGGUCUGAUCGUGGGGGUGAAUAUCUGAGUUUCGAGUUUGGUGCUCACUUAAGACAAUGUGGAAUUGUUUCGCAGUUAACACCGCCUGGAACACCACAGCGUAAUGGUGUGUCCGAACAUCGUAAUCGUACUUUGUUAGAGAUGGUGCGAUCUAUGAUGUCUCUUACUGAUUUGCCAUUAUCAUUUUGGGGUUAUGCAUUAGAAACAGUUGCAUUCACUUUAAAUAGGGCACCAUCAAAAUCCGUUGAGACGACACCAUACGAACUGUGGUAUGGCAAGAGGCCAAAAUUGUCGUUUCUUAAAGUUUGGGGAUAUGAUGCUUAUGUCAAAAAGCUUUAGCCUGAAAAGCUGGAACCCAAAGCGGAAAAAUGCGUCUUCAUAGGUUACCCAAAGGAGACAGUUGGGUACACCUUCUAUCUCAAAUCCGAGGGCAAAGUGUUUGUUGCUAAGAACGGAGCUUUUAUCGAGAAGGAGUUUCUCUCGAGAGAAUUGAGUGGGAGGAAGAUAGAACUUGACGAUGUUGUCGAACCUCUCAUCCCUCUGGAUGGUGGCGCAGGGCAAGGGGAAACCUCUGUCAUUGCGACGCCGGUUGAGGAAGAAGUUAAUGAUGAUGAUCAUGAAACUCCAGUUCAAGUUUCUGUUGAACCACGCAGGUCGACGAGGUCACGUGCUGCUCCAGAGUGGUACGGUAAUCCCAUCUUAUCAAUCAUGUUGUUAGACAACAAUGAACCUGCAAAUUAUGAAGAAGCAAUGGUGGGCCCAGAUUCCAACAAAUGGCUAGAAGCCAUGAAAUCCGAGAUAGGAUCCAUGUAUGAGAACAAAGUGUGGACUUUGGAGAUACUACCUAAGGGCCGCAAGGCUAUUCAGAACAAAUGGAUCUUUAAGAAGAAGACGGACGCUGACGGUAAUGUGACCGUUUAUAAAGCUCGACUUGUGGCAAAGGGUUUUUCACAAGUUCCAGGAGUUGACUACGAUGAGACUUUCUCACCCGUAGCGAUGCUUAAAGUCCGUCAGAAUCAUGUUAGCAAUAGCUGCAUUUUUCGAUUAUGAAAUCUGGCAGAUGGAUGUCAAAACGGCGUUCCUUAACGGUUUCCUUAAGGAAGAGUUGUAUAUGAUGCAACCCGAAGGAUUUGUCGAUCCUAAAAAUGCUGACAAGGUAUGCAAGCUCCAGCGAUCCAUUUAUGGACUGGUGCAAGCAUCUCGGAGUUGGAACAAACGCUUUGAUGAGGUGAUCAAAGCAUUUGGGUUUAUACAAGUGGUUGGAGAAUCUUGUAUUUACAAGAAAGUGAGUGGGAGCUCUGUGGCGUUUCUAAUAUUAUAUGUGGAUGACAUAUUACUGAUUGGAAACAACGUAGAGCUUUUGGAGAGCAUAAAAGGUUACUUGAAUAAAAGUUNNNNNNNNNNNNNNNNNNNNNNNNNNNNNNNNNNNNNNNNNNNNNNNNNNNNNNNNNNNNNNNNNNNNNNNNNNNNNNNNNNNNNNNNNNNNNNNNNNNNACAAGUUUGAUUGGCUAGUGAGAGAGAUCGGGCACUUUUGAGCUUAGGGAGCAACAAUGGAGCUUGGGAGGGUCAAAGGUAGGGUUCCACAGCAGGAAGAACCCCUUAUAUAGUGGGGGGGGGAAUCCAACCGUUUUCCCACUCACAGCCUGAGCCUAGCGGUACUACCGCUGGCUGCAACGGUACUACCGCUGGCAGCAGCGGUACUACCGCUGGGCCUAUGGUAGUGCAUAAGCAUUACCGGGCCAACCACCGCCAAGAAAGUCUUCGCAAAAAGGUCCGACGAAGUACAACCGCUAGGAAGGCGGUACUAAGCUCCUAGAGCGGUACUACCGCUAACCAGGGGCGGUACUACCGCCAGCACAAUGGUACUACCGCUAGGGCUAGCGGUACUACUGCUAGGGCCAGCGGUACUACCGCUAGGCACAGCGGUACUACCGCUAAGAGACCUUUUGCUUAGAUGAGAUAAAAACAGAGGUGGGAGCUACUCCAAAGUUGCAGGUAAGGGGAAAGGAGAUAAAGUGUGUGCGUGCAAAAUUGAUUCCACCCAAACCUUUCCACUACGGGUCCCCUCUUAAUAGUACGACGUUCCUAUGACUCAAAGAAGGAGAAUCAUAGAGUACACCGUGCUUCUGUUCCAUGGAAAGAGGGGGUGAGUCAUCUUGUGCCAUUGACAUGUGUUAUUUGAAAUCUUAACACACACGAUUAGUCCUUUGCGGUACUGUCAUCAAUCACCAAAAUUACUUAGGCAUAAAAUAUGCCCUAACAAUCUCCCCCUUUUUGGUGGAUUGAUGACAAUACCGGAUUUGCACAGUGAAUAGCAUGUGAACAUAAAGAUAGUGGUAUAGAAAAUUAAGGAGCAUAUGAUAGAAAUAAAUUUCACACUAGUUCAAGUCUCACAUCACACAAAGCAAAGAUAGCAAAUAAAAGCAAACCAAGUUCAAAGCAAACACGAUAAGAUAAGCAAAGCUCAAAUCUCAAAUCCAGCUCCUAGACUCUCUCCCCUUUGGCACAAGACACCAAAAAGGGGCACACCUAAUGACACAGGUGGUCACUCCUCAUCCUCAUCAGCCCCAGACUCGUCCGUGGCAUCCGGAUCGUCCUGAUCCUCCUCAUUGUCCUCCUCAGACGCCUCCUCCUCUGCAUCAGACCACUGAUAACCUUGAGCCCGCAUCCAAGCAGACUCUGGAGUGAUGUCGUCCUCUGAGCCGCUGGAGAUAUCAACAUCAAGUGUCCUCAGGACACGCUUGUGCCUCUGACGGUUCUCCUUCUGGGCCACAUGAGUCUGAUACUGUCCCUUGGCCUGCAUACAGAAGAGAGUCUUCAUUUUAUCCUUCAGUUUCACUGCCCAAGAUGGCAUAGCAGAAGAAUGGGACUGAGAAGCGGGGCCUCUUUCAGCAGCAGUCUCUAUGUCAGUGUCCAUGUGCUGAGACGAAGUGGAUGGGUUGACCCAUUUGUCCUUGAUGCGGAGCCUGAUAGGAUCGUGCACGAAGUAAUCAGCCUGAAGGUGGAACUCCUCAAUCAAGUAGGGCCCGUAGAUGGGAACCUUGCGGUUCAUGAUGCAGUUCCAGAGCUCAUUGAACAUCACAUCAGAAAUAUCGAGAGGGGCAGAUUCCUUAGUCCCAGCCUCCUCACAAAGCAGAAGCAUCUCAGCUAGAUAACCAUGCACCUUGUCAAAGUUGCCAAUGCGAGGAAAGAGAGUGUUGCGAAAGAUCCGAUGCAUGAUAUCUAGAUGCUUGGGGAGCACACCUUUCUUCACAUAAAGUUGUUGCAACCUGUCCUUGGCGGGGGCCCUAGUAGAUGAAGCUGGAGCAUGAGGACGCGACCCAAGAGGAUUGUCAGCUCCCUGAAAGUCGACCUUGAGAAACUUCAUGAAUUCUGACCAGGAACCUGUCAUCUUCUGAGUACCAGUCAUCCAAGUCAUGGUGCGCUCUUCAUCAGGCGAGAAGUGAACAGUGACAUAGAAUUGGGCGACAACAUCUGGAUCAAAGUCGCGCUUGAAGGUGAUGAUCUCCUUAAAGCCAAGCUUGUCAAUCAAAGAGAGAGCCUCACCAAAGUAAUCCGGGUUCCGCUGAAGGUGAGCCAAGUCAAUCCACUGAACUGGAACGAACAUCUUCUUGAAGUGCUUGAUGAUGUCGCGAUAGAUCCUGCAGUGAUCCCGUGACCAAACAUGCUCGACAUCCUUGAUCUGAGCCUUCUCUUCUAGAUAGUGAUUUUUGGUGCAGAACCGCAGAAAAUCCUUAGGGGGCAUAGUGCGAACGUUGACCCCCUUGUCCUUGUGAGCUGUCUUCUUGAAAGACUUCUUUUUGAGUUGCAUACCGGAAGUGGCGGAGCCCUCUGGAGCAUCUUGAGUGCGAUACUGCUUCGGCUGGGUGUCCCGUGGGGGAUUCGAGCGGCGAGCACAAGACACACAAGACACACACCAAAAAAGAGCGACAGGAGGAGUCAAGGCAACGAACAAAAAGAGGCAUAAAAGUAAACUCACAUUGCCAAGAAAAUAAAAAGAAGAAAAAUAUCCUCCUGGCGGUAGUACCGCUACCCCUGGCGGUAGUACCGCUGGGGUCCUAGCGGUAGUACCGCUACCCCUGGCGGUAGUACCGCUAGGGGGUUGGCUUUCAGAUCUGAAUAGAAAAAGACACAUAGGAACGGCUAGAUUGGAUUUACGAGGGCCAUGGGUAGUGCAUAUAAUCACUACAAAAACCACCAUAGCCCUAAACACAUGAGGAUCUCAAGAACUAGUGUACCGCGUAGAGGGCCAGGACCCCAGCGGUACUCAACUAAAGGUAAAGGAGGGAUCCAAUCAUGGAGCGAUAUACCUUUUGAUCCACUGCUUUACCAUUGGGAUCACUGUCAAGCUUGCAUCUUGUUGGCAUGGGGAACUUGACCGGCUUGACAUCUUCAAGCUCGAACCGUUUGAGCAUGUCUUGAGUGUGUUGGGGAACGUCGCAUGGGAAACAAAAUUUUCCUACGCGCACGAAGACCUAUCAUGGUGAUGUCCAUCUACGAGAGGGGAUGAGUGAUCUACGUACCCUCGUAGACCAUACAGCAGAAGCGUUAGAGAACGCGGUUGAUGUAGUGGAACGUCCUCACGUCCCUCGAUCCGCCCCGCGAACAAUCCCGCGAUCAGUCCCACAAUCUAGUACCGAACGGACGGCACCUCCGCGUUCACCACACGUACAGCUCGACGAUGAUCUCGGCCUUCUUGAUCCAGCAAGAGAGACGGAGAGGUAGAAGAGUUCUCCGACAGCGUGACGGCGCUCCGGAGGUUGGUGAUGACCUUGUCUCAGCAGGGCUCCGCCCGAGCUCCGCAGAAACGUGAUCUAGAGGAAAAACCGUGGAGGUAUGUGGUCGGGCUGCCGUGGAAAAGUCGUCUCAAAUCAGCCCNNNNNNNNNNNNNNNNNNNNNNNNNNNNNNNNNNNNNNNNNNNNNNNNNNNNNNNNNNNNNNNNNNNNNNNNNNNNNNNNNNNNNNNNNNNNNNNNNNNNCUGCCCUUACUUGGACAAGCAUCCCACUUAUGAUUAACCCCUCUCGCAAGUGCUACGGCAACAAAAGUCCAUCCCUAGCAACGCCAGGAAUUCUUCUUGCUACUUCUCUUGUUCGCGUCGGUUUUUCCCUUGAAGAGGAAAGGGUGAUGCAGCACAGGAGCAGUAAGUAUUUCCCUCAUUUUGAGAACCAAGGUAUCGAUCCAGAAGGAGGGUCUCGUCAAGUCCAGAGUACCUGCGCAAAAACAAACGAACUUGCACCCAACGCUUCAAAGGGGUUAUCAAUACCUCCAAGAUUGUUUGCAAAGUGAGAUCUGAAGGCGGAAAGUGCAACGAAGUAAAAAGUGUAAGGCUGAAAAUAUGGUGUGGAGUAGACCCGGGGGCCAUAGUGUUCACUAGAGGCUUCUCUCAAAAUAGCAAAUAUCACGGUGGGUGAACAAAUUACUGUCGAGCAAUUGAUAGAACCGCGCAAAGUCAUGACGAUAUCUAAGGCAAUGAUCAUACAUAUAGGCAUCACGUCCGGGACAAGUAGACCGAUACUUUCUACAUCUACUACUAUUACUCCACACAUCGACCGCUAUCCAGCAUGCAUCUAGUGUAUUGAGUUCAUGACGAACAGAGUAACGCCUUAAGCAAGAUGACGUGAUGUAGAGGGAUAAUAUCAAACCAAUGAUGAAAACCCCAUCUUUUUUACCCUUGAUGGCNNNNNNNNNNNNNNNNNNNNNNNNNNNNNNNNNNNNNNNNNNNNNNNNNNNNNNNNNNNNNNNNNNNNNNNNNNNNNNNNNNNNNNNNNNNNNNNNNNNNGGGCUGCCGUGGAAAAGUCGUCUCAAAUCAGACCUAAAACCUCCGUAUAUAUAGGUGGGAGGGAGGGGGGCCUUGCCUUGGGGUCCAAGGACCCUCAAGGGGUCGGCCGAGCCAAGGGGGAGGACUCUCCCCCCCCCAAACCGAGUUGGACUAGGUUUUGUGGGAGGGAGUCCCCCUCCCUUCCCACCUCCUCCUUUUUUUUCUUUUUCCUUUGAUUUCUUAUCCUUGGCGCAUAGAGCCCUUUUGGGCUGUCCCACCAGCCCACUAAGGGCUGGUGCGCCACCCUUAUGGCCUAUGGGCUUCCCCGGGGUGGGUUGCCCCCCCCGGUGAACUCCCGGAACCCAUUCGUCAUUCCCGGUACAUUCCCGGUAACUCCGAAAACCUUCCGGUAAUCAAAUGAGGUCAUCCUAUAUAUCAAUCUUCGUUUCCGGACCACUCCGGAAACCCUCGUGACGUCCGUGAUCUCAUCCGGGACUCCGAACAACAUUUGGUAACCAACCAUAUAACUCAAAUACGCAUAAAACAACAUCGAACCUUAAGUGUGNNNNNNNNNNNNNNNNNNNNNNNNNNNNNNNNNNNNNNNNNNNNNNNNNNNNNNNNNNNNNNNNNNNNNNNNNNNNNNNNNNNNNNNNNNNNNNNNNNNNCGACAACAGUCAUCAAGUUGCAAUGAGUUUGACUAACAUUGAAUGCAAGCAUGAACAAGAUAUAAAUCACCAUGAACACGAACAUCAUAGAGGCUAUGUUGAUUUUGUUUCAACUACAUGCAUGAACAUGCGCUAUGUCAAGCCACUUGAAACAUUCAAAGGUGAAUACCAUCCUAUCAUACUACAUUAUAGGCAUCUCAAAAUCUAUGUUGGCAUUCAAGACAAACCAUUAUAAGCUCCUAGCUAAAUAAGCAUGGCAUCACAAACUAUGAUCUCUAAGUUGUGAUUGCAAACAUGGUUCUCUCACAACAAAGCUGAAUCUGGGAUGAUAAGCUAGUCAUAUUUACAAAAACAAAAUAGAUAGAGUUCAUACCAACUUUUCAGUCUCAGUCAUUUCAUCAUGUAUCAUAAUUAUUGCCUUUGAUUUGCACGACCGAACGAGGUGAACAAUAAUAAGAGUGCUCGUUCAAUGGACUAAGCUGAAUCUGCAGGCAAACACAAAGGAGAAGACAAAGUAAUAUGGAUCUUUGAAAGCUAAACAGGUAUGCAUGCAAGAGCCACUAAACAUUGUAACCAAUAUCUUCUACCUUGACCCAAAGAAAAAUAAAACUAUUUACACGGGAAAGCUCCCAACAAGCAAAAGAAGAAAGGAAAAUAUUUUUGGGUUUUCUCAAAAGGACACAAAACAAGAAACAAGAAAAUGAAAAUAAACUAGCAUAGAUAAUAAAGUGGCAAAGUGUAAACACUGGCUAACAAAGCAUAAGCAUGAAUAUAAAGUCGGUGAGAAACACGUACUCCCCCAAGCUUAGGCUUUUGGCCUAGCUUGGUCUACUCCCAUGGUGGGAAAUCACCAGCUCCAGGAUACUCCGGAGCAGAUUGUGGAUGUCACUGUUGUGUGAGCUCCUCUGGCUCCCACUGAUAAACUGGCGUCUGGUACUCGACUGGUGGCUCGGGCACAGGCGUCGGUGGUUGGGCCAAGCCCCAAUACGCGUAGAUGUCCGAAGGCAUAAUAGUGUACCUGCCUGCAUGAAGAUCGAACAAAGAAGGAGUAGGCAAAGUAAUAGUCGCUCGAGUACCCUGACUAAAUACCAGGUUAUAAAUCAUCCUUCUACUAGCAUCUCUAUCCAGAAAAUCAUGGCGAACCAUGCUGUCAUAAUCCAGAUAUUUCUUGGGGAGAAGCAUCUAUCCUUCCUCUCCCAGUCUAAUGGGUAUCUCAAAGUGUCUGGCAAGACGGGUAGCAUAGAUACCUCCAUAGACGACACCCUUGGAACGGUUGAUGUUCAACCGCUGGGCCACUAUAGCACCUAGGCUGUAAGUCUUAUCGUUAUAAAGGCCUUCGCGCAAAACCUCAAGGUCUGGAGAACUAAGUGAUCCAGCCUCCCCACGGCCUAUCAAACAUUUUCCCACAAAUAGUGAGAAGUACCGAAGCACAGGAAAACGUAUGCUAGCAAUUCUAGCACGAGACACUCCACUCUCCUCUCCAACAGCAAUAGUACCAAUGAAAUCCUCCAAGUCCCGUGGACGAGGGUCACGGAUAUCCCCAACAUAAGGUAAUUUGCAUACAUUGCAAAAAUCAUGUAGUAUCAUGCACUUGGGGAUGUCAUAUAUCAUGAACUCAACCAUGGGAGGAUUCUUCCUCGGAUAAAAGUUGAAGCUUUGAACGAAAAUAUUGGUGAGGAGGAGGUAUUGAGAGCACUUAUCUUCAACGAACGCAGUAAGACCUGCGUUCUCCACCAACUAAUAAAAGUCUUCAUAAAGCCCACCGGCGCGCAAGAAUUCAUCACUUGGCCACUCGCACGCUCGAACUUCUGUGACUCGAGGGACUACGUACUUGGGGUGGUUCUUCUCAUCCUCCUUGGGGUUACGGCUUGAAGAGCCUCUCAAGAACCUCUUCAUCUUUUCCUUUUUCUAGCUCUGAAAAAUUCUGAAAUUUUUAGAGACUUCGAAAGAAAAGUGAAUAAAGAUUAACCCAACUUGUAGCAACUACUCCUACUAGUGCCUAGAGACCGUAUCAUGCGCUAAAACUACUUGGGACCAGCUAAAAUCAACAUUUCUAGCUCAAGAACAAGGUCACCAAGGUAGCAAGAAUACGCGAAAGAUAAAGCACUAGAGCAAAAACUAAUUGGACCAAUGGAGGAGUCACUUACCAAGGAGUAAUUUCCCCAAAACGGUUCGGAGAAUGGUGCUUUGAGCAAGGAGAUCGAAAAUCACAGCCAAAUGAGCAAGAACACGGGUCUGAGCUGCGAAACAAUUUUUUCUGGAGGUGGAAGAAGAGGCUGGGAGCUGGAAUGAGUGGAGGGGGUCCCUGUGGGCCCCACAAGCUUGCUCUCCGCCACCAGGGGUGGCGGUGGCAGGGCUUGUGGCCCACUGGUCUGGCCCCCAGGCCAGCUCUCAGGCCCAAAAAAUUUCAAAUAUUCCAGAAAAAAUGAUACUAAAUUUUCAGGACCAUCGAAGAACUUUUAUUUUCGAGGUAUUUUAAUCCGGGACGCUAAAACAAAAAACAGGAAAAACUAAACUAAAUCCAGCAUUUUUCUUCUAAGCAAAAGAAAAUGAAAGCUUAAAACAGAGGUAUGUGACUCUUUGAUUCAUCCAUUUCAUGGUCAUCGAAAGAAAUCCGUCAAUAGGAUUGAUCAAGUCCUCAUGACAAAACCUUCUCGAAUCUCAAGAGAGAAUGGAGAAUUUUCGAAUAACCACUAAGUCACCUCAAUGGGGAUAUGUAUCUCCCCAACAAGCAAAUCAUACUUCGUCUUGACACGAGGAAUAGGGCAUUCCAAGCUCCCAAUAAGAAUCGAUGAAGUCUUUUCGAUAGCAUUGAUGCAAUGUACUUGCUAUCGUUUCUUCGGAAAGUGCACUGUGUGCUCAUUACCGUUGACGUGGAAAGUGACAUUGCCUUUGUUGCAAUCUAUAACAGCCCAUGCGGUGUUUAAAAAGGGUCUUCCGAGGAUGAUAGCCAUGGCAUCGUCCUCGGGAAUAUCCAAGAUAACAAAGUCUGUUAAGAUAGUGGUGUUAGCAACCACAACAGGCACAUCCUCGCAAAUGUCGAUAGGGAAAGCAGUUGAUUUGUCGGCCACUUGCAAAGAAAUUUCAGUGGGUGUCAACUUACCCAAUUCAAGUCUACGAUAAAGAGAGAGAGGCAUAACACUAACAUCGGCUCCAAGGUCACAUAAGGCAGUUCUUACGUAGUUUCCUUUAAUGGAGCAAGGUAUACUGGGCACUCCGGGAUCACCAAGUUUCUUAGGAGUUCCACCUUUGAAAGUGUAAUUGGCAAGCAUGGUGGAGAACUCCAGAUCUGGUAUCUUCCGUUUAUUAGUCACGAUAUCCUUCAUGUACUUGGCAUAGGGAGACAUCUUGAGCAUAUCAGUUAACCGCAUCUGCAGAAAGAUGGGUCUUAUCAUAUCAAUGAAACGCUCAAAAUCCUCAUCAUCCUUUUUCUUGGAUGGCUUAGGAGGAAAGGGCAUAGAUCUCUGAACCCAUGGCUCCCUUUCUUUACCAUGCUUCCUAGCAGUGAAGUCAUUCUUAUCAUAUCUCUUAGGUUGUGGGUUAUCAGGAUUAACCGUAGGUUCAGUCUCCACAUCCUCAUCAUUGCUAGGUUGAGCAUCAUUAUGAACAUCACUAUCCAUAUUGUCACCAGGUUGAUGUUCAUCACCAGAUUGUGUUUCUGCAUCACACGCAGAAAUAUCAUUAGGUUCUUCAGGUGUGACAGUAUUUGGUGAACUGGCAUGUAGGUUUCUAUCAUCCUUCUUCUUCUCCUUAGGAUGACUGGGUGUAUCAACAUUGAUUCCUUGAGAAUCUUGAUCAAUUCUCUUAGGAUGACCUUCAGGAUACAAAGGUUCCUGAGUCAUUUUGCCUCCUCUAGUAAUGACUCUGACAGAGUUGUCAUUUAAUUCAUUGAGCAAGUCAUUCUGAGCUUUAAGUACUUGUUCUACCUGAGUACUAAUCAUAGAGGCAUGUUUACUCAGAAGCUUCAGAUCAUUGACAUUUCUGUCUACACAAGCACUCAAAUGGCUCACCAUACGAGUACUUUGUUCCAAAUUUCUGCUAACAUAAUCAUUGAAACUCUGUUGUUUGGCAACAAAGUUGUCAAAUUCAUCAAAGCAUAGGCUAGCAGGUUUGCCAAAAGGAAGAUCACUCUCAUCAAACCUACGCAGAGAAUUCACUUCUACUACUUGUAUCGGGUUAUCGAGACCAUGGAUCUCUUCGAUAGGUGGUAGAUUUUUGACAUCUUCAGAUCUAAUGCCUUUCUCUUGCAUAGAUUUCUUGGCUUCUUGCAUAUCUUCAGGACUGAGGAAUAGAAUACCUCUUUUCUUAGGAGUUGGCUUAGGAGGUGGUUCGGGAAUAGUCCAAGCAUUAUCGUUGAUCAAGAUGUUAUUCAGUAGGGUCUCAGCUUGUUCUACAGUUCGUUCCCUAAAAACACAACAGGCACAACUAUCUAGAUGGUCUCUAGAGGCAUCGGUAAGUCCGUUAUAGAGUAUAUCAAGUAUCUCGUUCCUCUUAAGAGGGUGAUCAGGCAAAGCAUUCUGUAGCUGGACGAGCCUCCCCCAAGCUUGUGCGAGACUCUCUUCUUGGAGUUGAGCAAAGUUGUAUAUUUCCUCCAAGGCAACUUGCUUCUUAUGGGCAGGGAAUUAUUUCUCACAAAAGUAAGAGACCAUAUCCUGGGGACUACUCACACAUCCAGGAGCAAGAGAGGUGAACCGGGCUUUAGCGUCAUCCUUUAGAGAGAAAGGAAACAGCUUAAGGAUAUAGUAGUGGCGGAUCUUCUCCUCAUUAGUGAAAAGGGUGGCUAUAUCGUGUAGUUUGGCAAGAUGGGCUAUGACCGCCUCAGACUCAUAACCGUGAAAAGGAUCAGAUUCGACUAGAGAGAUUAUCUCAGGAUUGACAGAGAAUUCAUAAUCCUUAUCUGUGAUAAAGAUAGGUGAAGUGGCAAACUUCGGGUCGUAUUUCAUCCUAGCUUUUAGAGAUUUUUCCUUCCACUUGAGAAGUAAUUUCUCAGCGUCAUAGGCAUCCUUACACGCAAGAAAAUCCUCAGCUAUAUCUCCCUCCAUAACGUAACCCUCAGGUAUAUCAGGCAAUUCAUAUCUAGGAGAGCUAGAUCUAACAGGAGCAAAAGCAGGUUCUAUCUCAAUGGUAUCGCUAGUUUCAGAAGCAUCACGAGCGUUGGCAGUAACUCUAGCAAUAUGAGCAUCAAGUAAUACUUCUAGUGGAACAUCAGGCAAAGUAGUAUCUCUAGCAGUAUCAAGCAUAGCAUUAUCAGGCAAAAUAGCAUCUCUAGCAUCAAAGGGCAAAGCAGUAUCAAGCAUAGCAUUUCUAGCAGUAUCAAGCAUAGUAUCUCUGGCAGUAUCAGGCAAAGCAGUAUCAGGCAUAGCAUCUCUAGCAAUAUCAGGCAUAGUAUCAAGCAUAACAUCUCUAGCAGUAGCAUCAUAAGCAUCAUGAAGCACAAGCGACAUAUCAAGAUUUCUAGCAGGAGGUGAUGUCGCAAACUUACUCAUAACUGAAGGUGAAUCAAGUGCAGAGCUAGAUGGCAAUUCCUUACCUCCCCUCGUAGUUGAGGGCAAGACUUCGGUUUUUGGAUCCUUCAGAUUCUUCAUAGUGAUCAGCAGAUAUAAAUCCCAAGUGACUCAGGAAAUAUAGCAAUACCUCCCCGGCAACGGCGCCAGAAAAAUGCUGACUGACACUCUCUGGCAAUAGCUAGACGAAUGUUGAUUCUGUGACAACAAACUUUCCCUUGGAACGACACCAAAAGAAUGCUGCUAGCACUCCCCGGCAACGGCACUAGAAGAAUGUUGUUGAUGGCCCACCAGCGCGUGGGUUCGCAACAGUUUUCGAGGGUAGAGUAUUCGACCCAAAUUUGUUGAUCGCCAAUCAGGAGGUGAGAGAAUACUCUCGAGUAUUAGCAGCUAAAUGUGUCAGAUUCAACCGCACCUGAAAGAUUAAUAUCUGCAAGCAAAGUAGUAACAGCAAAGUAGCGAGUAACGGCAGUGGCAAGGAACAGCAGUAGUGACAGCAGAAGCAAGUAGCAACAGUAGUAGCAACAGUAGCAGCAGAGCAAGACAAGAAACAGCAGCAGAGCAAGACAAGUAACAGCAGCAGUAGGACAAACUCGUAGGCAAUGGGUCGGUGAUUUGUUUGGAUGAUAUUCAUCAUGCAACAGUUAUAACACGGAGAGAUAUGUGGCUAGCUCCCAUUCGUCAAUGUGAUGUAGGCAUGCAUUUCGUGUGUCGUCAUACGUGCUUAGGGAAAAGAACUUCCAUGACAUCUAUUUUCCAUCCCUCCCAUAGCAGCGGGGUCCAAAAGGAAACUACGGGAUAUUAAGGUUCUCCUUUUAAUAAAGAACCGGACCAACGCAUUAUCACUUGGUGAACACAUGAACUCCUCAAACUAUGGUCAUCACCGGGAGUGGNNNNNNNNNNNNNNNNNNNNNNNNNNNNNNNNNNNNNNNNNNNNNNNNNNNNNNNNNNNNNNNNNNNNNNNNNNNNNNNNNNNNNNNNNNNNNNNNNNNNNNNNNNNNNNNNNNNNNNNNNNNNNNNNNNNNNNNNNNNNNNNNNNNNNNNNNNNNNNNNNNNNNNNNNNNNNNNNNNNNNNNNNNNNNNNNNNNNNNNNNNNNNNNNNNNNNNNNNNNNNNNNNNNNNNNNNNNNNNNNNNNNNNNNNNNNNNNNNNNNNNNNNNNNNNNNNNNNNNNNNNNNNNNNNNNNNNNNNNNNNNNNUAGCAACAUCAAUCUCACAACAUAGUGGAUACUAGGGAUCAAUCCCCAUCAAAACUAACUCAAUUACAUGAUAGAUCUCAUCCUACUCAUCACCACCCAGCGAGCCUACGAAUAGAUUACUCACGAACGACGAAGAGCUUCAUGGAAUUGGAGAGGGAAGAAGGUUGAUGAUGACGAUGGCGACGAUUUCCCCUCUCCGGAGCCCAAAUCGGACUCCAGAUCUGCCCUCGAGAUGAAGAACAGGUUGUGGCGGCGCCUCCGUAUCGCAAACGCGACGAAAUCUUCUCUUUUUAUUUUUUUCUGGGAUGAAAGUGAACUUAUAGAGCUGAGAUUGGGGGCAGCAGAGCUACGUGGGCCCCACAAGCUUGCCCACCGCCACCAGGGGGGUUGCGGUAGCAGGGCUUGUGGCCCACUGGCCCACCCCCUCAGGUGGAUCUUUGUGCAGGUAUUUUCCAUAUUUUCCAAAAAUGUUCCCCGUAAAUUUUCAGGACGUUCGGAGAACUUUGAUUUCUGCACGAAAAUAACACCAAGGCAAUUCUGCUGAAAACAGUGUCAGUCCAGGUUAGUUCCAUUCAAAUCAUGCAAAUUAGAGUCCAAAACAAGGGCAAAAGAGUUUGGAAAAGUAGAUACGAUGGAGACGUAUCACACCUCACUACACCAUCACUUGUUACCGCUACUUUCAGUGCUUGCAGUUAUUACCUUGCUGAAAACCGUUUAUCACAGCCUUCUGCUCCUCGUUGGGUUCGACACUCUUACUUAUCGAAAGGACUACAAUUGAUCCCCUAUACUUGUGGGUCAUCACUUACCAAACAUGGCAACUGUCAUAUUGGACACAUGCUUUUUUAAGCCGGUUAGCUCUUGCUGGGCGGCUUCCAAUUUCUCCUCCGCCUGCUCAGCACGCUUAAGAAUGGCGGCUUGAUCGGCCUUGGCUUUCUUCUCAAAACAAUCUGGUCAGCCUUCAUCUUCUCCAGCUCAGCCUGCAGUACGCGGAAUUUCAUCUCCAACUCGGAGUGGGCAUCCUGUUGUUCAGCCAGAUUUUUCUUUAAGUCGGCCACCGCCGACUCAGUCUGUGUCACAGACUCCUGCACAUCAAAUUUGGGAGACAAGUUUCAGCAUUACUGCAAGCAAUACUCCUGAUACUUCGGGGCUAAUGUAUGGUUUUUAUCAAAAUAAUACCGUAUGCAAAACCCGGCUCAUCUUCCAAAAAGAUGACCCGGCCCUUGGGGGCUAUAUGGUUGAAGCUUUUUCUCGAAUACAAGACCCGGCUCAUCUUCCAAAAGAUGACCCGGCCCUUGGGGGCUACAGGUUGGAGAUUCUUUCUAAUACAAAACCCGGCUCAUCUUCCAAAAAGAUGACCCGGCCCUUGGGGGCUAUAUGGUUGAAGCUUUCUCUCUAAUACAAGACCCGGCUCAUCUUCCAAAAGAUGACUCGGCCCUUGGGGCUACAGGUUGGAGAUUUUUUCUAAUACAAGACUCGGCUCAUCUUUCAAAAGAUGAGCCGGCCCUUGGGGGCUACAGGUUGGAGCUUUUUCUCUAAUUCUAGACCCGGCUCAUCUUUCAAAAGAUGACCCGGCCCUUGGGGGCUACAGGUUGGAGAUUUUCUAUUCAAAGACCUGGCUCAUCUUUUAACAGAUGAGCCGGCCCUUGGAAGGCUAAUGGGUGCAGGAAAAUACAUCAACAUACGUACCUCAUGUUUAGUCCUCAUAAGACGGAUCAAGCUCUUGUUCAGUUCGUAGUCUCUCUCCAGAUAACUUGUGAAGCCGGAACAAAGUUGGUGGAACUCCAGCUUCUCAUAUUGAGGGAGCUUGAGGGGGUUUGUGUCUUCAUCAGGGGAAAGGCGAGUUGCCUUGGAGGUAUGUUUGGAAAGCACGGCAGUUUGAGGAGUGGAGUAGCCAAUGCCAGUGACCACGACGUCUGGAUCGUCAGUCGCCUUGAGUGGGCUUGGCGGGUUACUCUUACCAGCGGUCUCCUUCAAAAUGACGGGCGAGUCAUCCCGGGUUUCGGGAAUAUCGUCCGCAGGAAUAUCAUAAGCCGCCGUUUGCUCCUCAUCAGCCUCAAGAACAGAGGUGCUCGUGCCUAAGGCAUCAGAUGUUCGGAGAGCAGAAGGAGAGUCGCCGGUUUUUCUUCUCUUUGCUUGUGCCCUGCGACAAAAGCACCAAGAUUAAAAGCACAUAUCAUUGUUUAGGAAAAAUUGGAUUAGCAAAGAAGACUCACCCUUGCACACGAAUCAUCGGCGGGAGAGUAGAUAUUGCCGAGUCGCCAAAUGUAGGGGGAGAAGUCUGACAGAACAAAGGCUUGAGGUUGACAAAGUGGCGAGUCAUAGUUUACACGACAAAGGGUAUGAUAAAACAAGGAUGUACCUCGUUGGUGCGUUUCUAACCGGUUGUCUUCUCAGGCAGUCCAGUGAUCAACUCGCCAGAGCGACUACGGGUCUUGCGCGUGGGGGUAAAUCUUGCUUUCUCCAAAAGGAAAUCAGGGUCCAUAUAAGCAUGUGGAUGAGACAUGGGCAUCUUUCUGCAGAUCCUCCUGGCUGGUCUAGGGGAAGGAGAAGGUGAGUCGGAAGAAAUGGAAAUUACCUCGACUGCAUCGUUUUUGCUCUCAUGAUCCUCGCCCUACACAUAAGGAUUCAUGGUAUAAAUGUAAGUCGGAACACAUAGAUGAUGAGUGAAGGGGAAACAUUACCUCUGAAUGUGCCUCAUCUGCUUGUGAGUCGCCAACAAAAGAUGAAUCUUUGGUGGCGGUUUUCUUUUUGCUCACCGUUUUCUUCUUUUUUGGCGGCGCCUUGGUGGACUUCGGGGCGACUGCUUUGGGGCCCCUUCGCCAAAAUACAUCGGUUUUCUGAUCGAUAGAGGCAAAUGUUAAGCCAAGAACAUUGUUAAGCAUAAAAGAGACAAAUGGCGGCUUGGAUUCUUACUGGUGGCACCGGGUUGGCGCGAAAGAAGGCCUUAAGACCAAUCUUGGCACAUUCUUCCAAGGUUUCGCCGGUUUGUUUCUUGAUGACUCCGACAAUUUCGCUCUCUGAGAGUGUGUGGCGACUGAAGCAUUGGGGAUGGUCUACUGUACCGUCGUAGUCAUACAUCAGCCCGUCUCGGCGGCUCAGGGUAAGGAUGUUCCAUUCUAUCCAGCAGCGGAAUAGGUCAAUCCCGAUGAGCCCGUUGUUGUUCAGAGACUUCAACUCGGAGAAGAUUGGGAUAAACUCCGACUCUUCUUCUUCUGUGAGCUUAUCGGGAAAUUUGAAGUCCAUGGGCAGGCGGUCUGCUGUGAAGCCCGAAAGAGGGUUCUCGUCGGGCGGAGAAGUGUCUCGGCAGUAGAACCAUGACUUGGCCCAGACUUUGGGAUGGCUGGGCAGAAGAACUGUCGGAAAUCCACGUUCGCGGCGUCUUUGGAUGUUGACUCCUCCGAGCUCGUGGUUGGGACCGUUGGGAAACUUGGUCUGGUGGUUUAGAUGGAAAAAGUUCCAGAAUAAGGGGAUCACGGGUUCUCUCUGCAAAUAUACUUCGCAGAAGACCUGGAACUGGCACAGGUUGCUGAUGGAGUUGGGUCCGAGAUCUUGAGGAUGGACGUUGAGGAAAUGCAGGACGUCUCGGAAAAACUUUGACCCGGGCGGUUUAAAACCGCGCUCAAGGUAAUCAGUAAAGAUUACUACCUCUUCUGGAGCAGGGUUGGGAGUCAACUCGCCCGGGGCGGUUCUCCAACCAAUGGUUUCCUUGCUGUCAAGGAGACCCACCUUAACAAACUUAUCGAGCGUGGCAUCGUCGACUGUGGUUGGUAACUAGUCACACUUCGUAAUGGCCAUGACUACAAAAGAGAGGGGAACGAGGCGACUUAGUAAAAGACUAGGAAAUGUUCUAACCCGCCGGUAUGGGUCUACGGUGUUCGUAAAAGAUUUGGUAACCCGCCAAAUGGUUGAUGUAAGUCGCACCCGUUAUUUGGGCGAUCUAUGGGCAUAUCUUCAAAAGUAUUCUGACUCGCCCUUUAGACUGGAAGAGAAGGUGUCAUAGCUAUAGUAACAAACCUAAGUCGCUAUGAAGGCUGGAGCUAAACGGCGACUUUCAGAGGUGUUUUAUUCCUCAGAGAUAUUCACAGUAGAUGAACAAACAUGUUUCUAAAGAUAGGCAGUAAGUUGUGGAUCUACGAGUAGGUCAAAAUAGAAGGAUAUUGCCUGGAAUAAUGAUAGUGAACUAUGCAUAUAAUGCAGCGACAGCGUUGGUCAGCAGUAUGUAGGUUUAAGCUGGCAAAAGGACAUGAUUAAAUGGCCGAAGCCUGCUACUACCGAAGGUCAAUCACGAGACAUUGGAAUGGGUCUAAAGCAGUUAAGGGUGUUCAUCGCAUUAUGGAAGCUAGCUCGCAAGAGGCUACAGUCAUGGCGUUCUCGGCCUAACCCUAAAUGGGGGAAUGUGUGUACCUGAGAGCAGGAGAUCGCUCUCGGGGACGAAUGCGUAGUGCUUCGUGUUCCUUAACCCCCGGAAGGUCGCGGUUGAUGGAGAAGCUCCAGGAGCCGGAGACGACGUCGGGGCGCUGGUGCUCGGAGGCGAGGUGCGCGAGGAAGACGAGGAAGAGAUGGAGGUUGGUGACGGGGUCUCCUUCCCCCCAUUUCCCUUGCUAUUUAAAGGGCAGGAAUGGAAAUCGAGGUUGUCGGGGCAGAAAUCGAGGCAACAAGUCAGAGGUUGCGAUGAUGACGCCUAGAUUCUCGGGAUAAGUAAUUAUGAGCGAAAGAUCCGUUGAUGGUUGCGGAGGUGAGAGCCCCAGAACUAAGGGGAUGAGGUGAUAUCAUCCAGUAUUCCAUGGCGACUCAGAUUAGGUGACAACGGGAGGCGACUUGUCAUUCGUCGAAGGACAGAAAUGGGGAGAGUCGCCCCAAGUUGAUGGGAGUCUAUUGACAUGAAUGAAUUCAAGAUGAUCUGGGGCCUAAUGUUGGGGAUAUUACCUAUGGGUGACCCGCCCCUAGUGGACCGGGUCACCAAAAGGGUGACUCACCAUUGGUUGUGCGUCCCGUAGCCCAGAUGCUGAUUGAGGUUCGAGAGGUCGUGCGGAUUACCAAGAAAGCUCCUGGUCAUGGGGAACACGGCGACUUAAAGAUAAGGAAAGUCACAAAGAGUAGAAGGUCAGGACUUUGUAAACCCUAGGGCCUCGACCAGUAUAUAAAGGUGAGUCCCAGGGAGAGGUCAGGAGAGUUAGAGAGAAUCGAGAGCUAGGUCACGCGAGUUACGCCCUCCUUGUAAUCGAAACCACCAUUCAUAGCAGGAUGUAGGCUUUGACCUCCUCAUGAGGGGCUGAACCUGGGUAAAUCUGAGUCUCGCUUUCUCUCACCCCCUUCGAGUCGCCACCAAGGUUCGAUGGCUCCAUCUAUAAGUCCUUUCACGAGGACAUCUGCCAUGACAAAACCACGACAGGUAGCAAGAAGGAUUUCUGGCGCCGUUGCCGGGGAGUAUUCAAAGUGAAGCAUAUCCAAGUAACUAUCGCGGACUCAUCUCUUGCAUUUACAUUAUUUGCCUUUUGCCUCUCAUUUUCCUCUCCCCCACUUGUGAAAAAACAAAAUUUACAAAAAUAUUUGCCUUUUUUUGUUCACCCUUUCUUUCGCUUGCUUUCUGUUCGCUUGUGUGCUUGUCUGCUUGCUAAGUCACCAUGACUGAAAACACCAAAGUGUGUGACUUCUCGAAUACUAAUAAUAAUGAUUUUAUUAGUACUCCGAUUACUCCCGCCACUAGUGCGGAAUCUUAUGAAAUCAAUGCUGCAUUGCUGAAUCCUGUUAUGAAAGAGCAAUUUUCCGGCCUUCCCAGUGAAGAUGUUGCAUCCCAUCUUAAUACCUUCAUUGAGUUAUGCGAUAGGCAAAAGAAGAAAGAUGUGGGUAAUGAUGUGAUUAAAUUGAAUCUAUUUCCGUUCUCAUUACGAGAUCGAGCAAAAACUUGGUUUUCAUCUUUACCCAAAAAUAGUAUUGAUUCUUGGAACAAAUGUGAAGAUGCUUAUAUUUCCAAGUAUUUUCCACCGGCUAAGAUUAUCUCUCUUCGUAAUGAUAUCAUGAAUUUUAAGCAACAAGAUCAUGAACAUGUUGCACAAUCUUGGGAGAGAAUGAAAUUGAUGAUUAGAAAUUGUCCCGCUCAUGGCCUGAGUCUUUGGAUGAUUAUACAAAUCUUCUAUGCUGGUUUGAAUUUUGCUUCUAGAAAUAUCUUGGAUUCCGCCUCCGGUGGAACUUUCAUGGAAAUCACAUUAGGAGAAGCCACAAAAAUCCUAGAUAAUAUCAUGACAAACUAUUCUCAAUGGCACACUGAAAGGUCACCUACUAGUAAAAAAGUGCAUGCUAUAGCAGAAAUUAACUCUUUGAGUGCUAAGAUGGAUGAGUUAAUGAAAUUGUUUGCCAGUAAAAGUGCUCCUUUAGAUCCUAAUGAUAUGCCUUUGUCUUCCUUGAUUGAGAAUAGCAAUGAAAGCUUGGAUGUUAAUUUUGUUGGUAGGAAUAAUUUUGGCAACAACAAUGCUUAUAGAGGUAAUUUUAAUCCUAGGACUUUUCCUAGUAUUCCCUCUAAUAACUUUGGCAAUUCCUACAACAAUUCUCAUGGAAAUUACAAUAAAUUACCCUCUGAUCUUGAGAGUAAUAUUAAAGAGUUUAUCAACUCGCAAAAGAUUCUCAGUGCGUCCAUAGAAGAAAAACUGCUCAAAAUUGUUGACUUGGCUAUGACCGUUGAUAGAAUGUCUCUUGAUAUUGAUGCUUUGAAAUUUAGAUGUGCUCCUACCAAGAUUAAUAUGGAUGAAACCUUGAAAGCUAUGUGUGUUUCCAUGAAUGAUAGUAAAGAAAGAACCGCCCAAAUUCGUGCUAGACAUGAAUGGCUUAAAAAGGCGUGUUCUCGUGAUGAGAAUCACAAAGAUCUCAAAGUGCUUGGUGUGACUCCUUUUGAAUCCUUGUUUUCUAAUGUCAAUCCUAAUGAUGAUGGGUCUUAAUAUGAAUCCACUUUGGUUGAGAAACGCCCCAAUGAUUCGGAGUCUAUUUGUCUUGAUACUAAAAGCACUCAAAGUGGAGUAGAGGAUAUCAAAACUUUCAGUAGUGAUGAAAUUACUACUUUGGAUUUCAAGGAAUUCAAUUAUGAUAGUUUCUCUUUGAUUGAAUGUAUUUCUUUUAUGCAAUCCAUGCUAAACUCUCCACAUGCUUAUAGCCAAAAUAAGGCUUUUACCGAUCAUAUUGUUGAUGCUAUGAUGAAAUCUCUUGAAGAGAAACUUGAGUUGGAGAUAUCUAUUCCUAGAAAACUUCCUGAUGAGUGGGAACCUACUAUCAAAAUAAAGAUUAAAAACUAUGAAUGCAAUGCUUUGUGUGAUUUGGGUGCUAGUGUUUCCGCUAUUCCAAAGUCUUUAUGUGAUGUUCUAGGCUUCAAUGUGAUUGAUGAGUGCUCUCUUAAUUUGCAUCUUGCGGAUUCUACUAUUAAGAAACCUAUGGGAAGGAUCAAUGAUGUUAUUAUUAUUGCAAAUAGGAACUAUGUUCCCGUAGAUUUCCUUGUGCUUGAUAUUGAUUGCAAUCCGACAUGUCCCAUCAUUCUUGGUAGACCUUUCCUUAGGACUAUUGGUGUUGUCAUCGAUAUGAAGGAAGGGAAUAUUAGAUUUCAAUUUCCAUUAAAGAAGGGCUUGGAAAACUUUCCAAGAAAUAAAAUAAGAUUGCCUUAUGAAUCCAUGAUGAGGGCUACUUAUGGUUUGAGCACCAAAGACGACGAUACUUGAUUCUAUCGCCUUAUGCCUAGCUAAGGGCGUUAAACAAUAGCGCUUGUUGGGAGGCAACGCAAUGAAUUUAUUUUUGCUUUUUGCUUUAUGUUUUGUUGUGUCCACACCAUCAUAAUUCCGUUAUGAUUGUGUUUUUACGUUUCUUUUUGUGUUUGUGUGAAGUAGAACCUUUCUUAUCAGUUUUGGUGAUGGUUGUUUGAUCAUACUGAAAAAGACAGAAACUUUGCACUCACGAAAUUAUUUUUAAUUCCUAUCAAGAAAGAGCUUUUGAGUUGAUUAUUUUUGCUUCUGGUUGAUAUGCGAAUUGCCCUAAUUGUCAUAAUUUUUCAGAAUUUUUGAGAUACCAGAAGUAUACUAAGUAUACAGAUUGCUAUAGACUGGUCUGUUUUUGACAAAUUCUGUUUUUGUUGUGUUGAUUGCUUAUUUUGAUGAAACUAUGGUUAGUAUCGGGGGGUACUAGCAAUGGAAACGUGAGAAUACAGUAAUCUAACAUCAAUCUAAAUAGAAAUCAAGUUUACUACAGUACCUAAAGAGUUGGUGGUUUGUUUUCUUAUGCUAAUGAUAUCACGAGUUUCUGUUUAACUUUUGUGUUGUGAAGUUUUCAAGUUUUGGGUGAUGUUCUCAUGGACAAUGGAACAAAGAGUGGAAAGAGCUUAAGCUUGGGGAUGCCCAAGGCAUCCCAAGCCAAAUUCAAGGACACCAAAAAUCCUAAGCUUGGGGAUGCCCCGGGAAGGCAUCCCCUCUUUCGUCUUCAAUCCAUGGGUAACGUUAUUUGGAGCUAUAUUUUUANNNNNNNNNNNNNNNNNNNNNNNNNNNNNNNNNNNNNNNNNNNNNNNNNNNNNNNNNNNNNNNNNNNNNNNNNNNNNNNNNNNNNNNNNNNNNNNNNNNNNNNNNNNNNNNNNNNNNNNNNNNNNNNNNNNNNNNNNNNNNNNNNNNNNNNNNNNNNNNNNNNNNNNNNNNNNNNNNNNNNNNNNNNNNNNNNNNNNNNNNNNNNNNNNNNNNNNNNNNNNNNNNNNNNNNNNNNNGACAUGCACUCAUCGUGAAUUUGCUAGAAUACUCAUUGAGCUUCAUUUAUAUCUUUUGAGUUAGGCAAUUUAGCUCGCAUGUGCUUCACUUAUAUCUUUUGAGCUGGAUAACUUUGCUCUAGUGCUUAACUUAGAUCUUUUUAGAGCACGGCGGUGUCAUAUUUUGAAGAAAUAAAAACUCUCGAUCUUCACUUAUAUCUUUUGAGAGUGCUUUCUCUAAGUAACUUGGUUUUUGGCGUGUGCUAUGAAAGUAGUCCUAAAUAUGAUAGGCAUCCAAAGAGGAUAUGAUAAAAACUUCCAUAUUCAAGUGCAUUGAUUAGUAAGAGAAGUCUGAUUCCUCACAAUUAGUUUUGGGAUAUGGAUAUGGUAAUAUUAGAGUUAUGAUAGUAGGGUGUUGUGAAUCUAGAAAUACUUGUGUUGAAGUUAGUGAUUCCUGUAGCAUGCACGUAUGGUGAACCGCUAUGUUAGGAAGUCGGAGCAUAAUCGAUUUAUUGAUUGUCAUCCUUUGUGUGGCGGUCGGGAUCGCGCGAUGGUUAACACCUACCAACCCUUCCCAUAGGAGUAUGCGUUUAGCACUUUGUUUCGAUUACUAAUAAAACUUUCGCAAUAAGUAUAUGAGUUCUUCAUGACUAAUGUGAGUCCAUGGUAUAGAUGCACUUUCACCUUCCACCAUUGCUAGCCUCUCUAGUGCCGCUCAACUUUCGCCGGUGCACAAACCCACCAUAUACCUUCCUCAAAACAUCCACCAUACCUACCUAUUAUGGCAUUUUCAUAGCCAUUCCGAGAUACUUUGCUAUGCAACUCCCACCGUUCCGUCUCAUGACAUGUGUCGUCACUUUCGCAUUGCCAUUGCAUGAUCGUAAGAUAGCUAGCGAGAUGUUUCAACGUCAUACGCUAAGCUAGAUCGUUGCACGUCCCGGUACGCUGCCGGAGGCAUUUCCUAUAGAGUCAUCAUUGUUCUAAGCAUUGAGUUGUAAGUAAAUAAAAGUGUGAUGAUCAUCAUUAUUAGAGCAUUGUCCCGUGUGAGGAAAAAAGAGGCUAAAUAUGCCCACCAAAAAAAUGAGAAAAAAGAGACCAAAGAGCCCAAACAAAAAAAUGAUGAGAGAAAAAGAGAGAAGGGACAAUGCUACUAUCUUUUUCCACACUUGUGCUUAAAAAUAGCACCAUGUUCUUCAUGAUAGAGAGUCUCUCAUUUCUUCACUUUCAUAUACUCGUGGGAAUUUUUAUUUUAUAACUUGGCUUGUAUAUUCCAAUGAUUGGCUUCCUCAAAAUUGCCCUAGGUCUUCGGGAGCAAGCAAGUUGGGUGCACACACACUAGUUUUCCUUUUGAGCUUUCACACACUUAUAGCUCUUGUGCAUCCGUCGCAUGGCAAUCCCUACUCAUUCACAUUGAUAUCUAUUGAUGGGCAUCUCCAUAGACCAUUAAUAUGCCAAGUCAAUGUGACUAUCUCCUCCUUUUUGCCUCACAACCUCCACCACACUCUGUUCCACCUAUAGUGCUAUAUCCAUGGCUCACGCUCAUGUAUUGCGUGAGAGUUGAAAAAGUUUGAGAAAUUAAGAGUGCGAAAAAAAUUACUUGGCCAAUACCGGGGUUGUGCAUGAUUUAAAUUCGUUGUGUGGGGAUGAUGGAGCAUAGCCAGACUAUACGAUUUCGUAGGGAUAACUUUCUUUGGCCUUGUUAUUUCAAAAGUUCGUGAUCACUUUGCUAGUAUGCUUGAAGUACUAUUGUUUUUAUGUCAAUAGUAAACUAUUGUUUUGAAUCUUACGGAUCUGAACAUUCAUGCCACAAGAAAGAAGUUACAAAGGACAAAUAUGUUAGGUAGCAAUCCACAUCAAAAAUUCAGCCUUUAUCACUUCCCUACUCGAGGACGAGCAUGAGUUAAGCUUGGGGAUGCUUGAUACGUCUCCAACGUAUGUAUAAUUUUUUAUGGUUCCAUGCUAUUAUCUUGUCAACUUUGGAUGUUUUGUAUGCAUGAAUAUGCUAUUUUAUAUCUUUUUUGGGACUAACCUAUUAACUCAGUGCCAAGUGCCAGUUUCUGUUUUUUCCGUGCUUUUGACCUUUUUUAGAGAAUAAUAUUAAACGGAGUCCAAACGGAAUAAAACCUGCGGGAUGAUUUUUUUUCCAUAACAGAAGAUACGCAGGGGACUUGAGAACCAAGGCAAAGGACCUCGGGGGAGGUCACAAGCCCCCUAGCCGCGGCCUGGGGGCGCGCCUAGCAGGCUUGUGGGCCCCCCGUGGCUCCUUUGCCCUACCUCUUUCGCCUAUAAAUUCUCUAAAAAUCCAAAACCACCAGAGAGAGCCACGAAAAUACUUUUUCGCUGCCGCAAGCUUCUGUCUCCGCAAGAUCCCAUCUGGGGACCGUUCUGGUGCCAUGCGAGAGGUGGAUUCGGACACGGAGGGCUUCUUCAUCAACACCAUUGCCUCUCCGAUGAUGCGUGAGUAGUUCACCACAGACCUUCGGGUCCAUAGCUAGGAGCUAGGUGGCUUCUUCUCUCUCUUGGAUCUUCAAUACAAAGUUCUCCAUGAUCUUCAUGGAGAUCUAUCCGAUCUAACCUUCUUUUGCGGUGUGUUUGUCGAGAUCCGAUGAAUUCUGGAUUUAUUAUCAGAUUAUCUAUGAAUAUUAUUUGAGUCUCCUCUGAUCUCUUAUAUGCAUGAUUUCGUAUCCUUGUAAUUCUCUUCGAGUUGUGGGUUUAGUUUGGCCAACUUGAUCUAUAAUUCUUGCAAUGGGAGAAGUGCUUGGUUUUGGGUUCAUACCGUGCGGUGUCCUCACCUAGUGACAGAAGUGGUAGUGAGGCACGCAUCGUGUUCUUGCCAUCAAGGGUAAAAAGAUGGGGUUUAUAACAUAUUGCAUGAAUCUAUCCCUCUACAUCAUGUCAUCUUGCUUAAGGCGUUACUCUGUUUGUUAUGAACUCAAUACACUAGAUGCAUGCUGGAUAGCGGUCGACGUGUGGAGUAAUAGUAGUAGAUGCAGAAAGUAUCGGUCUACUUGUCUCGGACAUUUUGCCUAUAUGUAUGAUCAUUGCCUUAGAUAUCAUCAUGACUUUGCGCGAUUCUAUCAAUUGCUCGACAGUAAUUCGUUCACCCACCGUAAUACUUGCUAUCAUGAGAGAAGCCUCUAGUGAAUACUAUGGCCCCCGGGUCUACGUCACAUCAUAUUUUCAGAUCUACACAAUUACAUUGUUGCACUUUUCACCUUCAGAUCUCACCUUGCAAAUAACCGUGAAGGGAUUGACAACCCCUUUAUAGCGUUGGGUGCAAGUUUGUUUGUUUUUGUGCAGGUACAUUGGUGCCUCAUCUUGAUACUCCUACAGGAUUGAUACCUUGGUUCUCAAACUGAGGGAAAUACUUAUUGCUACUGUGCUGCAUCACCCUUUCCUCUUCAAGGGAAAAACCAACGCAAGCUCAAGAGGUAGCAAGCCGAGGAGAUGGCUGAUCCCACCGACGACUACUACCCCGAUGGAGCCUACUACUACGUGGAGGCUGCUGACGACCAGGAGUAGUUAGGAUGUUCCCACGCAGGAGGCCUCGCCUCUUUUCAUCCAUGUUAUGUUUGUGCUAGCCUUCCUAAGGGAAAAUUUGUUUUCUAUGUCUGUACUUGGAUAUUUUUUGCUUCAGCUGACUUGUGUGUACUCGAGCAUAUGUAUUUGAGCCCUAGAGGCCUCUGGCUUGUAAUAUGAAGCUUGUAUGACUUUAAUUUGUGUCUAGGUUGUGUUGUGAUAUCUUUAGUGAGUCCCUAAUCUUGAUCGUACACAUUUGCGUGUAUGAUUAGCGUACGAUUAAGUUGGGGGUGGCAUAGCUGCGUGGCGAUGCGAAGUCACCCUGCGGGUCCUUCUGUGAUGGCAUGAAAGGUUGCGCUUGAGACCGGAGCUUGGAGUUGGUGCUUCACCGACAGCGAAACCGGAGGUCAUCCCCACACUAGGGUUUGCGAUGGCGGAGGCGACGACUGUGGCCUGGUCGCAAGCGUAGGGAGGGGUUGGGGUGUGUCGACGCGGUCGUCCUUUGGCGGAGACGCGGGGAAGGGCGAGCGUGGCCGGAGUGGUCACUGGCGGAUGGUGGUUCACGCGUGAGUUUGGUUUUUCUAGCGUGCUAGAGCGGACGCACCAAAUAAGCCGAGCACGAUGCAGUUUUCCUAGCGCACUGGUGCAUUUUUACUGUGUCCAGCAUUAUUGCGCGGUUGUUGGAACGCUGUGUUUGGCCGCGUGCUAUAUUUCUGUUUUUUUUAAACACGCGGCUUAUUUAGCAUCUCUAUUGAAGAUGCUUUUAUAUUGUUUUUCAUGGUCAUUACAUGGAACCUGCCAGAUACAAAGUACUUCCCUGGUUCUUAAAUAUUAGUUUUUUAGAGAUUUCAUUAUGAUUUAUUUAUUUUGUUGCAUAUGUAGUCCAUAAUGAGGGAGACGCUACAUGUCCACGGACGGAUCCGUAGGAAAUAUCCACCACCUGUAUAGCGGUCCUAUAUACGUGUGCACACCCGUCCGAUCUGACAUCUCCCGACCAAACAGAACCUGAAACAACUGCCCAGUUUCAGAAAGAGUCAAGAUGUCCCGGCCCCGACAGACCUGCGCCCACCGCGGCGCUGCCUGCAAACACCGCCCCGCAACCACCGCGGCGCCGCCUGUAACAACUGCCCCCAACCACCACGUCGCCGCCUGCAACCACUGCAGCUCCACCCCGACAGACCUGCACCCAUCUCGUCCGUCAGUUUCAGAAACAAAGUACUUUGUCACGCCUGCAACCUCUUGGCGCCGCCGGCGUGGCUGAACUCCAUGGUGCACCACAUCGCGCGCUAGAUGCUCGAACCGGACGCCAACCUAGCUGACCGAGGACCCCUGAUUGGAGAAUGUGCUCGGCCAUCUUUCUCAGCUCCAAGCGUCGCCGGGGAGCUUCCGCCCCGAGCUGGAUCUUCUCGGUGGUUCACAAAUCCCUCGGUGGUGUUUCCUGAAGCUCCAUCGAGCACAUCCCGUCAACAAUCUUCGGUGAGACCUCCUAUUUCUGAAACUGUAGCUCUGAUCUAGUGUGAAAGCAUGAACACCUGUCUGAAAAAACAAAGCAAUGAACGUGUCAAAAUAUAGUUGCAAAUGAGCCUCUCAAAACAGAGCAAAUGAGCCUUUAUAAUUCCUGUAACACCUUGCUCUACUCAAAACAUGUGCAGCUUGUUUGUAUGUAAGAAAACAUGAGCCACUCAGCCUACAUUAGUUAGUUGCCCCUCUAAUCCCAAUUUCAGUUUCUGUUGAUUUGAUUUUGUUGCAAGUAUCUGCUAGGUGACAGUAGGAAAAUAUUAUGUGAUUGUUGAAAUAUGAAGCGACUGUCACACAACAAUUGUGUUGCAGGAACAUGUAACUGAAGGUGAAGGAAGCUAUGUCCAAGGCAAUUUUUCUGCUCGUGAUGGUGAAGAUUCAGAGUUGUUUGCUGAAGAUGCAAGCCAAUAUUAUUCAGAUGAUGGAGAUGUUUCAUCGCAGCCACUGUCGCCCUAUGUUGGGAUGGUGUUUGACACAGUCGACAAUGCUCGCAAAUUCUACAAUGACUAUGCCUUCAAGUUGGGGUUCGGAACACAAAUAUCUACUUCAAAAUUCACCCACAAGAGAGGUCAGAAGAAAGAGGAUGCAAACCUGAUAAAGAGGGUCUUUGGGUGUGUACACGCUAGAAAGCUCGUUAAAAUAGAAAUCAACAACACGUCAGAGAGCAUUGCAACUGGGAACAACAACUCUAGUAGGCAGCCUAGUGAAGGGAUGGAUGUCACAAUAAAACGUCAAAAAAACAUAAUGCUUGAUACAUCUCCAUCGUAUCUACUUUUCCAAACUCUUUUGCCUUUGUUUUGGAAUCUAAUUUGCAUGAUUUGAAUGGAACUAACCUAGACUGGCGUUGUUUUCAGCAGAAUUGCCAUGGUGUUGUCUUUGUGCAGAAAUGAUAGUUCUCGGAACGUCCUGAAAAUUUACGGAGAAUAUUUUCUGGAAAAAAAUGAAAAAUGCCUGCGCAAAGAUCCACCAGAGGGGAUGGGCCAGUGGGCCACAAGCCCUGUAGCCGUCGCCCCCCUGGUGGCGACUACCAAGCUUGUGGGGCCCAUGUGGCUCUGCCGCCCCCAAACUCAGCUCUAUAAAUUCACUUUCGUCCCAGAAAAAAUCAAGAGAGAAGAUUUCGUCGCGUUUGCGAUACGGAGGCGCCGCCACAUCGUGUUCUUCAUCUGGAGGGCAGAUCUGGAGUCCGUUUUGGGCUCCGGAGAGGGGAAAUCGUCGCCAUCGUCAUCAUAAACCUUCUUCCCUCAACAAUUCCAUGAAGCUCUUCAUCGUUCAUGAGUAAUCUAUUUGUAGGCUCGCUGGGCGGNCUGUAGCCGUCGCCCCCUGGUGGCGGCUACCAAGCUUGUGGGGCCCACAGGGACCCCCUCCACUCAUUCCAGCUCCCAUCCUCUUCUCCUACCUCUAGAAAAAAUCGUUUCGCAGCUCAAACCCGUGUUCUUGCUCAUUUUGUUGUGAUUUCCGAUCUCGUUGCUCAAAGCACCAUUCUCCGAACCGUUUUGGGGAAGUUACUCCUUGGUAGGUGACUCCUCCAUUGGUCCAAUUAGUUUUUGCUCUAGUGCUUUAUCCUUCGCGUAUUCUUGCUACCUUGAUGACCCUGUUCUUGAGCUUGAAAUGUUGAUUUUAGCUGGUCCCAAGUAGUUUUAGCAUGUGAUACGGUCUUUAGGUACUAGUAGGAGUAAUUGCUACAAGGUGUGCUUGGUCUUUAUUCACUUUUCUCUUGAACUUAAAAAAAUUCAGCAAAAGGAAAUUAUGUUCAGGAGGAAGUUUCAUGGUGGUUCCUCAAGUAAGAAGGGUCCCUGUCUUUCUUUUCGGGAGCCCGAACCUUAUCAACUAAGGGACGCACCGGUACAACCAUGUGAAUGGGCUUCCGAUGAGUUCAUGAUCGAAGGAGGCUUCAAGCAUGAGUUUGAUACACUUGUCCGCAAUGCCGGGUCAGAAGAAUUCCUCUCAGAUAAAGGUGAACAGUAUGCUAUGCUCCCUGCCUCUUUCGUGCGUAGAUUUAAAUUUUCAGUUGGCCGUGACUCAUCCAUACUGUUUGAUCUGUAUGAUAAAUCCUACACCAUGGAUUUGGAGGAUUUCAAUAGGAUUUGCAAGAUACCCGAUGGGGGUAGUAUUAAUGAUCCUUCUAAGUCUUCGGUCACAGACUUUGUUUCCAGUAUAAGUGGUGGAGAAACUAGAGAUAUCACGCAAGCUAACAUAGGAAGCAUUCAUUUCCCUUCCUUGCACUACUUUGCCCUCUUCAUAGGUAGGUGCAUUAACGGCAAGGGUGCACAUUGUCACCUAUGCGCAUCCGACCUUAGUAUCCUUAAGAGCGCAGUAACAGGUGACAGGAGCUUCAACAUGGGAGCUAUAAUAGCAAGGAGGCUGAAUAAUAAUGCCAUUGAUGGGGAUUUCUUUGGUGGAAUUUAUGCUACGCGCUUAGCAAAUUUUCUUGGAGUACCCAUCCGUUCAGGAGACCCCCCCUCUCCGUACAGCCUACCUUGAUCGUGUCGCUCUAACACGCUACCAGUUCUUUGAGAGGGAUGAGGAAUCCCUCCUAUACCGUUUGAUAUUUAACCAACGGCUAUUUUCCAUAUUACCCUUCCUGCUCCUUAUUUCUUUGACUUUCACAUAAAACGGAGAUACUACAUAACCAUAGGAGAGGCAGAGGAGUAUGAGAGGAAGGUGACGGCUGCUCGUCUUCGUUAGGCAGCUAUUCAGGCAGUGCCUGCAGCACUCCUGUAUAACACCCAGUAUGAUUUUGGGUUUCGCCAGGACCAUCCAUGGGAGUAGACCAAGCUUGGCCAAAAGCCUAAGCUUGGGGAGUACGUGUUCUCACCGACCUUACAUUCAUGCUUAUGCUUUCACUUUGUUAGUCGGUGUUUACACUUUGCCACUUUAUUAUCCAUGCUAGUUUAUUUUUGUUUUCUUGUUUUCUUGUUUUGUGUCCUUUUGAGAAAACCCAUAAAGAUUUUCCUUUCUUCUUUUGUUUGUUGGGAGUUUUCCCGUGUAAAUAAUUUUCUUUUUCUUUGGGUCAAGGUAGAAGAUAUUGGUUACAAUGUUUAGUGGCUCUUGCAUGCAUACCUAUUUAGCUUUCAAAGAACCAUAUUACUUUGUCUUAUCCUUUGUGUUUGCCUGCAGAUUCAGCUUAGUCCAAUGCAUGAGCACUCUUAUUAUUGUUCACAUCGUUCGAUCGUGCAAGUGAAAGGCAAUAAUGAUGAUAUAUGAUGAAGUGACUGAGACUGGAAAGGCUGGUAUGAACUCUAUCUAUUUUCUUUUUGUAAGUAUGACUAGCUUGUCGUCCCAGAUUCAGCUUCGUUGUGAGAGAACCAUGUUUGCAAUGACAACUUAGAGAUCAUAGUUUCUGAUACCAUGCUUCAUUAGGUGAGAGCUUAUAAUGGUUUGUCUUGAAUGCCAACAUAGAUUUUGAGAUGACUAUGAUGUAGUAUGAUAGGAUGGCAUUCUCCUUUGAAUGAUUCAAAUGGCUUGACUUGGCGCAUGUUCAUGCAUGUAGUUGAAACAAAAUCAACAUAGCCUCUAUGAUGUUCGUGUUCGUGGUGAUUUAUAUCCUGUUCAUGCUUGCACCCAAUGUUAGUCAACCUCAUUGCAUCUUGAUGACUGUUGUCGNCCCAGUCUUUUGCUAGCUUUCAUUUGUACUAAGCGGAUUACUGCUUGUGCAUCCACUUCCAUAAACCCAAAAGUUUUUCCAUGAGAGUCCACCAUACCUACCUAUUUGCGGUAUCUACCUGUCGUUCCAAGUAAAUUUGAUAUGCCAUUCUCUAAACCUUCAAGAAAUAAUCUGUUUUGCAUGCCCGAACCGCUCAUGUGGUGACAGGGGGCUAAUGAUAUCUUCCAUGUUAGGCGUGUUAUCCUCGAGAAAGGGGCCGGUAAUUGGAAUGCACAGUUCCACGCUUAAAUCGAAAACAUAACUAUAAAACAAGACUCCCCCCGGAUUGAUGUUAGUAUAGACGGUACCCGAGGAUUCGGCUAGCCGUGGAGUGUGAUUGAUUGGUGGUGGGGGAGUUAAAACUUUACUUUUCUAUUUGGUAACCGCCUAUAGCAUGAGUAGCGUGGAAGAUAUUGAGAAUUCUUGGUCAUUGCAUAGACAAUGAAAGCAUGCCACCCAAAAUUAUUAUCUCUGUUUUCAAAGCUUGAGCUCUAGCACCCCUGCAAAUCAAUGCUUCCCUCUGCGAAGGGUCCGUCUAUUUAUUUUCCUGUUGAGUCAUCCUCUUCUUGUAUAAGCACCAAUUAGAGAGCACAUCUGUCAUUUUUAUGCUUUGCUUUUGAUAUUGAGUAUGACUAUGACUGGAUCUUCGUUGCUAUGAAUUACAAUCUUGGGAUUAUUGCAUCUAUGCCCCCAAUUCCUUAGUUGUGCUCAGUUUUCCCCACGCUUCAAACUUUUGCUCACUUUUCCCAUCUCCCUUAGCUGAAACUCUCACAAAUGUUGAUAACAGGCGUUUGCCAUCUUGGCCGUUAACUGACUUGUGGGGCCAUGUUGAACUCUGUUGACUGUGGCUGUGGCUUCGCUGGUUGGGUCGUGUUUGUGUUCAUAGGACGGGCCCGUUAGUUUGUUGGUCAUAAAUUAAAAAAGCCUACUAUCGAUGGAUGCAGCCUGCUAUGCAUGCUCGUCUUUGGCAUCGAUGUAGCCUGCUAUGCAUGCGAACACCGCCACGCACGAAUCUAGUGACCUAGACCUAAACGCAUGCAUGCACGCCGACACGCGCGCAUCGAUCCGUGCCGCACGGUUGCCAGUGGAUUCAGUCGCGCUGCAACAUCGUUUCACGCGUCGCAGGCAUACGUGCCGGUGGCAGAAGGGGCAGGCUGCACGCACGCUCGCACGCUCGCGUCCAUAUGUCGAGGCAUCAGUUCAUGCCGCACAGCUCCCGCUCGACUCAGUUGUGCCGGUGGCAGAAGGGGCAUGCAGAAGGGGCAGCCGCCAACGCACAGCACACAGAAGGGGGAGGCAGGCAGCCGCCAACGCAGCAGGGGGAGGCAGCCGCCAACGCAGAGCACGCUCGCUUCGAUUCACGUUCACACAUUGAUGAUCACAUCGGUUCACACAGCAGCACUGAGUCACGAUCUACGCCGUUUGCGCGUGUUCCCACUUCGUCUCCCCCGGCUAUUUAAACUGCCCUUCAUUCCCUCUUCUUCUACAGAUCCAUCUGCGCCUCCCGCUUCUCUUCUUCCCCCAAAAGCCAGAGCGGUUCCACUCAACGAAGCGUUCAAGAUGCAGUUCUACGGCCCAACGUUCCAAGAGCCUCCCACCGUGCCGGAACGGCGGUACCCCGCCAACGUCGUCGUCGUGGAAUCGCUCCACGUGUGGGCGUUCUCACGCUAGAGGGGUAGCACUGAGCUUGCACGGGGGUUCCUCCGUGCGGGCUUCCACCACCUCCCGGCGGGCUCGCUGCCCAUGUUCAACCUCGUGGAGCAGCGUCCCCACGCCAACGCUCCACCGGUAGGGCUCGUCGUCCACUUCACCAACAGGUUUGAUGCCUACCACCUGCUCGGCAAGGUGUAUUGGUGUGGGUGCGAGUUCAUCGCAUUCACCACCUAUAACAUCUUCACCGACUUCCAGAGCAUCUUCCCCGCUCGCGACCGCAUGCACAGCCUCCCGUAGUACCUCAGCGACAACGGCCUUGAGGAGGAGGAGUACUGAAGCCGGAGGCGAAGAAGACGGUGAAGCCGACGGUUAAGGUAAAGACGACGGUGAAGACAUGGCGGUGUUGCCCUAGCUACCCUAUCCAGUAUGUAGUAUUAGUUUGGUGUGUGUGUUGCCCGACCUAGCUACCCUAAUUAUUAUUAUCUAUGUAAGAAAUUGGUGUCGUGUUAUAUGUCCGAGGAACUUAUGUUGCCCUAGCAACCCUAUCUAAGUUAAGUUAUGUGUGUUAUAUUAAUGCUUUGUUAUGUUUGUAUUUUGUUUGUCCCAAGUUUAGACACGGCUAAUUGGUGUGGGAAAAAUUAACCAAACUAACUAAAAAUGAUGUGUUUAUAGAUGCCUUCUAAAAAUAAGAACAUAUUGUACAUUUGUACACGGCUUUGGUUUGCUGAGCUCUAUAUUUUUUAGGUAUUCCAAGAAUACUUUGGUUUUCAGAAAUAUUGAAGUAUCACAUACUUUGAGAUGUUUGGCUUUAGUCAAAAGUGUAGUUUUAUAUACUUUAAUCCCUACUUUAAUAUGUAGAAAAAUACACUAUGUUUGAAGUAUGGUUGGACCUCUUUUUCCAAUCAUGAAGUAUAAAUUACACUAUGUAGAAAACUACACUUUGAGAUGUUUGGCUUUAGUCAAAAGGAUAAAUGAAGGGACCCAUAAAGGAAGGCCAAAAAAACUCCUCAAUGAUAUAGAAGAGAUUGGGCAAUCAAAUUAAUGAAAAAAGCAAUCAAAAACAAAAAAGAACAAAGCAAUCAUUCCUAAACAAAAGAAGAAACAUCACUUGUUUCUGGGCCUCAUUUAUCCUUUGUGGGCCUAUUGCAGCUUGAUUCUCUUUGGGCCCGCAAACUAGGUUUUUUUUCUAGCAGAACUGACGAACUCGAGGACAAAAGUUUGGCAAGUGCGAGAGAGAAGAGAUGAACUUGAUGUAUAUCCCUCGUGCUGCUCAAGUACUGCUUACUUUCAUCUCACGAGCUAGGGUAUGACCCAACACUCGAGGUUAUUAGCUAACAAAAUAAUCCUAUCACUGAACUGGUAGUUGUCUUCUGUCGAAACUGAAAGUGUCAAAACUUAACAGUAAAUUGCAUACAUUCAGAGAUCGACAGUUGCACUAAACAGAGUUGCAUUUGAGAUAAACAGACGAGGAUUGUUAAACAGUGGCAACAACAGUAGACAAACAUCUCUAACGAGAGAUGGCCAUCAAGUAAAAAAUUCCUAGAGCUAGUAUUCCUAAAGCUAUCAGAUUGGAUUGCUUCUUCAACUCAAUCAGCUGCUUGAAGUUCUUGUUCAUCUUCUUCAAUUCCGUCUUCAGUUCGACAUCUACCACCGUCGGGUAUUCCGGACGCGCUGCUGCUGCCGGAGCGGCACUGUCAUGGGGCAGAUUGAACUCGCGGAUUGCAUCCCCCUCGAAUCCAGCAAGCCCAACCCUUGAAGCCUCUGGAUGUAAUCAUCCAUCCACUCGAAAUGGUGGCAUUUCUUCACGAUCUGAAAACAAAAUCAUGUAACCUAAAUCCAAAUCUGAUAGAGAUAAAGGAUGCGAGGAAAACUCAGAUCUAACCUGCCCCUCCGGCUUGGUCUCGCAUUUGACGAACUCGCGCCCAAAGUUCCCAUUCUUCUCCUCCUUCGAAGUCAACCGCUUCAGUGGUGCAAUCCGUGGGCAGUCAGUGCAUCGAGUCAUCGGUCGACAUAUCGCCUGAGAGGAAAAAACAGAGGAAUUGGUCGAGAGGAAGAAGAACGAGAAGAUGGGGAAAGAAAUAGAGGAAUUGCUCGAUCUGCUCGAUGCCUUUGUCUGUCACAUGGAGAAGAGGAGAAGGGGAAGCUAUAUUGACGAUUUUCCACAUUGUAUUUUGCAGUUUGAAUAUUUGAACCAACUCUUAACACUGACAUGUGGUGGUCAUGUGCGAAAAAUACAAUUUCAUAUGUAAAGUGGGGCAGAUCGUAAAAACCCGAGAAGGACAGUGCAGUAGCCAAUGAGGAUGCAUCACGCGGAUCGCGCAUGCGUGCCCACAUCUGACGGGUGGUGUUUGGCGCUAGGGUAUGAUCCGACGGCGGACGUUCGACGCUAGGGUUUGGAGCAUUUCUGCGGGGUUAUGAGCGAGUCAACGUGGUUAUUAGGGUUUGACCAGAUUUCAAAUGGCCAUAACUAAAUUAGAAAAAAUCGCAAAAAUAUAAAACAAACGUAGUUCGUCUGUUUAUGAGACCUAGUUACCAUAAAAAAAUAUAAACUCGGUAUAGGGGCGUUUUUUUUUGAAAAGUCAUUUUUUUGAAGUUCAAAUGUUUUUAAAAAAUUCAAACAAAAUCAAAAUGUUGUAAUUCUUGCGCACAUAGCCGUCAUAUCUGACAAGGUUAUGAGAAAAAAAUAUAAACUUGGUGUAGGUCAUUUCAUGAAAAAAGCCUUCACAAAAAUGAGCUAUCACCUAUGAACAUUUUCAGAGUUCGUAGAAUAGGGAGAGAGGGUUUAGGGUUUGAAAAAAAAAUUCAAAAAAAUCAGAAAAAUCUCCAUAGCUUCAUUUUGGAGUGAAUAAGAAGGAUCUGAACUUACUUUUUCAUUUUCAUAUCUAAAACGUGUUAUUUGACGGUUUUGAAUUAAAAGCAUAUUUUUUCAAAAAAAUGUAGUAAUAUGAAUAUUAAUCAAUAAAUAGUGAGACUUCGUUUUUACCCUAUAUAUAUGGAACAAGUGUUAAUAAAAAUAUAUAUGUCUCAUUUAGGGAAGGUGAAAAAAAACUUGAUUUCAAAUAGGGUUGUUUACCCUAGCUUUCGAGCUCGUUUCUAGCACAUUUCUCAUUCGGACUGUUCACCUAAGAAUAUUGGACUUGAAAUGCUCGAUCAAAUACACCGCACAGAGCAAUGAACCUCCAAUGUUCAACUUCAACUUUGGCUCGAAUCCAAAUUUUGGCCCAAAUUCAAAUAUUGAUUUAAAUUCAAAUUUUGAUGGACUUUUGAAUUUUGACUCAAAUAAGGAACCAAAGUAGAAGCAACAUUAUUACAACUGAUGCCAACAUUAUUACAACUGAUGCCAACAUUAUUACAGUAGCUCAAAGCUACCAAGUUUUAAGAUGCCAACAUCUUAAUACAAAUCUACCAAGUUUUAAGCGAUCGACUCGCCCUCAAAUUGACAACACAAACAUUUUCCAACAACUUAAUUCAAAUUUUUGACUUGCUCCUUGUGUUUGCAGCUGCCUUCACCGUCUUGCUCCUGGUUUCCCUAGUUGAGAUGCUCUUUUCUUUCAGACUCUUGUUCCUUUUGAUCUUGGUCUUUACUUGGUGUUUUCCCCGUGGAUGUGUUGAUGGAGUAGUUCCACUCGCCGAGCACUUGACGACCAUUUGACGGUCAUCUAUGGGUUCAGUAAUCUUUAAAGGCACAAUUGGAACAAUUACCCCCUCCUCUUCCUCUCUUAUAGCUUCAAAACCAUCAAAGGCCAUGGUUUCAAAAUCUUCUGUUUCAUUUGUUGCUGCAUUCUCCACUGCAUCUUCAAUCUCCAUUGCCGUUGCAUUCUCCACUGCAUCUUCAAUCUCCAUUGUUGUUGCAUUCUCCUCAGCAUUGGCUGAUGUCCAUCUUUCCUCCUCUCCAAAUGAUGCAUCCACUGCAUUGGUACAAAGCCUAGCAAUAUGCCCCAGAACUCCACACUUUUUGCAAGCAUGCUUCUUUGGUAGACGACCCUCCUCACCUGUUCUAAUCCUUUGGUUCCUUGGUCUUCCUGGUGGUCUAGUAAUGACAGGAGCGUGGAGUUUGAACCCUGGAUCUACUAUGUUCCAUUGAUCUUUCCCCAAUAGUGCAGGCACAUUGUCAGCAUAAGCAGCCAUAAAUUUGGCAACAGAGAAAUACUCAGAGCAAUAUUGAUCAACUUCACCAUCUGCACCCCCGAUAACGGUCAUCAGAAGUAGGGCAUGUAUGCAUGGCUUCCCACGGAUCUGCCAUUGCCUACAAGUACAUUCUCUAGUACUUAGGUUCACAUGAUACCUCCAUAUCCUAUUUUUAGUGUCAGUAUAGGUAACCUCUCCCUCAUAUGUACCAGAUCGAAUAGAUUUCAUCUUCAGGCCUCUUGCCUUCAAGCGCAAUGCCUUAAUCAGUGAUGGGAGCAUUUGAUGACCAACAUAUUGUGUUUCUGCAAUUCUUUUGCGAAGAGCCAUCUUUAUCAUGAUCAUUUGCCUCAUCUUGUCAAAUGCUUGCCACAACAAGAGCCCAUUCACUGACUUGAACUUCGAAUUGAAGCACUCUGCAAGGUUACUGGUCACAUAAUCUACUUUGCAGAUUUCGUUGAAUUUGCUUCUUGACCACACCUUACCAUGAUGUGCAUCCAUGUACUCCUUCACAAGAGGAUUUUGAGCAUACAACACUCUCAAAUGGUGUUCAUGCUUCCUUUUGUUGCAUGUGUAUGAUGCUGGCCAUAAGUUCUCAUCAUAAACUUUACCUUUGAACUUCUUUUUGAAAUUAUGCGCUAGGUGUCGCAUACAUUCCCUAUGCUCCACUCCAGGGAAUACAAUUUCCACUGCGCUCUCUAAACCCUUGCAAGCAUCUUUGUGUAUAGCCAAACCUGGGGGUGUGCCUAUAAUGUUGCGCAACUGCUGCAGAAACCAGACCCAACUUUCCUCAGACUCUGUCUCCACCACACCAAAUACAACUGGGAAUAGCCAGUUGUGUCCAUCAACUGCAGAAGCUGCUACUAGUUGUCCUCUCCAUCUUCCAGUCAAAUGUGUAGCAUCUACAGCCAAAUAGGGCCUGCAACCAUCUAGAAACCCCUGCCAACAAGCCUUGAAACAAAAAAAAGCCCUUCUGAAGCACUCCUUCUGAAAUGACUUCCCUUUUAUUUUGAAUUGAACUGUAUGUUUGUCAAUCUCUACAACACUCCCUGGACUUGCCAUCUCCACUUCAGCUUAAAGCAACUGAAAACUGUCAUUCCAUUGACCAUUAAUUCUGUCAAGAGCCUUUUCCCUAGCAUUGAAAAUUUUCAUGUAAGGAAUUUCUAUCUUGUACUUCUCAAAAAUCUUCCCAUGGAGUGUUGUUGGACCAAGUCCAGGUUCUUCUCUGAGCCAAUUCAAUAUAGCAUCUGCCACCCACCUAGUUUUUGCUAGCUUGGUUUUGGCCUUCCCCCCUCCCCCUCCAGGUGGACACGUAUGCUUGUGUGGGUUUUUCUUUAUCUCAAACAAAAUAAAAGGGUAAAAACUGUUAAGAAACCUUACUCAACAAUCUGAAACUAAAUUACUAACUGAACUUGGAUUACCUGAAUAUAUUUGCUCUUUCUCAUACGAGAUGCAUGCAACUUCCACCUACACCUAGGAUAUGGACAAAAAACUGUGAACCUUGCUGGCUCACUCCUUUUAAUCUUAUAGGUGUUUUCAGAUAUAAUGCACCAUGUUGUCACUGCAUUUCGACAGUCGACGAUUGAUUGGAAAAUGGUACCUACACUAAGCUCAGGUUUUUCCCUGUUCCACUCAAUUGUUGGCAUGUCAUCACCAUCGUAUUCAUCCUCGAUUAAAUUGUCCAUGUUCUCCACCUUCUCUUCAUCGUCAGUGUCAUCAAACCUAGCUUGGCUGAUGGGCUCCUCCAUAUAUUCGUCAUCCACUGCUUGCUGACUGGCUACAUCGACCAGUUCAGGAAACAUCAUCUCGUCUUCAUCAUCAUUUGUAGGCACUGCCUCGUCAGGUUCUACAUCCUCUUCUACACCAACUGCAGAAGGUACACGAGAAGCAGCAGCUGAAUCGGAACCACAAUUGGCAGCAGGCAUGUUGUGGCUCCAUGAACCACUUGCUUUACUUGGUGUCGACCUACAAGGAGUGUCGGGGUGCUGGCUAUUAGCACAAACACAUGAUGUCUGAACUCCCUUCCCCUUCACCCGUUCUGCGCGUGGUUGAAGCACAUCGAUUUGGAGUUUACCGAAUCGGCAGCCAGCAAUCCCAGCAAAAAGCAACAGCAUAUGAUCGUCGCAAGUUAGUGGGAGAAAUCUUUGCUCGUCACUGUUGAAGUAAUUCAGUUCAACAGCAUCGGCAUCACUCCAGGGAUAGGUGUUUCUUAGCUCAGCUUGCAACUCUUUGAAAGAUAUGCUGGUUUCUACCACUUUGGGAUAGAAAAAUGAUGAAAUCAAAUGCGGUUUAGUACCACACAGCACACUAGUUUCCAUUCUAAUCGCCAGCCGGAAAGCCAGCGCGGGAUCAAUCCUAUUUUGUUGAAGGAAAUAAAGGCUUCAGUUAGCCGGGUAAAAUCGAGCACAAAUUCGAACGAUUCAAGCAAACAGAAGUCACAUACGGCCUACAAUACGACUUAGAACGUCAAGUCGAGAGGAAAUAAUGCUUACCCAGGUUUAAUCCAUUAAUUAUCUGCCGCGGAUUCGACCCAAUCCUCUCCACGGGCGACUGCAUUCCGGGCGUCCUCACUCAACAUCGCCAUGUAAUCCUAGAUGGGGAGGUGGGCUAUAUCUGGCGGAGACGCGACGUCGCCGACAAAUGGAAUAGGGGCAUAGGGUGGAGGAAACAACUGCGGUGGACGCGGCACGACGCCGGCGGAGGAGGCGGGGCGGCGUGGUGCAGUGCGGCCUGUCUAGAUAUGUUUCAAAUUCAGACAAGCUGCCCAAUACGUGUCUCCUUGCAGUCCCACCCGUCAGCAAGCAACAGUCAGCCGAAGACUCGGCCCCGCUCGUCAGCAAUUAACGGUCAAUGGACGGUCAAGACAACAAACGGCCGCUAUGAGCAUUUGUGAGAGUUUCAGCUAAGGAAGAGGGGAAAAGUGAGCAAACGUUUGGAGCGUGGGGAAAAGUGAGCACAACUAAGGAACCACGGGCACUGAUUUAAAUAUCCCUACAAUGUUUAGUCAGCCCUUGAUCUUUGAAAGUGCUCUGCAUUUAUGUUUUGCGGUCUCAGAAAGAGCUAGCGAGAUACCACUUAUUCAUAUUGCUUCAUGCUUGUUUUGAUUGAAUUGUUGGUAUUUGAAACUCAUUAUUAUUUGCUCGCUAUCUGAUUAUGCCGUUGAUAUUAGUUUACCGUGAGACCUUUGUGUCACUUGCUUAUGUGGUUAACUUGUGAUCUUGCUGAAAUUCUGGUUAUGAGUUAGACAUAGUUGCAACAACAAGAUCAAGCAGAGUUUGUCAAAGUUNUUCCAAACUCUUUUGCCUUUGUUUUCGACCCUAAUUUGCAUGAUUUGAAUGGAACUAACCUGGACUGACGUUGUUUUCAGCAGAAUUGCCAUGGUGUUGUUUUUGUGCAGAAAUGAAAGUUCUCGGAAUGUCCUGAAAAUUUACGGAGAAUAUUUCUGGAAAAUAUGAAAAAUACCUGCGCAAAGAUCCAGCGGAGGGGAUGGGCCAGUGGGCCACAAGCCCUGUAGCCGCCGCCCCCCUGGUGGCGGCUACCAAGCUUGUGGGGCCCACGUGGCUCUACCGCCCCCAAACUCAGCUCUACAAAUUCACUUUCGUCCCAGAAAAAUCAAGAGAUAAGAUUUCGUCGCGUUUGCGGUACGGAGGCGCCGCCACAUCUUGUUCUUCAUCUGGAGGGCNNNNNNNNNNNNNNNNNNNNNNNNNNNNNNNNNNNNNNNNNNNNNNNNNNNNNNNNNNNNNNNNNNNNNNNNNNNNNNNNNNNNNNNNNNNNNNNNNNNNNNNNNNNNNNNNNNNNNNNNNNNNNNNNNNNNNNNNNNNNNNNNNNNNNNNNNNNNNNNNNNNNNNNNNNNNNNNNNNNNNNNNNNNNNNNNNNNNNNNNNNNNNNNNNNNNNNNNNNNNNNNNNNNNNNNNNNNNNNNNNNNNNNNNNNNNNNNNNNNNNNNNNNNNNNNNNNNNNNNNNNNNNNNNNNNNNNNNNNNNNNNNNNNNNNNNNNNNNNNNNNNNNNNNNNNNNNNNNNNNNNNNNNNNNNNNNNNNNNNNNNNNNNNNNNNNNNNNNNNNNNNNNNNNNNNNNNNNNNNNNNNNNNNNNNNNNNNNNNNNNNNNNNNNNNNNNNNCGAUCUUGCAAGUUGUAAUUACCUACUAUGUGUUAUGAUCCGGCAACCCCGGAGUGACAAUAACCGGAACCACUCCCGAUGAAGACCAUAGUUUGAGGAGUUCAUGUGUUCACCAAGUGCUAAUGCGUUGGUCCGGUUCUUUAUUAAAAGGAGAACCUUAAUAUCCCGUAGUUUCCUUUUGGACCCCGCUGCCACGGGAGGGAUGGACAAUAGAUGGCAUGCAAGUUCUUUUCCCUAAGUACGUAUGACGACACAUGGAAUGCAUGCCUACAUCUCAUUGACGAACGGGAGCUAGCCACAUAUCUCUCCGUGUUAUAACUGUUGCAUGAUGAAUAUCAUCCAACCAAAUCACCGACCCAUUGCCUACGAGUUUGUCCACUGCUGCUGUUACUACUGUUGCUGCUCCUUAUACUUGUUUUGCUCUGCUGCUGUUACUAUUGUUGUUGCUGCUCUUAUUUGCUUUGCUCUGCUGCUGUUACUAGUGUUGCUACUUGCUACUGCUGUCACUACUACUGUUCCUUGCCACUGUUGUUACUCGUUACACUACUGCUACCUGCUACAAUACUUUUUCUCGCGCCGUUGACGGGAAAGAAUAUUUCCCAUCCACGGUUAACUUCUGGCGCCAUUGAUACGACAGUUAGGAAUAGUCUGCCUUGUUAACAGAUCGUUUCUGACACCGUUGUUAUCAUACUACUUUGCUGCUGAUACUUUGCUUGCAGAUACUAAUCUUUCAGGUGUGGUUGAAUCUGACACAUUCAGCUGCUAAUACUUGAGAAUAUUCUUCCACUUCCUGUCGGGCGAACUAACAAAUUUGGGUUGAAUACUCUACCCUCGAAAACUGCCGCGAACUCACGCGCUGGUGGGCCAUUGCAAAACAAUUGCUAAUUGUUGAGCAACUGGGAGCAGUUCUGGCUCUGUUGCCGUGGAGGCAUCAAGUCAGGAAGACAUCAACAGCAUUUUUCUAGUGCCGUUGCCGGGGACUGCUAGCAAUGCUCUGUCAUGAUUGUAAGGCGCAUAUGAUUGUUGGUCUAAGGGAGGGGAGAUGGAAAGUGACUUGUUUUGUUGCAGAGCAUACACAUCCGGUGAUGGAAUAGCUGGAGCAUGUUGUACUACCGCUCGCAUCGAGGCAUACACAGCGAGGAUUACCAACUGUUGUUGACGCUGCAUGAUGUGAACCUCUCCAAUUCAGAAUGCAUGAGCGUCCUUGGUAGGAUACCAUGGAGGUGACACUAGGAUACUCUCGUAUGUGAAGAUAGAUGUUACAAAUGAACGUGCAAAGCUCCGGAGAGAGUUAACAUUCCGAGACAUGGAUGUGACAGUGAAAUACUUUGAGAGGAGGAAGGGUGAGAGUCCAGAGUUUUUCUUUGCGAAACAACAAGGUCCUGCAACAAACUCAAUGAUUGUCUUGUUUUGAGUUGAUGGUUGAACAAGGGCAUUGUACCUGAAAUACAAAAAUUGUGUAUUCUUCGAUACAACGUUCUGCACAAACAGAUACAACAUGCCAUUUGCUCCGAUAGUUGGUGUAAACAACCACCUCCAAACAAUUGCAUUAGGAUGUGCCCUGUUGCCGGAUGAAACUAUUGACACAUUUAAGUGGGUGUUCCAGAAGAGGAUGGUUGCGAUGGAUAACGAGCAUCCUACCAACAUCAUGACUGACUAGGACCAAGCAAUGGAAACAACCAUUGACCAAGUGUUCCCGAACACUUGCCGUAGGUGUUGCAAGUUUCAUGUGCUUAGCAAUGCACGGUCCAAUUUGGGAAGGUUGUUGAGCAAAGACGAGGCUUUUGCAGAUGUGUUUAACACUUGUAUCAACCAAUCCAAAACUGUUGAGGAAUUUGAGAAAACAUGACAGCACAUGUUGCAUUGUUUUGAAGUUGCACAGAACAAACACCUCAAUAAUAUGUGGUGAACAAGGCGCAUGUGGGCUCCAGCACAUUUCAAGAACAAACUCUUCCCGUUCACGAGCACAACAGGCAGGUCUGAGGGGCUCAACUUAUAUUUCAAAACCCUGAUUCGACCAGCUGAUUCCAUUUGGAGGUUUGUGCAACAAUAUGAAAUGUGUCAAGAAACUAUGCUUGAUCGUGAGGACAAUGUUGGAUUCACUGGUGAAACAACAGCUCCGCCACUAUACUCUCGCUAGACUUACUUUUGAGCUUUGCCAAAAAAUCAAAAACAAACAAAAAUGUUUUUGUUCACCUAUUUUUUAUGUUGUUGUAGCAACAACAUUGAGCGCCAAGCUGCUGCAAACUACACCUGUAGUGUCUUUGGUAAGUUUCAGAAACAGGUGACAACAUCUACUGGCUUCAUUAUCAACCAAGACACUGGCUGCCAAGGGCCAGGCAUCAUGUUUGAGCUGAAAGCAACCUCCUAUGAGAACCCGAAGCCAUCUUCUGUGCAUGUUGUGGUGGAUGAAGGGUUGUUUGAGUGCUACUGCCACUACUUUGAGAUGAAUGAGCUGAUUUGUGCACACAUAAUAAGGGCGAUGGUUCAUCUCAAUGUGCAAGUAAUUCCACAUCAAUACUUAUUGGAGAGGUGGUCUGAAGCAACCACAACAAAGCAUGGGUAGGACUAGCAGGUUGUUGGAAUUAGGACACCCCUCAACAAACACACUGAAAUACAACUCCUUGUGUCGAAGGUUGACAUGGCUUGGCUCUAAUGCAUGUUGCAAUGAUGAUGCCUACAGAAUAUUGGAUGAUGCAAUUAAAUCCCUUGAGCCUCCCAUAGCAGUGGCCAAGAGAGGAGCCAUGUCUAAUCAACAAGCCACGCAACAGAGUGAACCUCCAACACCACCCGCUGCGGCAACGGUAACACUAGAUGGUGACAUGCCACAACACCAAAGCUCCGAUAUGCUGCAAAACCCAGCUCGUGUGCCUAAGAAAGGUCGACCAACUGACAGAGAGAAGAGAAAUAAGAAGAUCGUAGAGCAGCGAGAUGAUGAACAAAAGAAGAAGACGAAACAACAAGAGAAAAAGGCAACAACAUCGGGCAAGACAACAACUCUAAAAAGGACUGUUCACUGCAAGCACUGCAACGAAUUAGGACACAACAUUCAGACAUGUUGCACCCUAAAAGCUACAGUAGAGGUGGCACGAGCACCCCCAAAAUGCCAAUUCUGCUCUGGGGUUGGACAUGCAGUCCCAUAAUGUCAAUACUUGAGAGCUGUGAUGGCAAAUGAUCAAAGAAUUGCCCAAUUGACGCAACUGAACCUAUAGGAAAAAGAUAGACAUAAAUAGGGAGGCGACAACAGCAGCCUGAUUUUUUGCUCCCUGUGUUUGAAAAACAGGAACUUAUAUUGUGCAAGGUUCAAAGAUUUGUUUGAAACAUGAACAAAAGAUGAUGUGACAUUGCAUUUUCAUCUUGGUUUUGUUUUCAAAACAAACAAUUUUUUUCAUUUUGGAUUGUUGUAUUAAAGUUACAUCAAAAUAUAGUUUGUCCCCUGUUCAUGUUCUUGUUACGAAAAAAGCUUGUUUAUGUUCAUUUUCAUUUUUGCAGGGGUGUGCAUGUGUUCCAGAGAUGCAUCCAUGAAAAUGAUAACCACUGUGUCAAAUGUUACAUAAAAAACAUAAAUCUUACAUGAAGGAUUUCACAUGUUUAUUUUGCUAGAACAAACAUUAGGAUCAUAUAUCCAUGUGUUGUUUCUGCUAUGACAUGAUCAACAUGUUACACAGACAUAAAAAAUAGUUUUUUUUGUUUCCAUUGGAAAGAUACAUCAUGCAGCAAAGUGCUCCCAUACACCAAAAUGAUAAACCAGAAAUACCAGGACACACAUCGGGAACCCGCAUUAGAAAACAGGGAAAAUUGCUUUGAAACACACAUCAGGAUCAGGUAACUGCCCAUUUAUAUUUGUCAUGUGUACACGGUAUACAGAUGUGCAAAAAUCACUAGAACAUUAACGACAAAAUGGUUGCAUCGAUAAAGCUCCAGCAUACAAAAUAUAAUAGGGGAAAAGAUGGCAUGCCCCAGCAUGACACAUCCUUCUCCGAAAAAACUCUAGUUACAUAAUGUACCACAUCUACUAGAGAGCUCAGUUGCCAAAACAUGCGCGCACACAUGCACUGAAAAAGAGGCCUAAAACUACUAGCUAGGUCUUGUUGCGGUCCAUUGUUGACUUGAAUCUACGACUUUUUCAGCGACUUUUCGAGCUCCUCCUCCGAGCUGAGGGUGUUUUGCGGAUGUUUGAAUAGCUUUGCUGCAAUGUACUUCCGAAAGUUGAGCAAGGAGGUUGUGUCCUGAUCAUACACAACAACAAAAAACACAUAUUUAGAAACUACCAGCAAAAAAAGGAAAGUCAUUCUCCCAGAAAAACAUGAUUUCACAAAAAAAUAAAUGAGUAGCAAAAGGGGAAAGGCAAGUCAUACUUUAUUGAAUGGCUUUAACCCCUUUGCAGUUAAAUUCUCCAUGUAUAGAAUAGCAAAUAUGCCACAAUCAAAUCUGCCAGGAAAAAAAGUUGGAGAAAAAUGAGAUCACAAAAAUGAGAUAAAAGUUGCCGUAAAAAUGUAUAGUUGCGGAAAACACUAUAUUGUUGACUCUUGUGGAUAGCCUGAUGGACUAAAUCGCUCAAAUGUGUCAAGAUCAUGCUUCCAUGGGUUUCUUUCUCUCACCAGAGUUUUGAAGUUCCCUAUCUACAAAAUGUAAGACUGGUUGCUAAUGAAACAUUUAUUUCAAAAAGAAUGGUGAGAAAAGCAAAAACGAUUGCUACCCCAUACCAAAUUGGAACAAGGUUUCUCGAGGAUGCUGACAUAGUCAGAGUCUUGGCUGUUGGAGUCGAACCUGUUGAACUGUUUAUGCAUCAAGUUUACAAUAACGACUACCCAAUGGUCUCGUUUCACAACGGUGAAGAAGAACUGCAAAUGAAUUAAAAAAAUCAAAUGAUAUAAGGGCAUAGUUGCACAACAUGGUAGAAAAUUUGUUGCACUGUCUACAAAACAUUGAUGAACAAAAAGCCUUACUUGAUCAGAUUUUGCAAUGUUGUUCUUCUCACACGCCCUUUUCAAAUCUUUGGUGCAAGAAUUUGGAUUGAAUGAACUUGGGUCCACACAGAGUUUUGACAGUAUAUAAGAAAAAACAUCGCAACAAAAAGAAGGUCAAAAAGAAUGUGGUUGUUAUCUAAAACCUACUAUGUUGCAUUGCAAAAUCUCAAGUGACAACAAUAAGGAAAAAGAUGAUAGUUAACUCACAGCAACAUGCGGUGAGAAUGCAAACUUCCUUGGCUUGCUUGAGUUGUACAUGUGCUCAAUGUUGAAACUUUUAGUGUAAAGUGACAUCACCUCAUUGUUCACAUGAGCCCUCUUUUUGAGCCCAUUGCUGAAAGGUUUGAAUGAAAUAUCGAAACCACCUAUCCUUAUGAACAAAGGGCUAAUUUGUUGUAAGAGAGGACAGAAAGUUGGUUAGAAGUUGUGAAACUAUUGCUGAGGGUUAUUUUCUCUCAGCGCACAAAAAGAAAUCACGGAAAAAAACUUACAGUGGAUCGCCUCGGGGUGGGUCCUUUAUCUUAUAAUUGGUACAAUAGUACCUCUAGUAUAUUGCACCGUCCAUUGCAUCAAUUUUUAUCUUCUUCAUUUUCAGCAUAUUUGCUGCAGUUGGUUCUGUCGGUGCAACUCUCUUAAGUGUAGGAUUCUUGUAAUCAUGGCCUCGCCCGCUGCUGACUUCCACCACUGCCUCCUCUCUUGUUUCAUCAAUACAUGCUUCUGCCCAAAAAAUGAAAGAAAUAAAGCGGAAAUAAAUAGUGAGUAACAGUUUUGAAUCAUACAUGUGCUACGUUUCAAAAAGGAAAGGAUGAUAUGUUGCGUAAACAAAAAUUUGCGGGAAUGACUUAUAAAAACCUGCAGGUCAUGUUGAUAUUGGCGGGAACAUCGCGAGUGGAGUGACAUCAUAAACAGGACCAAGUGAAGUGGCAGCAGCAAAAAGGUCAUCAAACAAAGGGCUCCUCACUUCAAUCUCCAUGAAAGACUCAAUAUCAACAGCAGGCGGUCGUGGAGGUGAUUCAACUUGUGGCAUAUCCUGAAACAGCAAGGCAUCAGAGCUACCAGGUUCAAACAAUCCAAAUGAAGGCCCGUCUUCAAGAGUUCCUCGCCUCCUAAUCAAAUUCACGCAUGGGUAGGAUGUGCUGCGAGGCGACAUCCGUUCAAAUAUGUUUGUCUUGUUGUAUAUAUCUGUUGGGGAAUGUUGCAUGGGAAACAAAAAAAUUCCUACGCACACGAAGACCUAUCAUGGUGAUGAUCAUCUACAAGAGAGAGAUCGGAUCUACAUACCCUUGUAGAUCACUAAACGGGAAGCGUUAAGACACGAGGUUGAUGUAGUGGAACGUCUUCGCGGUCCAAAUCGUCGCCGUCCCACGAUCCGUCCCGAUCUAGUACUGGACGGACAGCACCUCCGCGUUCAGCACACGUACAGCUCGAUGACGAUCUCCGCCUUCUUGAUCCAGCAAGAGAGACGAAGAGGUAGAUGAAUUCUCCCGCAGCAUGACGGUGUGGCGGUGAUGGUGGUGGAGCUACUCCAGCACGACUUCGUCGUGCCGUACCGAUCUAGCUACGAUAUGUCACGAAGUAAUGGAGGGAGAGAGGUGUGCACAAAAACUUGAGGCGCAAAAACCCUACAACCCUCUACUAUAUAUAGGAGUAACCAAGGGGUGGUGGCCUUGCCUCCUACUCCAAGUAGGAGGGGUCAGCCGAGCCAAGGAGGAAGGAAUCCUCCUCCAAUUCGGUUUGGAGGAGGAGUCCUUUCCUUCUUUCCCACCUCCUCUCUUCUUUUCUGUUUCCUUUAUUGUUGUCUUGGCCGGAAUAGCCCUAUUGGGCUGGCCUCACCACACUACUAAGGGUUGGUGUGCCACCCAUGACCCAUGGGCCUAUUAGGUUCUCUCCCGGGUGGGUGGCCCUCCCGGUAAAACCCCGAAACCCAUUCGUCACUCCCUGUACUUUACCGGUAAUGCCCGAAAUAUUUCCGGAGGCCAAAUGCAACAAUCCUAUAUAUCAAUCUUCGUUUUCGGACCAUUCCGGAGACACUCGUGACGUUCGGGAUCUCAUCCGGGACUCCAAACAACAUUAGGUUACCAACAUCAAUAAUUCAACUGUACCGAAAACGUGACCGAACCUUAAGUGUGCAGACCAUGCGGGUUUGAGAACUAUGUACACAUGACCGAGACACUCUCUGGCCAAUAUCCAAUAGUGGGACCUGGACGUCCAUAUUGGAUCCUACAUAUUCUACGAAGAUCUUAUCGGUUGAACCUCUAUGUCAAGGAUUCGCACAAUCCCGUAUAUCAUUCCCUUUGUCCUUUGGUAUGUUACUUGCCCGAGAUUCGAUCGUCGGUAUCUCCAUACCUAUUUCAAUCUCGUUACCCGCAAGUCUCUUUACUCGUUCCGUAAACCAAGACCCCGUGACUAACUCUUUAGUCACAUUCCUUGCAAGGCUUGUUUGUGAUGUUGUAUUACCGAGUGGGCCCCGAGAUACCUCUCCGUCACACGGAGUGAAAAAUCCAGGUCUUGAUCCAUGCUAACUCAACGGACACCUUCGGAGAUGCAUGUAGAGUACCUUUAUAGUCACCCAGUAAUGUUGCGACGUUUGAUACACACAAGGCACUCCUCCGGUGUCAGUGAGUUACAUGAUCUCAUGGUCAUAGGAAUGAAUACUUGACAUGCAGAAAAAAAUAGCAACAAAAUGACAUGAUCAUAUGCUACGUUUAUAGUUUGGGUCUUGUCCAUCACGUCAUUCUCCCAAUGAUGUGAUCCCGUCAUCAAGUGACAACACUUGUCUAUGGAUAGGAAACCUUAACCAUCCUUGAUCAGCAGGCGAGUCAACUAUAGACUCACUAGGGACAUUGUUUUGUCUAUAUAUCCACACAUGCAUUUAUGUUUCCAUUCAAUACAGUUAUAGCAUGGAUAAUAAACGAUUAUCUUAAAACAGGAAAUAUAAUAAUAACUAUUUUAUUAUUGCCUCUAGGGCAUAUUUCCAACAGUCUCCCACUUGCACUAGAGCCAAUAAUCUAGCCUCACAUCUUCAUGUGAUUUACAAUGUAAUGAAUCUAACACCCAUACAGUUCUGGUGUUGUUCAUGCUUUGCUUGUGGAAGAGGUUUAGUCAGCGGAUCUGCAACAUUCAGAUCCGUGUACACUUUGCAAAUAUGUAUGUCUUCCUCCUUGAUGUAAUCGCGGAUGGUGUUGAAGCGUCGCUUUAUGUGUCUGGUCCUCUUGUGAAACCUUGGUUCCUUGGCUAGAGCAAUGGCACCAGUGUUGUCACAGAACAUAUUGAUUGGAUCCAAUGCACUUGGCACUACUCCAAGAUCUGACAUGAACUGCUUCAUCCACACACCCUCCUUGGCCGCCUCUGAGGCAGCUAUGUACUCUGCUUCGCAUGUAGAAUCAGCUACGACGCUUUGCUUGGAAAUGCACCAGCUUACCGCACCCCCGUUAAGAAUAAAUAUGUAUCCUGUUUGCGACUUAGAGUCAUCCGGAACAGUGUCAAAGCUUGCGUCGACGUAACCCUUUAUGAUGAGCUCUUCGUCAUCUCAUAAACGAGAAACAUUUCCUUAGUCCUUUUUAGGUCCUCAGAAUAUUCUUGACCACCGCCCAGUGUUCCACUCCUGGAUCACUUUGAAACCUGCCUGCCAUACUUAUGGCCAGGCUAACAUCCGGUCUUGUGCACAACAUAGCAUACAUGAUAGACCCUAUGGCUAAAGCAUAGGGGACGACACUCAUCUUUUCUCUAUCUUCUGCAGUUACUGGACAUUGAGUCUUACUCAACUUUAUACCUUGUAACACAGGCAAGAACCCCUUCUUGGAUUGUUCCAUUUUGAACUUCUUCAAAACUUUAUCAAGGUAUGUGCUUUGUGAAAGAGAUAUUAGGCGUCUCGACCUAUCUCUAUAGAUCUUUAUGCCUAAUAUGUAAGUGGCUUCUCCUAGGUCUUUCAUUGAAAAACUUUUAUUCAAGUAAUCCUUUACGCUUUCCAAAAACUCCACAUUGUUUCCAAUCAGCAAUAUGUCACCCACAUAUAAUAUUAGAAACGUUAUAGAGCUCCCACUCACUUUCUUGUAAAUACAAGCUUCUCCAAGAGCUUGUAUAAACCCAAACGCCUUGAUCACCUCAUCAAAGCGUUGAAUCCAACUCCGAGAUGCUUGCACCAGUCUAUAAAUGGAUCGCUGGAGCUUGCACACCUUGCCAGCAUUCUCAGGAUCGACAAAGCCUUCGGGUUGCAUCAUAUACAGCUCUUCCUUAAGAAACCCGUUAAGGAACGCUGUUUUGAUAUCCAUGUGCCAGAUUUCAUAAUCGAAAAAUGCACUAUUUCUAACAUGAUUCGGACGAACUUAAGCAUCGCUACGACGAGAAUGUCUCAUCAUAGUCAACUCCUUGAACUUGUGAAAAACCCUUUGCCACAAAUUGAGCUUUAUAAACGGUCACAUUACCGUGCGCGUCCGUCUUCUUCUUAAAGAUCCAUUUGUUCUGAAUAGCCUCGCGACCUUCAGGUAAUACUUCCAAAGUCCAUACUUUGUUUUCAUACAUAGAUCCUAUCUCGGAUUUCAUGGCUUCUAACCAUCUGUUGGAAUCUGGGCCCACCAUUGCUUCUCCAUAAUUCGCAGGCUCAAUGUUGUCCAACAACAUGAUAGACAAGACAGGAUUCCCGUACCACUCAGGAGCAGUAUGUGCUCUUGUCGACUUGUGAGGUCCUACGGUAACUUGAUCUGAAGCUUCAUGAUCAUCAUCAUUAGCUUCCUCUUCAACUGGUGUUGCCUCGACAGAAAUUUCUUUCUACCCUGUGCCACCAUCUUGUUGAAGCAGAGGUUCCGCAACCUCAUCAAGUUCUAUCUUCCUCCCACUCAAUUCUUUCGAGAGAAACUCUUUCUCAAUAAAAGCUCCAUUCUUAGAGAAAAACACUUUGCCCUCGGAUCUGAGAUAGAAGGUAUACUCAACUGUCUCUUUUGGGUAACCUAUGAAGACGCACUUUUCCGCUUUGGGUUCCAGGUUUUCAGGCUGAAGCUUUUUGACAUAAACAUCACAUCCCCAAACUUUAAGAAACGACAACUUUGGCUUCUUGCCAUACCAUAGCUCAUAUGGUGUCGUCUCAACGGAUUUGGAUAGUGCCCUAUUUAAAGUGAAUGCAGUUGUUUCAAAUGCAUAGCCCCAAAACGAUAAUGGAAAAUCGGUAAGAGACAUCAUAGAUCGCACCAUAUCUAAUAAAGUACGAUUACGACGUUCAGACACACCAUUACGCUAUGGUGUUCCAGGCGGUGUCAACUGUGAAACAAUUCCACAUUGUCUUAAGUGAGCACCAAACUCGUAACUCAUAUAUUCUCCUCCUCGAUCAGAUCGUAGGAACUUGAUCUUCUUGCUACGAUGAUUUUCAACUUCACUCUGAAAUUGUUUAAACUUUUCAAACGUUUCAGACUUGUGCUUCAUCAAGUAGAUAUAGCCAUACGUACUCAAAUCGUCAGUGAAGGUGAGAAAAUGACGAUAUCCGCCGCACGCCUUUAUGCUCAUUGGUCCGCACACAUGAUGACCCACAAGUGUAGGGGAUCUAUCGUAGACUUUUCAUAAGUAAGAGUGUCGAACCCAACGAGGAUCAGAAGGUACUGACAAGUGAUCUUCAGCAAGGAAUAACUGCAAGUACCGAAAGGCAACUUUUUAUGGGAUUUCUAGUAAUAGCAACAAGGAAAUAAACAUAAGUAAAAUAAAUGGUGUUCAGGUGCAGCAAGUGGCCCAAUCCUUUUUAACACAAAGGAUAAGCCGAGGGACUAAACUUAUAAAUACUAAGGCGUUCAUGAGGACACACGGGAGAGAUAGUCAAGUGCUUUCGCCAUAUUCUCUCUAGUACUAUGUUUUGUAUUGAUAAGUGUUAUGUGGGUGGAUCUUAACUAGUGCACCGUCUAGGCUAAGACAAGUUCACUCUUAUGAUUAAUCCCCCUUGCAAGCAUCCGCAAAUACAAGAGAGAAAUUAAGGCAAAGCCUAACCAUAGCAAUAAACUUUAGGAUCCAAUACUCCCUCAUGCUAAAGUAUGCGAACUAGGGUCCAGGUUUAUGUCAGUCCGGCAACCCACCAUAGGCAUUCUUUAUACAUGAUGCAUUCCCCUAGGUCCUUAAAAAGGCAAAGUGUUAUGUAGUCGACGUUCACAUAACACCACUAGAAGAAUAACACCAUAACUUAAAUAUCAAUCAACUCAUAUUACUUCAACAUCAUAUGACUACUAGCAUCUAGACUUUUCCCGUGUCCUCGAGAACUAACGAAACUACUCACAAGACAUAAAAGAGAUCAUGUUCAGAGGUGAUGAAAAUAUGAUUAACAAUCUGGUCAUAACAAUAAUUCUCCAACAAAACUCAAUAGCAUUCACCACAAAAGAGUAAUCAAUACCGGUAGAGUAGAGGGGAUGAAUAGUGCAAGGUACAACUCCGAUUGCAAUGGUGAAGUGAGAUGGGAUGAAGAUGGAGAUGGUGAUGGUGAUGAUGAUCUCGAUGAUGCCCGCGACGAUGGUGAUGACGAUGAGGACGAUCUCCCCUUCCGGGAGGAGUUCUCCCCGGCGGAAUCUGCCCGCCGAAAAGGUAUUUUCUUCUCUGUAGGUUUCUACCGUGGAGCGGUGGCAGAACAACUCUUUCGUCCCCGUAACUUAGGUCAAUAGGAUGAUAUAGGCCAAAGGAGAGUGCCGGAGGUGGGAACCACCACCCAGGCGGCCUCUGGGCACGACCUAGGGGUGGCCCGCGCCAGCAGGUCGCUUGGGUGACCUGUGGCCCCCCUUCGGCCCUCCUUCGGCCAGUCUUCGUGAUAUGUUCGGAAACUCCUUCCCUCAAUAUUUCAGCGCAGUUGGAGAUGUUCUGAUAUGGUAACUCUUCGUGCUAUUUUCUCCGUUGAAUCCUGCGUCUGCUGUUUCGGCACCGGAAAGUUGUAAACUGUGUAAAAUAAGCCAAAACACUAUAAGUGCAUCAUCAUAAUGUGAGAUAUAUCAAUGAAUAGAGACAAAUUAUGAUACAAAAUAGUGAUGCAUUUUGGACGUAUCAACACAUCACUAUGUAUGAUCUCCAAUAAGUCACUCGCACGCUCCAUAGUUCCAUAGAACGGAGUUUUAGUCAUCUUGCUCAUGAGGCAUGGUUCGCAUGUGUCAAGUGAUUCAAAAUCAAGUGACUCCAAAAGUCCAUCAGCAUGGAGUUUCUUCAUGUGCUUAACAUCAACAUGACCUAAGCGGCAAUGCCACAAGAAAGUGGCGCUAUCAUUGUUAACUCUACAUCUUUUGGUCUCAAUGUUAUGGAUUUGAGUGUCAUCACAAUCGAGAUUCAAUAUGAACAAACCCCUCACAUUGGGUGCAUGACCAUAAAAGGUAUUACUCAUAUAAAUAGAACAACCAUUAUUCUCUGACUUAAAUGAAUAAUCAUCUCGCAAUAAACAAGAUCCAGAUAUAAUGUUCAUGCUCAACACAGGCACUAAAUAACAAUUAUUUAAGUUCAUAACUAAUCCCAAUGGUAACUGAAGUGAGACCGUGCCGACGGCAAUCGCAUCAACCUUGGAACUAAUUCCCACGCGCAUCGUCACUUCAUCCUUCGCCAGCCUUUGUUUAUUCCGUAGUUCCUAUUUCGAGUUGCAAAUGUGAGCAACAGAACCGGUAUCAAAUACCCAGGCACUACUACAAGAGUUGGUGAGGUACACAUCAAUAAAAUGUAUAACAUAUAUACCUUGUUUGGCAUUGGCCGCCUUUUUAUCGGCCAGAUACUUGGGGCAGUUGCGCUUCCAGUGAACACUCCCCUUGCAAUAAUAGCACUCAGUUUCCGGCUUAGGCCCAACCUUGGGUUUCUUCGUCGGAGGGGCAACCAACUUUGUCACUGUUCUUGGAGUUACCCUUCUUGCCUUUGCCGUUUUUCUUGAAACUAGUGGUCUUAUUGACCAUCAACAGUUGAUGUUCUUACUGGAUUUCUGACUCAACGACUUUCAGCAUCGCAAUAACUCGUCGGGUGACUUGUUCAUCCCUUGCAUGUUAUAGUUCAACAUGAAGCUCUUGUAGCUAGGUGGCAGUGACUGAAGAAUUCUGUCAGUAAUAGCUUCUUGCGGGAGAGAGAUCCCCAGCUCAGCUAGAUGGUUUGAGUACCUAGACAUUUUGAGCACAUGUUCACUGACAGACGAAUUCUCCUCCAUUUUGCAAGCAUAGAAUUUAUAGGAGGUCUCAUACCUCUCGAUCCGGGCAUUCUUCUCAAAGAUAAACUUCAACACCUCGAACAUCUCAUAUGCUCCAUGACGUUCAAAACAUCUUUGAAGUUCUGGUUCUAAGCCAUACAAAAUUGCACAUUAAACAAGUGAGUAGUCAUCCUUACGUGCUUGCCAAGCGUUCAAUACGUCUUGGUUAGCCGUAACGGGUGGUUCAUCUCCUAGCGCUGCAUCAAGGACAUAAUUCUUUUGCACAGCUUGGAGGAUAAGCCUCAGAUUUUGAGCCCAGUCUACAAAGUUUCUACCAUCAUCUUUCAGCUUAGCUUUCUCUAGGAACGCGUUGAAAUUCAGGGUUGCUACUGCGCGAGACAUUGAUCUACAACAUAAAAUUUUGCAAAGAUUACUUAGACUAUGUUCAAGACAAUUGAGUUUAGCUAAUCAUAUUACUAAUAAACUCCCACUCAAAUAGACAUCCCUCUAGUCAUUCAAGUGUUGCAAUAUCCAAAUUCACUAACUCAAGUCCGAUCAUCACGUGAGUUGAGUAUAGUUUCAGUGGUGAGCAUCUCCAUGCUGAUCAUAUCAACUAUAUGAUUCAUGCUCGACAUUUUGGUCUCUUGUGUUCCAAGGCCAUGUAUGUACAUGCUAGGUUCGUCAAGUUUAACCCCGAGUGUUCCGCGUGUGCAACUGUUUUGCACCCAUUGUGUGUGAACGUUGAGUCUAUCACACCCGAUCAUCACGUGGUGUCUCGAAAUGUCGAACUGUCACAACGGUGCACAGUCGGGGAGAACAAAAUUUUAUCUUGAAAUUUUAGUGAGGGAUCACCUUAUAAUGCUAUCGUCGUUCUAAGCAAAAUAAGGUCCAUAAAAAGGAUUAACGUCACAUGCAAAUCAUAAGUGACAUGAUAUGGCCAUGAUCUUGUGCUUCUUGAUCUCCAUUACCAAAGCACCGGCAUGAUCUUCAUCGUAACCGGCGCGACACCAUGAUCUCCAUCAUUGUGCCGCCAUCGAGGUUGUCAUGCUAUCUAUGCUAUUACUAAUAAAGCUACUACCUAGCAAUAUAGUAAACGCAUCUGCAAGCAUAAACGUUAGUUUAAAGACAACCCUAUGGCUCCUGUCGGUUGCCGUAGCAUCGACGUGCAAGUCGAUAUUUAACUAUUACAACAUGAUCAUCUCAUACAUCCAAUAUAUCAUAUCAUGUCAUUGGCUAUAUCACAUCACAUGCAUACCCUGCAAAAACAAGUUAGACAUCCUCUAAUUUGUUGUUGCAUGUUUACGUGGCUGCUAUGGGUAUCUAGUAUGAUCGCAUCUUACUUACGCAAAACCACAGCGGUGAUAUGUAAAUUGCUAUUUAACCUUCUCCGAGGACCACCUCGAUCAAAUCUGAUUCAACUAAAGUUGAAGAAACAAACACCCGCCAGUCAUCUUUAUGCAACAAGUUGCAUAUCUGUCGAUGAAACCCAUCUCUCGUAAGCGUACGAGUAAGGUUGGUCCGGGCCGCUUCAAUCCAACAAUACCGCCGAAUCAAGAAAAGACUAAGGAGGGUAGCAAAUUGAACAUCAACGCCCACAAACUCUUUUGUGUUCUACUCGAUAUUUCAUCUACGCAUGAACCUAGCUCAUGAUGCCACUGUUGGGGAACGUUGCAUGGGAAACAAAAAAUUUCCUAAGCACACGAAGACCUAUCAUGGUGAUGAUCAUCUACGAGAGGGAGAUCGGAUCUACAUACCCUUGUAGAUCGCUAAGCGGGAAGCAUUAAGAAAUGCGGUUGAUGUAGUGGAACGUCUUCGCGAUCCAAAUCGCCGCCGUCCCACGAUUUGUCUCGAUCUAGUACCGAACGGAUGACACCUCCGCGUUCAGCACACGUACAGCUCGAUGACUGAUACAUCCAUUUUGCAUCAUGCUUUCAUGUUGAUACUUAUCGCUUUUUGGGCUGUUAUUACACUUCACGGUACAAUACUUAUGCCUUUUCUCUCUUAUUUUGCAAGGUUUACAUGAAGAGGGAGAAUGCCGGCAGCUGGAAUUCUGGCCUCAAAAGGGAGCAAGUUUGAGAUACCUAUUCUGCGCAACUCCAAAAGCCGUGAAAAUCAACGAGGAUUUAUUUUUGAAUUUAUAAAAAAUACUGGGCCGAAGAAGUACCAGAGGGGCGCCAGCAGGAAGCCACAAGCCUGCUAGGCGCGACCUCCCCCCUGGCUGUGCCUAGGGGCUUGUGGGCUCCAAGCUGGCCCUCUGGCCCCCCUCUUUUUCUACAAGAAGGGUUUUGUUCCGAAAAAAAUCAAGAGGAGGCUUUCAAGAGGAAUCGCCGCCGCCACGAGGCGAAACUUGAGCAGAACCAAUCUAGAGCUCCGGCAGGACGAUCCUGCCGGGGAAACUUCCCUCCCGGAGGUGGAAAUCGUCGCCAUCGUCAUCACCAACACUCCUCUCAUCGGAGGGGACUCAUCACCAUCAACAUCUUCAUCAGCACCAUCUCAUCUCCAAACCCCAGUUCAUAUCUUGUAACCAAUCUCCGUCUCUCGACUCCGAUUGGUACUUGUAAGGUUGCUAGUAGUGUUAAUUACUCUUUGUAGUUGAUGCUAGUUGGAUUACUUGGGGGGAGAUUAUAUGUUCAGAUCUUUGAUGCUACUCAUUACCUCUCUGGUCAUGAAUAUGAUUAUGCUUUGUCAGUAGUUACUUUUGUUCCCGAGGACAUGGGAUAAGUCUUGCUAUAAGUAGUCAUGUGAAUUUGGUAUUCGUUCGAUAUUUUGAUGUGUUGUAUGUUGUUUUUCCUCUAGUAGUGUUAUGUGAACGCCGACUACAUAACACUUCACCAUUAUUUGGUCCUAGAGGAAGGCAUUGGGAAGUAGUAAGUAGAUGAUGGGUCGCUAGAGUGACAGAAGCUUAAACCCUUGUUUAUGCGUUGCUUCGUAAGGGGCUGAUUUGGAUCCUCUAGUUUAAUGUUAUGGUUAGACUUUGUCUUAAUUCUUCUUUCAUAGUUGCGGAUGCUUGCGAGAGGGGUUAAUAAUAAGUGGGAUGCUUCUCCAAUUAAGGGCAGUACCCAAGCGGUGGUCCACCCACAUAUCAAACUAUCAAAGUAGCGAACGUGAAUCAUAUGAACAUGAUUAAAAUUAGCUUGACAGAAAUUCCCAUGUGUCCUCGGGAGCGUUUUACCUCCUAUAAGAGUUUGUCCAGGCUUGUCUCUUGCUACAAAAGGGAUUGGGCCACUUUGCUUCACCUUUUUUAUCGUUGUUACUUGCUACUUGCUACGAAUCAUCUCACCACACAACUACUUGUUACCGAUAAUUUCAGUGCUUGCAGAGAUUACCUUGCUGAAAACCACUUGUGAGAUCCUUCUGCUCCUCGUUGGGUUCGACACUCUUACUUAUCGAAAGGACUACGAUAGAUCCCCUAUACUUGUGGGUCAUCAAGACACUUUUCUGGUGCCGUUGUCGGGGAGUGAAGCGCCUUUGGUAAGUGGAAUUUGGUAAGGAAACAUUUAUAUAGUGUGCUGAAAUUUAUUGUCACUUGUCACUAUGGAAACUAAUCCUUUGAGGGGCUUGUUCGGGGUAUCUUCACCUCGAACGGAAGCACAAAGAGUUGCUCCUCAACCUAGUGCACCUACUGAAAAUAUUUGCUAUGAAUUUCCUUCGGGUAUGCUUGAGAAACUGUUGGCUAAUCCUUUCACAGGAGAUGGAACAUCACAUCCAGACUUGCAUCUAAUCUAUGUAGAUGAAGUUUGUGGUUUAUUUAAGCUUGCAGGUUUGCCCGAAGAUGAGGUCAAGAAGAAGGUCUUUCCCUUAUCUUUGAGGUAUAAGGCGUUGACAUGGUAUAGGCUAUGUGAUGAUACUAGAUCAUGGAACUACAAUCGGUUGAAAUUGGAAUUUCAUCAAAAGUUUUAUCCUAUGCAUUUAGUACAUCGUGAUCGGAAUUAUAUUUAUAAUUUUUGGCCUCGUGACAGAGAAAGCAUCGCUCAAGCUUGGGGGAGGCUUAAAUCAAUGCUAUAUUCAUGCCCCAACCAUGAGCUCUCGAGAGAAAUUAUCAUUCAGAACUUCUAUGCUCGGCUUUCUCAUGAUGAUCGCACCAUGCUUGACACUUCUUGUAACGGUUCUUUUACGAAGAGAGAUAUUGACUUCAAAUGGAAUUUAUUGGAAAGAAUUAAACGCAACUCUGAAGAUUGGGAGCUUGAUGAAGGUAAGGAGUCACGUAUGAAUUUCAAGUUUGAUAUCGUUAAAUCCUUUGUUGAAACAAAUACUUUUUGUGAUUUUAGCGCUAAGUAUGGACUUGUCUCUGAGAUAGCAGCUUCAUUGUGUGAAUCAUUUUCUGCUCAUAUUGAUCUCCCCUAAGAGAAGUGGUUUUGAAUAUCAUCCUCCCUUAGAAGUCAAUGUAGUUAAACCCAAUCCAGUUGAAGAGAGAGUCAUUGCCUAUAAUGAUCCUAUUGUUCACAGUGCUUACAUUGAGAAACCACCUAUCCCUAUUAGGAUAAAGGAUCAUUCUAAAGCUUCAACUGUGAUACGUAGAGGCUACAUUAGAACACCUACACCCCCUGAGAAAAUUAGAGUUGAACCUAGCAUUGCUAUUAUCAAAGAUCUCCUGUCCGACAAUGUUGAUGGCCAUGAUAUUCACUUCUGUGAAGAUGCUGCUAGAAUUGCUAACCCCCAUGCUAGAGACAAACAUAGGCCUGUUGUUGGCACGCAUGUUGUUUCUGUUAAGAUAGGAGAUCAUUGUUAUCAUGGUUUAUUUGAUGUGGGUGCUAGUGUUAGUGCAAUACCUCAAUCCUUAUAUGAUGAAAUUAAAGACGAGAUUGCACCUAUCGAGAUAGAACCCAUUGAUGUCACUAUUCAGCUUGCCAAUAGAGAUACUAUCUGCCCUGUGGGUAUUGUUAGAGAUGUUAAAGUCUUGUGUGGUAAAACGAAGUAUCCUGCUGAUUUCCUCGUUCUUGCUACCACACAAGAUAGCUUUUGUCCCAUCAUAUUUGGCAGACCUUUUCUCAAUACUGUCAAUGCUCAUAUUGACUGUGAGAAGCAAAUUUUCACUGUUGGCUUUGAAGGUGUGUCACAUGAGUUCAAUUUCUCCAAGUUUGGUAGACAACUUCAUGAAAGAGCGUUGCCUAGUAAGGAUGAAAUUAUUGCCCUAGAUUCUAUUGCCGUGCCUCCUACUGAUCCUUUAGAGCAAUACUUUCUUGAGCACGAAAAUGAUAUGCAUAUGGAUGAAAGGGAUGAGACCGAUAGAGUUGUCUUAGAACAAUAUCCUAUCCUUAAGAAUACUUUGCCUGUUGAACUGCUUGGAGAUCCACCCCCACCAAAGGGUGAUCCUGUCUUCGAGCUUAAACAGUUGCCUGAUACUCUUAAGUAUGCUUAUCUUGAUGAAAAAGAGAUAUAUCCUAUUAUUAUUAGUGCUAGCCUCUNNNNNNNNNNNNNNNNNNNNNNNNNNNNNNNNNNNNNNNNNNNNNNNNNNNNNNNNNNNNNNNNNNNNNNNNNNNNNNNNNNNNNNNNNNNNNNNNNNNNCCCAGUUACGUUGUGACAUUUGAUACACACAAAGUAUUCCUCCGGUGUCAGUGAGUUAUAUGAUCUCAUGGUCAUAGGAACAAAUACUUGACACGCAGAAAACAGUAGCAACAAAAUAACACGAUCAACAUGCUACGUCUAUUAGUUUGGGUCUAGUCCAUCACAUGAUUCUCCUAAUGAUGUGAUCCCGUUAUCAAGUGACAACACUUGCCUAUGGUCAGGAAACCUUGACCAUCUCUGAUCAACGAGCUAGUCAACUAGAGGCUUACUAGGGACAGUUUUGUCUAUGUAUCCACACAUGCAAUGUGUCUCCAAUCAAUACAAUUAUAGCAUGGAUAAUAAACGAUUAUCAUGAACAAAUAAAUAUAAUAAUAACUAAUUUAUUAUUGCCUCUAGGGCAUAUUUCCAACACAUGUUAGUCCACGAAAUACUGUCACACCUGAAGAACCAAAUGAUAUUUCUACUGAUGCAGAAAAACAAUCUGGUGAUGAACAUAAACGUGGUGACAAUAUGGACAUCGAUGUUUAUAAUAAUGCUCAACCUAGCAAUGAUGAGGAUGUGGAGAUUGAACCUACGGUUAAUCCUGAUAACCCACAACCUAAGAGAUAUGAUAAGAAUGACUUCACUGCUAGGAAGCAUGGUAAAGAAAGGGAGCCAUGGGUUCAGAGACCUAUGCCCUUUCCUCCUAAGCCAUCCAAGAAAAAGGAUGAUGAGGAUUUUGAGCGCUUUAUUGAAAUGAUAAGACCCGUCUUUCUGCAGAUGCGGUUAGUUGAUAUGCUCAAAAUGUCUCCAUAUGCCAAGUACAUGAAAGAUAUCGUGACCAAUAAACGGAAGAUACCAGAUCUUGAGAUCUCCACCAUGCUUGCCAAUUACACUUUCAAAGGCGGAACUCCUAAGAAACUUGGUGAUCCCGGAGUGCCCACUAUACCUUGCUCAAUUAAAGGAAACUACGUAAGAACUGCCUUAUGUGACCUUGUAGCCGGAGUUAGUGUUAUGCCUCUCUCUCUUUAUCGUAGACUUUAACUGGAUAAGUUGACACCCACUAUAAUCUCUUUGCAAAUGGCCGACAAAUCAACUGCUUUCCCUGUUGGCAUUUGCGAGGAUGUGCCUGUUGUGGUUGCUAACACCACUAUCUUAACAGAUUUUGUUAUCUUGGAUAUUCCCGAGGACGAUGCCAUGGCUGUCAUCCUUGGAAGACCCUUUUUAAACACUGCAGGGGCUGUUAUAGAUUGCAACAAAGGCAAUGUCACUUUCCAUGUCAAUGGUAAUGAGCAUACCGUGCACUUUCCGAAGAAACGAUAUCAAGUACAUUGCAUCAAUGCUAUCGAAAAAACUUCAUCGAUUCUUUUUGGGAGCUUUGAAUGCCCUAUUCCUCGUGUCAAGAUGGAGUAUGAUUUGCUCAUUGGGGAGAUUCAUAUCCCCAUUGAGGUGACUUAGUGGCUAUUCGACAAUUCUCUGUUUCCUUUUGCGAUUCGAAAAAGUUUUGUCAUGAGGAUUUGAUCAACCCCAUUGAUGGAUUUCUUUCGAUGACCAUGAGAUGGAUGAAUCGAGGAGUCACAAACAUCUGUUUUAAGCUUUCACUUUCUGUUUCUUAGAAGAAAAAUGAUAGAUUUAGUUUAGUUUUUCCUGUUUCGUGUUUUAGCGUCCCGGAGAAAAAUACCCCGAAAACAAAAGUUCUCCGAUGGUCGUGAAAAUCUAGUAUGAUUUUUCUGGAAUAUUUGAAAAAUACUGGGACUGAGAGCUGGCCUGGGGGCCACCCGAGUGGGCCACAAGCCCUGUCACCGCGGCCACGCCCCUGGCCACGACAAGCAAGCUUGUGGGCCCCACAGGGGCCCCCUCCACUCAUUCCAGCUCCCAUCCUCUUCCUCUACCUCCAGAAAAUAUUGUUUCGCAGCUCAAACCCGUGUUCUUGCUCAUUUGGCUGUGAUUUUCGAUCUCCUUGCUCAAAGCAUCAUUCUCCGAACCGUUUUGGGGAAAUUACUCCUUGGUAAGUGACUCCUCCAUUGGUCCAAUUAGUUUUUUCUCUAGUGCUUUAUCCUUUGCGUAUUCUUACUACCUUGGUGACCCUUUUCUUGAGCUUGAAAUGUUGAUUUUAGCUGGUCCCAAGUAGUUUUAGCGCGUGAUACGGUAUCUAGACACUAGUAGGAGUAGUUGCUACAAGGUGUGGUUGGUCUUUAUUCACUUUUCUCUUGAACUUCUAAAUUUCAGCAAAAAGAAAUUAUGUUCAGGAGGAAGUUUCAUGGUGGUUCCUCAAGUAAGAAGGGUCCCCAUCUUUCUAUUCGGGAGCCUGAUCCUUAUCAACUAAGGGACGCACCGGUACAACCAUGUGAAUGGCCUUCCGAUGAGUUCACGAUCGAAGCAGGAUUCAAGGAUGAGUUUGAUACACUCGUCCGCAAUGCCGGGUUAGAAGAAUUCCUCUCAGAUAAAUGUGAACAGUAUGCUAUGCUCACUGCCUCUUUCGUGCGUAGCUUUAAAUUCUCAGUUGGCCGAGACUCAUCCAUACUGUUUGAUUUGUAUGAUAAAUCCUAUGCCAUGGAUUUGGAGGAUUUCAAUAGGAUUUGCAAAAUACCCAAUGGGGGUAAUCUUAAAGAUCCUGCUAAAUCUUCGGUUAGAGAUUUUUUCUCUAGUAUAUCUGUUGGAGAAACUAGAGACAUCACGCAAGCUACCAUAGGAAGCAUUCAUUUCCCUGCCUUGCACUACUUUGCCCUCUUCAUAGGUAGAUGCAUUAACGGUAAGGUUGAACAUUGUCACCUAUGCGCAUCCGACCUUAGUAUCCUUAAGAGCGCAGUUACGGGUGACAAAAGCUUCAACAUGGGAGCUAUUAUAGCAAGGAGGCUGAAUAAGAACGCUAUUGAGGGAGAUUUCUUUGGCGGCAUCUAUGCCACUCGCAUAGCAAAUUUUCUUGGAGUACCUAUCCGCGCAGGAGAUCCCCCGCUCCAUACAACUUUCCUUGACCGCGCCGCUUUGACACGCUACCAGUUUCUUGAGAGGGAUGAUGAAUCUCUCCUAUACCGAUUGAUAUUUAACCGACAGCAUGUCUUCCAUAUUACCCUUCCUGCUCCUGCUUUCUUUGACUUUCAGGUAAAACGGAGAUACUACAUAACCAUAGGAGAGGCAGAGGAGUAUGAGAGGGAGGCGAUGGUUGCUCAUCUCCGUGAGGCAGCUAUUCAGGCAGUGGAUGCAGCGCUCACGUAUAACCCCGAUUAUGAUUUUGGGUUUCGCCAGGACCAUCCUUGGGAGUAGACCAAGCUAGGCCAAAAGCCUAAGCUUGGGGGAGUACGUGUUCUCACCGACCUUACAUUCAUGCUUAUGCUUUCACUUUGUUCGUCGGUGUUCACACUUCGCCACUGUAUUAUCCAUGCUAGUUUAUUUUCGUUUCCUUGUUUUCUUGUUUUGUGUCCUUUUGAGAAAACCCAAAAAGAUUUUCCUUUCUUCUUUUUGCUUGUUGGGAGCUUUCCCAUGUAAAUAGUUUUCUUUUUCUUUGGGUCAAGGUAGAAGAUAUUGGUUACAAUGUUUAGUAGCUCUUGUAUGCUUACCUGUUUAGCUUUCAAAGAGCCAUAUUACUUUGUCUUCUCCUUUGUGUUUGCCUGCAGAUUUUAGCUUAGUCCAAUGCACGAGCACUCUUAUUAUUGUUCGCAUCAUUCAUCGUGCAAGUGAAAGGCAAUAAUGAUGAUAUAUAAUGAAGUGACUGAGACUGGAAAAGCUAGUAUGAACUCUAUCUAUUUUGUUUUUGUAAAUAUGACUAGCUUGUCGUCCCAGAUUCAACUUUGUUGUGAGAGAACCAUGUUUGCAAUGACAACUUAGAGAUCAUAGUUUCUGAUGCCAUGCUUAUUUAGCUAGGAGCUUAUAAUGGUUUGUCUUGAAUGCCAACAUAGAUUUUGAGAUGACUAUGACGUAGUAUGAUAGGAUGGUAUUCUCCUUUGAAUGAUUCAACUGGCUUGACUUGGCGCAUGUUCAUGCAUGUAGUUGAAACAAAAUCAACAUAGCCUCUAUGAUGUUCGUGUUCAUGGUGAUUUAUAUCCUGUUCAUGCUUGCAUUCCAUGUUAGUCAAACUCAUUGCAUCUUGAUGACCGUUGUCGCUCUCUAGUUGGUCGCUUCCCAGUCUUUUGCUAGCCUUCACUUGUACUAAGCGGAAUACUGCUUGUGCAUCCACUUCCAUAAACCCAAAAGUUUUUCCAUGAGAGUCCACCAUACCUACCUAUUUGCGGUAUUUACCUGCCGUUCCAAGUAAAUUUGCAUGUGCCAUUCUCUAAACCCUCAAUAAAUAAUCUGUUUUGCAUGCAUGAACCACUCAUGUGGUGCAAGGGGCUAUUGGUAUCUUCCAUGUUAGGCGUGUUAUCCUCGACAUGUAUUUAUUCAUUGUCAUGCACGAGAAAGGGGCCGGUAAUUGGAUUCGGCUAGCCGUGGAGUGUGAUUGAUUGGUGGUGGGGGAGUUAAAAUAUUAUUUUUCUGUUUGGGAACCGCCUAUAACAUGGGCAGCAUGGAAGAUAUUGAGAACUCUUGGUCAUUGCGUUGACAAUGAAAGCAUGCCACCCAAAAUUAUUAUCUCUGUUUUCAAAGCUUGAGCUCUGACACCUCUGCAAAUCAAUGCUUCCCUCUGCGAAGGGCAUGUCUAUUUAUUUUCCUGUUGAGUCAUCCUCUUCUUAUUUAAGCUCCAAUUAGAGAGCAUGUGUGUCAUUUUUAUGCUUUGCUUUUGAUUGAUAUUGAGUAUGACUAUGAUUGGAUCUUCGUUGCUAUGAAUUACAAUGUUUAGUCAGCCCUUGAUCUUUGAAAGUGCUCUGCAUUAAUGUUUUGCGGUCUCAGAAAGAGCUAGCGAGAUACCACCUAUUCAUAUUGCUUCAUGCCAGUUUUGAUUGAAUUGUUGGUAUCCGAAACUCAUUAUUAUUUGCUCACUAGCUGAUUAUGCCAUUGGUAUUAGUUUACCGUGAGACCUUUGUGUCACUUGCUUAUGUGGUUAACUUGUGAUCUUGCUGAAAUUCUGGUUACUGGUUAGACAUAGUUGCAACAACAAGAUCAAACAGAGUUUGUCAAAGUUUUUCUUUCUCUUUCAGUUUGUCAACUGAGUUGCUUGAGGACAAGCAAGGUUUUAAGCUUGGGGGAGUUGAUACAUCUCCAUCGUAUCUACUUUUCCAAACUCUUUUGCCCUUGUUUUGGACUCUAAUUUGUAUGAUUAGAAUGGAACUAACCCGGACUGACGGUGUUUUCAGCAGAAUUUCCAUGGUGUUGUUUUGGACUCUAAUUUUAAUGCUUGUCACUAGGGCCCGAGUGCCAUGAUUUCAUAUCUGAAAUUAUUAUGUUGUCACCAAUAUAUGUGUGUUUUAGAUCCGAUCUUGCAAGUUGUAGUUACCUACUAUGUGUUAUGACCCGACAACCCCGGAGUGACAAUAACCGAAACCACUCCCGGUGAUGACCAUAGUUUGAGGAGUUCAUGUGUUCACCAAGUGCUAAUGCGUUGUUCCGGUUCUUUAUUAAAAGGAGAACCUUAAUAUCCCGUAGUAUCAUUUUGGACCCCGCUGCCACGGGAGGGAUGGACAAUAGAUGUCAUGCAAGUUCUUUUCCCUAAGCACGUAUGACUACACACGGAAUGCAUGCCUACAUCACAUUGACGAAUGGGAGCUAGCCACAUAUCUCUCCAUGUUAUAAUUGUUGCAUGAUGAAUGUCAUCCAAACGAAUCACCGACCCAUUGCCUACGAGUUUGUCCCACUUCUGCUGUUACUUGUUUUGCUCUGCUGUUGUUACUACUUUUGCUUGCUACUGCUGCUACUUGCUACUGCUGUCACUACUGCUGUUCCUUGCACUGCUGUUACUCGUUACGCUGCUGCUACCCGCUACAAUACUUUUUCGCACGACGUUGAUGGGAAAGAAUAUUUCUCGUCCACGGGCAACUUACUGGCGCCAUUAAUACAGCAGUUAGGAAUAGUCUGCCGUCAACAGAUCGUUUCUGGCACCGUUGCUAUCAUACUACUUUGCUACUCAUACUUUGCUUGCAUAUACUAAUCUUUCAGGUGCGGUUGAAUCUGACACAUUCAUCUGCUAAUACUUGAGACUAUCCUUUCACUUCCUGACGGGCGAACCAACAAAUUUGGGUUGAAUACUCUACCCUUGAAAACUGCCGCGAACCCACGCGUUGGUGGGCCAUUGCAAGACAAUUGCUAAUUGUUGAGCAACUGGGAGCAGUUCUGGCUCUGUUGUCGCGAAGGCAUCAAGUCAGGAACAUGUCAACAACAUUCUUCUAGUGCCGUUGCCGGGGACUGCCGUUAGCAGUACUCAUGAGAUCAAAGUUUCUGUCGGACACAGAGAAAUAUAGGGGCUUAUAGUUUUGCCUCCCAACCAUUUACCUCAAGGGUAAUGUCAACAAUAAUAAUUCAUGAAUACUUACCUCCAAGUUGACAUAUGAAUAUUGAUCUUUCCCUAGCAUAUGACGUUAGCCAAGAUAAAGGAGAAAUAAGGAAUUGGUGUAGAUCACCAUGACUCUUUCAAGGGCAAAAAGUAAAGGUAUAAGAUAGGCCCUUCGCAGAGGGAAGCAGAGGUUGUCAUGCGCUUUUGAGGUUUGGAUGUGCGUCCUCUUAGUGUGGAGGAACAUCACUUUAUAUUGCCUCCUGUGAUAAAGAACUUUAUUAUGCAGUCUGUCGCUUUUAUGUCUUCCUCAUCACAGGUUCGUACAAAGCUUAUUUUCCACACAGUAAUAGAUCAUACAUAUUUAGGGAGAAAUUUUUAUUGCUUGCACCGAUGACAACUUACUUGAAGGAUCUUAUUCAAUCCAUAGGUAGGUAUGGUGGACUCUCAUGGAAAAACUGGGGUUGAAGGUUUAUGGAUGCACAAGUAGUAUCUCUACUUGGUGCGGGAGUUUUGGCUAAUAUGAGGUGGAAGCAAUCAUCACAUGCUAAGGGAUCUCUAGUCAUAUAACAUUGUUCGGAACCAAGCAAACACAAUUCAUUAUGUUGUCUUCCUUGUCCAACAUCUACUUCUAAGCAUGUAAUAGCUUAGUGAGUGUUCAGAAUCAUGGAUGGUGUCAAAGAUGAUAUAUUUAUAUGUGAACCUCUCCUUCUUUAUCACUUCUAUUAAUUGCAACAAUGACCAAGGUCUACGUUUGUCUACCCUCAACAAGUUUCAAUCAACAUUCUUUUUAUACGUGAAGCCAUCACUUCCCAUAAGAUCAUUACAUGAUCUUUCAUGCUUUUGUUCUUUUCUCAUUCUCUUGAUCAUGGCAUGAGGCAAGGCCCUUAACUAAGACACUCUUUAUUAUAUGACUCACGAACUCGAAUACAUCAGGGGUGACACAAAGCAAAACUCAAGCCUAAAACACUAAGAACUUUAUUCUACUAGAGAAAGAUAAAACCGAAAAGGAACGAAUUAAGAAAAGGUAAAGGUAAAAGAUAUGAUGGUGAUACGAUACCGGGGCAACUCCCCCAAGCUUGGCACAAGCCAAGGGGAUUGCCCAUACCCAUGCUUAGUUGUCUUCAUUUGGAGGUGAUGGUGAUGGAGUUGUUUUGUCCUUUGAUUCCAAGAGGGCCAUCAAUCUCUGAUUUGUACCUUGGAGCUCUGUGAUAUGUUUCUCCAGCAAAACAACUUCACGAGUGAGAUAAGUAUUGCGAACACGAGUUGUUUCACAAAACCUCAAGAGUUCAAUCAAGGAUGGAGACAGUAGGUGGAGGUAGGGUUGAAGGAAAUCCACUUCUUCAACUUCUUCCUUGUUGAACACAGAUUGCACUUCGUCCCACGCCUGAUUCUUCUCCUUAGUUUUUCCCUUGGCUUCCGUGACUUCCACUCUUUUCAGAUUAGCAUCUACUUCUUCAUAGACUUGAGGGAAAUUGUUCUCCCCGACAGAUUCCUGAGAAGACAUCCUUGCUCUAAAUCUACGGCAGAAAACAGGCUCGAAACGAAAACAGAGGAAAAUUGUGUGAUACGAGGGUCACACCUUACGGGAGAAUAUGUAAUGAUUUUUUUCAGACCAGAAGGAGUACUCCACAAGAAAGCGGAGUCCGGGAGGCACACGAGGUGGCCACAAGCCACCCAGGCGCGGCCAGGGGGUGGCCCGUGCCUGGCAGGCUUGUCGCCUCCUCGUGUGCUUUCUGGACUACUUCAAAAUUUUCUAUUUUUUCAAAAAUUCCAAAACGGAGAAAAAUCCCUACUGGAAAAGUUUAGGAGUCUGUUUACUUACUGAAUCACAUACCUCUUUGUUUUUGGAGUCUGAAACAGGCUGAUAAAUAUCCCUUAUGUACUCCUCCGGAGUUAUGGUAUUGAUAAUAUUGCUUUCAACAUUUAUGGGAGUACGUGAGAUAUAAUGCUUGAUUCUCUGCCCAUUUACCACUCUCGGACAAUUACCUUCCGUGUUGUUGAUCUUUAUAGCACCGGAACGAUAUACUUCCUCAACAAUGUAAGGACCUUCCCAUUUAGAGAGAAGCUUGCCUGCAAAAAAUCUUAAACGAGAAUUAUAUAGCAAGACAUAAUCACCUACAUUGAACUCAUGUUUUUGUAUCCUUUUAUCAUGCCACCUCUUAACCUUUUCUUUGAACAACUUGGCAUUCUUAUAUGCCUGAGUUCUCCAUUCAUCAAGUGAGCUAAUAUCAAAUAACCUCUUCUCACCAGCAAGUUUGAAAUCAAAGUUGAGCUCUUUGAUUGCCCAAUAAGCCUUGUGCUCUAGCUCAAGAGGUAAAUGACAUGCUUUGCCGUAAACCAUUUUGUACGGAGACAUGCCCAUGGGAUUCUUAUAGGCAAUUCUAUAAGCCCACAGUGCAUCAUAGAGCUUCUUAGACCAAUUCUUUCUAGACCUAUUGACAGUCUUUCGCGGAAUUAGUUUAAUCUCUCUAUUGCUUAGUUCUACUUGACCACUGGACUGAGGGUGAUAGGGAGAUGCAAUUCUAUGAUUGACAUCGUACCUAGCAAGCGUUUUACGGAAAGCACCAUGAAUGAAAUGUGAACCACCGUCGGUCAUUAGAUAUCUAGGGACUCCAAAUCUAUGGAAAAUAACUUCUUUAAGCAUCCUGAUAGAGGUGUUGUGAUCAACACUACUAGUUGGGAUAGCUUCUACCCACUUAGUGACGUAAUCAACAACAACUAGGAUAAGAGUAUACUCGUUGGAUUUUGGAAAAGGUCCCAUAUAAUCAAAGCCCCAAACAUCAAAUGGUUCAAUAACAAGUGAAUAAUUCAUAGGCAUUUCCUGACGUUUACCGAUAUUACCUAUUGUUUGACAUUCGUCACAAGACAAUACAAACUUACGGGCAUCCUUGCAGAGAGUGGCCAAUAGAAACCUGAUUGCAAUACCUUGUGUGCAGUUCUAUCUCCCGCAUGGUGUCCUCCGUAGGCCUCGGAGUGACACUUCUGUAGGAUCUGUCCCUGUUCAUGUUCAGGUACACAACAUCUAAUAACACCAUCUACUCCUUCCUUAUAAAGGUGAGGAUCAUCCCAAAAGUAAUGUCUCAAAUCAAAGAAGAAUUUCUUCUUUUGCUGGUAUGUGAAACUAGGUGGUAUAUAUUUGGCAACAAUAUAAUUUGCAUAAUCAGCAUACCACGAUGCACUACGUGAAUUAUUGAUGACAUUCAAUUGCUCAUCAGGAAAGCUAUCAUCAAUAGGUUGUGGGUCAUCAAGAACAUUCUCCAACCUAGACAAGUUAUCUGCUACGGGGUUCUCAGCUCCCUUCCUGUCGACAACAUGCAAAACAAAUUCUUGUAGGAAGAGAACCCAUCUGAUGAGUCUAGGUUUAACGUCUUUCUUCUCCAUGAGGUACUUAAUAGCAGCAUGAUCAGUGUGAAUAGUGACUUUGGAAUCAACUAUGUAAGAUCUGAACUUUUCACAUGCAAACACGACUGCUAAAAAUUCCUUCUCCGUAGUAGCAUAGUUUCUUUGGGCACUGUCUAGAGUUUUACUAGCAUAGUGAAUAACAUUCAACUUCUUGUCAACUCUUUGUCCUAGAACAACACCAACAGCAUAAUCACUGGCAUCACACAUGAUUUCAAAAGGUAAGUUCCAAUCAGGUGAUUGAACAAUAGGUGCAGUUAUCAAGGCCUUCUUAAGUAUUUGGAAGGAUUUCUCACAAUCAUUCUCAAAAACAAAAGGAACAUCCUUUUGCAAGAGAUUGGUAAGAGGCCUAGAAAUCUUAGAGAAGUCUUUAAUGAACCUUCUAUAGAAACUAGCAUGACCAAGGAAACUUCUUAUACCUUUGAUAUCUGUGGGGCAUGGCAUUUUCUCGAUUGCAUCAACCUUAGCCUUAUCGACUUCAAUACCUCUUUCAGAAAUUUUAUGUCCUAAGACGAUGCCGUCAUUAACCAUAAAGUGACACUUCUCCCAAUUCAAGACAAGGUUGGUGUCUUUACAUCUCUGCAAGACUCGAUCAAGGUUGCUGAGGCAAUCAUCAAAAGAAGACCCGUAAACAGAGAAGUCAUCCAUGAAAUCCUCAACAAUCUUUUCGUAAAAGUCAAAGAAUAUAGCCAUCAUACAUCUUUGAAAGGUGGCAGGUGCAUUACAUAAGCCAAAAGGCAUACAUCUGUAAGCAAAGGUACCGAAAGGGCAAGUGAAAGUGGUUUUCUCCUGGUCAGCUUGUGCAACUGGUAUUUGGGAGAAACCAGAAUAACCGUCUAGAAAGCAGAAGUGUGUGUGUUUAGAUAGUCUUUCUAGCAUUUGGUCGAUAAAAGUCAAAGGGUAAUGAUCUUUCCUAGUGGCUUUAUUCAAUUUCCUAAAAUCGAUCACCAUCCUGUAGCCAGUAAUAAUCCUCUGUGGGAUCAAUUCAUCCUUAUCAUUAGGGACAAUAGUAAUACCUCCCUUCUUAGGGACGCAAUGCACCGGACUUACCCAAUCACUAUGAGCAACAAGAUAGAUAAUGCCUGCUUCCAGGAGAUUUAGUAUUUCUUUUCUUACUACCUCUUUCAUCUUAGGAUUUAAUCUCCUUUGAUGAUCAACAACUGGUUUGAAAUGAGGGUCAGUUUUAAUCUUGUGCUAGCAUAGAGUGGGUCUAAUGCCCUUAAGAUCAUCAAGAGUAUAUCCAAUAGCAACACGGUGCUUCCUCAGAGUUUGUAGUAACUUCUUUUCUUCAUGCUCUGAGAGGCUAGCACUAAUAAUAACAAGAUAUAUCUCUUCUUCAUCAAGAUAAGCAUACUUAAGAGUAUCUGGCAAUUGUUUAAGCUCAAACACAGGAUCACCCUUUGGUGGGGGCGGAUCCCCAAGCAGUUCAACAGGAAAGUUAUUCUUAAGAAUAGGAUAUUGUUCCAAGACAACUCUAUCUAUCUCAUCCCUUUCAUCCAUAUGCAUAUCAGUUUCAUGCUCAAGCAAGUAUUGCUCUAAGGGAUCAGUAGGAGGCACGGCAAUAGAGGCUAAGGCAAUAGUUUCAUCCUUACUAGGCAACUCUUUUUCAUGAGGUUGUCUACCAAACUUGGAGAAAUUGAACUCAUGUGACACACCUUCAAAGCCAACAGUGACAGUUUGCUUCUCACAAUCAAUAUGAGCAUUGACGGUAUUGAGGAAGGGUUUGCCAAAUAUGAUGGGACAAAAGCUAUCUUGUGCGGUAGCAAGAACGAGGAAGUCAGCAGGAUACUUUGUUUUACCACACAGGACUUCAACAUCCCUAGCAAUUCCCACAGGGCAGAUAGUAUCUCUAUUGGCAAGCUGAAUAGUGACAUCAAUAGGCUCUAUCUCAAUAGGUGCACUAACACUAGCACCCACACUAACACUAGCACCCACGUCACAUAUAAGGAUUGAGGUAUUGCACUAACACUAGCACCCACGUUACAUAAACCAUGAUAACAAUGAUCUCCUAUCUUAACAGAAACAACAGGUGUGCCAACAACAGGCCUAUGUUUGUCUCUAACGUGAGGUUUAACAAUUCUAGCAGCAUAUUCACAGAAGUGAAUAGUAUGUCCCUCAACAUCGUCGGACAGAAGAUCUUUGAUAAUAGCAAUGCUAGGUUCAACUCUAAUUUUCUCAGGGUGUGUAGGUGUUCUAAUGUAGCCUAUACAUAUCACAAUUGAUGCUUUAGAAUGAUCCUUUAUCCUAACAGGGAAAGGUGGUUUCUCAAUGUAAGCACUGGGAAUAAUAGGAUCAUUAUAGGCAAUGACUUUCUCUUCAACUGGAUUGGGUUUAACUACAUUGACUUCUAAAGGAGGAUGAUAUUUAAAACACUUCUCUUUGGGGAGAUCAACAUGAGCAACAAAGGAUUCACACAAUGAAGCUCCUAUCUCCGAGUCAAGUCCAUACUUAGUGCUAAAGUCACAAAAAGUAUUUGUUUCAACAAAGGAUUUAACGCAAUCAAACCUGAAAUUCAUACCUGACUCCUUACCUUCUUCAAGCUCCCAAUCUUCAGAGUUGCGUUUAAUUCUNNNNNNNNNNNNNNNNNNNNNNNNNNNNNNNNNNNNNNNNNNNNNNNNNNNNNNNNNNNNNNNNNNNNNNNNNNNNNNNNNNNNNNNNNNNNNNNNNNNNNNNNNNNNNNNNNNNNNNNNNNNNNNNNNNNNNNNNNNNNNNNNNNNNNNNNNNNNNNNNNNNNNNNNNNNNNNNNNNNNNNUACAAGAAGUGUCAAGCAUGGUGCGAUCAUCAUGAGAAAGCCGAGCAUAGAAGUUCUGAAUGAUAAUUUCUCUCGAGAGCUCAUGAUUGGGGCAUGAAUAUAACAUUGAUUUAAGCCUCCCCCAAGCUUGAGUGAUGCUUUAUCUGUCACGAGGCCAAAAAUUAUAAAUAUAAUUCCGAUCACGAUGUACUAAAUGCAUAGGAUAAAACAUUUGAUGAAAUUCCAAUUUCAACCGAUUGUAGUCCCAUGAUCCAGUAUCAUCACAUAGCCUAUACCAUGUCAACGCCUUUUCCUUCAAAGAUAAAGGAAAGAUCUUCUUCUUGACCUCAUCCUCGGGCAAACCUGCAAGCUUAAAUAAACCACAAACUUCAUCUACAUAGAUUAGAUGCGAGUCUGGAUGUGAUGUUCCAUCUCCUCUAAAAGGAUUAGCCAGCAGUUUCUCAAGCAUACCCAAAGGAAAUUCAAAGAAAAUAUUUUCAGUAGGUCCAGCAGGCUGAGGAGCAACUCUUUGUGCUUCCGUUCGAGGUGAAGAUACCCCGAACAAGCCCCUCAAAGGAUUAGUAUCCAUAGUGACAAGUGACAAUAAAUUUCAGCACACUAUAUGAAUGUUUCCUUACCAAGUUCCACUUACCAAAGGCGCUUCACUCCUCGGCAACGACGCCAGAAAAGAGUCUUGAUGACCCACAAGUAUAGAGGAUCAAUCGUAGUCCUUUCGAUAAGUAAGAGUGUCGAACCCAACGAGGAGCAGAAGGAUCUCACAAGUGGUUUUCAGCAAGGUAAUCUCUGCAAGCACUGAAAUUAUCGGUAACAAGUAGUUGUGUGGUGAGAUGAUUCGUAGCAAGUAGCAAGUAACAACGNNNNNNNNNNNNNNNNNNNNNNNNNNNNNNNNNNNNNNNNNNNNNNNNNNNNNNNNNNNNNNNNNNNNNNNNNNNNNNNNNNNNNNNNNNNNNNNNNNNNCUCGACAUGUGUUUAUUCACUGUCAUUCACGAGAAAGGGGCCAGUAAUUGGAAUGCCCAGUUCCACGCUUAAAUCGAAAACAUAACUGUAAAACAAGACUCCCCAAGGAUUGAUGUUAGUAUGGACGGUACCCGAGGAUUCGGCUAGCCGUGGAGUGUGAUUGAUUGGUGGUGGGGGAGCUAAAACUUUACUUUUCUGUUUGGGAACCGCCUAUAGCAUGAGUAGCAUGGAAGAUAUUGAGAAAUCUUUGUCAUUGCGUUGACAAUGAAAGCAUGCCACCCAAAUUUAUUAUCUCUCUUUUCAAAGCUUGAGCUCGGGCACCUCUGCAAAUCAAUGCUUCCCUCUGCGAAGGGCCUGUCUAUUUAUUUUCCUGUUGAGUCAUCCUCCUCUUCUAUAAGCACCAAUUAGAGAGCACUUCUGUCAUUUUUAUGCUUUGCUUUUGAUUGAUAUUGAGUAUGACUAUGACAGGAUCUUCGUUGCUAUGAAUUACAAUGUUUAGUUAGCCCCUGAUCUUUGAAAGUGCUCUGCAUUUAUGUUUUGCGGUCCCAGAAAGAGCUAGCGAGAUACCACCUAUUCAUAUUGCUUCAUACUUGUUUUGAUUGAAGUGUUGGUAUUUUGCCCUUGUUUUGGACUCUAAUUUACAUGAUUUGAAUGGAACUAACCUGGACUGACGCUGUUUUCAGCAGAAUUGCCUUGGUGUUAUUUUUGUGCAGAAAUCAAAGUUUUCAGAACGUCCUGAAAAUUUACGGGGAACAUUUUUGGAAAAUAUGAAAAAUACCUGCGCAAAGAUCCACCUGAGGGGGUGGGCCAGUGGGCCACAAGCCCUGCCACCGCCACCCCUGGUGGCGGUGGGCAAGCUUGUGGGGCCCAUGUAGCUCUGCCGCCCCCAAUCUCAGAUCUAUAAGUUCACUUUCGUCCUAGAAAAAAUAAAAAGAGAAGAUUUCGUCGCGUUUGCGAUGUGGAGGCGCCGCCACAACCUCUUCUUCAUCUGGAGGGCNNNNNNNNNNNNNNNNNNNNNNNNNNNNNNNNNNNNNNNNNNNNNNNNNNNNNNNNNNNNNNNNNNNNNNNNNNNNNNNNNNNNNNNNNNNNNNNNNNNNNNNNNNNNNNNNNNNNNNNNNNNNNNNNNNNNNNNNNNNNNNNNNNNNNNNNNNNNNNNNNNNNNNNNNNNNNNNNNNNNNNNNNNNNNNNNNNNNNNNNNNNNNNNNNNNNNNNNNNNNNNNNNNNNNNNNNNNNNNNNNNNNNNNNNNNNNNNNNNNNNNNNNNNNNNNNNNNNNNNNNNNNNNNNNNNNNNNNNNNNNNNNNNNNNNNNNNNNNNNNNNNNNNNNNNNNNNNNNNNNNNNNNNNNNNNNNNNNNNNNNNNNNNNNNNNNNNNNNNNNNNNNNNNNNNNNNNNNNNNNNNNNNNNNNNNNNNNNNNNNNNNNNNNNNNNNNNNNNNNNNNNNNNNNNNNNNNNNNNNNNNNNNNNNNNNNNNNNNNNNNNNNNNNNNNNNNNNNNNNNNNNNNNAUAACCGGAACCACUCCGGGUGAUGACCAUAGUUUGAGGAGUUCAUGUGUUCACCAAGUGCUAAUGCAUUGGUCCGGUUCUUUAUUAAAAGGAGAACCUUAAUAUCCUGUAGUUUCCUUUUGGACCCCGCUGCCACGGGAGGGAUGGACAAUAAAUGUCAUGCAAGUUCUUUUCCCUAAGCACGUAUGACGACACACAGAAUGCAUGCCUACAUCACAUUGACGAACCAGAGCUAGCCACAUAUCUCCCUGUCUUAUAAAUGUUGCAUGAUGAAUAUCUCUCCAUGUUAUAACACGGAGAGAUAUGUGGCUAACUCCCGUUCAUUAGUGUGAUGUAGGCAUGCAUUCCGUGUGUCGUCAUACUAGCUUAGGGAAAAUACUUGCAUGACAUCUAUUGUCCAUCCCUCCCGUGGCAGUGGGGUCCAAAAGGAAACUACGAGAUAUUAAGGUUCUCCUUUUAAUAAAGAACCGGACCAACGCAUUAGCACUUGGUGAACACAUGAACUCCUCAAUCUAUGGUCAUCACCGGGAGUGGUUCCGGUUAUUGUCACUCUGAGGUUGCCGGAUCAUAACNNNNNNNNNNNNNNNNNNNNNNNNNNNNNNNNNNNNNNNNNNNNNNNNNNNNNNNNNNNNNNNNNNNNNNNNNNNNNNNNNNNNNNNNNNNNNNNNNNNNNNNNNNNNNNNNNNNNNNNNNNNNNNNNNNNNNNNNNNNNNNNNNNNNNNNNNNNNNNNNNNNNNNNNNNNNNNNNNNNNNNNNNNNNNNNNNNNNNACAUAAUAAUUUCAGAUCUGAAAUCAUGGCACUCGGGCCCUAGUGACAAGCAUUAAGCAUGGCAAAGUAGUAUCAACAUCAAUCUCAGAACAUAGUGGAUACUANNNNNNNNNNNNNNNNNNNNNNNNNNNNNNNNNNNNNNNNNNNNNNNNNNNNNNNNNNNNNNNNNNNNNNNNNNNNNNNNNNNNNNNNNNNNNNNNNNNNUAGUUCUCGAACCCGCAAGGUCUGCACACUUAAGGUUCGACGCUGUUAUAUGCACAUUUGAGUUAUAUGGUUGGUUACCGAAUGUUGUUAGGAGUCCCGGAUGAGAUCACGGACGUCACGAGGGUUUCCGGAAUGGUCCGGAAACGAAGAUUGAUAUAUAGGAUGACCUCAUUUGAUUACCGGAAGGUUUUCGGAGUUACCGGGAAUGUACCGGGAAUGACGAAUGGGUUCCGGGUGUUCACCGGGGGGGCAACCCACCUCGGGGAAGCCCAUAGGCCUUGGGGGUGGCGCACCAGCCCUUAGUGGGCUGGUGGGACAGCCCAAGAAGGCCCUAUGCGCCAUAGGAAGAAAAUCAAAGAAAACAGAAAAAAAGGAGGAGGUGGGAAAGGGAAGAAGGACUCCACCUUCCAAACCAAGUUGGAUUCGGUUUGGAAGGGGAGACCUUCCCCCCUUGGCUCGGCCGACCCCCUUGGGACCUCUUGAGCCCCAAGGAAAGGCUCCCCCUCUUCCCCCUAUUCAUACGGAGGUUUUAGGGCUGAUUUGAGACAACUUUGCCACGGCAGCCCGACCACAUAUCUCCACGGUUUUACCUCUAGANNNNNNNNNNNNNNNNNNNNNNNNNNNNNNNNNNNNNNNNNNNNNNNNNNNNNNNNNNNNNNNNNNNNNNNNNNNNNNNNNNNNNNNNNNNNNNNNNNNNUUCACCACAUGAUAUGUGUUUUGCUUGGAGCGUCUUGUAUCGUAGGAGUCUUUUAUUUUUGUUGUGUCACAAUAAUCCUUGCUGGACACCUUUUUGAGAGAGAGAGACAUGCACUCAUCGUGAUUUUGCUAGAAUGCUCAUUGUGCUUCACUUAUAUCUUUUGAGCUAGAUACUUUUGCUCUUGUGCUUCACUUAUAUCUUUAGAGCUAGUUGAUUUUGCUCUAUGUGCUUCACUUAUAGAGCACAGUGGUUCAUGGAUUGGUAGUUGGCUUAUGCUAUGAAAGUAGUCCCAAAAGUGGUAGUUAUCCAAAGGGUUACAAAAACUUCCAUCUUCAUGUGCAUUGAGUAGAAAGAGAAGCUUGAUUCCUCUCAAUUAGUUUUGAGAUGUGGUUGUGGUAAUAUUCAAGUUAUGUUAGUAUGGUGUUGUGAAUCUAGAGAUACUUGUGUUGAAGUUAGUGAUUCUCGUAGCAUGCACAUAUGGUGAACCGCUAUGUGAUGAAGUUUGAGCAUGAUUAGUUUAUUGAUUGUCAUCCUUUGUGUAGCGGUCGGGAUCGCACGAUGGUUUAUACCUACCAACCCUUCCCCUAGGAGUAUGCGUUGAACGCUUUGUUUCGAUUACUACUAAAACUUUUGCAACAAGUAUAUGAGUUCUUCAUGACUAAUGUUGAGUCCAUGGUUUAGAUGCACUUUCACGUUCCACCAUCACUAUCUUCUUUAGUGCCAUGCAACUUUCGUCGGUGCAUAAAACCACCAUUAGCCUCCCUUAAAACAACCACCAUACCUACCUACUAUGGCAUUUUCAAAGCCAUUCCGAGAUAUAUUGCCAUGCAACUACCACCAUGACAUGUGCCACCACUUCUACAUUGCCAUUGCAUGAUCAUAAGAUAGCUAGCAUGAUGUUUCCAUUGAUGUCUAUGCCAUGCUAGAUCAUUGUCACGGUACACUACCGAAGGCAUUUCAUAUAGAGUCAUCAUUGCUCUAAGUUUUGAGUUGUAAGUGUGAUGAUCAUCAUUGAUGGAGCAUUGUCCCAUGUGAAAAAAGAGGCCAAAGAUGCCCACCAAAAUAAUAAUAAUAAAAGAGGCCAAAGAGCCCACCAAAAAAAAUGAGUGAAAAAGAGAGAAGGGACAAUGCUACUAUCUCCUUUCCACACUUGUGCUUCAUAUUAAGCACCAUGAUCUUCAUGAUUGAGAGUCUCUCAUUUUGUCACCACCAUAUAGCUAGUGGGAAAUUUUCAUUAUAUAACUUGGCUUGUAUAUUCCUAUGAUGGGCUUCCUCAAAAUUUCCCUAGGUCUUCGUGAGCACGCAAGUUGGAUGCACACCCACUAGUUUUCCUUAAGAGCUUUCACAUACUCAUAGCUCUAGUGCAUCUCUGGCAUGGAAAUCCCUACUCAUUCACAUUGAUAUCUAUUAAGGGGCAUCUCCAUAGCCUUUUUAAUAUGCCUAGUCAAUGUGACCAUCUUCUCCCUUUUUGUCUCACAACCUCCACCACUCCAUUCCACCUAUAGUGCUACAACCAUGGCUCACGCUCAUGUAUUGCGCGAGAGUUGAAAAAGUUUGAGAAAGUGAAGGUGUGAAAACAAUUACUUGGCCAAUACCGAGGUUGUGCAUGAUUUAAAUUCGUUGUGCAAGGAUGAUAGAGCAUAGCCAGAUUAUAUGAUUUUGUAGGGAUAACUUUCUUUUGGCCUUGUUAUUUUGAAAGUUCAUGAUUACCUUGCUAGUUUGCUUGAAGUAUUAUUGUCUCCACAUCAAUAGCAAACUAUUGUUUUGAAUCUAACGGAUAUGAACAUUCAUGUCACAUAAGAGGAGUUACAAAGUACAUCUAUGCUAGGUAGCAUGAAAGCAUCAAAAAUUCAUUCUUUAUCACUUCCCUAAUCGAGGACGAGCAGGAGUUAAGCUUGGGGAUGCUUGAUACGUCUCCAACGUAUCUAUAAUUUUUGAUGGUUUCAUGAUGUUAUCUUGUCAAACUUUGGAUGUUUUAUAUGCCUUUUAUAUCUUUUUUGGGACUAACCUAUUAAUUCAGUGCCAAGUGCCAGUUCCUGUUCUUUCCGUGUUUUUGACCCUUUUUCAGGCGGAGGCCAAACGGAAUAAUUCUUUCGCGAUGAUUUUUUAUGGAAAAUAUCAAAAAUACCGGAAGAAAAAGAUACCGGAGAGGGGUCCCGAGGAAGCCACAAGCCCUGUCGGCGCGUCCCCCCAGGCCGCACCAACCAGGGGCCCACUUGAUGCAACUCCACCGCCAUCUGGUCCUCUAAAUCCAGAAACCUUCAGAAAGAAACCUAGAUCGGGAGUUCCGCCGCCGCAAGCCUCUAUAGCCACCAAAAACCAAUCUGGAGCCCGUUCCGGCACCCUGUCGGAGGGGAAUCCAUCUCCGGUGGCCAUCUUCAUCAUCCCGGCGAUCUCCAUGACGAGGAGGGAGUAGUUCUCCCUCGAGGCUGAGGGUAUGUACCAGUAGCUAUGUGUUUGAUCUCUCUCUCGUGUUCUUGAGAUGUCUUGAUCUCGAUGUACCGUUGGCUUUGCUACUAUAGUUGGAUCUUAUGAUGUUCUUCCCCCUCUCCCUUAUUGUAAUGAAUUGAGUUUCCCCUUUGAAGUUAUCUUAUCGGAUUGAGUCUUUGAGAACACUUGAUGUAUGUCUAGCACGUGUCUAUCUGCGGUGAUCAACUUGCGAGUUUGUGACACUGGGAACCUAUGCAUAUGGGUUGGCACACGUUUGAUUCAUGUGAGUACUCGAUGUAUGUUUUGGUGAUCAACUUGUGGGUUCGUGACAUUGGGAACCUAUGCAUAGGGGUUGGCACACGUUUUGACUCUCCGGUAGAAACUUUGGGGCACUCUUUGAAGUUCUAUGUGUUGGUUGAAUAGAUGAUUCUGAGAUUAUGUGAUGCAUAUCGUAUAAUCAUGCCCACGGAUACUUGAGGUGACAAUGGAGUAUCUAGGUGACAUUAGGGUCUUGGUUGAUAUGUAUCUUAAGGUGUUAUUCUAGUACGAACUCUAUGAAAGAUUGAACGGAAAUAAUAGCUUCGUGCUAUUUUACUACGGACUCUUGAAUAGAUCGAUCAGAAAGAAUAACUUUGUGGUGGUUUCGUACUCGACAAUAAUCUCUUCGUUUGUUCUCCGCUAUUAGUGACUUUGGAUUGACUCUUUGUUGCAUGUUGAGGGUUAGUUAUAUGAUCCAAUUAUGUUAUCAUUGUUGAGAGAACUUCACUAGUGAAAGUAUGAACCCUAGGCCUUGUUUCCAUGCAUUGCAAUACCGUUCGUGCUCACUUUUGUUACUAGUUACCUUGCUGUUUUUGNNNNNNNNNNNNNNNNNNNNNNNNNNNNNNNNNNNNNNNNNNNNNNNNNNNNNNNNNNNNNNNNNNNNNNNNNNNNNNNNNNNNNNNNNNNNNNNNNNNNUCUAGAGGUAAAACCGUGGAGAUAUGUGGUCGGGCUGCCGUGGCAAAGUUGUCUCAAAUCAGCCCUAAAACCUCCGUAUGAAUAGGGGGAAGAGGGGGAGCCUUGCCUUGGGGCUCAAGAGGUCCCAAGGGGGUCGGCCGAGCCAAGGGGGGAAAGUCUCCCCUUCCAAACCGAAUCCAACUUGGUUUGGAAGGUGGAGUCCUUCUUCCCUUUCCCACCUCCUCCUUUUUUUCUUUCUUUUCUCUUUGAUUUUCUUCCUAUGGCGCAUAGGGCCUUCUUGGGCUGUCCCACCAGCCCACUAAGGGCUGGUGCGCCACCCCCAAGGCCUAUGGGCUUCCCCGAGGUGGGUUGCCCCCCCGGUGAACACCCGGAACCCAUUCGUCAUUCCCGGUACAUUCCCGGUAACUCCGAAAACCUUCCGGUAAUCAAAUGAGGUCAUCCUAUAUAUCAAUCUUCGUUUCCGGACCAUUCCGGAAACCCUCGUGACGUCCGUGAUCUCAUCCGGGACUCCUAACAACAUUCGGUAACCAACCAUAUAACUCAAAUGUGCAUAUAACAGCGUCGAACCUUAAGUGUGCAGACCUUGCGGGUUCGAGAACUAUGUAGACAUGACCCGAGCGAUUCCUCGGUCAAUAUCCAAUAGCGGGACCUGGAUGCCCAUAUUGGAUCCUACAUAUUCUACGAAGAUCUUAUCGUUUGAACCUCAGUGCCAAGGAUUCAUAUAAUCCCGUAUGUCAUUCCCUUUGUCCUUGGGUAUGUUACUUGCCCGAGAUUCGAUCGUCAGUAUCCGCAUACCUAUUUCAAUCUCGUUUACCGGAAAGUCUCUUUACUCGUUCCGUAAUACAAGAUCCUGCAACUUACACUAAGUCACAUUGCUUGCAAGGCUUGUGUGUGAUGUUGUAUUACCGAGUGGGCCCCGAGAUACCUCUCCGUCACACGGAGUGACAAAUCCCAGUCUUGAUCCAUACUAACUCAACGGACACCUUCGGAGAUACCUGUAGAGCAUCUUUAUAGCCACCCAGUUACGUUGUGACNNNNNNNNNNNNNNNNNNNNNNNNNNNNNNNNNNNNNNNNNNNNNNNNNNNNNNNNNNNNNNNNNNNNNNNNNNNNNNNNNNNNNNNNNNNNNNNNNNNNNNNNNNNNNNNNNNNNNNNNNNNNNNNNNNNNNNNNNNNNNNNNNNNNNNNNNNNNNNNNNNNNNNNNNNNNNNNNNNNNNNNNNNNNNNNNNNNNNNNNNNNNNNNNNAACAAAUACUUGACACGCAGAAAACAGUAGCAACAAAAUAACACGAUCAACAUGCUACGUCUAUUAGUUUGGGUCUAGUCCAUCACAUGAUUCUCCUAAUGAUGUGAUCCCGUUAUCAAGUGACAACACCUGCCUAUGGUCAGGAAACCUUGACCAUCUCUGAUCAACGAGCUAGUCAACUAGAGGCUUACUAGGGACAGUGUUUUGUCUAUGUAUCCACACAUGCACUGUGUUUCCAAUCAAUACAAUUAUAGCAUGGAUAAUAAACGAUUAUCAUGAACAAAGAAAUAUAAUAAUAACUAAUUUAUUAUUGCCUCUAGGGAAUAUUUCCAACAGUCUCCCACUUGCACUAGAGUCAAUAAUCUAGUUCACAUCACCAUGUGAUUUCAAUGAAUCCAACACCCAUAUAGUUCUGGGGUCUGAUCACGUCUUGCUCGUGAGAGAGGUUUUAGUCAACGGUUCUGAAACUUUCAGAUCUGUGUGUUCUUUACAAAUCUUUAUGUCAUCUUAUAGAUGCUGCUACUACGUGCUAUUCGGAAAUACUCCAAAUAUCUACUCUACUAUACGAAUCUGUUUCACUACUCAUAGUUAUUCGGAUUAGUGUCAAAGCUUGCAUCGACGUAACCCUUUACGACGAACUCUUUAACCACCUCCAUAAUCGAGAAAAAUUCCUUAGUCCAUCAGUUACUAAGGAUAAAUUUUGACCUCUGCUAGUGAUUCAAUCAUGGAUCACUCUCUGUACCUCUCAACAGACUUUGAGUCAAGGCACUCAUCAGGUGCGGUACCCAGCAUGGCAUACUUCAGAUUCUACGGCCAAGGCAUAGAAGACGACCUUCGUCUAUUCUCUUUAUUCUGCCGGGGUCGGGUUUUGAGUCUUACUCAAAUUCACACCUCACAACGCAACCAAGAACUCCUUCUUUUCUGAUCUAUUUUGAACUCCUUCAAAAACUUGUCAAGGCAUGUAUCUUGUUGAAACUUCUAUUAAGCGCUUUCGAUCUAUCUUCAUAGAUCUUUGAUGCUCAACGUUCAAGUACAAUCCAAGUAUUCCUUUGAAAACUCCUUUCAAACAACCUUGUAUGCUUUACAGAAAUUCUACAUUACUUCUGAUCCACAAUAUGUCAACCACAUAUACUUAUCAGAAAUUCUAUAGUGCUCCCACUCACUUCUUUGGAAAUACAAGUUUCUCAUAAACCUUGUACAAACCCAAAAUCUUUGAUCAUCUCAUCAAAGUGUAUAUUCCAACUCCGAGAUGCUUGCACCAGUCCAUUGAAGGAUCGCUGGAGCUUGCAUACUUGCUAGUAUCUUUAGGAUCGACAAAACCUCCUGGUUGUAUCACAUACAAUGUUUGCUCAAGGAAACCGUCGAGGAAACAAUGUUUGACAUCCUACAUGCAAUAUUUCAUAAAUAAUGCAGCAACUACUAACAUAAUUCUAACAGACUUCUAGCAUCGCUACGAGUGAGAAAGUCUCAUCAUAGUGAACUGUUUGAUCAUGUCGGAAACAUUUUUGCGACAAGUCGAGCUUUUCUUAAUAGUGACUUAUCACUAUCAUCGUCUGUCUUCCUUUUAAAGAUCCAUCUUUACUCAAUAGUCCUAUGACCAUCAAGUAGUUCUUCCAAAGUCUACACUUUGUUUUCAUACAUGAAUCCUCUCUCGGAUUUCAUGGCUUCCAGCCAUUUGUCGGAAUCUGGGCCCACCAUUGCUUUCUCCAUAAUUCAUAGGUUCACUGUCGCUCAACAACAUGACCUCCAAGACAGGGUUACCGUACCACUCUGUAGUAGUACGCGACCUUGUCAACCUACGAGGCUUGUAGUAACUUGAUCCGAUGCUCGAUGAUCACCAUCAUCAGCUUCCACUUCAAUUGGUGCAGACACCACAGGAACAACUUCCUGCGCCCUGCUACACACUGGUUGAAGUGAUGGUUCAAUAACCUCAUCAAGUUCUACCACCCUCCCACUCAAUUCUUUCGAGAGAAACCAUUCCUCGAGAAAGGAUCCGUUUCUAGAAACAAACACUUUGCUUUCGGAUCUGAGAUAGGAGAUGUACCCAACUGUUUUGGAUAUCCUAUGAAGAUGCAUUUAUCCGCUUUGGGUUCGAGUUUAUCAGACUGAAACUUUUUCACAUAAGUGUCGAAGCCCCAAACUUUCAAGAAACGACAGUUUAGAUUUCUCUAAACCUCAGUCUAUACUGUGUCAUCUCAACGGAAAUACGCGGUGCCCUAUUUAAAGUGAAUGCGGUUGUCUCUAAUGCAUAACCCAUAAACGAUAGUGGUAAUUCGAUAAGAGACAUCAUAGCAUGCACCAUACCAAAUAGUGCGUGGCUAUGACGUUCAGACACAUCAUCACACUAUGAUGUUCCAGGUGGCAUGAACUGCGAAACAAUUUCCACAUUGUCUUAACUGCGUACCAAAACUCGUAACUCAGAUAUUCAUUUCUAUGAUCAUAUCGUAGACAGUUUAUCCUCUUGUUACGACGAACUUCACUCCGAAACAGAAUUGAACUUUUCAAUAUUUCAGACUUGUGAUUCAUUAAGUAAAUACUCUUGUAUCUACUCAAAUCGUCAUUGAAGUAAGAACAUAAUGACAUCCACUGCGUGCCUUAGCACCCAUUGGACUGCAUACAUCAAAAUGUAUCACUUCCAACAAGUUACUAUCUUGUUUCAUCUCAAUGAAAACAAGGCUUUGCUCAUGUGGUAUGAUUUGCAUGUCACUAGUGAUUCAAAAUCAAGUGAGUAUAAAGAUCCAUCUGCAUGGAGCCUCUUCAUGCAAUUUAUACCAACAUGACUCAAGCGGCAGUGCCACAAGUAAGUGGUACUAUCAUCAUUACCUCGUAUCUUUUGGCACCAAUAUCAUGAACAUGUGUAACACUACAAUCGAGAUUCAAUAAACCAUUGAAGGUGAUUAUUCAAGCAAAUAGAGUAACCAUUAUUCUCUUUAAAUGAAUAAUCGUAUUGCAAUAAACACGAUCCAAUCAUGUUCAUGCUUAACGCAAGCACCAAAUAACAAUUAUUUAGGUUUAACACCAAUCCCGAUGGUAGAGGGAGCGUGCGACGUUUGAUCAUAUCAACCUUGGAAACACUUCCAACACGUAUCGGCACCUCGCCUUUAGCUAGUCUCCGUUUAUGCCGUAGCUUUCAAUUCGUGUUACUAAUCACUUAGCAACUGAACCGGUAUCCAAUACCCUCGUGCUACUAGGAGUACUAGUAAAGUACACAUCAACAUCAUGUAUAUCAAAUAUACUUCUUUCGACUUUUGCCAGCCUUCUUAUCUACCAAGUAUCUAGAGUUGCUCCGCCUCAGUGACUGUUCCCCUCAUUAUAGAAGCACUUAGUCUCGGGUUUGGGUUUAAUCUUGGGUCUCUUCAUUAGUGCAGCAACGGUUUUGCCGUUUCACGAAGUAUCCCUUCUAGCCCUUGCCUUUCUUGAAACUUAAUGGUUUUACUAACCAUCAACUAUUGAUGCUUCUUCUUGAUUUCUACUUUCGAGGUGUCAAACAUCACGAAUCGCUCAAGGAUCAUUGUAUCUAUCCUUGAUAUGUUAUAGUUCAUCACGAAGCUCUCACAGCUUGGUGGCAGUGAUUUUGGAGAACCAUCACUAUCUCAUCUGGAAGAUUAACUCCCACUUGAUUCAAGCGAUUGUCGUACUCAGACAAUCUGAGCACACACUCAACGAUUGAGCUUUUCUCCUUUACUUUGUGGACAAAGAAUCUUGUCGGAGGUCUCGUACCUCUUAACAAGGGCACAAGCAUGAAAUCACAAUUUCAUCUCUUUAGAACAUCACUUAUGUUCCGUGACGUCUCAAAACGUCUUGGACGCCUUGCUUCUAAGCCAUUAAGUAUUUUGCACUGAACUAUCAUGUAGUCAUCAGAAACGUGUAUGUUGGAUGUUCACAGCAUCCAUAGACGACGCUCGAGGUGCAGCACACCGAGUGGCGCAUUAAGGACAUAAGCCUCUGCGCAGCAACGAGGACAAUCCUCUGCAAAGUUUGCCACUAUCAACUUUCAACUAAAUUUUCUCUAGGAACAUAUAAAAACAGUAGAGCUAUAGCGCAAGCUACAUCGUAAUUCGCAAAGACCAUUAGACUAUGUUCAUGACAAUUAGUUCAAUUAAUCAUAUUACUUAAGAACUCCCACUCAAAAAGUACAUCUCGCUAGUCAUUUGAGUGGUACAUGAUCCAAAUCCACUAUCUCAAGUCCGAUCAUCACGUGAGUUGAGAAUAGUUUUAGUGGUAAGCAUCUCUAUGCUAAUCAUAUCAACUAUACGAUUCAUGCUCGACCUUUCGGUCUCAUGUGUUCCGAGGACAUGUCUGCACAUGCUAGGCUCGUCAAGCUUAACCCGAGUGUUCUGCGUGUGCAACUGUUUUGCACCCGUUGUAUGUGAACGUUGAGUCUAUCACACCCGAUCAUCACGUGGUGUCUCGAAACGAAGAACUGUCGCUACGGUGCACAGUCGGGGAGAACACAAUUUCGUCUUGAAAUUUUAGUGAGAGAUCACCUCAUAAUGCUACCGUCGUUGUAAGCAAGAUAAGGUGCAAAAAGGAUUAACAUGACAUGCAAUUCAUAAGUGACAUGAUAUGGCCAUCAUCACGUGCUUCUUGAUCACCAUCACCAAAGCACCGGCACGAUCUUCUUGUCACCGGCGUCACACCAUGAUCUCCAUCAACGUGUCGCCAUCGGGGUUGUCGUGCUACUCAUGCUAUUACUACUAAAGCUACAUCCUAGCAAAAUAGUAAACGCAUCUGCAAGCACAAACGUUAGUUUAAAGACAACCCUAUGGCUCAUGCUGGUUGCCGUACCAUCGACGUGAAGUCGAUAUUAUCUAUUACAACAUGAUCAUCUCAUACAUCCAAUAUAUCACAUCACAUCGUUGGCCAUAUCACAUCACAAGCAUACCCUGCAAAAACAAGUUAGACGUCUUCUAAUUUUUUUGUUGCAUGUUUUACGUGGUGACCAUGGGUAUCUAGUAGGAUCGCAUCUUACUUACGCAAACACCACAACGGAGAUAUAUGAAUUGCUAUUUAACCUUAUACAAGAACCUCCUCGGUCAAAUCCGAUUCAACUAAAGUUGGAGAAACUGACACUUGCCAGUCAUCUUUGAGCAACGGGGUUACUCGUAGCGAUGAAACCAGUCUCUCGUAAGCGUACGAGUAAUGUCGGUCCAAGCCGCUUCAAUCCAACAAUAUCGCGGAAUCAAGAAAAGACUAAGGAGGGCAGCAAAAUGCACAUCACCGCCCACAAAAACUUUUGUGUUCUACUCAAGAAGACAUCUACGCAUGAACCUAGCUCAUGAUGCCACUGUUGGGGAACGUCGCAUGGGAAACAAAAUUUUUCCUACGCGCACGAAGACCUAUCAUGGUGAUGUCCAUCUACGAGAGGGGAUAUUCGAUCUACGUACCCUUGUAGAUCGCACAGCAGAAGCUUUAGUGAAUGCGGUUGAUGUAGUGGAACGUCCUCACGUCCCUCGAUCCGCCCCGCGAACCGUCCCGCGAUCAGUCCCACGAUCUAGUGCCGAACGGACGGCACCUCCGCGUUCAGCACACGUACAGCUCGACAAUGAUCUCGGCCUUCUUGAUCCAGCAAGAGAGAUGGACAGGUAGAUGAGUUCUCCGGCAGCGUGACGGUGCUCCGGAGGUUGGUGGUGAUCUUAUCUUAGCAGGGCUCCGCCCGAGCUCCGCAGAAACGCGAUCUAGAGGUAAAACCGUGGAGAUAUGUGGUCGGGCUGCCGUGGCAAAGUUGUCUCAAAUCAGCCCUAAAACCUCCAUAUAUAUAGGGGGAAGAGGGGGAGCCUUUCCUUGGGGCUCAAGAGGUCCCAAGGGGGUCGGCCGAGCCAAGGGGGGAAGGUCUCCCCUUCCAAACCGAAUCCAACUUGGUUUGGAAGGUGGAGUCCUUCUUCCCUUUCCCACCUCCUCCUUUUUUUCUUUCUUUUCUCUUUGAUUUUCUUCCUAUGGCGCAUAGGGCCUUCUUGGGCUGUCCCACCAGCCCACUAAGGGCUGGUGCGCCACCCCCAAGGCCUAUGGGCUUCCCCGAGGUGGGUUGCUCCCCCGGUGAACACCCGAAACCCAUUCGUCAUUCCCGGUACAUUCCCGGUAACUCCGAAAACCUUCCGAUAAUCAAAUGAGGUCAUCCUAUAUAUCAAUCUUCGUUUCCGGACCAUUCCGGAAACCCUCGUGACAUCCAUGAUCUCAUCCGGGACUCCGAACAACAUUCCGUAACCAACCAUAUAACUCAACUACGCAUAUAACAACGUCGAACCUUAAGUGUGCAGACCCUGCGGGUUCGAGAACUAUGUAGACAUGACCCGAGCGAUUCCUCGGUCAAUAUCCAAUAGCGGGACCUGGAUGCCCAUAUUGGAUCCUACAUAUUCUACGAAGAUCUUAUCGUUUGAACCUCAGUGCCAAGGAUUCAUAUAAUCCCGUAUGUCAUUCCCUUUGUCCUUCGGUAUGUUACUUGCCCGAGAUUCGAUCGUCAGUAUCCGCAUACCUAUUUCAAUCUCGUUUACCGGCAAGUCUCUUUACUCGUUCUGUAAUACAAGAUCCUGNNNNNNNNNNNNNNNNNNNNNNNNNNNNNNNNNNNNNNNNNNNNNNNNNNNNNNNNNNNNNNNNNNNNNNNNNNNNNNNNNNNNNNNNNNNNNNNNNNNNGGAGAACCUUAAUAUCACGUAGUUUCCUUUUAGACUUCGCUGCCAUGGGAGGGAUGGACAAUAGAUGUCAUGCAAGUUCUUUUCCCUAAGCACGUAUGACGACACACGCAAUGCAUGCCUACAUCACAUUGACGAACGGGAGCUAGCCACAUAUCUCUCCGUGUUAUAACUGUUGCAUGAUGAAUAUCAUCCAAACAAAGCACCGACCCAUUGCCUACGAGUUUGUCCACUGCUGCUGUUACUACUGUUGAUGCUAUUGUUACUUGUUUUGCUCUACUGCUGUUACUACUGUUGCUGCUGAUGUUACUUGCUUUGCUCUGCUACUGUUACUACUGUUGCGACUUGCUACUGCUGUCACUACUACUGUUCCUUGCCACUCUGUUACUCGUUACACUACUACUACCUGCUACAAUACUUUUUCUCGCGCCGUUGAUGGGAAAGAAUAUUUCCCGUCCACGGUCAACUUCUAGCGCCAUUGAUACGACAGUUAGGAAUAGUCUACCUUGUCAAUAGAUCGUUUCUCACACCGUUGUUAUCAUACUACUUUGUUGCUGAUACUUUGCUUGCAGAUACUAAUCUUUCAGGUGUGGUUGAAACUGACACAUUCAGCUGCUAAUACUUGAGAAUAUUCUUCCACUUCCUGUCGGGCGAACCAACAAAUUUGGGUUGAAUACUCUACCCUCGAAAACUGCCGCGAACCCACGCGCUGGUGGGCCAUUGCAAGACAAUUGCUAAUUGUUGAGAAACUGGGAGCAGUUCUGGCUCCGUUGCCGUGGAGGCAUCAAGCCUGGAACACGUCAACAACAUUUCUCUAGUGCCGUUGCCGGUACUGCUAGCAACAUUUUUUCUGGCACCGUUGCCGAGGAAGCGAUUGCUAUAUUCUUUGAGUCACUUGGAAUUUAUAUCUGCUGAUCACUAUGAAAAAUUUGAAAGACCAUAAAACCAAAGUCUUGCCCUCAACUACGAGGGAGGUAAGGAACUGCCAUCUAGCUUUGCACAUGAUUCACCUUCAGUUAUGAGUAAGUUUGCGACACCACCUCCUUCUAGAAAUCUUGAUAUGUCGCAUGUGCUUGAUGAUGCUAGAGAUGCUAUNNNNNNNNNNNNNNNNNNNNNNNNNNNNNNNNNNNNNNNNNNNNNNNNNNNNNNNNNNNNNNNNNNNNNNNNNNNNNNNNNNNNNNNNNNNNNNNNNNNNNNNNNNNNNNNNNNNNNNNNNNNNNNNNNNNNNNNNNNNNNNNNNNNNNNNNNNNNNNNNNNNNNNNNNNNNNNNNNNNNNNNUACUGCUAGAGAUGUUAUGCCUGACGAUGCUAUGCUUGAUACUGCUUUGCCUGAUGAUGCUAGAGAUGCUAUUUUUCCUGAUGAUGCUAUGCUUGAUACUGCUAGAGAUACUACUUUGCCUGAUAUGCCACUAGGGGUAUUCCUUGAUGCUCAUCUUCCUAGAGUUACUGACAAUGCUCGUGAUGCUUCUGAAACUGCCGAUACUAUUGAGAUAGAACCUGCUUUUGCUCCUGCUAGAUCUAGCUCUCCUAGAUAUGAAUUGCCUGAUAUACUUGAGGGUUAUGUUAUGGAGGGAGAGAUAGCUGAGGAUUUUCUUGCAUGUAAGGAUGCCUACGACGCUGAGAAAUUACUUCUCAAGUGGAAGGAAAAAUCUCUAAAAGCUAGGAUGAAAUACGACCCGAAGUUUGCCACUUCACCUAUCUUUAUCACCGAUAAGGAUUAUGAAUUCUCCAUAGACCCUGAGAUAAUAUCUCUAGUCGAAUCUGAUCCUUUCCACGGUUAUGAGUCUGAGACGGUCGUAGCCCAUCUUACCAAACUACACGAUAUAGCCACCCUUUUCACUAGUGAGGAGAAGAUCCGCACUACUAUAUCCUUAAGUUGUUUCCUUUCUCUCUAAAGGAUGACGCUAAAGCCUGGUUCACUUCUCUUGCUCCUGGAUGUGUGAGUAGUCCCCAAGAUAUGGUCUAUUACUUCUGUGAGAAAUAUUUCCCUGCCAAUAAGAAGCAAGCUGCCUUGCAGGAAAUAUACAACUUUGCUCAACUCAAAGAAGAGAGUCUCCCACAAGUUUGGGGGAGGCUCAUCCUACUACAGAAUGCUUUCCUGAUCACCCUCUUAAGAAGAACGAGAUACUUGAUAUCUUCUAUAACGGACUUACCGAUGCUUCUAGAGACCACCUAGAUAGUUGUGUCGGUUGUGUUUUUAGGGAACGAACUAUAGAACAAGCUGAGAUUCUACUGAAUAACAUCUUGAUCAACGAUAAUGCUUGGACUAUUCCCGAACCACCUCCUAAGCCAACUCCGAAGAAAAGAGGUAUUCUAUUCCUCAGUCCUGAAGAUAUGCAAGAAGCCAAGAAAUCUAUGCAAGAGAAAGGCAUUAGAUCUGAAGAUGUCAAAAAUCUACCACCUAUCGAAGAGAUCCAUGGUCUCGAUAACCCGAUACAAGUAGUAGAAGUGAAUUCUCUGCGUAGGUUUGAUGAGAGUGAUAUUCCUAUUGACAAACCUGCUAGCCUAUGCUUUGAUGAAUUUGACAACUUUGUUGCCAAACAACAGAGUUUCAAUGAUUAUGUUAGCAGACAUUUGGAACAAAGUACCCGUAUGCUUAGUCAUUUAAGUGCUUGUGUAGACAGAAAUGUAAAUGAUCCGAAGCUUCUGAGUAAACAUGCCUCUAUGAUUACUACUCACGUAGAACAAGUAUUUAAAGCUCAGAAUGACUUGCUCAAUGAAUUAAAUGACAGCUCUAUCAGAGUCAUUACUAGGGGAGGCAAAAUGACUCAGGAACCUUUGUAUCCUGAAGGCCAUCCUAAGAGAAUUGAUCAAGAUUCUCAAGGAAUUAAUGCUGAUAUACCCAGUCAUCCUAAGAAGAAGGAUGAUAGAAACCUACAUGUCAGUCCACCAAAUACUGUCACACCUGAAGAACCAAAUGAUAUUUUUGCGUCUGUUGCAGAAACACAAUUUGGUGAUGAACAUGAACCUGGUGACAAUAUGGACAGUGAUGUUCAAAAUGAGGCUCAACCUAGCAAUGAUAAGGAUGUGGAGAUUGAACCUACGGUUAAUCCUGAUAACCCACAACCUAAGAGAUACGAUAAGAAUGACUUCGCUGCUAGGAAUCAUGGUAAAGAAAGGGAGCCAUGGGUUCAGAGACCUAUGCCCUUUCAUCCUAAGCCAUCCAAGAAAAAGGAUGAUGAGGAUUUUGAGCGCUUCGAUGAGAUGAUAAGAUCUAUCUUUAUGCAGAUGCGGUUAAUUUAUAUGCUCAAAAUGUCUCCGUAUGCCAAGUACAUGAAAGAUAUCAUGACUAAUAAACGGAAGAUACCAGAUCUUGAGAUCUCCACCAUGCUUGCCAAUUACACUUUCAAAGGUGGAACUCCUAAGAAACUUGGUGAUCCCGGAGUGCCCACUAUACCUUGCUCCAUUAAAGGAAACUACGUAAGAACUGCCUUAUGUGACCUUGGAGCCGGUGUUAGUGUUAUGCGGCUCUCUCUUUAUCGUAGACUUGAAUUGGAUAAGUUGACACCCACUGAAAUUUCUCUGCAAAUGGCCGACAAAUCAACUGCUUUCCCUAUCGGCAUUUGCGAGGAUGUGCCUGUUGUGGUUGCUAACACCACUAUCUUAACAGCCUUUGUUAUCUUGGAUAUUCCCGAGGACGCUGCCAUGGCUUUCAUCCUCAGAAGACCCUUUUAAAUACUGCAGGGGCUGUUAUAGAUUGCAACAAGGGAAAUGUCACUUUCCAUGUCAACGGUAAUGAGCAUACAGUGCACUUUUCGAAGAAACGAUAUCAAGUACAUUGCAUCAAUGCUAUCGAAAAAACUUCAUCGAUUUUUAUUGGGAGCUUUGAAUGCCCUAUUCCUCGUGUCAAGAUGAAGUAUGAUUUGCUUGUUGGGGAGAUACAUAUCCCCAUUGAGGUGACUUAGUGGCUAUUCGACAAUUCUCCAUUUCCUCUUGCGAUUCGAAAAGGCUUUGUCAUGAGGAUUUGAUCAACCCCAUUGACGGAUUUCUUUCGAUGACCAUGAAAUGGAUGAACCAAAAAGUCACAUACCUAUGUUUUAAGCUUUCACUUUCUGUUGCUUAGAAGAAAAAUGAUAGAUUUAGUCUAGUUUUUCCUGUUUUCUGUUUUAGCGUCCCGGAGAAAAAUACCCCGAAAAUAGAAGUUCUCCGAUGGUCCUGAAAAUCUAGUAUGAUUUUUUCUGGAAUAUUUGAAAAAUACUGGGACUGAGAGCUGGCCUGGGGGCCACACCAGUGGGCCACAAGCCCUGUAGCCGUCGCCCCCUGGUGGCGGCUACCAAGCUUGUGGGGCCCACAGGGACCCCCUCCACUCAUUCCAGCUCCCAUCCUCUUCUCCUACCUCUAGAAAAAAUCGUUUCGCAGCUCAAACCCGUGUUCUUGCUCAUUUUGUUGUGAUUUCCGAUCUCGUUGCUCAAAGCACCAUUCUCCGAACCGUUUUGGGGAAGUUACUCCUUGGUAGGUGACUCCUCCAUUGGUCCAAUUAGUUUUUGCUCUAGUGCUUUAUCCUUCGCGUAUUCUUGCUACCUUGAUGACCCUGUUCUUGAGCUUGAAAUGUUGAUUUUAGCUGGUCCCAAGUAGUUUUAGCAUGUGAUACGGUCUUUAGGUACUAGUAGGAGUAAUUGCUACAAGGUGUGCUUGGUCUUUAUUCACUUUUCUCUUGAACUUAAAAAAAUUCAGCAAAAGGAAAUUAUGUUCAGGAGGAAGUUUCAUGGUGGUUCCUCAAGUAAGAAGGGUCCCUGUCUUUCUUUUCGGGAGCCCGAACCUUAUCAACUAAGGGACGCACCGGUACAACCAUGUGAAUGGGCUUCCGAUGAGUUCAUGAUCGAAGGAGGCUUCAAGCAUGAGUUUGAUACACUUGUCCGCAAUGCCGGGUCAGAAGAAUUCCUCUCAGAUAAAGGUGAACAGUAUGCUAUGCUCCCUGCCUCUUUCGUGCGUAGAUUUAAAUUUUCAGUUGGCCGUGACUCAUCCAUACUGUUUGAUCUGUAUGAUAAAUCCUACACCAUGGAUUUGGAGGAUUUCAAUAGGAUUUGCAAGAUACCCGAUGGGGGUAGUAUUAAUGAUCCUUCUAAGUCUUCGGUCACAGACUUUGUUUCCAGUAUAAGUGGUGGAGAAACUAGAGAUAUCACGCAAGCUAACAUAGGAAGCAUUCAUUUCCCUUCCUUGCACUACUUUGCCCUCUUCAUAGGUAGGUGCAUUAACGGCAAGGGUGCACAUUGUCACCUAUGCGCAUCCGACCUUAGUAUCCUUAAGAGCGCAGUAACAGGUGACAGGAGCUUCAACAUGGGAGCUAUAAUAGCAAGGAGGCUGAAUAAUAAUGCCAUUGAUGGGGAUUUCUUUGGUGGAAUUUAUGCUACGCGCUUAGCAAAUUUUCUUGGAGUACCCAUCCGUUCAGGAGACCCCCCCUCUCCGUACAGCCUACCUUGAUCGUGUCGCUCUAACACGCUACCAGUUCUUUGAGAGGGAUGAGGAAUCCCUCCUAUACCGUUUGAUAUUUAACCAACGGCUAUUUUCCAUAUUACCCUUCCUGCUCCUUAUUUCUUUGACUUUCACAUAAAACGGAGAUACUACAUAACCAUAGGAGAGGCAGAGGAGUAUGAGAGGAAGGUGACGGCUGCUCGUCUUCGUUAGGCAGCUAUUCAGGCAGUGCCUGCAGCACUCCUGUAUAACACCCAGUAUGAUUUUGGGUUUCGCCAGGACCAUCCAUGGGAGUAGACCAAGCUUGGCCAAAAGCCUAAGCUUGGGGAGUACGUGUUCUCACCGACCUUACAUUCAUGCUUAUGCUUUCACUUUGUUAGUCGGUGUUUACACUUUGCCACUUUAUUAUCCAUGCUAGUUUAUUUUUGUUUUCUUGUUUUCUUGUUUUGUGUCCUUUUGAGAAAACCCAUAAAGAUUUUCCUUUCUUCUUUUGUUUGUUGGGAGUUUUCCCGUGUAAAUAAUUUUCUUUUUCUUUGGGUCAAGGUAGAAGAUAUUGGUUACAAUGUUUAGUGGCUCUUGCAUGCAUACCUAUUUAGCUUUCAAAGAACCAUAUUACUUUGUCUUAUCCUUUGUGUUUGCCUGCAGAUUCAGCUUAGUCCAAUGCAUGAGCACUCUUAUUAUUGUUCACAUCGUUCGAUCGUGCAAGUGAAAGGCAAUAAUGAUGAUAUAUGAUGAAGUGACUGAGACUGGAAAGGCUGGUAUGAACUCUAUCUAUUUUCUUUUUGUAAGUAUGACUAGCUUGUCGUCCCAGAUUCAGCUUCGUUGUGAGAGAACCAUGUUUGCAAUGACAACUUAGAGAUCAUAGUUUCUGAUACCAUGCUUCAUUAGGUGAGAGCUUAUAAUGGUUUGUCUUGAAUGCCAACAUAGAUUUUGAGAUGACUAUGAUGUAGUAUGAUAGGAUGGCAUUCUCCUUUGAAUGAUUCAAAUGGCUUGACUUGGCGCAUGUUCAUGCAUGUAGUUGAAACAAAAUCAACAUAGCCUCUAUGAUGUUCGUGUUCGUGGUGAUUUAUAUCCUGUUCAUGCUUGCACCCAAUGUUAGUCAACCUCAUUGCAUCUUGAUGACUGUUGUCGCUCUCUAGUUGGUCGCUUCCCAGUCUUUUGCUAGCCUUCACUUGUACUAAGCGGAAUACUUCUUGUGCAUCCACUUCCAUAAACCCAAAAGUUUUUCCAUGAGAGNNNACCAUACCUACCUAUUUGCGGUAUCUACCUGCCGUUCCAAGUAAAUUUGCAUGUGCCAUUCUCUAAACCNNNNNNNNNNNNNNNNNNNNNNNNNNNNNNNNNNNNNNNNNNNNNNNNNNNNNNNNNNNNNNNNNNNNNNNNNNNNNNNNNNNNNNNNNNNNNNNNNNNNNNNNNNNNNNNNNNNNNNNNNNNNNNNNNNNNNNNNNNNNNNNNNNNNNNNNNNNNNNNNNNNCAUUCUCUAAACCUUCAAGAAAUAAUCUGUUUUGCAUGCCCGAACCGCUCAUGUGGUGACAGGGGGCUAAUGAUAUCUUCCAUGUUAGGCGUGUUAUCCUCGAGAAAGGGGCCGGUAAUUGGAAUGCACAGUUCCACGCUUAAAUCGAAAACAUAACUAUAAAACAAGACUCCCCCCGGAUUGAUGUUAGUAUAGACGGUACCCGAGGAUUCGGCUAGCCGNNNNNNNNNNNNNNNNNNNNNNNNNNNNNNNNNNNNNNNNNNNNNNNNNNNNNNNNNNNNNNNNNNNNNNNNNNNNNNNNNNNNNNNNNNNNNNNNNNNNCCUUGCCGAGCAGGUGGUAGGCAUCAAACCUGUUGGUGAAGUGGACGACGAGCCCUACCGGUGGAGCGUUGGCGUGGGGACGCUGCUCCACGAGGUUGAACAUGGGCAGCGAGCCCGCCGGGAGGUGGUGGAAGCCCGCACGGAGGAACCCCCGUGCAAGCUCAGUGCUACCCCUCUAGCGUGAGAACGCCCACACGUGGAGCGAUUCCACGACGACGACGUUGGCGGGGUACCGCCGUUCCGGCACGGUGGGAGGCUCUUGGAACGUUGGGCCGUAGAACUGCAUCUUGAACGCUUCGUUGAGUGGAANNNNNNNNNNNNNNNNNNNNNNNNNNNNNNNNNNNNNNNNNNNNNNNNNNNNNNNNNNNNNNNNNNNNNNNNNNNNNNNNNNNNNNNNNNNNNNNNNNNNNNNNNNNNNNNNNNNNNNNNNNNNNNNNNNNNNNNNNNNNNNNNNNNNNNNNUCUGGCUUUUGGGGGAAGAAGAGAAGCGGGAGGCGCAGAUGGAUCUGUAGAAGAAGAGGGAAUGAAGGGCAGUUUAAAUAGCCGGGGGAGACGAAGUGGGAACACGCGCAAACGGCGUAGAUCGUGACUCAGUGCUGCUGUGUGAACCGAUGUGAUCAUCAAUGUGUGAACGUGAAUCGAAGCGAGCGUGCUCUGCGUUGGCGGCUGCNNNNNNNNNNNNNNNNNNNNNNNNNNNNNNNNNNNNNNNNNNNNNNNNNNNNNNNNNNNNNNNNNNNNNNNNNNNNNNNNNNNNNNNNNNNNNNNNNNNNNNNNNNNNNNNNNNNNNNNNNNNNNNNNNNNNNNNNNNNNNNNNNNNNNNNNNNNNNNNNNNNNNNNNNNNNNNNNNNNNNNNNNNNNNNNNNNNNNNNNNNNNNNNNNNNNNNNNNNNNNNNNNNNNNNNNNNNNNNNNNNNNNNNNNNNNNNNNNNNNNNNNNNNNNNNNNNNNNNNNNNNNNNNNNNNNNNNNNNNNNNNNNNNNNNNNNNNNNNNNCUUCUGCCACCGGCACGUAUGCCUGCGACGCGUGAAACGAUGUUGCAGCGCGACUGAAUCCACUGGCAACCGUGCGGCACGGAUCGAUGCGCGCGUGUCGGCGUGCAUGCAUGCGUUUAGGUCUAGGUCACUAGAUUCGUGCGUGGCGGUGUUCGCAUGCAUAGCAGGCUNNNNNNNNNNNNGCAUGCAUAGCAGGCUGCAUCCAUCGAUAGUAGGCUUUUUUAAUUUAUGACCAACAAACUAACGGGCCCGUCCUAUGAACACAAACACGACCCAACCAGCGAAGCCACAGCCACAGUCAACAGAGUUCAACAUGGCCCCACAAGUCAGUUAACGGCCAAGAUGGCAAACGCCUGUUAUCAACAUUUGUGAGAGUUUCNNNNNNNNNNNNNNNNNNNNNNNNNNNNNNNNNNNNNNNNNNNNNNNNNNNNNNNNNNNNNNNNNNNNNNNNNNNNNNNNNNNNNNNNNNNNNNNNNNNNUGCCUUGGGCAUCCCCAAGCUUGAUCUCUUGCCACUCUUUAUCUCUUUGUCCAUAAGAACUUCACCCAAAACUUGAAAACUUCACAACACGAAACUUAAAGAGAAACUUGUGAUAACAUUAGUAUGAGAAAGCAAACCACCACUUCCGUAGGUACUGUAGCAAACUUAAAUUCUACUUGUGCUUAUGUUGGUUUACUGUACUUUCAAUCUUCCAUGGCUAAUACCCCCCGAAACUAUCCAUAGUUUCAUCAAAAUAAGCAACCAACACAACAAAAACAGAAUCUGUUAACAGCAGACCAGUCUGUAGAAAUCUGUAUAUUUUGUAUACCUCUGGUACUUCAACAAUUCUGAAAACUUACGACUGUAUGAAGAAUUUGCGUGGCAAGCAGCAGAAAAAAGAAUCAACUCAAAAACGCUUACAGAAAAAAAAUGAAAAUUAUUUUCGUGAGCAGAAAGUUUCUGUGUUUUCCAGCAUGACCAAACGAUCAUCCCCAAGACUAAUCAUAACGGUUUUGCUUGGCACAAAUGCAAAAAGAAACAAAAAAAACACAGUCAUAACAGAAUUAUGAAAGCGUGGGAAACACCAAAUAGAAAGAAAAAAGAUAGAUUCGUUGGGUUGCCUCCCAACAAGCGCUUUUGUUUAACGCCCUUAGCUAGGCGAAAGGUGAUGAAAUCAUGUAUAGUCAUCUUUCGUGCUCAAACCAUAGGUAGUGUGAUCAUUUAUCAUCUUAAGAUUUUUAUCUUUAUUAGAUGACUCACCACUAACUUUAGGAACAAAAACAGGCUUGACGGUCUUUUUGAGAGUAAGAUUUGGAGUAUUUUGCACAGCGGCAAAAGCGGAACCCAAGUUGGUUAUGACAUCUUCUAAUUUGCCAAUUCUAGAAGAAUCAUUAACUAUAAGUUCCUUCUCCUUUAAAUUUUUCAAAAAGUUUCCCACUUGGGAUCCGUACUGAGUAAUCUGAUUGUGGAUCUUUCUAUCCAAACCCUCAAUAAGUUCAACUGUGGCAAUUUUGUUUUCAAUAGUGUCAAGCCUUUGCAUCACGUGUUCCAAGGUCAAGAUAGUUCCAUUAACCAUGAGCGGGGGCGAGCCUACCAAAUUAAUGAUAGCUCUGUAGGAGUCAACAGUAUGGCUCCCCAAAAAGUUCCCGCCUACAAUGGUAUCAAGGAUAUAGCUAUUCCAAGGAGAAAUUCCAACAUAGAAACUGCGAAGGAGGACGGUAGUGGAUUGCUUACGAGUAGAUCUACUUUGAGCAUUGCAAAUCCUGUACCAAGCGUCCUUCAAAUUUUCUUCCUCAUUCUGCCUGAAAUUGAGAACUUCAUUUUCAAGGGUGUCGUUUGGAGUGGUGGGUCUAGCCAUUUAUGGACUAUCUCACACACAAACGAGCAGGAAGAGAGAGUGAAACGGGCAAAAGAAAACAACAAAAAGGAAAAAGAAAAUGGCGAAGGAGAAAGGCAAAUGAAAACGGCAAAUGUGAAGUGGGGGAGAGGAAAACGAGAGGCAACUGGCAACAAAAGUAUAUGCAAGAGAAGAGUUUGUGGGACCUACUUGGAUAGAUCUUGAAUUCUCCUCCCCCAGCAACGGCGCCAGAAAUGCUCCUGAUGUCAGCUAUGCUAAUGCACAAAAGUCCUUCCAAUGGCGCCAGAAACAGGUGUGUCGACGGCACCAGGAAUCCUUCAGCUGUGGCUACGCCUUAAGGGACUUCCUAGGCAAGUAUUCAAAGGAUUUCCCCCGUGACCUUGGAGCCUUGCGUUGGUGUUCCCUUGAAGCGGAAAGGGUGAUGUAGCACAGCGACGGUAAGUAUUUCCCUCAGUUUGAGAACCAAGGUAUCAAUCCAGUGGAGGAGUAUCUCAAGAUCCUGCACAAACCCAAAAGCUUGCUCCCAACGCUAUGAAGGGGUUGUCAAUCCCUUAUAGAUUGUUUGCCAAGUGAGAACUGAAAGCAACGAAGUAACAAAGCAAAGUAAAAGCGGAGGUGUAAACGAUGGAUGUGAAUAGACCCGGGGGCCGUAGUGUUUACUAGUAGCUUCUCUCAUGAAAGCAAGUAGACGGUGGGUGAAAAUAUUACUGUCGAGCAAUUCAUAGAACCGCGCAAAGUAGUGACAAUAUCUAUGCAAUGAUUAUAUCUAAAGGCAUCACGUACAAAACAAGUAGACCGAUACUUUCUGCAUCUACUACUAUUACUCCACACAUCGACCGCUAUCCAGCAUGCAUCUAGUGUAUUAAGUCCAUAAGAACAGAGUAACACCUUAAGCAAGAUGACAUGAUGUAGAGGGAUAAUCUCAAACCAAUGAUAAAAACCCCAUAUUUUUACCCUUGAUGGCAACUACUUGAUGUGUGCCUUGCUGCCCCUACUGUCACUGGGAAAGGUCACCACAUGGUAGAACCCAAAACCAAGCACUUCUCCCAUUGCAAGAAUCAUAGAUCUAGUUGGCCAAACAAAACCCAAGACUCGGAGAGACUUACAAGGAUAUCAAAUCAUGCAUAUAAGAAAUCAGCAAAGACUCAAAUAUAUAUCAUAGAUAAUCUGAUCACCAAUCCACAAUUCAUCGGAUCUCGACAAACACACCGCCAAAGAAGAUUACAUCGGAUAGAUCUCCAUGAAGAGCAUGGAGAACUUUGUAUUGAAGAUCCAAGAGAGAGAAGAAGCCAUCUAGCUACUAACUACAGACCCGUAGGUCUGAAGUGAACUACUCACGAGUCAUUGGAGGGGCGAUGAUGAUUAUGAAGAAUCCCUCCAACUCCAAAGGUCCCCUACGGCAGGGCGCCAGGAAGGGUCUCCAGAUGAGAUCUCGCGGAAACGGAAGCUUACGGCGGCGGAAAAGUAUUUUCGAGGCUCGCCUGAUUUUUUGCGGAAUAUUUGGGAAUAUAUAGGCCAAGGAUCUAGGUCAUGGGGCGGCCAGGGAGGCCACAAGCCCUGCCACCGCCGCCUCCCCCUGGUGGCGGAGUGGGGGCUUGUGGGCUCCCUGGAGCCCACCUGGCUUGGCCCAAAGGCCCCCUGAUCUUCUUCCGUUCGGGAGAAAAUCAUUUUGUGGUUUUUCUUCCGUUUGGUCUCCGUUCCAAAAUCAGAUCUAAAAAGAGUCGAAAACACGGAAAAAACAGGAACUGACACUUGGCACUGUAUUAAUAAGUUAGUCCCAAAAAGAUAUAAAAAGAUACAUAAAACAACCAAAGAAGACAAGAUAACAGCGUGAAACCAUCAAAAAUUAUAGAUACGUUUGAGACGUAUCAAUAGUCUACCCUCGAAAACUGCUACGAUCCCAUGCGCUUGUGGGCCGUCAACAACAUUCUUCUAGUUUCGAUUGCCGGAGAAUGCUAGCAGCAUUCUUCUGGUGUCGUUGCAAAGGGAAAGACAGUUGACAUCAAGCAUUUUUCUCGCACCGUUGCCGGGGAGGUAUUGCUAUAUUCCCUGAGUCACUUGGGAUUUAUAUCUGUUGAUCACUAUGAAGAAUCUGAAGGAUCCAAAGACGAAAGUCUUGCCCUCAACUACGAGGGGAGGUAAGGAAUUGCCAUCUAGCUCUGCACUUGAUUCACCUUCAGUUCUGAGUAAGUUUGCGACAUCACCUCCUGCAAGAAAUCUUGAUAUGUUGCAUGUGCUUGAUGAUUCUUAUGAUGCUACUGCUAGAGAUGCUAUGCUUAAUACCAUGCAUGAUGAUACUAUGCCUGAUUGUAUGCCUAAUGCUAUGCCUGAUACUUCUAGAGAUGCUAUGCUUGAUACUGCUAGAGAUGCUAUGCUUGAUACUGCUUUGCCUGAUGAUGCUAGAGAUGCUAUUUUGCAUGAUGAUGCUAUGCUUGAUACUGCUAGAGAUACUACUUUGCCUGAUGUUCCACUAGGGGUGUUCCUUGAUGCUCAUAUUGCUAGAGUUACUGCCAAUGCUCGUGAUGCUUCUGAUACUGCCGAUACUAUUGAGAUAGAACCAGAUUUUGCUCCUGCUAGAUCUAGCUAUCCUAGAUAUGAAUUGCCUAAUAUACCUGAGGGUUACGUUAUGGAGGGAGGGAUAGCUGCGGAUUUCCUUGCGUGUAAGGAUGCCUAUGACGCUGAGAAAUUACUUCUCAAGUGGAAGGAAAAAUCUCUGAAAGCUAAGAUGAAAUACGACCCGAAGUUUGCCACUUCACCUAUCUUUAUCACCGAUAAGGAUUAUGAAUUCUCUAUCGAUCCUGAGAUAAUCUCUCUAGUCAAAUCUGAUCCUUUCCACGGUUAUGAGUCUGAGACGGUCGUAGCCCAUCUUGCCAAACUACACGAUAUAGCCACCCUUUUCACUAAUGAGGAGAAGAUCCGCCACUACUAUAUCCUUAAGCUGUUUCCUUUCUCUCUAAAGGAUGAUGCUAAAGCCUGGUUCACUUCUUUUGCUCCUGGAUGUGUGAGUAGUCCCCAGGAGAUGGUCCAUUACUUCUGUGAGAAAUAUUUCCCUGCCAUAAGAAGCAAGCUGCCUUGCAUGAAAUAUACAACUUUGCUCAACUCCAAGAAGAGAGUCUUCCAGAAGCUUGGGGGAAGGUCGUCCAGCUAGAAAAUGCUUUGCCUGGUCACCCUCUUAAGAAGAACGAGAUACUUGAUAUCCUCUAUAAUGGACUUACCGAUGCCUCUAGAGACCACCUAGAUAGUUGUGUCGGUUGUGUUUUUAGGGAACGAACUAUAGACCAAGCUGAGACCCUUCUGAAUAACAUCUUGAUCAACGAUAAUGCUUGGACUAUUCCCGAACCACCUCCUAAGCCAACUCCGAAGAAAAGAGGUAUUCUAUUCCUCAGUCCUGAAGAUAUGCAAGAAGCCAAGAAAUCUAUGCAAGAGAAAGGCAUUAGAUCUGAAGAUGUCAAAAAUCUACCACCUAUCGAAGAGAUCCAUUGUCUCGAUAACCCGAUACAGGUAGUGGAAGUGAAUUCUCUGCGUAGGUUUGAUGAGAGUGAUAUUCCUUUUGAUAAACCUCCUAGCCUAUGCUCUGAUGAAUUUGACAACUUUGUUGCCAAACAACAGAGUUUCAAUGAUUAUGUUAGCAGACAUUUGGAACAAAGUACUAGUAUGCUUAGCCAUUUAAGUGCUUGUGUAGACAGAAAUGUCAAUGAUCUGAAGCUUCUAAGUAAACUUGCCUCUAUGAUUACUACUCAGGUAGAACAAGUACUUAUAGGUCAGAAUGACUUGCUUAAUGAAUUAAAUGACAACUCUGUCAUAGUCAUUACUAGAGGAGGCAAAAUGACUCAGGUACCUUUGUAUCCUGAAGGUCGUCCUAAGAGAAUUGAUCAAGAUUCUCAAGGAAUCAAUGCUGAUACACCUAGUCAUCCUAAGGAGAAGAAGAAGGAUGAUAGAAGCCUGCAUGCCAGUUCACCAAAUACUGUCACACCUAAAGAACCUAAUGAUAUUUCUGCGUCUGAUGCAGAAACACAAUCUGGUGAUGAACAUGAACCUGGUGACAAUAUGGACAGUGAUGUUCAUAAUAAUGCUCAACCUAGCAAUGAUGAGGAUGUGGAGAUUGAACCUACGAUUAAUCCUGAUAACCCACAACCUAAGAAAUACGAUAAGAAUGACUUCACUGCUAGGAGGCAUGAUAAAGAAAGAGAGCCAUGGGUUCAGAGACCUAUGCCCUUUCCUCCUAAGCCAUCCAAGAAAAAGGAUGAUCAGGAUGUUGAGCGCUUCGUUGAGAUGAUAAGACCCAUCUUUCUGCAGAUGCGGUUAACUGAUAUGCUCAAGAUGUCUCCAUAUGCCAAGUACAUGAAAGAUAUCAUGACUAAUAAACGGACGAUACCAGAUCUUGAGAUCUCCACCAUGCUUGCCAAUUAUACUUUUAAAGGUCGAACUCCUAAGAAACUUGGUGAUCCCGGAGUGCCCACUAUACCUUGCUCCAUUAAAGGAAACUACGUAAGAACUGCCUUAUGUGACCUUGGAGCCGGUGUUAGUGUUAUGCCGCUCUCUCUUUAUCGUAGACUUGAGUUGGAUAAGUUGACACCCACUGAAAUUUCUCUGCAAAUGACCGAGAAAUCAACUGCUUUCCCUAUCGACAUUUGCGAGGAUGUGCCUGUUGUGGUUGCUAACACCACUAUCUUAACAGACUUUGUUAUCUUGGAUAUUCCCGAGGACGAUGACAUGGCUGUCAUCCUUGGAAGACCCUUUUUAAACACUACAGGGGCUGUUAUAGAUUACAACAAAGGCAAUCUCACUUUCCACGUCAAAGGUAAUGAGCACACACUGCACUUUCCGAAGAAACGAUAUCAAGUACAUUGCAUCAAUGCUAUCGAAAAGACUUCAUCGAUUCUCAUUGGGAGCUUUGAAUGCCCUAUUCCUCGUGUCAAGAUGAAGUAUGAUUUGCUUGUUGGGGAGAUACAUAUCCCCAUUGAGGUGACUUAGUGGCUAUUAGAAAAUUCUCCGUUCUCUCUUGAGAUUCGAGAUGGUUUUGUCAUGAGGACUUGAUCAACCCCAUUGAAGGAUUUAUUUCGAUGACCAUGAAACGGAUGAAUCAAAGAGUCACAUACCUCUGUUUUAAGCUUUCAUUUUCUGUUGCUUAGAAAAAAAAUGAUAGAAUUAGUUUAGUUUUUCCUGUUUUCUGUUUUAGCGUCCCGGAGAAAAAUACCUCGAAAAUAAAAGUUCUCCGAUGGUCCUGAAAAUUUAGAAUGAUUUUUUCAGGAAUUUUGAAAAUUACUAGGCCUGAGAGCUGGCCUGGGGGCCACUCCAGUGGGCCACAACCCUGCCACCGCCACCUACCACCCUGGUGGCGGAGUGCAAGCUUGUGGGGCCCACAAGGACCCCCUCCACUCAUUCCAGCUGCCAGCCUCUUCUUCCACCUCCAGAAAAAAUUGUUUCGCAACUCAAACCCGUGUUCUUGCUCAUUUGGCUGUGAUUUUCGAUCUCUUUGCUCAAAGCACCAUUCUCCAAACGUUUUGGGGAAAUUACUCCUUGGUAAGUGACUCCUCCAUUGGUCCAAUUAGUUUUUUGUAGCGACCCGACUCAAAACGAGUCAAGCCUCUGUGUAUCUGUGCCAUCCCUGGAUCAGUAUGCUGACACACACAGUACAUCAAUGUAUAUAUCAAAGUGCAAUCACAUGUAAAUAGCGUAAAACUGUUAUAUACCUUAAUUAUUUCAGCGGAAGCAGUCAAGGGAGUGGAGUCCCAAUAAACACCAAUGGCAAGUUGAGUGUAGACCGUAACCCUGAAUCGUACUCUUACUCGUCGAAGAGAAAUAUCUGCAACAUAAGACGUUGCAGCCGUGUAGGUCAGCAUAUUGAAUAUGCUGGCAAGUCACAUAAGAGAGGGGUAAAUUGUCAUCUAUACUAUAUGCAUAUAUGGCAGGUGGGGUUGUAAGUUUUUAGCGAAAAGCAAGUUUUCUCCUACAUCAAGAGAUGGCUAAAAGCAAAAUGUUACUACGUUGUUUGUUGUUAACGAGAUGGUUCCGCCAACCAAUUCUCGUACCCGAGUUGUCAUUAAUUACCCUCAUCAAAUAUAUUUAAUGGUGUUGAGAAAUCCAGAUAACUUCAGUUCAUUUGGCUCAUGUUGUCCAUGACCGUGGACACGGCUAAUCGAUUAGGUUUGAGUACUCUGCAGAGUUUUUGCACACGUUCCCCACAAGAUUUGAUCUCCUCCGUGUAUGUCCUCGCACUUCAGGUGUUUGAAGACCGGAUGAUCAAAACAUGGUCUUUCAACGGGUCCCUCUGAAUCUCUGUCGGUGCCCAUCCAUUCCUACCGUUCUUCUACAUCUGCUAGCACCGCCUGUCCAGAGUCGCCGCAUUGUCCAACCAAGCCAGAGCCCAUAAUAACUUGUGGCUGUGCAGGUAAGCCUUGGGUCUUGAAAAUAUCCGUCCGUCUCUUUGAGCCUGGGUGAAGCUUUCCGCAGGAUGUCAUGGCCUCUCCAGCAUCCCGGGUCAUCCACUGGGUUCUCCAGGGAGCCGAUCAAUUGUCCUUCACCCAGAGUUGCAUUGCGUCCGAGGUCUUGAAAAUCUUGUCUUAACCGGUCUUGAUUAUUUAAUCAACCUCGCAUCACUCGUGUUAUGCACUCAACCGAAAACCCGUCUACUCAAGCAUAGCAAUAUGAAAUUUGUCAUCCCGGGGCCAAGUAUCGGGGUUGUUGUGUGCCUACCACAUGAUACUACAAUCUAUACUAAAAUUUCCAAGUACCUAAGCAGCAUGCAAUUGGGCAUAGGAUGGUAGAACUACGAUGCAUAAAACAUAGGUGAUAGUAUGAUCAAAGUGACUUGCCUGGUGAUGUUGAUGAAGAAGAAUUUCUUGAGAAAUAACUUGAUAGACCACUCGUCACUCUCCGAUGAAAUCUAUAUAACAAACAUAUCAUUCACAUAAGCACUCAUACUAGCAAUCAUUCUAGCAAUCAAAACAAAAGAGAGAGCGAAUAGGAAUCCGAAGGAAACUUCAAAUAAGACUAGGGAGUCUUCUACUACGUCAAACACUAAAUAGUUUUUGUCUAAUAGAAAAAAUAACAGAAAAAAAAAAUAACUAAGAAAACAGAAGUAAAAUUUACAAAACAAUAUUUUUUAUAAGUAUUUUCAAAAUAGGAAAUCAAACUAGCAAUGCAAUCAAUUCGCAAGUUAGUAUAGAACUAGAAUUGAUUCCAUGCAAACAAAUAAGAAUAAAUAAAAUAAAAUUUUGUUGUUGUUGAAAAGUUACUGGUAAAUAUCAGAAAACAAAAUAUAACUUGUCACAAUUACAAAAAAACAAAUUAAGAACAAUUAAUACAAAAGAAAUAGCAAGAAAACAAAAAAAGGCUAAAACAGAAUCUGUUUUGCUUAAAACCCUAAGUAAAAUUAUUUAAAAAAAUUGAAUCUUAAACUACUCAAAGAUAUGAUCAAUAGGAAACAGCAGCAAAAAGAAUCAAAUUAAAAGCUAUUUUUAAACUCCCGGAAUAAGGAAAACAAGCUUUAAUUCAAAUCUGAUCUAACUCAACUUUUAUAAAUUCAAACAUAGACAAAUUAUAUAUCUACAGAAACUGCAUAAACAAUUUUAUCCAACACAAAAAGAAUCAUCUAAUUUGGAGUUAUACACUAAUAGAUAUGAAUUUUCUAAGAUUGCAAUUUUCUGAAAAAACUGCAAUACGGGAUUUCGUGGAUCUCACCGGAGUUAGUCGCCGGAGUUGGAGAAGGCGGCGGGAAGGUUGCUCCGGUGGCCGGCCGAGGCGGUGGAGGGGUCCAGGUGAUGGAGGAGGGCUCGGGCAGAAGGUUGGUGGCGUCGGCGGGGCGUGGGGGCGACGGGAGGGAGCAGCAGGAGCUCCGGCGAGUUCCUGUUGGAGGCGAACUCCGGCGAGGUGGGGGCUGCGUUCCGACGAGGGGAGGGGCUGGGCUAUGGGGAAAAUGGGGAGAGGAGGUUGAGGGGAGUAUUUAUAGGGGCUCGGGGUGCUCGGAGAAGGAAGGAGCAAGGAGAUCGGGAAGGUGGAGAUUCCUCUCAUCAUGGCUAUGGAAGUUUCCUGUGCACGUGAGGAAGGAGAUAGAGGAAGAAGAAGAUCUUGUUGGGCUAGUUUUUGGAAAGGUCUUAAUGGGCCACCGUUUAUUUCCAUUUAAACACGAUUUCUUUCCUUUUUCAAAACUAGGAAACUAAAACGAUAAAAGGAAAAUCAAAUCAAUUCGGAAUAUAGAGUUUCUAUAUACUAAAAUUAUCAGAAAAAUAAAAUCUAAAUGAUGGGCAUUUUUCCACGGCAAAAAUAAAAACUUCAGAAAAAAUUAUUUUCACAAAAUUGCCUAAAAGGUUUAUUUUCUUUUGCAAAUAAUUUUGAAAUGAUCCUCUAAGUUUGAGGGUGCAAAUAACAUUCAAAAUUCCCGGGUAUUUGAGGGUCAUGUUCCUCCGCUCUUUUCUGUUUGACCGAAUGUAUUUCCCGGCAUUUUCUUGCGUGAAGAAAACAAAUAAAAAUGCAAGGGAAUUCAAAUGUAAAUAUCUCCGUUCAAAUCUUUUAUAGUUGAAGAAGUCAUGUCAUCUUCUCUCAUUGCUUUUAAAAGAUUGGAUUUGAAUUCACCGGAGAAGGGGAAAGUCAUUUUAUUCCCUCUCAUUCAAAAGUUUCGAAAAGUUUCGACUUUCACACAAGUUUCAGUCACUCAGCAAACAAACAAACAAUCAAUCUAAUAAUUAUAUUAACAUUCCAAAAUUUAUAAUUUUGGGAUGUUACAUUUUUGCUCUAGUGCUUUAUCCUUCGCGUAUUCUUGCUACCUUGGUGACCCUGUUCUUGAGCUAGAAAUGUUGAUUUUAGCUGGUCCCAAGUAGUUUUAGCGCGUGAUACGGUCUCUAGGCACUAGUAGGAGUAGUUGCUACAAGGUGUGGUAGGUUUUCAUUCACUUUUCUCUUGACCUUCAAAAAUUUCAGCAAAAGGAAAUUAUGUUCAGGAGGAAGUUUCAUGGUGGUUCCUCAAGUAAGAAAGGUCCUCAUCUUUCUUUUCUGGAGCCCGAACCUUUUCAACUAAGGGACGCACCAGUACAACCAUGUGAAUGGCCUUCCGAUGAGUUCAUGAUUGAAGCAGGUUUCAAGGAUGAGUUUGAUACACUUGUCCGCAAUGCCGGGUUAGAAGAAUUCCUCUCAGAUAAAUGUGAACAGUAUGCUAUGCUCACUGCCUCUUUCGUGCGUAGAUUUAAAUUUUCAGUUGGCCGUGACUCAUCCAUACUGUUUGAUCUGUACGAUAAAUCCUAUACCGUGGAUUUGGAGGAUUUCAAUAGGAUUUGCAAGAAACCCGACGGGGGUAGUAUUAAUGAUCCUUCUAAGUCUUCGGUCACAGACUUUGUUUCCAGUAUAAGUGGUGGAGAAACUAGAGAUAUCACGCAAGCCACCAUAGGAAGCAUCCAUUUCCCUGCCUUGCACUACCUUGCCCUCUUCAUAGGUAGGUGCAUUAACGGCAAGGGUGCACAUUGUCACCUAUGCACUUCCAACCUUAGUAUCCUUAAGAGCACAGUAACAUGUGACAGGAGCUUCAAUAUGGGAGCUAUAAUAGCAAGGAGGCUGAAUAAAAAUGCUAGUGAGGGGGAUUUCUUUGGUGGAGUUUAUGCUACACGCUUAGCAAAUUUUCUUGGAGUAUCCAUCCGUCCAGAAGACCCUCCUCUCCGUACAACCUACCUUGAUCGUAUCGCUCUAACACGCUACCAGUUCCUUGAGAGAGAUCAUGGAUCCCUCCUAUACAGCUUGAUAUUUAACCGGCAGCGUGUUUUCCAUAUUACCCUUCCUGCUCUUGCUUUCAUUGACUUUCAGGUAAAACGAAGAUACUACAUAACCAUAGCAGAGGCAGAUGAGUAUGAGAGGGAGGCGACUGCUGCUCGACUUCGUGAGGCAGCUAUUCAGGCAGUGGCUGCAGCACUCCCGUAUAACACCCAUUAUGACUUUGGGUUUCGCCAGGAUCAUCCAUGGGAGUAGACCAAGUUAGGCCAAUAGCCUAAGCUUGGGGGAGUACGUGUUAUCACCGACUUUACAUUCAUGCUUAUGCUUUCACUUUGUUAGCCGGUGUUUACACUUGCCACUGUAUUAUCCAUGCUAGUUUAUUUUUGUUUUCUUGUUUUCUUGUUUUGUGUCCUUUUUAGAAAACCCAAAGAGAUUUUACUUUCUUCUUUUGCUUGUUGGGAGCUUUCCCGUGUAAAUAGUUUUAUUUUUCUUUGUGUCAAGGUAGAAGAUAUUGGUUACAAUGUUUAGUGGUUCUUGCAUGCUUACGUGUUUAGCUUUCAAAGAGCCAUAUUACUUUGUCUUCUCUUUUGUCUUUGCCUGUAGAUUCAGCUUAGUCCAAUGCACGAGCACUCUUAUUAUUGCGCACAUCUUUCGAUCGUGCAAAUGAAAGGCAACAAUGAUGAUAUAUCAUGAAGUGACUGAGACUGAAAAGCUGGUAUGAACUCUAUCUAUUUUGUUUUUGUAAAUAUGACUAGCUUGUCGACCCAGAUUUAGCUUUGUUGUGAGAGAACCAUGUUUGCAAUAACGACUUAGAGAUCAUAGUUUGUGAUGCCAUGCUUAAUUAGCUGAGAGCUUAUAAUGGUUUGUCUUGAAUGCCAACAUAGAUUUUGAGAUGACUAUGAUGUAGUAUGAUAGGAUGGUAUUCUCCUUUGAAUGUUUCAAGUGGCUUGACUUGGCGCAUGUUCAUGCAUGUAGUUGAAACAAAAUCAACAUAGCCUAUAUGAUGUUCGUGUUCAUGGUGAUUUAUAUCAUGUUCAUGCUUGCAUUCAAUGUUAGUCAAACUCAUUGCAUCGUGAUGACUGUUGUCGCUCUCUAGUUGGUCGCUUCCCAGUCUUUUGCUAGCCUUCACUUGUACUAUGCGGAAUACUGCUUGUGCAUCCACUUCCAUAAACCCCAAAAGUUUUUCCAUGAGAGUCCACCAUACCUACCUAUUCGCGGUAUCUACCUGCCGUUCCAAGUAAAUUUGCAUGUGCCAUUCUCUAAACCUUCUAGAAAUAAUCUGUUUUGCAUGCCCGAACCGCUCAUGUGGUGACAGGGGGCUAUUGGUAUCUUCCAUGCUAGGAGUGUUAUCCUCGACAUGUGUUUAUUGACUGUCAUUCACGAGAAAGGGGCCAGUAAUUUGAAUGCCCAGUUUCCACGCUUAUAUCGAAAACAUAACUGUAAAAUAAGACUCCCCCCAGACUGAUGUUAGUAUGGAAAGUACCGAAGGAUUCGGCUAGCCGUCGAGUGUGAUUGAUUGGUGGUGGGGGAGUUAAAACUUUAAUUUUCUGUUUGGGAACCGCCUAUAGCAUGAGUAGCAUGGAAGAUAUUGAGAACUCUUGGUCAUUGCGUUGACAAUGAAAGCAUGCCACCCAAAAUUAUUAUCUCCGUUUUCAAAGCUUGAGCUUUGGCACCUCUCCAAAUCAAUGCUUCCCUCUCCGAAGGGCAUGUCUAUUUAUUUUCCUGUCGAGUCAUCCUCCUCUUAUAUAAGCACCAAUUAGAGAGCACCUCUGUCAUUUUUAUUCUUUGCUUUUGAUUGAUAUUGAGUAUGACUAUGACUGGAUCUUCGUUGCUAUGAAUUACAAUGUUUAGCCAGCCCUUGAUCUUUGAAAGUGCUCUGCAUUUAUGUUUUGCGGUCUCAGAAAGAGCUAGCGAGAUACGGCCAAUUCAUAUUGCUUCAUGCUUGUUUUGAUUGAAGUGUUGGUAUUUGAAACUCAUUAUUAUUUGCUCGUUAGCUGAUUAUGCCAUUGAUGUUAGUUUACCUUGAGACCUUUGUGUCAUUUCCUUAUGUGGUUAACUUGUGAUCUUGCUGAAAUUCUGGUUAUGAGUUAGACAUAGUUGCAACAACAAGACCAAACAGAGUUUGUCAAAGUUUUUCUUUCUCUCUCAGUUUGUCAACUAAGUUGCUUGAGGACAAGCAAGGUUUUAAGCUUGGGGGAGUUGAUACGUCUCCAUCGUAUCUACUUUUCCAAACUCUUUUGCCCUUGUUUUGGACUCUAAUUUGCAUGAUUUGAAUGGAACUAACCUGGACUGACGCUGUUUUCAACAGAAUUGCCUUGGUGUUAUUUUUGUGCAGAAAUCAAAGUUCUCCAAACGUCCUGAAAAUUUACAGGGAGCAGUUUUGGAAAAUAUGAAAAAUAUUUGCGCCAAGUUCCACCUGAGGGGGUGGGCCAGUGGGCCACAAGCCCUGGCUCCGCCACCACCCCCCUCGUGGCGGUGGGCAGGCUUGUGGGGCCCACACAGCUCUGCCACCCCAACCUCAGGUCUAUAAAUUCCCUUUCGUCACAGAAAAAAUAAAAGAGAAGUUUUCGUCGCGUUUACGAUACGGAGGCGCCGCCACCACCUGUUCUUCAUCUGGAGGGCAGAUCUGGAGUCCGUCUUGGGCUCCGGAGAGGCGAAAUCGUCGCCAUCGUCAUCAUCAACCUUCUUCCCUCUCCAAUUCCAUGAAGCUCUUCGUUGUUCGUGAGUAAUCUAUUCGUCGGCUCGUUGGGCAGUGAUGAGUAGGAUGAGAUCUAUCAUGUAAUCGAGUUAGUUUCGAUGGGGAUUGAUCCCNNNNNNNNNNNNNNNNNNNNNNNNNNNNNNNNNNNNNNNNNNNNNNNNNNNNNNNNNNNNNNNNNNNNNNNNNNNNNNNNNNNNNNNNNNNNNNNNNNNNUCGCGUUUCUGCGGAGCUUGGGCAGAGCCCUGCUGAGAUAAGAUCACCACCAACCUCCGGAGCGCCGUCACGCUUCCGGAGACAUCAUCUACCUCUCCGUCUCUCUUGCUGGAUCAAGAAGGCCGAGAUCAUCGUCGAGCUGUACGUGUGUUGAACGCGGAGGUGCCGUCCGUUCGGCACUAGAUUGUGGGACUGAUCGCGGGACGGUUCGCGGGGCGGAUCGAGGGACGUGAGGACGUUCCACUACAUCAACCGUGUUCACUAACGCUUCUGCUGUGCGAUCUACAAGGGUACGUAGAUCGAGUAUCCCCUCUCGUAGAUGGACAUCACCAUGAUAGGUCUUCGUGCGCGUAGGAAAAAUUUUGUUUCCCAUGCGAUGUUCCCCAACAACAUCCAGGUUCCUAUCAUCCUUCUUCUUCUCCUUAGGAUGACUGGGUGUAUCAGCAUUAAUUCAUUGAGAAUCUUGAUCAAUUCUCUUAGGAUGGCCUUCAGGAUACAAAGGUUCCUGAGUCAUUUUGCCUCCUCUAGUAAUGACUCUGACAGAAUUGUCAUUUAAUUCAUUGAGCGGGUCAUUCUGAGCUUUAAGUACUUGUUCUACCUGAGUAGUAAUCAUAGAGGCAUGUUUACUCAGAAGCUUCAGAUCAUUGACAUUUCUGUCUACACAAGCACUUAAAUGACUAAGCAUACGAGUACUUUGUUCCAAAUGUGUGCUAACAUAAACAUCGAAACUUUGUUGUUUGGCAACAAAGUUGUCAAAUUCAUCAAAGCAUAGGCUAGCAGGUUUACCAAAAGGAAUAUCACUCUCAUCAAACCUACGUAGAGAAUUUACUUCCACUACCUGUAUCGGGUUAUAGAGACCAUGGAUCUCUUCGAUAGGUGGUAGAUUUUUGACAUCUUCAGAUCUAAUGCCUUUCUCUUGCAUAGAUUUCUUGGCUUCUUGCAUAUCUUCGGGACUGAGGAAUAGAAUACCUCUUUUCUUUGGAGUUGGCUUAGGAGGUGGUUCGGGAAUAGUCCAAGCAUUAUCGUUGAUCAAGACGUUAUUCAGUAGAGUCUCAGCUUGUUCUAUAGUUUGUUCCCUAAAAACACAACUGGCACAACUAUCUAGGUGGUCUUUAGAAGCAUCGGUAAGUCUGUUAUAGAAGAUAUCAAGUAUCUCGUUCUUCUUAAGAGGGUGAUCAGGCAAAGCAUUCUGUAGUUGGAAGAGCCUCCCCCAAGCUUGUGGGAGACUCUCUUCUUUGAGUUGAGCAAAGUUAUAUAUUUCCUGCAAGGCAGCUUGCUUCUUAUGGGCAGGGAAAUAUUUCUCACAGAAGUAAUAGACCAUAUCCUGGGGACUACUCACACAUCCAGGAGCAAGAGAGGUGAACCAGGCUUUAGCGUCAUCCUUUGGAGAGAAAGGAAACAACUUAAGGAUAUAGUAGUGGCGGAUCUUCUCCUCACUAGUGAAAAGGGUGGCUAUAUCGUGUAGUUUGGUAAGAUGGGCUACGACCGUCUGAGACUCAUAACCGUGGAAAGGAUCAGAUUCGACUAGAGAGAUUAUCUCAGGGUCUAGAGAGAAUUAAUAAUCCUUAUCGGUGAUAAAGAUAGGUGAAGUGGCAAACUUCGGGUCGUAUUUCAUCCUAGCUUUCAGAGAUUUUUCCUUCCACUUGAGAAGUAAUUUCUCAGCGUCAUAGGCAUCCUUACACGCAAGAAAAUCCUCAGCUAUCUCUCCCUCCAUAACGUAACCCUCAGGUAUAUCACGCAAUUCAUAUCUAGGAGAGCUAGAUCUAGCAGGAGCAAAAGCAGGUUCUAUCUCAAUAGUAUCGGCAGUUUCAGAAGCAUCACGAGCAUUGGCAGUAACCCUAGCAAUAUGAGCAUCAAGGAGUACCCCUAGUGGCACAUCAGGCAAAGUAGUAUCUCUAGCAGUAUCAGGCAUAGCGUCUCUAGCAGUAUCAGGCAUAGCAUCUCUAGCAAUAUCAGGCAUAGCAUCUCUAGCAGUAUCAGGCAUAGCAUCUCUAGCAGUAUCAGGCAUAGCAUCACCAAGCACAGGCGACAUAUCAAGAUUUCUAGCGGGAGGUGAUGUCGCAAACUUACUCAUAACUGAAGGUGAAUCAAGUGCAGAGCUAGAUGGGAGUUCCUUACCUCCCCUCGUAGUUGAGGGCAAGACUUUGGUUUUUGGAUCUUUCAGAUUCUUCAUACUGAUUAGCAGAUAUAAAUCCCAAGUGACUCAGAGAAUAUAGCAAUCCCUUCCCUGGCAAUAGCGCCAGAAAAAUGCUGCUAACGGCAGUCCCCGACAACGACACUAGAAGAAUGUUGUUGACGUGUUCCUCACUUGAUGCCUUCGUGACAACACAGCCAGAACUGCUCCCAGUUGCUCAACAAUUAGCAAUUGUCUUGCAAUGGCCCACCAGCAUGUGGGUUCACGGCAAUUUUCGAGGGUAGAGUAUUCAACCCAAAUUUGUUGGUUCGCCCGUCAGGAAGUGAAAGGAUACUCUCAAGUAUUAGCAGCUAAAUGUGUCAGAUUCAACCGCACCUGAAAGAUUAGUAUCUGCAAGCAAAGUAUCAGUAGCAAAGUAGUAUGAUAGCAACGGUGCCAGAAACGAUCUUAUGACGGCAGACUAUUCCUAACUGUUGUAUCAAUGGCGCCAAUAAGUUGCCCGUGGAUGGGAAAUAUUCUUUCCCGUCAACAUCGUGCGAAAAAGUAUUGUAGCGGGUAGCAGCAGCGUAACGAGUAACAGCAGUGGCAAGGAACAACAGUAGUGAAAGCAGUAGCAAGUAGCAANNNNNNNNNNNNNNNNNNNNNNNNNNNNNNNNNNNNNNNNNNNNNNNNNNNNNNNNNNNNNNNNNNNNNNNNNNNNNNNNNNNNNNNNNNNNNNNNNNNNNNNNNNNNNNNNNNNNNNNNNNNNNNNNNNNNNNNNNNNNNNNNNNNNNNNNNNNNNNNNNNNNNNNNNNNNNNNNNNNNNNNNNNNNNNNNNNNNNNNNNNNNNNNNNNNNNNNNNNNNNNNNNNNNNNNNNNNNNNNNNNNNNNNNNNNNNNNNNNNNNNNNNNNNNNNNNNNNNNNNNNNNNNNNNNNNNNNNNNNNNNNNNNNNNNNNNNNNNNNNNNNNNNNNNNNNNNNNNNNNNNNNNNNNNNNNNNNNNNNNNNNNNNNNNNNNNNNNNNNNNNCAACAGUAGUAACAGCAGCAGAGCAAAACAAGUAACAGCAGCAGUGGGACAAACUCAUAGGCAAUGGGUCGGUGAUUCAUUUGGAUGACAUUCAUCAUGCAACAGUUAUAACACGGAGAGAUAUGUGGCUAGCUCCCGUUCGUCAAUGUGAUGUAGGCAUGCAUUCUGUGUGUAGUCAUACGUGCUUAGGGAAAAGAACUUGCAUGACAUCUAUUGUCCAUCCCUCCCGUGGCAGCGGGGUCCAAAAGGAUACUACGGGAUAUUAAGGUUCUCCUUUUAAUACAGAACCGGAACAACGCAUUAGCACUUGGUGAACACAUGUAUGGUCAUCACCGGGAGUGGUUUCGGUUAUUGUCACUCCGGGGUUGUCGGGUCAUAACACAUAGUAGGUAACUACAACUUGCAAGAUCGGAUCUAAAACACACAUAUAUUGGUGACAACAUAAUAAUUUCAGAUCUGAAAUCAUGGCACUCGGGCCCUAGUGACAAGCAUUAAGCAUGGCAAAGUAGUAGCAACAUCAAUCUCAGAACAUAGUGGAUACUAGGGGUCAAUCCCCGUCAAAAGUAACUCGAUUACAUGAUAGAUAUCAUCCUACUCAUCACCGCCCAGCGAGCCUACGAAUAGAUUACUCAUGAACGAUGAAGAGUUCAUGGAAUUGGAGAGGGAAGAAGGUUGAUGACGAUGGCGACGAUUUCUUUUCUCCGGAGCCCAAAACGGACUCCCGAUCUGCCCUCGAGAUGAAGAACAGGAUGUGGCGGCGCCUUCGUAUCGCAAACGCGAUGAAAUCUUCUCUUCUGAUUUUUUUCUGGACGAAAGUGAACUUAUAGAGCUGGAGUUGGGGGUGGCACACCCACAUGGGCCCCACAAGCUUGGUUGCCGUGGCCAGGGGGGAGGUCGCGGCAAUAGGGCUUGUGGCCCACUAGCCCAUCCCCUCCGGAGGAUCUUUGCGCACGUAUUUUUCAUAUUUUCCAGAAAAAUUCUCCGUAAAUUUUCAGGACAUUCCGAGAACUUUCAUUUCUGCACAAAAACAACACCAUGGCAAUUCUGCUGAAAACAGCGUCAGUCCGGGUUAAUUCCAUUCAAAUCAUGCAAAUUAGAGUCCAAAACAAGGGCAAAAGAGUUUGGAAAAGUAGAUACGAUGGAGACUUAUCAAGUACCACGUGAGUUGUAGCAAUUGUAGAAGACAAAAGGAUGAUUGAGUAUGUCGAUUUGCUUUACAAGCUCUUAUUUGACUCUUUCCGAUGUUGUGAUAAAUUGCAAUUGCUUCAAUGACUAAAGGCUAUCGGUUGUUAAUUCUCGGUAAGCCUCUUGAUCCAUACUUUACUUUGUGAAGGAAUUAUCACUUUAGCAUAAGAGUUCAUAUGAUGGUAUUGUUGUUCUGAUUAUGAUCAUGAUGCUUGCAUGUCCGUAUCUUGUUUUGUCGACACCUCUCUCUCUAAACAUGUGGGCAUAUUUAUUGAUCUCGGCUUUCGCUUGAGGACAAGCGAGGUCUAAGCUUGGGGGAGUUGAUACGUCCAUUUUGUAUCAUGCUUUCAUGUUGAUAUUUAUCGCUUUUUGGGUUGUUAUUACACUUCACGGUACAGUACUUAUGCAUUUUCUCUCUUAUUUUGCAAGGUUUACAUGAAGAGGGAGAAUGCCGGCAGCUAGAAUUCUGGCCUGAAAAGGGAGCAAGUUUGAGAUACCUAUUCUGCACAACUCCCAAAGCCGUGAAAAUCAACGAGGAUUUAUUUUGGAAUUUAUAAAAAAUACUGGGCCGAAGAGUACCAGAGGGGCGCCAGCAGGAAGCCACAAGCCUGCUAGGCGCGGCCUCCCCCCUCGUCGCGCCUAGGGGGCUUGUGGGCUCCCAGCUGGCCCUCUGGCCCCCCUCUUUUGCUACAAGAAGGGUUUCGUUCCGAAAAAAAUCAAGAGGAGGCUUUCAGGAGGAAUCGCCGCCGCCACGAGGCGGAACUUGAGAAGAACCAAUCUAGAGCUCCGGCGGGACGAUCCUGUCGGGGAAACUUCCCUCCGAGAGGGGGAAAUCGUCGCCAUCGUCAUCACCAACACUCCUCUCAUCGGAGGGGACUCAUCACCAUCAACAUCUUCGUCACCACCAUCUCAUCUCCAAACCCUAGUUCAUCUCUUGUAACCAAUCUCCGUCUCGCGACUCCGAUUGGUACUUGUAAAGUUGCUAGUAGUGUUAAUUACUCUUUGUAGUUGAUGCUAGUUGGAUUACUUGGUGGAAUAUUGUAUGUUCAGAUCUUUGAUGCUACUCAUUACCUCUCUGGUCAUGAAUAUGAUUAUGCUUUGUGAGUAGUUAAUUUUGUUCCUGAGGACAUGGGAUAAGUCUUGCUAUAAGCAGUCAUGUGAAUUUGGUAUUCGUUCGAUAUUUUGAUGUGUUGUAUGUUGUUUUUCCUCUAGUGGUGUUAUGUGAACGUCGACUACAUAACACUUCACCAUUAUUUGGGCCUAGAGGAAGGCAUUGGGAAGUAGUAAGUAGAUGAUGGGUUGCUAGAGUGACAGAAGCUUAAACCCUAGUUUAUGCGUUGCUUCGUAAGGGGCUCAUUUGGAUCCUCUAGUUUAAUGCUAUGGUUAGACUUUGUCUUAAUUCUUCUUUCAUAGUUGCGGAUGCUUGCAAGAGGGGUUAAUCAUAAGUGGGAUUCUUGUCCAAGUAAGGGCAGUACCCAAGCGCCGGUCCACCCACAUAUCAAACUAUCAAAGUAGCGAACGCGAAUCAUAUGAACAUGAUGAAAAUUAGCUUGACAGAAAUUCCCAUGUGUCCUCGGGAGCGUUUUACCUCCUAUAAGAGUUUGUCCAGGCUUGUCCCUUGCUACAAAAGGGAUUGGGCCACUUUGCUGCACCUUUGUUACCGUUGUUACUUGCUACUUGCUACGAAUCAUCUCACCACACAACUACUUGUUACCGAUAAUUUCAGUGCUUGCAGAGAUUACCUUGCUGAAAACCACUUGUCAGAUCCUUCUGCUCCUCGUUGGGUUCGACACUCUUACUUAUCGAAAGUACUAUGAUAGAUCCCCUAUACUUGUAUAGGUGCACUAGUUCGGCAAAGAGAUGGUGAUACAAGUGCAAUAAGGAUGGUAAAUAUAGGUUUUGUAAUCUGAAAUUANACAUGCAACAAAGAGUCAAUCCAAAGUCACUAAUAGCGGAGAACAAACGAAGAGAUUAUUGUCGAGUACGAAACCACCACAAAGUUAUUCUUUCUGAUCGAUCUAUUCAAGAGUCCGUAGUAAAAUAGCACGAAGCUAUUAUUUCCGUUCAAUCUUUCAUAGAGUUCGUACUAGAAUAACACCUUAAGAUACAUAUCAACCAAGACCCUAAUGUCACCUAGAUACUCCAUUGUCACCUCAAGUAUCCGUGGGCAUGAUUAUACGAUAUGCAUCACAUAAUCUCAGAAUCAUCUAUUCAACCAACACAUAGAACUUCAAAGAGUGCCCCAAAGUUUCUACCGGAGAGUCAAAACGUGUGCCAACCCCUAUGCAUAGGUUCCCAAUGUCACGAACCCACAAGUUGAUCACCAAAACAUACAUCGAGUACUCACAUGAAUCAAACGUGUGCCAACCCAUAUGCAUAGGUUCCCAGUGUCACAAACUCGCAAGUUGAUCACCGCAGAUAGACACGUGCUAGACAUACAUCAAGUGUUCUCAAAGACUCAAUCCGAUAAGAUAACUUCAAAGGGGAAACUCAAUUCAUUACAAUAAGGGAGAGGGGGAAGAACAUCAUAAGAUCCAACUAUAGUAGCAAAGCCAACGGUACAUCGAGAUCAAGACAUCUCAAGAACACGAGAGAGAGAUCAAACACAUAGCUACUGGUACAUACCCUCAGCCUCGAGGGAGAACUACUCCCUCCUCGUCAUGGAGAUCGCCGGGAUGAUGAAGAUGGCCACCGGAGAUGGAUUCCCCUCCGACAGGGUGCCGGAACGGGCUCCAGAUUGGUUUUUGGUGGCUAUAGAGGCUUGCGGCGGCGGAACUCCCGAUCUAGGUUUCUUUCUGAAGGUUUCUGGAUUUAGAGGACCAGAUGGCGGUGGAGUUGCAUCAAGUGGGCCCCUGGUUGGUGCGGCCUGGGGGGACGCGCCGACAGGGCUUGUGGCUUCCUCGGGACCCCUCUCCGGUAUCUUUUUCUUCCGGUAUUUUUGAUAUUUUCCAUAAAAAAUCAUCGCGAAAGAAUUAUUCCGUUUGGCCUCCGCCUGAAAAAGGGUCAAAAACACGGAAAGAACAGGAACUGGCACUUGGCACUGAAUUAAUAGGUUAGUCCCAAAAAAGAUAUAAAAGGCAUAUAAAACAUCCAAAGUUUGACAAGAUAACAUCAUGAAACCAUCAAAAAUUAUAGAUACGUUGGAGACGUAUCAAGCAUCCCCAAGCUUAACUCCUGCUCGUCCUCGAUUAGGGAAGUGAUAAAGAAUGAAUUUUUGAUGCUUUCAUGCUACCUAGCAUAGAUGUACUUUGUAACUCCUCUUAUGUGACAUGAAUGUUCAUAUCCGUUAGAUUCAAAACAAUAGUUUGCUAUUGAUGUGGAGACAAUAAUACUUCAAGCAAACUAGCAAGGUAAUCAUGAACUUUCAAAAUAACAAGGCCAAAAGAAAGUUAUCCCUACAAAAUCAUAUAAUCUGGCUAUGCUCUAUCAUCCUUGCACAACGAAUUUAAAUCAUGCACAACCUCGGUAUUGGCCAAGUAAUUGUUUUCACACCUUCACUUUCUCAAACUUUUUCAACUCUCGCGCAAUACAUGAGCGUGAGCCAUGGUUGUAGCACUAUAGGUGGAAUGGAGUGGUGGAGGUUGUGAGACAAAAAGGGAGAAGAUGGUCACAUUGACUAGGCAUAUUAAAAAGGCUAUGGAGAUGCCCCUUAAUAGAUAUCAAUGUGAAUGAGUAGGGAUUUCCAUGCCAGAGAUGCACUAGAGCUAUGAGUAUGUGAAAGCUCUUAAGGAAAACUAGUGGGUGUGCAUCCAACUUGCGUGCUCACGAAGACCUAGGGAAAUUUUGAGGAAGCCCAUCAUAGGAAUAUACAAGCCAAGUUAUAUAAUGAAAAUUUCCCACUAGCUAUAUGGUGGUGACAAAAUGAGAGACUCUCAAUCAUGAAGAUCAUGGUGCUUAAUAUGAAGCACAAGUGUGGAAAGGAGAUAGUAGCAUUGUCCCUUCUCUCUUUUUCACUCAUUUUUUUUGGUGGGCUCUUUGGCCUCUUUUAUUAUUAUUAUUUUGGUGGGCAUCUUUGGCCUCUUUUUUCACAUGGGACAAUGCUCCAUCAAUGAUGAUCAUCACACUUACAACUCAAAACUUAGAGCAAUGAUGACUCUAUAUGAAAUGCCUUCGGUAGUGUACCGUGACAAUGAUCUAGCAUGGCAUAGACAUCAAUGGAAACAUCAUGCUAGCUAUCUUAUGAUCAUGCAAUGGCAAUGUAGAAGUGGUGGCACAUGUCAUGGUGGUAGUUGCAUGGCAAUAUAUCUCGGAAUGGCUUUGAAAAUGCCAUAGUAGGUAGGUAUGGUGGUUGUUUUAAGGGAGGCUAAUGGUGGUUUUAUGCACCGACGAAAGUUGCAUGGCACUAAAGAAGAUAGUGAUGGUGGAACGUGAAAGUGCAUCUAAACCAUGGACUCAACAUUAGUCAUGAAGAACUCAUAUACUUGUUGCAAAAGUUUUAGUAGUAAUCGAAACAAAGCGUUCAACGCAUACUCCUAGGGGAAGGGUUGGUAGGUAUAAACCAUCGUGCGAUCCCGACCGCUACACAAAGGAUGACAAUCAAUAAACUAAUCAUGCUCAAACUUCAUCACAUAGCGGUUCACCAUAUGUGCAUGCUACGAGAAUCACUAACUUCAACACAAGUAUCUCUAGAUUCACAACACCAUACUAACAUAACUUGAAUAUUACCACAACCACAUCUCAAAACUAAUUGAGAGGAAUCAAGCUUCUCUUUCUACUCAAUGCACAUGAAGAUGGAAGUUUUUGUAACCCUUUGGAUAACUACCACUUUUGGGACUACUUUCAUAGCAUAAGCCAACUACCAAUCCAUGAACCACUGUGCUCUAUAAGUGAAGCACAUAGAGCAAAAUCAACUAGCUCUAAAGAUAUAAGUGAAGCACAAGAGCAAAAGUAUCUAGCUCAAAAGAUAUAAGUGAAGCACAAUGAGCAUUCUAGCAAAAUCACGAUGAGUGCAUGUCUCUCUCUCUCAAAAAGGUGUCCAGCAAGGAUUAUUGUGACACAACAAAAAUAAAAGACUCCUACGAUACAAGACGCUCCAAGCAAAACACAUAUCAUGUGGUGAAUAAAAAUAUAGCUCCAAGUAACAUUACCGAUGGAUUGAAGACGAAAGAGGGGAUGCCUUCCCGGGGCAUCCCCAAGCUUAGGCUUUUUUGGCAUCCUUGAAUCAACUUGGGGUGCCUUGGGCAUCCCCAAGCUUGAGCUCUUGCCACUCUUUAUCUCUUUGUCCAUAAGAACUUCACCCACAACUUGAAAACUUCACAACACAAAACUUAAACAAAAACUCGUGAUAUCAUUAGUAUAAGAAAGCAAAUCACCACUUCCUUAGGUACUGUAGCAAACUUAAAUUAUACUUACGUUGGUGUUGGGUUGCUGUAUUUUCACUUUUCCAUGGCUAGUACCCUCCGAUACUAUCCAUAGUUUCAUCAAAAUAAGCAACCAACUCAACAAAAACAGAAUCUGUUAACAGCAGACCAGUCUGUAGUAAUCUGUAUACUUCGUAUACUUCUGGUACUUCAAAAAAUCUUAACAAUUACGACAGUCUGAAGAAAUUGCAUAGAAAUCAGAAGCAAAAAAAUCAACUCAAAAUCUCUUACAGAAUAAAAAAGAAAAUUCUUUUCGUGAGCAGAAAGUUUCUGUCUUUUUCCAGCAUGAUCAAACAAUCAUCACCAAGACUAAUCAUAACGGUUUUGCUUGGCACAAACACAAAAAGAAACACAAAAGACACAAUCAUAAAAGAAUUAUGAUGGUGUUUAUAAAACAAAACAGGAAGCAAAAAAGCAAAGAAAAAUUUAUUCAUUGGGUUGCCUCCCAACAAGCGCUAUCGUUUAACGCCCUUAGCUAGGCAUUGAUUUCAAUGAUGCUCACAUAAAAGGUAAUGAUUGAAACACAAGAGAGCAUCAUGGAGCAAAUGGCUAGCACAUUUAAGUCUAACCCACUUCCUAUGCAUAGGGAUUUGGUGAUCAAACAAUUUAUUGGAGCAAGAAUCAACUAGCAUAGGAAGGCAAAACAAGCAUAGCUUCAAAAAUUUCAACAUAUGGAGAGGAAGCUUGAUACUAUUGCAAUAAGUAGAAGCAUAUGAUCCUCUCUCAUAGUAAUUUUCAAUAGCAUCAUGAAUGAAUUCAACAAUGUAACCAGCACCUAAGGCUUUCUUUUCAUGAUCUACAAGCAUAGGCAUUUUACUACUCUCCACAUAAGGAAAUAUAUUCUCAAGAAUAGUAGUGGGAGUAUCGUAAAAGACUUGAGCACUACAAAUUGUGUCCACAAUGAAAAAGCAAGGUUUAGCAAAGGGGCUUUCGAAAGUAUGACAAGUUUUAUCAUCCCUCUUCUUCAAAGCAUAAGUAUCCUCACAAUAAUCAUCAUAGAUAGGGGGCAUGCUUUCAUCAAAAUAAUUUUGAUCAUUCAAAGUGGAAGAACUAAAAAGAUCAUCUUCAUCAAAUAUAGCAUCCCCAAGCUUGUGGCUUUGCAUAUCAUUAGCAUCAUGGGUAUUCAUAGAAUUCAUGCUAACAACAUUGCAAUCAUGCUCAUCAUUCACAUAUUCUAUGCCAAGCAUUCUAUGUAAUUCUUCUUUCAGCACUUGAGCACAAUUUUCCUUCCCAUCAUGCUCACGAAAGACACUGAAAAGAUGGAGCAUAUGAGGCAUCCUCAAUUCCAUUUUUUUGUUUUCUAGCAAAAGAACAAGAAACAAAAAGAUUUUAUCGCAAGAUCUAAAGAUAUACCUUCAAGCGCUAACCUCCCCGGCAACGGCGCCAGAAAAGAGCUUGAUGUCUACUACGCAACCUUCUCCUUGUAGACGUUGUUGGGCCUCCAAGCGCAGAGGUUUGUAGGACAGUAGCAAUUUUCCCUCAAGUAGGUGACCUAAGGUUUAUCAAUCCGCAGGAGGCAUAGGAUGAAGAUGGUCUCUCUCAAGCAACCCUGCAACCAAAUAACAAAGAGUCUCUUAUGUCCCCAACACACCCAAUACAAUGGUAAGUUGUAUAGGUGCACUAGUUCGGCAAAGAGAUGGUGAUACAAGUGCAAUAAGGAUGGUAGAUAUAGGUUUUUGUAAUCUGAAAUUACAAAAACAGCAAGGUAACUAGUAACAAAAGUGAGCACGAACGGUAUUGCAAUGCAUGGAAACAAGGCCUAGGGUUCAUACUUUCACUAGUGAAGUUCUCUCAACAAUGAUAACAUAAUUGGAUCAUAUAACUAACCCUCAACAUGCAACAAAGAGUCACUCCAAAGUCACUAAUAGCGGAGAACAAACGAAGAGAUUAUUGUCGUGUACGAAACCACCACAAAGUUAUUCUUUCUGAUCGAUCUAUUCAAGAGUCCGUAGUAAAAUAGCACGAAGCUAUUCUUUCCGUUCAAUCUUUCAUAGAGUUCGUACUAGAAUAACACCUUAAGAUACAUAUCAACCAAGACCCUAAUGUCACCUAGAUACUCCAUUGUCACCUCAAGUAUCUGUGGGCAUGAUUAUACGAUAUGCAUCACAUAAUCUCAGAACAUCUAUUCAACCAACACAUUGAACUUCAAAGAGUGCCCCAAAGUUUCUACACGAGAGUCAAAACAUGUGCCAACCGCUAUGCAUAGGUUGCCAAUGUCACGAACCCGCAAGUUGAUCACCAAAACAUACAUCGAGUACUCACAUGAAUCAUACGUGUCCCAACCCAUAUGCAUAGGUUCCCAAUGUCACAAACCCGCAAGUUGAUCACCGCAGAUAGACACGUGCUAGACAUACAUCAAGUGUUCUCAAAUACUCAAUCCGAUAAGAUAACUUCAAAGGGAAACUCAAUUCAAUACAAGAAGGGAGAGGGGGAAGAACAUCAUAAGAUCCAACUAUAGUGGCAAAGCCCACGGUACAUCGAGAUCAAGACAUCUCAAGAACACGAGAGAGAGAGAUCAAACACAUAGCUACUGGUACAUACCCUCAGCCCCGAGGGAGAACUACUCCCUCCUCGUCAUGGAGAUCGCCGGGAUGAUGAACAUGGCCACGGGAGAUGGAUUCCCCCUCCGGCAGGGUGCCAGAACGGGCUCCAGAUUGGUUUUUGGUGGCUACAGAGGCUUGCGGCGGCGGAACUCCCGAUCUAGGUUUCUUUCUGGAGGUUUCAGGAUUUAUAGGACCAGGUGGCGGUGGAGUUGCGUCAAGUGAGCCCUGAGGGGCCCACAAGCUUGGUUGGUGCGGCCUGGGGGGCGCCGACAGGGCUUGUGGCUUCCUCGGGACCCCUCUCCGGUAUCUUUUUCUUCCGGUAUUUUUGAUAUUUUCCAUAAAAAAUCAUCGCGAAAGAAUUAUUCCGUUUGGACUCCGCCUGAAAAAGGGUCAAAAACACGGAAAGAACAGGAACUCGCACUUGGCACUGAAUUAAUAGGUUAGUCCCCAAAAAGAUAUAAAAGGCAUGUAAAACAUCCAAAGUUUGACAAGAUAACAACAUGAAACCAUCAAAAAUUAUAGAUACGUUGGAGACGUAUCAUCGGCCGAGCCAAGGAGGAAGGAAUCCUCCUCCAAUUCGGUUUGGAGGAGGAGUCCUUUCCUCCUUUCCCACCUCCUCUCUUUUUUUCUUCUUCUUUUUCCUUUAUUGUUGUCUUGGCCGAAAUAGCCCUAUUGGGCUGGACAUACCAGCCCACUAAGGGCUGGUGCACCACCCAUGGGCCUAUUAGGUUCUCUCCCGGGUGGGUGGCCCCUCCCGGUAAAACCCCGGAACCCAUUCGUCACUCCCGAUACUUUACCCAUAACGUCCAAAAUCUUUCCGGAGGCCAAAUGCAACAAUCCUAUAUGUCAAUCUUCGUUUCCGGACCAUUCUGGAGACACUCGUGAUGUCCGGGAUCUCAUCCGGGACUCUGAACAACAUUCGGUUACCAACAUCAAUAAUUCAACUAUACCGAAAGCGUCACCGAACCUUAAGUGUGCAGACCCUGCGGGUUUGAGAACUAUGUAGACAUGACCGAGACACUCUCUGGACAAUAUCCAAUAGGAGGACCUGGACGUCCAUAUUGGAUCCUACAUAUUCUACGAAGAUCUUAUCGGUUAAACCUCUAUGUCAAGGAUUCACACAAUCACGUAUAUCAUUCUCUUUGUCCUUCGGUAUGUUACUUGCCCGAGAUUCGAUCGUCGGUAUCUCCAUACCUAUUUCAAUCUCGUUACCGGCAAGACUCUUUACUCGUUCCGUAAUACAAGACCCCGUGACUAACUCUUUAGUCACAUUGCUUGCAAGGCUUGUUUGUGAUGUUGUAUUACUGUCACGCCCAAGAUGCGAUCCUAUCCUCAAUUUGGCACGAGGGCCUCGUCAGGGAUAGAACCGCAUCUCAUCGUUUCGCAAGAAUGGAUAUCGUUACAAGUACAUGUAUUGAAGAGAAAAUUAUAUGGAAUUGGCUUACACUCGCCACGAGCUACAUCAGAGUCACAUCAGUACAAUACAUAAUCAUCAUGAAGAAGAGGAGGGUCCGACUACGGACGAAAACAAACGAGAAAAGAAGAACGUCGUCCAUCCUUGUUAUCCCAUGCUGCCAGUCUGGAACCCAUCCUACAUCGAUGAAGAAGAAGAAGAAGAAGAAGCAACUCCAAAUGAACAAUCAACGCGCUCAAGUCAAGUAACCUUUACUUGUACCUGCAACUGGUGUUGUAGUAAUCUGUGAGCCACAUGGGACUCAGCAAUCUCAUUUCCAAAGGUAUCAAGACUAGCAAAGCUUAAUAGGUGAGGUAAGGUUAAGUGGUGAGGCUACAGCAAGUGACUAAGCAAUAUAUAAGGUGGCUAACUCACGAGUACAAGAUAUAAGAGUGGGAUGAUCUACGCAAAACGGAUGUGAACUACUGUUGAUCAAAUGAAUGAUCCUGAGCACCUACUUACGUCAAACAUAACCCCACCGUGUCCUCGAUCGAAGAAGGAGCUCACGAAAGAGACAGUCACGGUUACACACUCAGUUGGCAUAUUUUUUAAUUAAAUUAACUUCAAGUUAAAUUAACAUAACCCCACCUACACACGAAGUUUCCACGUUGCCACAUAACCGCGGGCACGGCUUUCCGAAAGGUUUAACCCUGCAGGGGUGCUCCAACUAAUCCAUCACAAAUUACCACAAACCGCAUAGAAAUCCUCGAUCACGAAGCUCGCGAUCUUGUCGGACUCCUUAGUGGAAAACCUCAACUCUGAGAUUACCCAAAGCAUCACCGGAAUCCCGAUGCACAACACAUUUGUCAAAGGUAAAACUAAUCCAGCAAGGCCGCCCGGCGUGUCGACGAUCCCGAUAGGGGCCGCGUAUCUCGUUCUCAGGUGACGAUGGAUGAGCGACGCGUACGGUGGCCUGAUAGAAAUCUCCCAAGUUGCCCUGGGUUGGCCCCGCAUAGUGCUCUGUUUUGGACCAGCACCAUCAGCACUGGCCCCUCUGUAUUAUGUAAAAUUACUCCUCGGUUCCAUGAUGCCCUAUGCUUUCAGUAUUAACAAAAUUAUUAUGUUGGGCAAAUGUAGUACCAAUGUUGGGCCUUGCCAGACCAGCUUUAAUCUAAAACGAAUUAUCAAGGGGGUCCCCAUAACAACCCCGAUCGUGUUAGGAGCGCUCAAUUAUGGAACAUAACACUGGUAGCCGAAACUAAGGGGGCAAAGGUGGAACAAAACACCAGGCUAGAAAGGCCGAGCCUUCCACCUUUUACCAAGUAUAUAGGUGCAUUAAUUUAAAUAGCAUUAAUAUGGUGAUAUAACAAGAAACCCAUGUUAUCACAUGGAAACAACUGCACCUGCAACUAGCAACGCUAACACAUGGUUAAGCAAGUAACAUAGCCAAUCAGUGGUUUGCUAGGUUGUGAACAGGUUGAAGGUUUUCAUGGCAAUGUUGGGAGGCUGAUAUUUAACAUCUGGUAGGCAACAAGACAUAACGAUAGAAACGGUAAAACUAGCAAGACAAUGAUAGUAAUGGUAUCUGGGGAAAUGGUCAUCUUGCCUGAGAUCUCGCUUGGAAGAAGAGCGACUCCGUGAAGUAGACGAACCGACGUAGUCGAACGGGUCCCCACAAUCCGACACGCUUGCGAAACUCUAUCGAGACGAAGCAAACCGGAAACAAGCAUCAACACACGAUAUACACCACACGAUGCACAACACAAAUGAUGCAUGAGCGGCUGAAUAUAUGCAAGACAUGGCAUGCCAAUUCACAACAAUCAAUGCUACACAUUAAGUGAAGUUCAAUAUGCAACGAGGUGCAUAUUGACGAAACUCCACAUACGGAUUAUUUAGUUCUAUCCUAAUUAUUUACUCGACAAUAUUAAAUAUGAUUAAACAUGGCAAGUGGUGAAGCGUACUUAUUCUACCUAUCUAGGCAUUUUAAAUGAGGUCAGAAAUGACAUAGAAUCUCCGAGAUGACCUCAUACGUUAAUUUAUAUUUCUGUCCAGAUCUGAACUAACACAUUUAAAUGUUUGUUAACCAGCAAAAUAAAUAGGUUCAUGUGAUUCUUCGCGUCGUUACAACCAAUUUACACAUAGAGAACAUCUCCAACGGAGCUACGGUUCAAAAGAUACGAACACCGCAAGAUAUGAUGACAUGGAUGCAAAAUGUGUGCAACGACAGUCACAAGCAUUUCAAAACACAUAACCAGCAAGAUAAUAUGAAACUACAUGAGAUUCUAAGAAAGGUUCAUAUAGGACACGAUCAAAAUGGAGCAACGGUUCAACAACUACGAGCUAAACAAGAAAUCACUACAAUCUGCCAAAAUCAGCCACAUAGCAUUUUCUACACCCCACAACUACGAGCUACACAAAUCCAAAUUACUCAAACAAGGCAUGAGACGAUAGAGGGCAAGAAGCACUACAACAUACAACUAAUAAUACCUAGCAUGGAAGCAUGGAUCACUAGGAAACGAACUCACAAAAGGGCAUCUCACACACAGUUUCAGACUUUGAGGAAAACACAGUUUAUGAAAGUGCAGUUUUCGAUCUGAAGGCAUAUUGACAGCAGCAAAACCACAAGCUACAAGACUCCAAAUAGCAUUAAAAUUGACAGCAUGCUAUAGAAUCCUAAAGUCUACAACUAACUCCAUUGCACCAACCUCAAAAGAGCUAGAGAUCACCAGAUAAACACAUGACCAGACAACAACAAAAUAUAACAGAUUUCAGACUUAGAAAUAUUUCAGUAUCUACAAAUCAGCACUAUUUUCUAGCAAGUUGAGAGCAAGCAAACCACACCUAAACAUGGAUUUCUAGGGCAACCAAAAUUACCACAGGCUAGCCUACACAUCCAAGGGCAUAUCUCUAGUUGACAACUCCUUCAUAUCACGCACGGAUUAAAUCCCACAAAAUAAACAAAAGGGCAACAUGGCAAAAUAUCACACGCACUAACUUGCUCAAAAGCUAAAACUAAAUGCACAGUUAAAUUCUAUGGAUUUUUCUACCCCGAAAACAUAUAUAACAUGUGGGGUUGCAAAACAAAAAUAACGCCACACGAAUAUGUGGGAAUAUGUCCUAAACACGGUAUAGCAAACUAGUGACGGAAUCCUACAUUCAAAAAUACAAACAACUACUCUAAAAUGCAUGGGAAAGGGUUCCUAAAACAUGAGCAUUUUAUCUACGGAGUUUGAGCAAUCCGGACACGCAACAAAAUAAAUACGGGACGAUCCCCUAUUGGGACAGCACGCAAAACUAGGCAUUCGGCGGGUCAAACUACUUCAAACAUGCAUGCAAGUUGCAAAUUACGAAUCUACACGAAAAACUACACAAGUUACAUAUACAACACGUCGCGAUCCGACACUCGGUUAAAUAUCUACGCUCGUUUGAAUAUCUAUAUAUUCCUGAAAUUAUUAAAACGUCGGAUAAUAGGAAAAUCUACUCGGGCCGAAUUCCUAAUCUGGGCCAAAACGACGGCGAGCAAUAUAUAGCUAUAACGCACCACGGGCGCUGGAUAGGGCAGCAGGGGGCGCUCACCUAGCUGGGCUCGGCCCAGGUCGGUGGAGGGGUACCAGGCCUGGUCGGGGCGAAGGAACUGGGCCACCCCGGGCGCUGGAGGCGAGGCCGACUAGUGCGGGCCGUCGCGUGAGGCGGCCUGGCUUGGCGCGGCAGCUCGGCCGAGCUGUCCUGGGUGCUGCGGCCAAGGGGCGAUGCGGCGCUAGCGAGCGGCUCCUCCCGAUCCGAUUUGGAUCAGGGGUUGACCCAGGCGGCGACGUCGAAUGGAGGGCCUCGGCCGGUGGAAGCUAGGGCACGAGGCGAUUGGGGAAGCUGGCAGGAGCUGGAUCCGGGCGGCGGCUGCCGGAUCUGGCACGGCGCGGCAGUGGAGGAAGGCGGGUUCCAGGACGGCGUCUGCUCUGGAUCGGGGCUCCUCCCCGAUGUGGAGCUCGGGAACGAGGCUACGGGAGGAGGACGAUCUCAGGCUCUGUUGGCUCUGUGGUCGUCGGACGUGUCCGAUUUGACCACGGACAUGCCCGGUAGGUGGGAAAACUGAGCGAAUCUGGGCCUGUGGAUGGAAAUCCAAUGGUCCAGAUCUGACCUGAGAUGAGAUUUUGGGGGCGAGAGGAGAUGGGGCUAGCAGGUGGGGGUUUUGAGGGGGGUGGCUGCAAAAAUGACUAGGGGGAACCCUAGUGAAGUGAGAGAGGCCUCUCCAUGGGGUGGUCUUAAAUAGGGUUGGGCUUUGGUGGGGUGGACCUCAUCCGUCCGAUCGCGAUCCGAUGACCACAAACGGAGGAAGUGGCUAGAUGGGUUUGAUGGGAUGUGUAUAUGGGCUUAGGCUAAGAUGAGAGAGAAGGGGUGCGCCCGUGACACGCGUUUUAAAACACCGAGUCACAUCCGACGAAUAACCGCAUACGGUGCCGCUACGGUCGACCGUUCGGGUACCAGACGGACUCCGAUUGCGACGAAAUUUGACACGCGGCCUAGCUACAACUAAUUAAGACCGCACGUCAAGUUUCAACCCAAUCAAAUAAAGUUUUAUACACCCUUUUAAAAACAGGAUUUAAACUAUGUCGCGGGCGCGUACGUGUGUGGUCGGGCUAAACACGCGCAACGACGAGAACCGGCAACUGAUAACGGAUGCAACUUUUAAAAACUGGCGGCAAUGGGAUGCCGAUGCAAUGUGGAUGAUGCACAUGAUGCGAUGUUGAUGCGACAAAUAAAAUUAAACACACGACGAAAAUGGAAUAGAAGGGGAAUCUUCUGGAACGUCGGUCUCGGGUUCUCACAAUUACCGAGUGGGCCGUGAGAUACAUCUCCGUCACUCGGAGUGACAAAUCCCAGUCUUGAUCCAUGCUAACUCAACGGACACCUUCGAAGAUGCUUGUAGAGUACCUUUACAGUCACCUAGUAACGUUGCGACAUUUGAUACACACAAGGCAUUCCUCCGGUGUCAGUGAGUUACAUGAUCUCAUGGUCAUAGGAAUGAAUACUUGACAUGCAGAAAACAAUAGCAACAAAAUGACACGAUCAUAUGCUACCUUUAUAGUUUGGGUCUUGUCCAUCACAUCAUUCUCCCAAUGAUGUGAUCCCGUCAUCAAGUGAAGACACUUGUCUAUGGCUAGGAACCUUAACCAUCCUUGAUCAACAUGCCAGUCAACUAGAGACUCACUAGGGACAUUGUUUUGUCUAUAUAUCCACACAUGCAUUUAUGUUUACAUUCAAUACAGUUAUAGCAUGGAUAAUAAACGGUUAUCUUGAAAUAGAAAAUAUAAUAAUAACUAUUUUAUUAUUGCCUCUAGGGCAUAUUUCCAACAAUAUCUUCUUCCUUUGCAUUGUUGCGAUCAUUUCCAUUGUUGUGCUCACUCUCACUGUUGUGGGGUGUUUGGGCAGGAUUUGUUUUACCAACUACCACUCCUGGAUCAACACUCUUUGUGUCAUUCGGUUGAGAGGCUUGCUGCAUAGACGAGGCAGUGACCGUGGAUUGAGUAGUUGAUGUAGUAACUUGUUCCAUGUUGUCAGGCUGCUUGAGCUGCUGCGAAGAUGAAAUAGUGACGGUUGCAUUGGCAGUUCCUGUAAUACAAUUCGGUUGCUUCUGCUGUUGCGGAGAUGGGUCACUAGCAGUUGCAUUGCACAUGCCAGGAGCAGGAGUUGCUCGUACAUCAAAAGUGACAUCUGGACAUUCAUGUUUCUCUUCGUCACUCCUAAAUCCAGCUUUGGAUGCCUCAGACAACAUCAGGCCCAUUCGUUUGUGAUAUAUGCCCUCCAACAAACUCCCAAAUGAGCUCAAUGCACCUUUAAGUUCUACAUCAUGGAUCUCUUUAUGCUUGUUGAAUAUAGCACGCAUGUGUGGGGGCAGCUGGAAUGCAUAAAAAACAAAAAACCAAGAACUUGGGAAACGACAUUAGCUACAAAUUUUUCAUAUUUUUUGUCAAGCAAAAAAGAUACGAUGCGGGAAAAGAAGAGAGUUGCAAAGAAUAAAUGCUAUAUGGCUCACCUCUAAUUCCUCAAAUGUGGGUAGAGGGUGCAGCCAAUCCUCUAAAGAGCCGCAAACAUCAUCACCAUCCUCCGUGUUUUUCGAAGGUGGCUCAUGCACAUUCCGCGUUGUGCCAUCAGCAUCGUUCAUACCACCUUCUGUUGGUUCUUGAGCGCCAUCAGCACCAUCCACAUCCGGAAUCUGUGUUGCGGACACACCAGCUCCACCUUGGUCGUUUAUCUUUGGCUCCUCUGUCAUUCUAGCUUUGUUGGGUAACUGGGUAUGACAGAAACUUGGUUGUUGCGUAUGGUGUAGUGGAGCUGAACUGCAUUCCAGAAAACUAAACAUAUUGAAAAACACAUGGAAAAUGUGACAAAAAGAAUACAGAGUUGCAAUUGCAACAAAUAAACUAGAAGGUAUUGUUUCAAGAGUUUGAAAAAAGAAUACUUAUAGGGUGCUUCCCGAAACCAUCUUCUAGGGUGUCAACUGCGAUAACAACGGUAAAAUCGAACUCCUUCACAAAACAAGCCCGUGGCAGAGAAUAGUCGAUGGUAUGAUCAACUAUGCAUCCUCUUGGGAUGUCAAUGUGGUCCAUGUAAAUUAAUUGCAAAAAAAGACACAAAAGCCACUAUAAAAACCAAUAUGCUCCGGAAAACAAAAAAAGGGGGUGUUGCGGGAAUGAAGGGAAGUACCAGAAGCAUUGGUAGACAACCGCCAAUAUGGAAUUUUAGUUUGCCUUCAUUCCUCUUAUCGUGGUAUUUCUUAACUUCCCUCAUCGCAUCUAACAAAAUAUGCUCAUCCCACUCAAACUCAUAGACAACACUCAUGUCUUGCAAAUUGUAUAGAUAAUUCAGAGGCACCAUAUUUCAUGUACCAGGAGCUAGGACCAAUGAAAGGCAAAGUAAAAUCCAUGACCUAUCAAUGGUAUCCUCAUCGUCAUCAACAACAUUUGAUAAGACAGAAACUGUGGUCGGUAUUGAAGCCCUUUCACCUCCAAGUAAAUUUCACGGAAAUCUGCUUUCCCCCUUUUACCGAAUUCUAGUGGCUUGCUUCCAGAUGGUACAUUAAAUAUCUUCUUAACCAUAUCCCUUGUUAAUGGGAUUUUCUUGCGGUCAUUUAACCUGCGAGACAUAAGAAAAUCAGUACAUGUUUCAAAAAAUAAAAUCGAAGAAUUUAUGCAACAAAGAAAAAUGAAAAAAGCAAAAAAACAGCAAACACAUACUUGAGCAGUCGCUUCUUGGUAUCAAUCCUCAUGACUAUGAAAUCGACAAACGCUUCUGGAGGAGGAGGCAAAGGAGAGAUAUGAAGCAAAUCCCCGAAAGAGGACUUCCUUAUGACAUCCCUCUUUUUCCCUUUGAUGGUGUUGGAUAUCUCGCGUAGCCGCUUCGUCGACCAUUGGGUUAUAUAGAUACCCAUGCUGCGAAAACAAACAAAAAUGGAAACAUUAGCUACUUCGAGCAGGAAUAACUGGAUUUUCAGAAAAAAAAACAUUGCCUAAUUGCCAUGUCCUCAUAAGUUUCAGGAAAUGCAAUAACGAAAAUUCAGAAAACAUGAAAUAAGGUCAAGCAAAAAAAGACCAAAAUGAUGCUAUCAAAAGUUUGACAUAUCAUGUCGAAGUCAUGUAGUCGCCUCAUUAGCACAGAGAUUUUGAUAAGAACAAAAAAAAUGUGUGCACAAAAGAGGAGUCUCAGUGUCUCAGCAUAAUGUCUUUAACCACAGAGCAAUUAGAUGCACAAAUUAAGCAUGUGGAAUGAGAAAAAAAUAUAUCAGAAAACAUAUACUGGUCGAUGCACGCACAACCCCACUAUUAGUUGAACAAGGACUGCUGCCCUGCAGGAUUGAACAAGUAUUGCCCAUGCUCUGUCUGCGUAUCCUCGAUGAACACGAACUCUGAAUCGUCAGCAUGUACUUCACAGUUUCCCAACCAUUCAUGCAACAAUUGGGAAAACGGCAAGAGGCUGCGAUAAUCUGAAUUUUCCAAGAGCACUAGACCAAAAGCCAUAGCCGGCACUGAUGUUAUCACACACUAUCCCUACUGACUAAGGUUCAGCAGAUCAGCGGGGGGAGGGAGGGGAGUGGGGUGGCACCUGGGCGAGCUUGGCGCGCUCGGCCUCCUCCUCGGCAGGCAGCGGCCACGUAGCCGCUCGCCGCCGAGCCGCCAGUGAAAGGGCGAGUUUCCCAUAUCUUAUAUCCUAUUGACUAAAGCUCAGCACAUCAGUGGGGGAGGGAGGGGAGCGGGGCAGCACCUGGGCGAGCUUGGCACGCUCGGCCUCCUCCUCGGCGGACAGUGGCCACGUAGCCGCUCGCCACCGAGCCGCCAACGAAAGCAGUGGAAGGCACGAAGGAGGACUCGACAGGAACAACAAACGUCGGGGAGGAAAUGGGGGAGGAGGAGAAAUCACCGGGAUCCAAAGGAGAACCGUACCUGCUUGGGUUGUCAACGACCGCCGCCGCUCCCAAAGACGUCGUCGUCGUCACGGCGGUGGGUUGGCCCCGUUCGCGCGUCGUCCUCCCACAUCCAGUCGUCGUCGCCCUCCCAGCCACCAAGCCCGUGCUGCUGCGGGGACGACUGCUUCCAGCUACAGGAACAACUUCGUGAAAUAAUGGGAUUAUUUCAGGAAACGGUCGCGUCUCGGUCACAGCUUAAAUGGACGUGGACACAAUCUCGACCAUUAGAUCUAAUCAAGAUCAACGGACGAAGAGCUGACGGAAAGGUCACGCGGAUCGACCGGUGAGAGGUAAGAGUUUUUCUAUAAUGAAAUGUUAAAAGAAAAUUAUAUGGAAAACUCUUACCUCCCACCGGCUGAUCUGAGUGAUCUAUCCGCCGCCUCCUCGUCUGUUGAUCUUGCUUCAUCCGACGGAACAGAUCGUGCCCGGGCGCCAACGGAGCAGAGACCUACCGAGACCAUUUCCUGAAACUGGAGCGUUGUUUCAGAAAACGGUCCUGAAACUGGGCACGCUCGCGCUCGCUGGAAGGAGGCGGCGGCUACCGGAUCUGGGAGGGCGACGGCGCGGCCCUCGUCCCCGACGCCGGCCGGCCCACCGCCCCUAACGUCGGCCACUCCCGUUGCAGUCCCUCCGCCACGACGUCGGCUGGCCCUCCCUACCCCCCCCCCCGCGCCGCCAGCCGCUCGGCCCCGACGCCAGCCGGCCUCCGCAUGCGGCAAGCCGCACCACGAAGGGUUGCAAAAAAAUUUGCAACCUCACUUUUGUUGCAAAAAAAUCUGUAACAUGACCUUUGUUGUAAAAAUUUCUUUCGUAACAGUACCUAUGUUGCGGAAACACAAAGGAAAAAAUUUACGAAACAAAGUGAUUGUUUCUGAAACUCGACCGUUGUUUCAGGAAUUCACAGGUCCAAAGUUUAUUUUUUACAACAAAGUAAUUGUUUCUAUAACUCGGCCGUCAUUUCACGAAUCAAUUGGUGCCCGGCCGAAGCUCCGCACGUGGAUCAAACUGUUGGAAUUAUGCCCUAGAGGCAAUAAUAAAUGUAUAGUUAUUAUUAUAAUUCCUGUAUCAAGAUAAUAGUUNUUGAUUACCGGAAGGUUUAUGGAGUUACCGGGAAUGUACCGGGAAUGACGAAUGGGUUCCGGGAGUUCACCGGGGGGGACAACCCACCCCGGGGAAGCCCAUAGGCUUUGGGGAGACACACCAGCCCUUAGUGGGCUGGUGGGACAGCCCCAAGGGGGCCUAUGCGCCAAGAGAAGGAAAUCAAAGGAAAAGAAAAAAAAAGAGGGAAGAAGUGGGAAGGGAGGGGGACUCCUCCCACCAAACCAAGUCCAACUCGGUUUGGGGGGGAGUCCUCCCCCCCUUGGCUCGGCCGACCCCUUGAGGGUCCCUUGGACCCCAAGGCAAGGUCCCCCUCCCUCCUCCUAUAUAUAUGGGGCUUUUAGGGCAGAUUUGAGACGACUUUCUCACGGCUGCCCGACCACAUACCUCCAUAGUUUUUCCUCUAGAUCGCGUUUCUGCGGAGCUCGGGCGGAGCCCUGCUGAGACGAGAUCAUCACCAACCUCCGGAGCGCCGUCACGCUGCCGGAGAACUCUUCUACCUCUCCGUCUCUCUUGCUGGAUCAAGAAGGUCGAGAUCAUCGUCGAGCUGUACGUGUGCUGAACGCGGAGGUGCCGUCCGUUCGGUACUAGAUCGUGGGACUGAUCGCGGGAUUGUUCGCGGGGCGGAUCGAGGGACGUGAGGACGUUCCACUACAUCAACCGCGUUCUCUAACGCUUCUGCUGUACGAUGUACAAGGGUACGUAGAUCACUCAUCCCCUCUCGUAGAUGGACAUCACCAUGAUAGGUCUUCGUGCGCGUAGGAAUUUUUUUGUUUCCCAUGCGACGUUCCCCAACUCAAACGACGCUUAUGUAAAUCGGACGGUCAUCGAGCUACGCGUGGACGGCGUAGCAGCCCCAAAUUAUAUUGGUAAACGUUUUCCGCCAGCGUGCCGGCCGAAACGUUCGGCCAGUCGCGUGGCUGGCGUUGGAUCGACCAGAUCGCGCGUGCCCACCGCCUCCUCCUUUCCUCCCCCCUUCCUCCAUCUCCUUCCUCCUCCUCCUCCUUCUUCUUCCCUCUUCUUUCCCCCUUCCCCCUGCAACCUCAGGCGUUGUCGGCGAGCGCUGCGGCUUCUCCACCGGCAGCCGCUGCGCCUGACGGCGGGGAUCUCGCGUGCCCACCGCCUCCUCCUUUCCUCUCCCCCUUCCUCCAUCUCCUUCCUCCUCCUCCUUCUACUCCCCUCCCCUCCCUUUUUCCCCCCUGCAACCUCAGGCGUUGUCGGGCGAGCGCUGCAGCUUCUCCACCGUCAGCCGCUGCGCCUGACGGCGGUGACCGAAGGUGAACCACGCGAGAUGCUGCAGCGGGGCGGCGGUUGAAACUUUUUUAAUAUACGGUUGAAGCUUUUUCUAUCGACGUUUGCAACUUUUUUCCUCGUGAAGUAUUUUGGUUGAAGCUUUUUUUUAACGGUUGAAGCUUUUCUAUACACGGUUGAAACCUUUUAAGGAGUGAUCACGCGAGAUGCUCCAGUCGGAGCAGCGUUUGAAACUUUUUCAUACACGGUUGAAGCUUUUUCUGUCAACGUUUGCAAUUUUCCCUCGUUGAAGUUUUUGAUUGAAGCUGUUUUUCUUAACGGUUGAAGCUUUUUCUACACACGGUUGAAACUUUUUAUCCAACGUUUGCAACACAGGGGGUGAGGAUGCAACGAGGUGAAGACCGACGGGCUGCAUCCAUGGUGCUUUCGACGGGCGGCCGAGGCGGCGACCGACGGUGAGGGCGACCAACGGUGAGGAGGCGAGGCGGGGCGGUCGGCGCGUGCUGGGGCGUCGGCGUAGGCGAGGACGGUCGGCACGUGCUGGGACGGUGGCUCGCGCGAGGAUGACGAGCGGGUGGGGGCUCGCGUGACCAGAUCUAACGGUCAAGGGGCUCUGAUCUGACGGCUCCUGCGCAACGGGCGCGAGCCGUCGGGCCGGCGCGCCGGGGCCUAUCAGUGCCCAAUUAUAUUUAGAAGGGUUUGUGCCACUAGUGAUCCCAUUUUCUAUGUAGGCCCUUUGUCGCAUGUUACUAUCGCGUGCCACCAUCUCAGUCCCGUACACCCGGGAAAGAGAGGCGGGGCGAACGUCGACGCCGGCGGAGCUCCGGCGAGUCGCGGCCGGCAUUGUCCUUGCGAUCCACGCGCUCACGGCGAGAAUUUCACCACCCACGCCCUUGCGCUCCCAGCAGCAGCGCCGCACCACAAUUCACAAACCCCUAGUCUACACCCCUAGAGCAGGCGGCGUCUCCCUUCCCCGCCGCCAUGCCGUCCCCGUCCUCCUCCUCCUCCUCCUCCCCCCACCGGAAGCUCCUCCACUCGGUAAUCCCCUCUCCCAACUCAAAGUCCACCCCGGUUCCGCCCUACGCCAUCUACUCCCCUCCUCAGCUCGUUCCCCGUCUCCGUUUCAGUUGAUUUGCUGGGCGGUGCAGCGGUGCCGGAUGUCGGAGUCGCAGUGCCGGCUUGCGGUCUCCCUCAAGGCACCCUCGGACCCCGCCGCAUCCUCGGCCCUCCGCGUAUCCGGUAACAUAGCAGGCUGCGGCACUGCGCCUCCCCCCUCCCUUCGGCUUAUACUACGUUGUUAACAUUUGGUUCGGUCCCCAAUUGUGCGAACUGAUGCAGUUUCGGACACUGGAGUCGGGAGCAAGCUGGAGGAGUUCCUGGAGCUGGACGCCCUGGCGCGUGAGACCCCCGUGGAGAAAUGGGGUAUGUGAUCACCUGCUCGUGCACAAGAAUUUUGUUUCAUGAUGCUAAUCUAGUCAACUUGCAUGAAAAGUUCGGUUCCAAUGUAUUAGAAAUGCCGCUGCCUGCUAGUUAGUCACAGUGUCAGUAAGUUCUCCCCUGGGUUACGUUUUCAGUUAUAGACCGAUAGAGCAUACGCGAGAGAUAUGGAGAUGAUCAGGUGCUCAUGCCAUCAACAUUUGCUUGUUAGACGCCACCAUUUCCCAUAAAAAAUAUAACCACCUUUGAAAUGAAUAUGAUUGAUGGAUCUAGAAAUGAAUAUGGUAUCCAUACUACUUUCAACUUUCAAGUCAGUAUCCAGAUGUACCAACUGCAAUGUGACAUGUGAUUUCUUUCAGAUAUUCAUUUGGUUUAGUCUUGGCAAUAUUUCUUGUUCUUAGGUUGAGCUUUCUCUGUCUGACACAACUUCUCUUUAUCUGCAGAUGGUACCCUCUUAAUCACAACUACUGGUACGCUAUCUGCUUCCUCGAUGCAUUACACUUCUUCACUGUUCCUUUUCACUAAUACACCAUUUCCUGCUGUAUGUUAGAAUCUCAGUUCUUUUGUGUACAUUGGUGGUCAGUUGUUUUGUAAAUGCUGGUCGCACACAUUCUAAAAUGGCAUCCAAAAGGGAAUGGAAGGGGUACAAAUAUGUUUUGCAGAAAAGGUUUUAUUUGGUUAGGGAUAUUGUGAUAUCAGGAAAGCUGCUGAUGGGUUCUUGUCUUCCUCCGUUUUGUAGGAAUCAAUGACAAAGCUAUUUAUCAUUAUCGAUUUAAUCUUCAUGAAAAUGCAUCUUCAAGUACAAGGUUCAGCAAGAUGGCUACCACAUACAAGAAUAAUGCAAAAUUCAGGCAGGCCAUCUCUUGUCAGUUCGAUAUCAUCCAUCAUAUACUGGGGUCAGUUGAAUCAUAUAUGCCUUUUGUCAAAGCAGUGGAACUGAAGUAUGCCUUUGCCUUGCAAAUGACGCUGAUAUUGAUGACUUCAUAUUAUGGCUGGUUGGUUUUGCACGCAAGGUAUGUCUUGCUUAAUGUUUAUGUUUCUCUUUUUUUUACCACAUUUAUGGUCAAUGUUAGCCAAUAGUUUAGCCUUGUGAUAUGUAAUCCCUGUCAAUAUUAGAAUCCCGAUCAUGAAUUUCUAAUAAAUACUUCCUGAAGAAAGUAACUCAAAUAUGGCAUAAUUGUUAACAUGUGUGGUAUUGUGAUUAACAUUUAUUUCUUUGAUGAUGGCUCAUGCAUUAUCCGACUUACCCAUUUUCACAUUCACCUAUGCAGAUACACGUGCUAAGAGCAGCUGUAAGUAUUCUGUACUGCUAUAUUUUCACAACAUAUAUUUAUACAUUUCGUAUGAUUUCCUCGCCACUGUUAGUAUCCAUCUUCUCAUCAAUCACAUCCCAUUUUUUUUCCUUCCGCAUCCCUUUAAUCUUGAGUCAUUGCAUGAUUGCAUCCACAACUCAAAGUGGCCGGUGGCUACAUAUCGUUAUGACUAUACGGAUACAUGUAUAUAAUAUCAGUAAUAAUGCUGUUUAUUACCCCGCAAAACAAAUGAUGUUUAUGAGUCAUGUGUUAAAUUUUAGUCUUUCUUGUUUGAAGGACUAUCUUACUCAAAUUGCGUUCUAGCUUAUGUGUCACGUGUAGUCUUUUAUUUGUUGAUUGUUGAAAAUGCAUGUUCUAUAUGGUACAAAGAGAAACACCAAAAGUACAUAACCCUAGCGUUAGGAGGUUCCUGUAGGUGUAGAAAGUUCUCAGCAGGCUUCCGGUGAAAAAGUAUGGAUACAUUUGCCAAAAAUCACAUUCGUUUGAUCUUGGUAAUGACAAGACAUAAUCAAUGAAAAUCGGAUUGACCACAAACAGAUUUGCAAUAUGUAUACUGAUGUCCAUGCUUUUUGCAUGUGUGGAACCUGCUAGCAUAUGAAGAUCUACUGAUUUCUGCACUGAAACCGACAUCCCUGCUGAUUCAAUAGAGAUAUACUUAUACCAUUAUUCCAGCAAUGAUUCCAUUCUUUUCUUCCAAUUAUGUGUUCUUGUUUAACUGAAGAAUAAGUUUAUAAUAGAUAAGCAUAUGUGACGUCUUUAGCCUGACCUCUUGAGUGGUUGUGCAUAUUUUCAGUUUUUAUUGUUGAACAUCCAGUAGGCAUGAAAUUGUAGCAUCUCUCUGUUCUUGCCUCUUUCUUUCUUCUUAGCCUGACCUCUUGAGUGCUUGUUUGGAUAUCUGAUGUGUACUUACUCAGAACUUAGCAACUGAGCUCUCCAUUGAGCAAACAAUAAGUGCUGGAUCAAGAAAUGUUUGUCUGCCAAAUGAAUCUGAUGAUACCCAUCUUUCUAUUGCCACGUCAAGUAUUGAGCGGCUAGUUUCUGGUCUUGAAGAUUAUGCACUCUCACAUGGGAACACAUGUGAUAAGUGUGAUCUAUGUUGUAAGAAUAGGUAAAACUUUCACUGUUCAAUUUGAUAUGGCUACUAGACAUAUUUUCAUGUAGGAUGCCAAAUUGUUUUGCUCAAAUUGCCCAUACAUGAUCCACAAUUGGCGUUCUGAAAUCACCCUACUAUUACCUAAACGGGUUUAGAGCAGAAUUGCGCUGUUUUUGCUCUUUUCCUCCUAAAAAAGAGCAUACCUCUGUUAUAUUCUGUUUGUAAUUAUUUUAAGUCUCCUUCCUCCUUUUUCAGUUUCAUAGUUAAUAUGUAUAUAUGUGAUAUCUUGGCUUUCAGUAGUACUUAUUUAUCACUAGAACACAUCUUUAUUUUUUUCCUUGCACUUAUAUCUGUUAGGAAAGAAACUUGUCUGUAUUGAAGGCCCAAGGGGCAUAUAUAUAUUACACAUGACUUGAGGUGCAAGGAAAGUAAACAUAGACUAAUAAGGACUCCUAGACUAAUACUAAUAGACUAAUAAGGACUCCUAGACUAAUACUAAUACUUCCUAAGACCCCCCCCUCAAAUGCAAAGCGUAUGCAAUAGCAUUGCAUUUGAAGAAGUGUAAUACUAAAAAAAAUAUGAUAAUCCAAAUCCGCGUCUUGAGAGUGUCGUCGUAGCAUGAAGAGUCUUCAAAACUUGUCGAGUCGCCGAAGGAGAGAACAAAGAGAUGGCACAUCAGAGGUAGACACCACAUCACUUGAAGAUACAAGAUAAGUAUCAAGAGAAGAUGGGUUGUCAAAAGAAGAUGGCACAUCAGAGGAAGACACCGAAGAGAUGGCACAUAAGAGGAAGACACCACAUCACUUGAAGAUACAAGAUAAGUAUCAAGAGAAGAUGGGUUGUCAAAAGAAGAUGGCACAUCAAGAGGAUAAAGCAUUGCGCAGAAAAUCAUAGUCCACGACAACCGUCGACGAAAGAAGCUCGGCGGAUAAGGCACCAUGGACGUAGAUCGACAAUGCAAAAGAAGUCCAGACAAUCCUAUAGAAAACAACAAGGGCAAGUAGGCCACAAAAGUUGCAUAGAAAGGAUCAGGACCGUAGAAAGGCUGACGGACUAAGGUAUGGUGGACUCGCAUGGCAUGAGAAAACACAAAAUAUCAACGGAUUUGGUGGACGCAGCGGAAAACAAGAAAGCUAAAAGCUAAGAAGCAUACACGACACAAAGAUGCAAAAUCCAUCGUGUAUGCAGAAGAUUGUACUUUUUUCUUUUUUUUCUUUUCUUUUCUUUUUAAGCUAAGCUGCGAAGUAGCAGCAGAAAGUAGCUAGCAGUAGCAGCUAGCAACAGGUAGCACCACGUAGCAGCAGGCAACACCAGGUGGUAGCGAGUAGCAGCUAGCACCAGCAGGCAACAUGGGGUGCAGCGGGAACAGAGCAUGCAGAUGGAACGGACCAGCGGCCAGUACCAGCAGAACGCAGCAGCUGAAUCGGCCUCAACACAGGUUUGACCAGAUGGCAUCAAACCAGGCGAGCCUCGGCCUCCUCACGAACCGCGACACGGAGAUCACCGAGCAGAUCCUCCGGGAGGCCCGGGAGCGGCAGGAGCCCGAGAUCCGCCCGCCCAGACAGAUCUGGGGCCGCCUCGAUCUGGGCGGACUGGGGCAGGGAGGAGGCCGGAGGCGGCGGCGGCCGCGGCGCGCCAGGAGGCGCAGACGGCGCGGAAGCUGCGGAGGUCGAAGGAGGGUCGCCACCGCGUCUACGGUCCAGAGAGCCUCUUGCACAAUCGGCGAUGUAGCGCACGCCCCGAGCAAUUUCCAUCGCGCUGACGACAACUUGGGCAACGCUGCCGACGACUUUAAGCAUCUCCCAUGCGGGUGCCACCACAUCGCGGGCGCGACUGAUCGCGUGGUACAGGCGGCUCAGUGAGCAGGAUCUAGGCAGGGCGCGUGAAGGGGGAGGGAGAGCAGAGCGAGACGGCCAGAGGACGAUGGCGGCAUCGCGAGGGUAGGGAGCGUCCGGCCGAGAGGAGGUUGGUGGCGGCGUGAGAUUGGAUCUGCACGAGUUGCGCAUGCUAAAAAAUUAACCUAAGCUCUAAUACCAUGUUAGUAAAGCAACUUGUCUGUAUUGAAGGCCCAAGGAGCAUAUAUAUAUUACACAUGACUUGAGGUGCAAGGAAAGUAAACAUAGACUAAUAAGGACUCCUAGACUAAUACUAAUAGACUAAUAAGGACUCCUAGACUAAUACUAAUACUUCCUAACAAUAUCUAGACGGAAUAAUAUGCUUGGAGAUCUUUCAUUUGCCUUCUAUUUGCAUUUCGUAUUUGACCCACCUUGUUAAGCAGAUCACUCAGUUUCUGCAUUGUGAAUUCGUGGUCAUGUACUUAUUUUUCAGUGUCAGAUAGAAAUAGGAAAAACAAUUGAAAAUAAGUGCUCAAAAUUGUCUUACAGUAACUGAUUUUUAGAUGUAUGUGUCAAACAUAUUUACAAUUGAAGGCAUGCAUAUUUUUACACUGGAAGUCAUCAAAACUUUGCGUUUGAGCUAUAUUUACUGAUCUAUGCCUUAUCGUUUUCAGCUGUAUAUGAGAGAAAACCAUUUAUGUUGGCCCACAACAUCCGGCACUGGACUGGAUUAUAACAUUCGUUGCCCACACCCAAGCGCGGUCACUUUCAGGCUUCUGUUAUGCAUGUGCUUGGCUCCUACUCCCUCCGUCCCAAAAUAAAGUCUUUUUAGACUUUUUACUAGUGGGCUACAUACGGAUGUAUAUAGACAUACUUUAAAGUGCAGAUACAUUCAUUUUGUUUCGUAUGUAGUCUCCUAGUGAAAUCUCUAAAAAGACUUAUAUUAAGGAACGGAGGGAGUAAUUCCUAACCUUGCUGUUACCUAGUCUGUCUUAUAUUCAACCCUUGGCAUACUAAUGGAUAUCACAUGCAUAUUAUAUAAUUCUGGUAUGAUGAAUUCUUCAUAUUGCUGUUCUGACAUAUUAGACAUGAUCUCUAAGUUUAUUCUUCUGCUUUCUGAUUCUCAUGUCAGAGAUUGUCUGAAGGUCGGAACUGGUUCUGCCAAGAAUUCAGACAGAAGAAGAGAUAAAGGGCUACUUGUUGAAAUAGCCAUAAUGGUUGCGCAUACUGCAUCUGAUUUGAGUUGCUGGAUGGUUAAUUGUUCAUCUACUCAGGUUUUCAUCAAACCAUUGAGUUACAGAAUCUGACUUUGCUGUUACAUACUUGCAUUUUAUUACUCAUGACAUCUCAUGUUUAUGGUAAUAUUGUGAUUCAACCGAGCUCGUUGCUUCUGAUGGAUGGUGAAUGGCCUAUUGCAGGUUUUGCAUUUUCAAGACUUCGUACCCUGCCCCAUUUCACAGUCAUCCUUCAAUGUGCUCAUGAGUAUGGACUGGCAAAGCUUUGGUUUCAAGUUGAAAGGAGGUUUCAUGGAUGAUGAAGGAAAUGCUGUGCUUGAGUGGGAUAACCUGACAUUUGCUCGUGUUGAUAUUGCCAUUCACACUUACCAUGGAAUAUAUCCUGCUCUCGUUUUGUGCAUACUUCAUUUUUUUCUUCUGAGCGUGGAUAUUCACCAUUGGUUUUUCCCAAGUGUUUUUCUCUAGUUAUCUUUGACUUGUUUAGAUACAGUACAAGAAUGGCAGAGAUCUGAACCAGAUAAAUAUGUUGUGAGGAAGGCACUUAAGCUUGCAUUGCAUCACUUGAAAGCAGAUCAUGCAGGAGAGUUCAUCAGUUGUCAUGGAAAGAAGGUAUGUGUUACAUGUUUUCUGCUAACCAUGCUAUACUGUCAUCAGAUAGCUAAGGUGCAAACUGUCUUAAUCUGCGCGAAUAACAUUGCAAACCCUUAAUCUGUGCGAAUACUAAUGCAAACCACCCUUGUAUUCUUUCAGAGGAGUAAACUGAUCUUACGGUUAUAGUUUUUAACAGAAACAAGGAACCUUAGUAAGCAUUAUAUAUUUAUAUAUGUUACAUGGUCUGGAAAAUAUUCAGCACCAUAAGCUCUGCUUCUCCAACAAGUUUCAUUGCAAUUAUUCAGCUACACUGCUGCAGUACUACAUAGCUUCAGCGCUGCAGUUAUCUUGGCAAGGAGCUCUAUAUCAGUUACAAGCUACAACCUCCUAGUAAUGUUCACUAACCACUACUGUUGCUGCUAGUAGCUAUCACCAGGAGUCCAGGACACACAGUUAGAGCUUUCGUAUGUUGCACCUAGCAGUGUUCACUAGGCACUACUGUUGCUAGUAGUUAUCACAUUGCAACGGCCAGCUGUGCAUGGCCUUACAAAAUGGGUGAAUUAUCUGGCUAACCAUGAUCCCUUUUCGCUACCUGAACUGUCAACAAUCAUUGUAGUAUAACAUGCUGCUUGUUCAUGCCAAUUCCAGAUCCUGGAAUACGUCCCCGACCUCGCGCAGUCGAUCGCCGGCCUGAUCUCGUCGUCCAGCGACCGAGAGUUCCGACACGAAUGCUUCGCGCUCCUCGGGCUGGGCUCCGGCCAAGACACCUCGGAAGGGGCGGUCAGGUCCUGCAUCGGCGACAAGAUGGCCCGCAUCAUAGAGAUGGGCGACGGCAAGGAGAAGGCCCAGGACAGCACGCCGCCUUACCUGUUCGAGUGCGAGAAGCUGGACGAAGACAGCCCGCUGCUCGAUGAGGAAGAUGAUGGAGACGAGGAUAUGAUUUUUGAUUUCUAAGUCUUGUGUUGUAGCUGUAGUAGACCAAUUGGGAAAAGGAAGAAGUGAGAAGAAAAAAAAGCAGAGUCAACUAUGCAGUAGUUACAAGAUAAGUUUUUUUUUUCUUUAGUCGUACGUACAAGAUAAGUUUGCAGACGCUAAUAAAUGCUGACACCUGCUCCAGUGCAAAACUGUGGAAUUGCAGUUACUGGUUGCCUAUGUGCAGGGCAUUUUCGCCCGCUUCAUUUUGAUUGUGUUCGCCCGGUUCCAAGUUAAUUGAAGCUCUAGCCUUCUCCUGGAACGAAAUUUCUUCAAGUUUGGCCAGAAUACCUUUGUUGUACCGAACCGUACUUUUGUAUAGACUUUGACCAAAAUUGAAGAGAUUUGGUAAACAUGAAGGAAUUUCCCGUUGCUUUAGACGCAACACAUGGGAAUCUUCGUAGAAAUUCCACGGAGAUUCGGUUCCACCCUCGGAAAAUAAGCCGAGGCAGCACCGCAGCAGUGGACGGAUGCGUGUGAGCGUGGCCGAGCCGAACGCGCCUUCCACUUUACAGCAUGUGAUGUGAAGCCUCUCCGCUUGACCGGUCCACCUCCCACACCCACGCACGGAACCAAGCCUAUCAGCCCACCCCACCCCACCCCACCCNCGGAGCGGUACCGCGCGGAGGCGGCGCGGGCGUUCCAGCACUACCUGGACCGGGCGGCGCCGCACACGGCGGGGCGGUGGGCGGGCACGCUGCUGGCCGCCGCCGUCUACGCGCUGCGGGUCUACUACGUCCAGGGCUUCUACGUCGUCUCCUACGGCCUCGGCAUCUACCUCCUCAACCUCCUCAUCGGCUUCCUCUCCCCCAUGGUCGACCCGGAGCUCGAGGCGCUCGACCAGGCCGGACCCGCGCUCCCCACCCGCGGCAACGACGAGUUCAA